rnacentral:lncRNA from 1 species
CUGUAUAAUUAUCUCCCUACUCUACUUAUUUCUGCCUCUUCUGUUGAGAUUUCAAUCAGAACUUGCACACACAAUGCAUCAGCUCACACAAAACCAGAUGAAUUUAAGAAAACAGAAAAAUGCAGAGAAAGAAUGGAUUGGCUACUCAGUAAUGCUCAAAGGUUCGUUGCUAUGCACAAAACAUGGCAGUGCACAAUACUCUCAUUUCUAACGGAACCAUUCCUUUUUACAAUGCUGAGAAUGUGAUCUCAGCCUUACAAUUGAUCCAGCAAUGUAAGCUGGACACUUGUCUUAAAUCUGAGUCAUAUAAGUUUCAUCCAACCAAAAUAUUACAUCUGUGAAAUAAAACUUAAACCAGCAGGAAUUUAUAAUUCGACAUUCCCUUCUAAAUUGUUGACUGGUUUAACACCAAGUAGACCUCUUAAGUAAUUGAAUCGAUCCUUAGACAAAGCUUUAGUGAAUAUGUCAGCUGCUUGCUCUUCGGACUUGCAGUAUCUUAGAUCCACCACACCUUCUUGCAAAGCAUCUCGAAUGAAAUGGUAUAUGCGGUUAAUGUGUUUGGUCUUUUGAUGGAAAACUGGAUUCCUUGUCAUUGCAAUGGCAGAGGUGUUAUCUACCAUUAAUGGAGUUGCCUCUGUUUGCUAUUCUCCAAAGUCUUCAAGCACAAACUUCAACCAUAUAGCUUGAGUAGUAGCUUCACUUACACUAACAUAUUCAACUUCAGUUGUGGAGAGAGCAACACUGGGUUGCUUGACAGAUGCCCAAGAUGACACGCCACUUCCAAAUGAGAAAGCAUAUCUAGAAGUGCUCUUCAUGUCAUCUUGACUCCCACUCCAGUCACUGUCACAGUAUCCAAUUAAUACAACUUCUUUUCCCUUCUGGUAUUCAAUACCAUAAUCAAUUGUGCCUUUGAUAUACCUCAACACCCUCUUAGUUGUUCCAUAGUGUUUCUUUUAGGACAAUGCAUGAAUCUAGCUAAUAAGCUAGCUGCAAACAUUAUGCCAGGCCUUGUAGCUGUUAAGUACAACAAACUUCCCACAAUCUGCCUAUAUUCAUUCUCAUCUGCUGGAUCACUUCCAUCUGCUUUGCAUAAUUUCUCACUUGCCACCAGAGGAGUGCUAACAGGUUUACAUUGUUUUAAGCCAAACUUGCUUAACAGAGUCAAAGCAUAUUUCUUUUGACUUAUGAAAAUACUCUUUUCAGUUUGAAUCACAGCCAUACCAAGAAAAUGAUACAAAAGACCUAAGUUAGUCAUUUCAUACCUUCUCAUCAUCUUAGACUAAAAAUCUGCAAUCAAUUCUUCACUGCUUCCUGUAUACACUAUAUCAUCAACAUAUAUCGAUACAAUGAGUGUUCUAGAGUUUUCCUUGGUCUUGCAAUACAGAGUUGCUUCACUAGAGCUCCUUGUAUAACCGCAGUCAAUAAGAUACGAGUUUAUUUCCUCAUCCCAUGCUCUUGGCGCCUGUUUUAGACCAUACAGAGCUUUCUUUAGUUUGUACACUUUGUCUUUAGAGUUCUUAAUCACAAAACCAUCUGGCUGGUCCACAUAUACUUCUUCCUUAAGCACACCAUUCAGAAAAGCAGACUUGACAUCCAAUUGAUACAACUUCCACCCCUUUUGAGCUGCCAAUGCAAUAAAAGUUCUAAUGGUGUCUAAUCGGACUCUGCACCCCUCUCGAUUGAAAACCUAUUGUGUAAAUCUUCAAUCCUAAACGAUGCACCUAAAACACAUGUUGCAAUACACAUCCACCCAUUCUCAGGCCAAUUAUUGCUCAUAGUGGGCUCCCGACCCCCUCUCAAAUUUAAGUGGUCCAUUAUUCUUAACCACAUAUUUUAUGGACCAUCCAGCUGUGAGGUUUUGUCUCAAAAACCUUCGGUACAUUUCUCCCACAUGCCACAAUUGUAUAUUCACAAUUACGUCUGAUACAUCACAUCAUGCCACUUGCCUCAAAUGAAUUUAAGUGAGUGAGGCAGUUGGAAGUAAUUAAGCUCUAUAUUGGUGGGUGGAGUGUUACUUCUGGGUACCCCUCAUCAUUUGUCUAUAAAAUGGUGAAGUCAGUUGCUACUGUUACCAUAAGAGCCAGCUCCGACUUUCUUUAAUUUCUUGCUUCAUAUCCACUAGCUACAUCUGUUGCCAAGUUAAUUUCAGUCCUAAUGGGGUUUCAUCCCCCACUCAUCUUUGCUAUUCUCAGUGUAAGCUCUGCAAUUUGAUUAACUUUUCCAUGCUCUCUCAUUGUACUCUAUAUAAACGAAAGUUUUGUGGUCCUAUAAUUCUCUCUCGAUUUUAUUUAGUACGUACUUAAGUGUUGUCCACUAAUUAAUUACACUUUGUGAGAUUUGAUUUUAAUUAGAGUUCGAAUUAAUGUUGCAGCUAGCAGCGGUUGCACAGGCAAACAAUGCUGCUCAACCAGCACCUCAACUUUACUGGAACUCCGUCCUGCCAAACACACAGAUGCCAAGAUCUAUCAGUGAACUUCUGCAUCCUGGUUUGUGUUGAGCUCUUUAGAAUCUUAGAUAUCUCUUCUACCUGCCAUUUUACUUAAAUAUGUUCGACCACAUAUUUAUCAGUUAACUACUGUCAUUACAUGAGUGACACAUAUUCACAAAUCGGCUGAUCACUUAUUUUCCAUUAUGACGUUGAUAUAUAAUUUGCAGACUCCACAAAUGAAGAAAAGAGCACAAAUGACGUUGGCAAACCUGAAACUUUCCCAUUGGGCAAUCAAAAUUACUCCAGUCAAAAAAAUUAUGGAACAGGCAAUAAACGUUACUGCAGUCAAAAAAGGUAUGGAAGAGGCAAGAAACGUUACUGCGAUCAAAAAAAGUAUGGAAGAGGUGCUUCUCCAUCUGACAAUCAACUACUCCAUUAUAAAGACUUAGCUAUUUUCUUCUUGGAGAAGGACAUGCGCCCUGGCACAACAAUGAAGUUCCAAUUCUCUAGAAAUUCAAACACGGCUACUUUCUUGCCACGAGAAAGCGCUCAAUCGAUCCCCUUCUCCUCUAACAAACUACCAGAAAUUUUCAACCAUUUUUCAGUGAAGCCAACAUCUGAGGAAGCCAAAACAAUUAAGCAAACAAUCGAAGAGUGUGAAGCUCCCGGCCUUAAGGGAGAGGAAAUAUAUUGCGCCACAUCUUUAGAAUCAAUGGUUGAUUUUAGCACUUCGAAGCUUGGAACAAGAAACGUUGAAGCAAUCUCGACGGAGGUAUUGGAAAAAGGAGCCACCAUGUCCAUGCACAACUAUACAACAAUGCCGGGACUGAAGAAGUUGGCCAGUGACAAAGUCGUUGUGUGUCAUAAGCAGAACUAUCCCUAUGCUGUGUUUUUCUGCCAUGCAAUAAAACAUACAGCAGCUUAUGUUCUCUUCCUGAAAGGCGAUGAUGGGGAGAAGGUUAAAGCAGUAACCAUCUGUCAUCUAGACACAUCAGAAUGGAACCCAGAGCAUAUGUCCUUCCAAAUCGUCAACGUUAAGCCCGGAACCAUUCCCAUCUGCCAUUUCAUUUCCACUGAUGCUAUUGCCUGGGUUCCGAACCACAAAUCUGCAUGAUCAUCACUUAGCACUGUACGUAUAAUUAUCUCCUUACUUAUUUCUGCCUCUUCAUCAUGUGGUGUAAGAUAUAUGAUGAGAUGAAGUUUUUGGGAUUAGUGGUUGGGUUGCCUGAAAAACACAGAUUACAGAAACUGCUUGAAAUUAACCCGAUCAUGUUUUCUCUUGUAACUAUAUAGACUUCAACUUGUACUCAUAAUAAAGCAUGCUAUAUUUAUGAAGAGAUAUUAAUCUAUAUAUAUUUUUUAUAUAUGCUUUGGCUUUGUGGUUCUACCCAAUGUUUGAGUGUUGAAUUGUUACGUUGGAAUAGGCUGCUAAUGCAUGUAGUUAGAGAAGCCUUCAUUUAUAUCAAAGUCCUCAAACUAUCAAGAACUAAUGUAUCCAGAAACAUAUACCAAGACGCAAAACAACAUAUUUUCCAUGCUCUGUCUGUAACACCAAAGCAAACUUCCUUGAUCACAAAAGGAUCAAAUUCCAGUACUAAUCUAAUCCAUCAUGUAAAGCAUACAAGUGCCUCCCUAAAUACUAUACUCUUUUUGUUAUUUCCUACUAUACUAUUUAAGAUUUAAAAUUCAGGUCAACCCAUAGAUUUCUCGCCUUUUUCUUCUUCAUCUCGUCGGGCUUGUCUUCUUCUUGAGGAUUGUAUAGGCCAAGGAAAUGCUUUGAGUUAGUUUUUGCGCUUUUGCGUUUUGGGCCUUGGAAGUUGGGACCCAAACCAACUUCACAAAAAGAAAACGCUCAGACUAUAAUGAGUGGAAAGUUAUAAGGGGUAAGUUAUAAGGAGUUCACUUUAUAGCCAUCAGAUCAAUCUAAGGGCUGGGGAGAAUUGAGAUAAAGUUUUAAAAUCGGGUAGGUGAGGAACCCAAACCCGAAUUGAAUAUCCAGCACGUCCGAAAAAGAAGAAGAAGAGGCAAGCACGUCCGAAAAAGAAGAAGAAGAGGCAAGGUCGAAGUUUGAACAGAAAAAACUCAUCUCUUUAAAACCCAUAGCUCUGAGAAACGGUUGAAGGCAACGGUUAACGACGGUUGUUGAAGCCACUCCGUUCUCCAGACCCUGAAAAAGUAUUUAUUUUGAGUAGAAGGGGCAAAUGUGUGGAUUCCGAAACAGUGAAGGGGCGAAGCAGUGGAAGGGGAAGGAGAGAAGCCGUAUUCGUUGGAAGUGGUAGGUUCCAUUUGUGGAGCAAAGCAACACAAAGACCCCGCACAGACACCUUGCGAUUGUUCAAUAACCAGCAUUUGGUGAGUAAUUUAUGGAAUUUGAGUUUAGGGUUAGAGUAAUGGUUUUCCCCAAUUUGUACCAUCAAUUUUGUUGGAUUUGGCAUCUCUUCUUUGUGCUUCAGUUGCAUGUUAAUUUUUGCUUGGGUAUAUGUUAAAAAAAGAAUGAAAAUCAAGUCAAUAACAAGUGAAUAACAUGUCAAUAAUGAUAUGAAUAAGAUAAUGGUGUUGAAUUGGAGGAGGCCCUCAAAACAUUCCACAUUUGAAGCAGUGCAUAGUGCAGAUUAUCUCUCUGGCGCUAGAAUAUAUAUAUAUUUUGAAAUAAAUAUGAUUUCCUUUGUUACUAAAUUUGCCUGAGAAACAUGAGAACAGAUAAUAAUAAACUCAUGAAUAGAAGUGCAAAGCAUUUGAUGAGUAAUUUAUGGAAUUUGAGUUUAGGCCCAGGAAAUUCCUUGACCCCAAAAAAAAAAAAAAAGUUGAUUUAAAAUUCAGGUCAACCCAUAGAUUUCUCGCCUUUUUCUUCUUCAUCUCGUCGGGCUUGUCUUCUUCUUGAGGAUUGUAUAGGCCCAGGAAAUGCUUUGAGUUAAUUUUUGCAUUUUUGCGUUUUGGGCCUUGGAAGUUGGGACCCAACCCAACUUCACAAAAAGAAAACAGAUUUGCCAAAAAUCAAAUUUCAAGUCUCUCCUCCGAUCGAAAUUUGGAUUUGAUGAACUAAAGUGGUUUUACUUUCUCCAUCAGUGUUUGAUAACUUAAUUUGUUAUUUACUUUUUUUUUAAAAAACUUUGGCUUAUAUAUAUUAGUUUUCUUUUUUCCUUCAUAUUCACCACCUUUAUGUUGCAUAAGUAUUUCAGUCUUAAUGGGUUUCCAUCUACCACUCAUCUUUGCUCUUCUCAGUGUAAGCCUUUUUUUUUUUUUAAAGCACAAGAUUAGAGGGGAGGGGGAUUUCUCAAUGUAAGCUUUGCAGUUUCAUAAUUAAUAUUUCCAAUAUCUCACUGUUAGUAAAAUACAGAAAAAGUACUAAUAACAUAUGCACAUGUUACUAAUUUAUUGAGAUAAAACACCAUUUUGCCCCUAGAAUAUUUUAUUAGGUUUAAAGUUGACUUUUUGACCAGGAAGGAAUUUGGGUAUUUAGACUAUAUCGUUGCGUAGAGCAUGGCGAGAUGAGUCCGUAGACACAUGAUUGGCUCGAAUCAGAGUUAUAAUGAGAGAGAUACGAUCAAAAUACCCUCAGUGGUAUAACCGUAAUUUUGGCUUAAAGGGUUUGAUAAAAUAUAAUUUUUCUUUCUUUCUUUCUCUCUCUCUCUCUCUCUCUCUCUCUCUCCUCUCUCUCACGACGGCAGUGAUAGCCGGCCACUUUUUGGCCAGCCAUGCUCUCGUCCGGCCACUAAAGUUGACGGGGCCGGUACCAAAAUGACCGGGCCACCAUCCUUUUCCAACCCCAGCCAGGCCCCACUGCCAGCAGUCGUGAUUUUGCUGAAAAAUGGAGAAGAAGCGGCCGAUUUCGUUCGAACUUCUCCGACUUCGUUCUCUCUCCUCCGGCCACCGAUUUCGAUGAAUGAGGUAUGGUUUCUCACCUACUUUUUAUGCUCUAGCUGCCUGUUGGGUAGGAUUCGAUCAAUUCCUUGCGUAGGUAGCUUGAUUUUCGAAUUGGAUUUCGGCCGGUUUUGGGAUCUCGAUUCCGGCCACUUCCGGUCAGUUUUUGGGGUACAUCCCAAAACAAAAGUGGUUCUAAAUAGGGUGUUAUACCUAGGGUAGGAACCUUGAACCGUAAUUUUGAGAAUUUUCGGUGAUGCCUAAUCGCUUUGGACACCUACGCUAUGCCUGCGUGUGGGCACUAUAGAAAAAGGGCAUUGUGUCCCGAUGCAAUCCCCUUGUUGUCUUGAGCGCGUAGGUGUGCUCGGAUUUCAAUUUGGAUACCGUUUGAAUCUCGAACGAAUAUCGCAUAUUGUGCGUUAUUCGGGGUCGAUAGGUUUGAACUGUUGGAUAGUCUUAGAUUUAUAAUAUGUUAAUCUAGACAUUCUUAGGAUCGAAUGGGAUUAAACGGAUCGUAAAACGGAGUCCCGGAUACUCCAAAAAUGCCAACCCUAGGGCUAGGUUCCUAGUAACCGUCCGAUCGUGCGAUCGUGAGCGAUCCGACCGUUUGAUCCGAACCAAACUUGCAGGACGUGUAUCCUAAACCUUGUAGAACCCAUAGGAACUUUCGGAUUAGAAUUUGGAGGUCGUGGGCCCCUUGGGCCGUUUGACUAAGUUUGGGUAGUUUGACCCUUGGCUGAUCGUGAGUCUUCAGAGGUCUUGAGCGUUGUUGAGCUAUGUUGACUAGGUUUAGACUUUUAGAGUGUUUAUUAUUAUCAUAGGAAACUAUUAGAUAUUAUUUUAAUAAUUGAAAUUAUCAAAUUUAUGUUUAUGUGCAUGAUUGUUGGUCUAAAAAUAACAUUGUUUUCUUGAUAAAAUUACGUUGCAGUCUACUAUAGACUGGUAUCACUAAAUGGAGAUUACCUCUAUUAUUAGUUUAGAUAAUUAAGAGUAUGUCAGUUUGAAGUGCUAUAUGCACUACCCUAAGUACCACCCUGUGAUUGUUAGGUCCCAUGUGGUGUAGAUUAUACAGCGUCAGGACAGACCCCAUACGUGGCUUUGGAUGUUCUGGCGCAUGGGGGAGAUUAUGUAAUGGUUAGGUCAUACGUGGCGUAGGUUAUUCAGCGUGUUGACAGACCCUAUACGUGGCGUUGGAUGUUCCAGUAUGGAAAGAUUUUGUGAUUGUUAGGUCCCACGUGGCGUAGAUUAUCCGGCGUGAGGACAAACCCCAUUCGUGGCUUUGGAUGUUCCUGCGUAUGGGGGAGAUUAUGUGAUGGUUAGGUCACACGUGGCGUAGGUUAUUCGGCGUGUUGGCUAACCCCAUAAGUGCCGUUGGAUGUAACGACCGGUCCUAAAUAAAUUAGUGAAUAUUAAUUUAUUCAGAGAAAAUACCAUUUUGCCCAUAGAGUAUUUUAUUAGGUUCAAAGUUGACUUUUUGAUCAGAAAGGAAUUUGAGAAUUUCGAUUAUACCGUUGCAUAGAGCACGGCGAGAUGAGUCCGUAGACACGUGGUAUGCUCGAAUCGAAGUUGUAACGAGAGAGAUACGAUCAAAAUACCCUCAGUGGCAUAACCGUAAUUUUGGCAAAAAGGGUCGAUAAAAUCAUAUAUAUAUAUUUUCUCUCUCUCUCUCUCUCUCUCUCUCUCUCUCUCUGCGAUAUUGUCCCUCUCUCUCUUUGAUUCACUGCCAUCUGCCCACGGCAGGACUUGAGACUGGUCACGUUUGAACCGGCUCGAUGUCCCGAUCACGUCGCACCCAAAAUGCAAAUGGAAACCUUGAAUUCCAGCCACGGCUUCGACUGGUUUGAACUGGGUUUUUCCCGGCGUUGCGCCACCGCCUCCGCCGCCCAAUUCCGGUGAAACAGGUAUAAUUCCUCACCUAUUUUUCGAGAUCCAGCUGUUGUUGUGUAGGAAUUAGACGAUUUUCAUGUUUAGGAACUCGAUUUAGAAUUUAGGUUUUGGUCGAAUUUUCAAAGUGAAAUUUCGGCCACUUCCGCUGGUUUUUCGGGGUAUGUCUAAGAACAAAAGUGGUUCCAAAUAGGGUGUUAUACCUAGGGUAGGAACCUUGAGCUGUGAUUUUGAGAAUUUCCGGCGAUGCGUAUUCGCUUUGGACACCCACGCGCCGACAGCGCGUGGGCACUGUAGAAAAGGGGCAUUGUGUCUCAAUGCGAUCUGCUUGUUGUCUUGAGCUCGUAGGUAUGCUCGAAUUUCAAUUUGGAUACUGUUUGAGUCUCGAACGGAUAUCGCAUAGUGUACGUUAUCCGGGUUUGAUAGGUUUGAACCAUUGGAUAGUUUUGAAUUUGAUAUAUGUUAAUCUAGGCAUUUCUAGGAUCAUGUAGGAAUUCAGGGAUCAUGAAUCAGAGCCCCGGAUGUUCCGAUUUAAUAACUUAAAGUUUAUGUUUAUAAUAACUAUCAGAUCGUGCGAUCGUGAGCGAUCCGACUGUCUGAUCUGGACCAAACUUGCAGCACGUAUAUCCUAAACCUUGUGGAACAUAAAAAAAUUUCGGAUUAGAAUUUGGAGGUCGUGGGCCCCGUGGGCCCAUUUAACCAAUUAUGGGUAGUUUGAUCCUUGGUUGACCGUGAGUCUUCCGAGAUAGUUUUACCUUCCUAGGAGGAUUAUAAUGACCCUAGUGAUAGGUCUUGACCGUUGUUCAGCUAUGUUGACUAGGUUGAGACUUCUAGAGUGUUUAUUAUAUUAUUGUAGGAAACUCUUAGAUAUUAUUUUAAUAAUUGAAAUUAUGAAAUUUAUGUUUAUGUGCAUGAUCGUUGGUCUAAAAAUAAUAUUAUUUUCCUGAUAAAAUUACGUUGCAGUCUACUAUAGACUAGUAUCACUAAAGUGGGAAUACCUCUAUUAUUAGUUGAGAUAAUUGGGAGUAUGUCAGUUUGAAAUGUUAUACCCUAAGUACUACUCUAUGAUUGUCAGGUCACCCGUGGCGUAGGAUUUUCCGGUGAGAUGACAGACCCCAUACGUGGCGUUGGAAUUUCCAACGUAUGGAGAGAUUAUAUGAUUGUUAGGUUUCACGUGGCGUAGGAUUUUUCAGCGGGAUGACAAACCCCAUACGUGGCAUUGGAAGUUUCAGCGUAUGGGGAGAUGAUAUGAUUGUUAAGUCACACGUGGCGUAGGUUAUUUGGAGUGCUGACAGACCCCAUACGUGGCGUUGAAAUUUCUGGCGUAUGGAGAGAUGAUAUGAUUGUUAGGUCACUUUGGAUGUUCUAGCGUAUUGGGAGAUUAUGUGAUUACCAGUGAGAUGAAUAAAGGAUUGUUAUGUUAUAUUGGGAAAAACAUGUUUGUAGAAAGAAUUACGUGUGGCUUGAUCCCUCAGUAAGGGUACGUAGGCAGCCUAGGGUAGUGCCUUGGUGCAGUCGCUGACUAAACAUUAUAAUGUUGUUUUUAGGUUUGAUUAUAUGGUAUUAUGGGGCAAGGCCCCUAGGACUAUUGGUGAUAAUUCAUAGAUGGUAGUGGAUGCAUGCUAGAAAUUUGUAGGAAGUUAUUUCAUGUGGAUUGCAGUGGUACUCGUAAAAUUUAUUUGAGUUCCUUAAUUGCAUUGUUAAUAUAUUAAUUUACUUAAGAGUACUGCUAGUAGUUCUGCCUUGAUUUAUUUGAAGGCUGGAGGCCUUGUCUGGAAACUGUGUGCAAUUAGAUUGUGUGUGCUGGCAGUUGACUUUUUAAAUUGUGAAUUUUGUGCAGGUUGAAAUUUGGGAAAUGUUCAAUUUACAGGGGAGACUCUGCUGAAAUUUCGGUAGAAAGUCUUGUGCCCUUAUUCCUUUUUGGGGAAAAGGAUAUAGUUUUAGAAGUGGCGAUGUCGGGAAUUUCCACAGGAUUCGUCUCGGGUUUCGGGAAAUUCGGGGCGGGUCUGAAAAAGUUGUUUCAGUUUUGGCAAGUAUCGGAAAAGACCAAAAUUUUCCGACUUUAUUAUUACUAGAAACAAGGUCGAAGUAUUUACCAAUCAUGUGGCCUUCCAAGUGCUCUAGGUUAAGCCAGGAACCGUUCCUAUCUGCCGUUUCCUUCCCAACUAUGAUCAUGUUGUCUGGGUUCCAACCCACAAAUCUACAUUGGGCUACGUAUUUGAAUUUGUACUAAAGCGUGAUCUAUAGUAUGCAUAUAUUGGAUAAGUUUGAGAUCAGUGGCUUGGGUGUCCGCUGAGCUUGAACAAGUUUGGGUGUGCUGAGUGUUUCCAUGGGUGUGUUGAUGAUCAUGGUUAUUAGAUUUGUGAUAGUUUGGGCUCAAUUUCAACAGAACUCAUCUCAAGCCUAGAUAGUUGAUUCUUAAGUUUAUCAGGAAAAAAAAUUAAAAAUUAAAAAAUCUAAAGUUAAGCCCAAGGCGCCGAACUUGGACUUCUCACCAAACUGUGCAUAAAUUGAAAUAUUUAAUAGAAGCCCAAGAUUUUUGAAGCACAUAAUAUCUACAAAAAUCUACAAAGUGUAAUACUUUACAAACUUCUUAUGUGUACCAAUUUCUGCUCAAAUUAAUUUCUCUGUGGUGCUGAGAUUCAUCAUAAUUUUAGUAGAAAUUGGAAGUUUUCAUCAUUUUUGCUUUAAGUCUCUCCUCCACUCACUAAUAAAGAUUACUCAAGUGAGUUUACAAAACAUUUUUUUUCUACUCUCUCCUGAAGACUACACAUCUUCUCAAAAGAUUAGAUCACUUCACAUCUUGUAUAUGUGAAAACUAAUGCAAAAAGUUGAAACUUUAUCAUAAAACCUCGACAAAAAUUAGCUCUACUUAGAACAUUAAAUUUGGAUUCGUUGAUUUAAAUGGCAAUUUGACACUUCAUAGAAAUUUUUACAUACAUGUGUUAGUGUUUGAUCACUUCACUUAUUACUUACUAUAUUUAUUCCAUGAUUCUCCCUCAAGUUAUGUAAAUAUUAUUAUCAAACAUUUCAAUUCAUUUGUGAUAUUUCUUGUCCAUCUUUCAAUGUACCCUGAAAUCCAUUAGCCACAUAUGAUGACCAAAAUCCACACUCUGUUGUUUGCAAACGUUCAAUAUACGACUUGCAUCCACAGUCCUGACCCAAAUGAAAUGCGGAAACUGUCAAGCUAACUGUAGGGAGGACUAUAUUUGAUUUUACCUUAAAGACUGAUCCGAAACCACCUUCUCCAAGUUUAUUGUUGUUUGAAUAGUUUUUGGUUGCACAAACAACAGCGGCCAAGUCAAAUAAUGGCAAUUCCAGAUCUUCCUUUUGGCCGGGCUUCAGUUCUCCUGUGAAGUACGUAGUGAAGUAAAUAAUGUAGCAUGGAACCUUAGCUUAGAAACCAGAGAGGCAACAGCAAAAAUUUUCUAUAGAACUGAACCUACCUAUCUUAGAAAAUGAAGGGGCAGAAGAGUAGAAAAUCAAAUAGCUUACCAUAUUUUUGUUGCUGGUUCUUCCUCACAUAUAAUAGCAGGGUAAGGCCCAGGGUCAGCAGUCCAGUAGACAACACAGUACUGGUUACUAUGAUCUUUGUAUUGUGUCCUUGAUCUAGGAAUGAAGUAUUUGAAAGCAGAAGAUUGAGGAGUCAGAAAUUCAUAAAGAAAAAAUCUCUACUUUUUAUCAUCCAACGAACAAUUAAUGCUAGUUUCUGAGACAGUUCUAAAGAAAUAUUUUUCUAACAAUGUCAAAAGUUUUCUGGCUCUAUCUUGUUUCUAAUCAUGUCACUGUUGGAAGAUUUCUUUCUUCUUUUUUCCUUGGUGGCUUUUAUUUUUCUUUCAAACUUUGUUUUAAACAGCAAGAUGAUUCCAUACCUAGUUCUGACGAAGCCAUUCUUAUGUAAAUAUCUUGCCCAUUUAUAUUGGAAUAUCUUAUAUCAACCAGAUCGCUGAACCACAGCAAGGACCCCCUUCCUCCAUCUCGGAUAUCCAAAUUUGAAAAAGCGGCGCAGGAGCAGUUGUUCAUGCACAUCAUCUCACAUUCCUUGAGGUUCAUAAUUGUGUUAUACUAGGAUUGUUCUGUACUUUAUUUCACCCCAGUGUACUUCUUAAAGAUGUCUCCACUGCAAUUCAGUUGGCUCUUUCUCACAGAUCUAUAUGACCAAUCCACCAAGUCCCAGUCUUGUUGAAAGUCGGUAUAAAUCCUUUCAAGCAGCUACGUACUGGGGACUUGUCAAUACAACAUGCACCAUUCGGACCACAUAUUCCAUAUUUGUCGCAGAUAUCAGUCGUUGCUCUUAGAUAAACAACCCAACCUUGGUUUCCAUCACUCCCGAUGUAGCUCAGCCCAAAUCCAUCUUGAGUUAACGCCAGCCUGAAAAGAGUUGAGCUGUUGAGAAGCUUAUAACCAUAAUAUACUUCAUCAUCAUUAUCCAACACAAAAUCAUAUGUUGGAUUUAAAUUAUGCAUCCCACUAAAUUGGAUUCCAUUCCAUGGUGCAGUCCGAUAUUUUAUAACAGAACCCUCCCUCAGAAUUAAUUCAUGGUACCCAUAAGGACCAAGUUGAUAUGGGUAAUGUCCUUGAGAAGGAUCCUGGGGGCUUUUCCAGGGUGUAAGAUGCCAAUUAAAACCUGUGAUUUUGUUCCUAACAAGCUUCAUACCUGGUAUUAAUGUAUCUCCUGGGUAAUCAAAACUCUGCCAUAAAAUAUUAUCAGAGUCAUUACGACCAUUGCCAUCUAUCACAACAAGAUUUCCGGAAUCCAAAAUCUGUGCCACUGGAUUCUAUGAAGAACUUGAUGUGUUGGAAGACCUGUAGUGUUCUUUGUUGAAUAUUUGGAUUGCAAAGGGAGCAAGAAAUGUACUGAGAGAGAAAGAGAGAGAGAGAGAGAGAGAGAGAGAGAGAGAGAGAGCAGUGAGCCUUAGAUUGUUCUAACAGUUUUCUUACUCUGCAUGAACAUAGCAGCAGAGCUUAUAUUCCUUCAUGACUGUUACAUGUUCUCUCUUACAUCAGUAGAUUCAAAUCUAACGGUUUGUAAUAGUAAGCCAAUGUGAGUAUGACACAUGGCAAUACACAGCUGUCCUAACAGCUGGGAAUUCAAAACAGACUCUAGCAUUGCACCUGGCAUAUAAGCACAAGGCACUCAGCUAACACAAAGAUUAAAAACAGAUUGAAUAUAAACUGACAUAGAACUUACUAACUAAUCUGAAAUUAGCUAGACAGUUUACAUUUUAACACUCCCUUCUAAAGUGCUAGCUGAUUUCACUCCAAGCAUUCUCCUCAAAUAGUCAAACCUGUCUUUGGGAAGAGCUUUGGUGAAGAUAUCAGCAAUCUGCUCUUCUCCUUUGCAGUAGAGCAGUUCAAUCACUUCUUCUUGUAUUGCAUCUCUAAUAAAAUGAAACUUCCUUUUAAUAUGCUUGCUCCGUUGAUGAAAAACAGGAUUUUUAGCCAUUGCUAUGGCUGAAGUGUUGUCACAAAACACAGUUGUUGCAGUGGUCUGUUCUUCCCCAAAAUCUUCAAGAACAAACCUGAGCCAAAUGGCUUGUGAUGUAGCUUCUGCUGCACUCACAUACUCUGCCUCUGCAGUAGAGAGAGCCACACUGUGUUGUUUGACUGAUGCCCAUGAAAAAGCACCACUUCCAAAUGAAAAUGCAUAUCCAGAAGUGCUUUUCAUAUCUUCCUCAGAUCCACUCCAGUCACUGUCACAGUAACCAACUAAGAGUGCAGAUUUUCCUGUCACAUACUCAAUUCCAUAGUCAAUUGUGCCUUGUAUGUACCUUAGAACCCUUUUAGCUGCCCCAUAGUGCAUCUUAGAAGGGUUAUGCAUGAAUCUUGCAAGCAGGCAGGCAGAGAACAUGAUAUCUGGCCUGGUUGCAGUAAGGUACAGCAGGCUGCCUACAAUUUUUCUGAACAAACUUUCAUCUGCAGCAUCACUUCCAUCCUCUCUUUUCAAUUUAUCAGUAGCCACUAAUGGAGUGCUUACUGACUUGCAGUCUUUGAGUCCAAACUUAUCCAAGAGAGUGAGAGCAUACUUCUUUUGAUGAAUGAAGAUGCUCCCUUCAGUUUGUGUUACUCCCAUACCAAGAAAAUGGUGGAGUAAACCCAAAUCAGACAUCUCAUACUUGCACAUCAUUUCAGCUUUGAAUUCUUUCAUCAUUUCAUCUCUACUUCCUGUGUACACUACGUCAUCUACAUAGAUUGACACUAUUAGUGUUCCCACCUUCCUUUGUUCUCACAUAGAGAGUGGCUUCACUUGGACUUCUGUGAAAACCACACUGAUUCGAGUAGGUGUCAAUUUCACUAUACCAGGCCCUUGGAGCCUGCUUCAACCCAUAGAGGGCUUUUCUUAACCUAUACACCUUAUCCUCAUCAUCUUUAACCACAAAACCAUCCGGUUGAUCAAUAUAAACUUCUUCUUCAAGGACACCAUUUAGGAAGGCUGACUUGACAUCCAAUUGCCAUAGUUUCCAGCCUUUCUGAGCAGCAAGAGCUAUGAGAGUUCUAAUGGUGUCUAACCUUGCUACAGGAGCAAAGGUUUCAUUGAAAUCAAUCCCUGGUUUUUGUGUGUAUCCCUUGGCAACAAGUCUUGCUUUAUGUUUUUGAAUGGAGCCAUCAAGAUUAAGCUUAAUUUUGAAUAUCCACUUCACUCCCACAAUUGGUUUACUACUUGGCCUGUCAACCAAUUCCCAACUGGAGUUUUUCUCUAUCAUAAGUAUCUCCUCAGUCAUAGCCUUCCCCCAAGCUUCAUCUUUGACUGCUUCUUCAAAAUUUUCAGGUUCAAUGAUGCUCAUCUUGCAUUGAGCAUACACUUCACUCAAACUCUUCCAUUUCUUUGGGGUGUUAUCAUAAGUUUCUAAUGGAGCAGAGUCUUGAGUAGCAUGCACAUCAUUACUUGUUUGUGUUUCCAUAGGAGACUGUACAAUCUGUUGCUGUAACAGAUUUGGUUAUGAAUCCAAAUCUGAUACAAUUGAACUUACUCCAUCACCCCAAGACAUAGGGAUUUGCAAUGCCUCAUUGGUUUCCCAAUUCCACAUUGCUUCUUCAUCAAAAAUAACACUCCUAGACAGCUCAAUCUUUUGAGUUCUCAAGUUGAGCACUCUAUACCCCUUUUCACAUACACCAUAUCUUACAAAUACUCCCUUCUCACCUGUGUCUUCCAGCUUGUGCCUUUUCUGUGUGGGGAUGUGAAUAUAGCAUAGAGAACCAAAUAUUCUCAAAUGCUUGACACCUGGUUUUCUUCCACCGAACUUUUCAAAUGGAGUGGAAUUGUCCAGUGCACUUGUAGGACAUCUGUUCUGCAAAUAUACAGCUGUAUUGACAGCUUCUGCCCAAAACUUCAAAGGGAUUUUCUUCUCAUACAUCAUGGCUCUUGCCAUUUCCAUCACAGUACGAUUCUUUCUCUCUGUAACUCCAUUCUGUUGUGGAGAGUAGCCUACUGNNNNNNNNNNNNNNNNNNNNNNNNNNNNNNNNNNNNNNNNNNNNNNNNNNNNNNNNNNNNNNNNNNNNNNNNNNNNNNNNNNNNNNNNNNNNNNNNNNNNNNNNNNNNNNNNNNNNNNNNNNNNNNNNNNNNNNNNNNNNNNNNNNNNNNNNNNNNNNNNNNNNNNNNNNNNNNNNNNNNNNNNNNNGGUGUGGUCAUCAAUGAAGGUGAGGAAAUAUCUGUUCCCUCCAAGAGUGAUGGUCUGCAUUGGACCACAAAUGUCUGAGUGAAUCAGUUCUAGAGGUUGAGUGGCUCUCCAAGCUCCUUCCUUAUCAAAAGAGCUUCUGUGAUUCUUGCUUUCAGCACAACCUGAGCAGACCUUCUCAUGUUCUUGUAAAUUAGGCAUUCCCUGAACCAUAUCUCUCUCUUGUAACAACUUCAAACUAAUAUAGUUUAGGUGCCCAAAUCUUCUGUGCCACAGCCAGGAUGUUUCUCCAACUGUUGCUCUGUUUGCCAUAGGAGGAUUAACAUAGUCAAGAUUUAAAGGAAAACAUUUGUUUCCCUUCAUUGGCACUCUUGCAAUGCAAUCUUCCAACUGCCUAUCUCCAUAGAUAUCAACUGCAUUAUCACCAAAUACAAGCCAAUGCCCAUGUUCUAUCAUUUGACCUACACUUAGCAAAUUUUCAUCUAAACUUGGUACAAUCAUGAUUUCUUUGAUAUAUCUAGUCACACCCUUCAUUUCUAUAGCCAAAGUCCCUUUGCCUAUUAACUGCACUAGAUCACCAGUCCCCAUUUUGACUUUACUCUUCAUACUUUUAUCAACAUUUACAAGUAAUGACUCAUGGGAAGUCAUGUGAUUGCUGCAUGCACUAUCAACAUACCACAUAUUCACAUUCUUUCCAAUUGUUGCAGCAUGACAUGCAUAGAACAUAAUGGCAGGUUCAGUUACCUGAUUUGCAAUGUUAGCAAGUUUCCCUGCCUUGUUUGCUUGGUCACAGUCCUUAACAAAAUGACCAAAUCGAUUGCAGCCAUGACACUUUGGUUUUCCUUUAAACCAACACUCACCAUAGUGUAACUUCUCACAAUGUUUGCAUUUUCCAGAUUUGUCUCCUUGACUUGGUUUUCCCCCUUGAUUGGCACUGUUUUGGGGUUUAGAAUCCCAUUUCUUAUCCUUGGACUUCCAAUUCUUCUUUGAUUUAUUAGAGCCAGAACUAGAACUUGAUUGAGAUCCUUUUGAGUUUAUGCUCAUGCUGCUGAAAGCUUUCUCAGUGGUGCUUUCUGCAUGUCUGUCAAGGCGCUGAGCAAAACCUCUUAAUGCUGCAAUUACCUCCUGCACUUCAAUGGUUUCAAUGUCUCUAGUUUGCUCAAUCACAUAGCAGACUGGAUCAAAUUCCUUGGUUAAGCUUAUUAGCAGUUUUUGAACUAUCCUCCCUUUGGUCAGAUCUUCCCCAUAUCCCUUCAUCUGAUUUACAAGCUCAAGUAACCGAGUGAUGUAUCCAGACAAGAUCUCAUCAUCCUUCAUCCUGGUGUACUCAAAAUCUCGACGCAGACCCUGCAACAUGAUGGAUCUGACUUGCUUAUCACCAUGAAACUCCUGAUGCAAGAUAUCCCAAACACCUUUUGAGGUUUCUUCAUUUGAGAUUCUGGGAAAGAUGUCAUCUGAAACAGCACCUUGGAUAAUACCAAGAGCCUUAGCAUCUUUCAUCAACAAGGACACCAUCUCUGAAUCUGAUGACCCUUCUUUAUCAGCUUUUGAAUCUGGAACUUGAAGGCCUUUCUCAACCAAAUUCCAGAUUCCAUGAGAUUUGAAAAUUGUUCUCAUUCGAAUCUUCCAAAACUCAUAGUUCUCCCCAUUGAAUAUUGGAGCUCUAAGAUCACUCCCUCCUGACCCAGCCAUCUGAGACCAGACUCAAUGAGUUGAGAGUAGGAAAUUUCCCGUUGGAUUUCCAGACUCAGCUCCCACAGCUUCAACGCCCUCUAUCCAGAUCCAACCUGCGCACCUGAUACCAUGUUGAAUAUUUGGAUUGCAAAGGGAGCAAGAAAUGUACUGAGAGAGAGAGAGAGAGAGAGAGAGAGAGAGAGAGAGCAGUGAGCCUUAGAUUGUUCUAACAGUUUUCUUACUCUGCAUGAACAUAGCAGCAGAGCUUAUAUUCCUUCAUGACUGUUACAUGUUCUCUCUUACAUCAGUAGAUUCAAAUCUAACGGUUUGUAAUAGUAAGCCAAUGUGAGUAUGACACAUGGCAAUACACAGCUGUCCUAACAGCUGGGAAUUCAAAACAGACUCUAGCAUUGCACCUGGCAUAUAAGCACAAGGCACUCAGCUAACACAAAGAUUAAAAACAGAUUGAAUAUAAACUGACAUAGAACUUACUAACUAAUCUGAAAUUAGCUAGACAGUUCACAUUUUAACAUUCUUAUGGUCGGCAGGGACAAGAAUUCCAGGGCUGCUCAACUUGAAUACACCUGAUGAACCAGUGAGGGGUGUGUUUCUUUUAGUCUGCACUAUAUAUGCAGGGUCUGACUCUAAUUAGAAGAUAAUUGUAUUAAUUUGGUAAAGCUUUGUCUGUAACUGUCUCGCACCUUAAAAAAAUUUCACAAUUAGCAGCAUUGGCAAUACUUGAUUAGAAAGCAGAAACCCUACAGUAUAUAGUUAAGUUGAGUAGCUGGGAAGACAAUUAGUAAGCUUUCAAUACUAAAGUUGAAUAUUGGGGAGACAAAUUACUAGAGCUUCAAGUUCAGAUAAAUAGGAUGAAUUUCUCUUAAGGGAUCCCCUUUCACUGUAGCUUGGAGUAGAAUUCAUUUUGACACAAUAUCAAUUAUCAAUGUAAACACGUUACUGAUGCACUAUUGACAAUAUCGAUGCACGUCAUAUCAUAUUUGUGGGAGUAAAUUUCCUCACGAGAAUAUUUGGUUCAAAAGAUUCCCCUUUUUUUUUUUUUUGCCGCCUCUUUCUCCUUGCAAAAUAGAACAAAUAAGAGGACCACACCCGGGGGGUGUUGGCCAAAGGCCCUCCGAUGCUAAAUUAGUUCAAGUAUUUGUAAGAAAAAUACUAGCUAACUAGGGUACAGAGGUGUAUUUAAGGUGUAAACCGGGCAGCCGAAGUCUUAUGUAAAAGAGAGAGAGAAAGGAGGUGGCUAGCGUUUGAGAGGAAUUUUCUGCAGAGUUUUUAGUAGAGAUUUCAGACGUACCUCAACCAUUGUGUGUGGCCAUCUUUUUAUAGUGGUCUUGGAGGCUAGGGUUUCAGAGGAAUAAUUCCGUAGAUGGAAAGGAAUUAUUCCUCCCCUAUUUGGAAUUGAUUUGAUUAAUUAGGGAUUUGAUUUAUUAGGGUAAAUCAAAUCCCUAAUUGUGGUAGGUAUCAAAUCAAAUCCUUUUUUAAUUAGGUAACUCCUCAUUUAAUUGGGAAUUGUGGUAGGAAUCAAAUCAAUUCUCAACCUAAUUAGGUAACGUUCAAUUUAAUUGGGUAAUUCCCAAUUAAAUUGAGUAACUCCCAAUUAGGUUGAUUAAUUCCCAAUUAGAUCAAAUAAUCCCCUAAUUGAAGGAAUUAUUUGACCUAGGGUCUGAUUUAAUUCGAUUCCCACAAAUGCCCCCCAGCUUCUGCAUGGUGCAUGGUGGCACGUAGGAGAUGUAAAUUAUCUGUUGGGCUGUCCAGCUGUAACUGGGCUUCCUUCGUGGACCUGGGCUCCCGAGUAGAGGAGGUGUUUGACUUGCCAAUUUUAUGAACACCCAAUUGGAAAGGGUUUGAGAUUCCUUGUAGGUCAAGGAAUUUUGCUCCUUAUAAAUGUAGGGCUCCUCCAAAUUAUUCUCGACAUCAGAAAUCUACUCCUCCAAAUUUGUUAGUGAGAGAGAGAAGACUUUGGAGAAUUUUUCAGCGUGCUUGAGACUUCAUCUUUGCAGCCCAUCCAAGGUAAUUUGAUAGGAAGAAUUUUAUUUUGAGUUGCUAUGACUUUUGGCAGCAAGCUGUGAGACUAAGGGCAUGUCUUGAGGUGCGCGCUAGGGCUUUAGGCAUGGCAAGAGACUCGGAAAGGCUAGCAGGUUCGUUUCCACCUACGCUGGGCUCAAGGAGAAGGCAACAGGGCUUCAGGCCUUGUGGAUGAAGUGGGCUUUCGCUGGGAGCAAGAGGCCUGGAGCUGAGGCAAGGAGACAAUGGGCCUGGUACGAGGUGUGGGCUGAGCAUGCCAGCUUUGGAGCAAGGGGGCCAGGACGACUGCUGGGCAGGAGGUGCGCUGGGCUGCAUGCGCGAGCUGCGCCGAGUGCUGGCUGGAGGAGCGAGCUGGGCUGCGCGCUAGGCCAUUCAUGCUGGGCUACUUCCGUUUUUUUUUUGUUUUUUUUUAAAUUUUAUUUGCUGUUGCUGCUUUUUUUUUUGUUUUUUUGUUUUUUUUUUGUUUGGUAUUCUAACUCGUAAUUUUUUUUUUCUUCUUACAGCUACUUGUUGAUCAACCAUGUCUUCCGGAGAUGGUAGCAAGGCUCCAAGCUCUUAGGUCCUUUUGUAUUUAUGGGGAGGCUCCAUAGUGCAUGGCAAGAAGUUUGUGGUCAACUUGCAUCGCGUCACGACUUAUGCUCAGUUCCAGAAGUGGCGGGCCACUUAUGCGUCUGCCAUUCCAGAUGACGUGCUGGUCAAGCUAUUGAAAUCUCAAACUGAUAACGAGCCUUUGGUGGACGUGAGUGAUCAUGAUGCUAGGAUCAUUACCUUCCGUCCUUUUUACUUCUCUUUAGGCUUCAAAUUCCCGUUGUCAAAGCUCUUCAAGAAGGUGUUCUGUGCCAUGGGGUGUGCUCCGAGCCACUGUACUCAUGUGCUUCAAGAAUUUGAGUCGUUUCUUCAUGUUGGAGCUGACGAUGCGAGAGUUCUUUUAUUUUUUUCGAAGUGAGGCACUUUGAGCGGUACGCCCAAGUUCGUAUCUACAAGGCCAAGCUGUUCCACGGUCUCAGUCAAGGAGAUCACGCUUGACAUGAAGAUGUGUUGGAGGUCAGCAGACGGUGGGAGGGUGACGUCGGUGACGGCCCACCUGUUCCCAUCACCUAUUGUGAUGGUAUGUCUCUUUACGAUUUUUGAUAUGCUCCUUUUAUUUGAAUUUCUUGAAGUGUGGCAGACUAACUUCUAUCUUCUGCUCGUAGUGAGUGACAUUAGCAAGCAAUUGGAGCUCCGACCAGACAUGGCUAAGGUCCGUCGUGCUUUGAACAUCCCUCUAAGGUUUCACGAGUGGCGCUGGCUGUUGAGUGAGUACCGGGAGGAAGACGGUGGUUUUCUCCUUGCCGAGGAUGUCGAAAGGUGGAAGCAGAACGAUCCUGACCCUGAUGAUCUGCUUGGCAGACAGGAAGAAUGUUCUGCUUAAUCGCUCUUAAAGAGAAAGGCUGCUGCCAAAUCUUUGAGAUGUGAAGCUACUUCUUCGCAUGCAAAGGAUGGGUCUCCAUCGAGGAAGAAACCAAGGCUCCCUUCUGCUGAGAAGACUCAAGUGGGGUCUGCUCCCUCAUCAUCUGCCAGGGUUAAGCAUCUCGUGGGUGCAGAUAGCAAGAAGGUUGGUGGUAUGCAUGGUACUCGGGGUGUUCUGCCCAAGCUUCCUGCUGACACGCUCGAAAACCAUGAUAUACUUCGUGAAGUGGCUCGUGCCCAACCUAGUUCUGCCAAGCGUCAAAGAGAUGUAGACAUUCCUCCUAGAAGUUCGAGUUGUCUGCAUCGGUCAAAAGAUGGAGACCGAAGCGGGAGGUCUGCUUAUGAUCCAGCAUUAUUGACUCAUUUGGAGAUGAGGUUGGCGAAGGCUAAGAAGGUGAAAGAGUCAUCUGCCCGGGUUAAGGGUUCUUCCUCGGCGUUGGUAGUUGGUCCCAAGAUGAACAAGUCUAGCUCUGUAGGGGAUGCAUGCGUAUCUGAUCUGCUCAAGAUGAACUUCCUAUCAAACCCGUCCUCUUGUGUUGAGUUGGUUGAUCACAUCCCUCAAGCGGGCGAUCUAGGCACUUUCUCGUGCCUUUCCUUAGAAAAAUGAAGGAAAAUGACAUUCCAUCUGAUUCAAAAAGGACUGGUUUUUGCUACUGAGACUAUUUGGAACUCAUCUGCUAUUGCCCCUCUUCUGUCCAACUCAGCGAGUUGGAGAAGAAGAAUGCUGAUUGGCUAGACAGCUUUCCGCCGAGCAGGCCCGUUACGAGAAGAAGAUGUCUGAUUUGAGGGCGAUGAUAUCUGAGCUGAAAAGCUCCCUUACCGAGAAGGAUUUCGAGCUCAACUCUUCUGCUGCUGAUUUGGCUAGUCGAAAAGAUACCUUCUUUCGUCUUGAGCAUAAGAAUGCUGACAUCUUCCUUAGCUAUAACAAACUCCUGGCUAGAUUUCAUGCCUACCAUAAGUCUGCUAAAGAAUCCAAGACAGAUGGAGCUGCUGAAGGCGUAGCCGGUCAGGUGGAUGCCGAAGAGGCUGCAGCUUAAAAGUCUUCUGCUGGCGUCUCAGAGUAGAUGAAGACUCUUUUUUGUUUCUUUUCAGCUUUUGUAGUUUGCUUUAUUGUUUAGAAUAACUGGUCUUAUUUGACCAUCUUCUUUUUGUUGAACUUGGCUGGUUGGUCUGUUUGUUAGGGAAAUUUCAGUUACAUUUUCCAACUUCAAUUUGCAUAUUUGACUUGUGAACUGCUUAAGUAACCAGCCUGUGUUUUGAUUGCACAUCCCCCUUUAGAGAUUUGUGAGUACCAGGGUCCCCCUUGGAGGACUCCGGCCAUGCACAGUAUAUCUCGUAGGAUGGUUCCCCUUAGGAAGUUGGCGAGUACCAGGGUCCUCUUUGAGAGACUCCGGGUGUGUUCUGCACAUCCCGUAUGAUGCCUUAAUCGUCGCCUUGCUUCUCCCGUAGGACGCUGCUUAUAGGCAACUAUAUGACUAUCCUGCCUUUCUUAGGAAACGGAUAGGAACCUGGAUAUUUCCCGCAUGAAGCAUGGAGACCUCCUUUUAAGAAAUUUUUGGUGCACCAUGCUUCUCCCUUAGGACGCUUUUUUCGCAGGCUGGGUCUCCAAAUGGACGCUUUUAGUCGUUGCCCUGCGUCUCCCUUAGGACGCUCCUUAUGGGCAACUGUGUGACUAUCCUGCCUCCCUUAGGAAAUGGAUAAGACUUGAAUAUUUCCCGCAGUAAGCAUGGCGACCCCCUUUUAAGAAACUCCUGGCGUACCCUGCAUCUCCCUUAGGAUGCUUUUUAAGAGGGCUGCUUCUCCAAACGGACGCUUUUAGUCGUUGCCUAUGUCUCCCCUAGGAUGCUCCUUAUGGGCAACUGUGUGACUAUCCUGCCUCCCUUAGGAAACAGAUAGGAAACUAGAUAUCUCCCUUAGGAAAUUCCUAGCGCACCUUGCGUCUCCCGAAGGACGCUUUUUUAGCUGGCUACGUCCCGAAACGGACACUUUUAGUCGUCGCCCUGCGUCUCCCUUAGAAUGCGCCUUAUAGGCAACUGUGUGACUAUCCUGCCUCCCUUAGGAAACGGAUAGGAACCUGGAUAUCUCUCUUAGGAAAUUCCUGGGGCACCUUGCGUCUCCCGAAGGACGCUGCUUAUGGGAAAAUAUUGUGUUUCGUGGGCAGAUGAGACAUUUUGGAAUGAGAAACUGAACUUAUAUUGAUAUUCAUAAGAUUACAGUCCUUUAUUUGAAAAUGGAAAUAACUUGGUUCAAAAACUUAGAACUUCUAGCAGCUACGAGGAAGCACUAUGGAUAAUACUUUCGGAGAUGGUGAGCAUUCCAUUGUCGUGGUAUUUCCUUCCUAUCCAUGGUGUCCAGUGUGUUGCUUCCUCUGCCCCGGACCUGCUGAUCACAUAAACGCCCUCCCAGUUAGGAUUCACUUUUUUUGACCCGUGUCUUGGUGCAGUAAUGAAAGCCUUAGCACGAGGUCGCCUGGUUGAAACUGUUUGACCUUAGCUCUUUUGUCGUAGUAAGACUUCAACUGCUAGUGAUAGGAGGCGACCCGAAUAAUGGUCUUCUCACGCCUGCCCUCAAGUAAGUUGAGGUUGAGCCUCAUCUGCUCGGAGUUCUGAUCAACACUGCCUACCUUAAGACUUAUAGAGAGGACAGUGAUGUGAGGUGGUAUGAUCACUUCUGUUCCAUAGGCGAGAGAGAAUGGGGUUUCACCAGUCGAUCUUCGCUUGGUGGUGUGAUAAACCCAUGGUACUCUGGGGAGUUCAUCCACUCAUUUCCCUUCAGCGCCUUCCAGCCUUUUCUUUAAGCAGUCCAAUAUGACUUUGUUGGAUGCCUUGGCUUGUCCAUUUCCUUGUGGAUACCUCGGGGUGGACAAGUGUUGUUUGAUCUUGUAUUUCACAAAAAAAGCGGUGAUCUGCUUGCCAAUGAACUGUGAGCCAUUGUCGGUAACCAACGACUGUGGGCAGCCAAACCGGCAUAUGAUGUUUCUCCAGAUGAAUCACUCCACAUCGGCUUCUUUAGUAAAUGAUAGAGCUUCGGCCUCGAUUCAUUUAGUAAAGUAGUCGGUGGGGACGAUCAUCAUUUCUUUCUUGGCGGGCGCUAGUGGCAAGGGAUCCACUAGGUCGAUGGCCCAUUGCAUGAACAGCCAUGGACUGUUUUGCGGAUGAUAGACUUCGGCAGGCAAGUUAGGGAUCGGCUUGUAUUGCUGACAGCGUCACAUUUCUUGGCACAUUCAGCACAGUCGUGACGUAUGGUAGGCCAGAAGUAGCCUAUGUUUAGAACUUUCUGGGCGAGUGACCUGCCCCAGAAUGGUUGCCAUACUCGUCGUCGUGAAUUUUACAGAUAAUCUCAAGUGUUUGAUGGUACUUUAUGCAGGUGAGAUGAAGGCCGGAGUAUGAUCUGUGGAUGAGCUUGUUGCCGUGCAUGUAGUAUCUCUCGGCCUUUUGCUGGACUUUUCUAGCUUCGGACUUGUCCGUUGGCAGGUUUCCAUUCGUGAAAUAGUCGAUGAUGAGGUCUUGCUAGCUGGGGUCCUCGUCAAUCUGCAUGGUAUUAAUCGGCUCUAUUUCUUCAAUGCUUGGUCGGUCAAGGUGUUCGACCUAGAUGGAGUGUUUGAACUGGGUAUCCAGCGUUGAACCUUGGCUUGCCAGUGCGUCUGCAUGCGCGUUCUUUGCCCGGGACACUUGUUGGAUAGUGAAGGUAGGAAAUGCCUUCAACAGCUCUUGGACUCUAUCAAGGUAUAAGAUCAUCCUUGGGUGCUUUGCCAUAUAUUCACCUGAGGCUUGAUUCGUGAUCAACUGUGAGUUUGAGUAGAUGGCUAGCUUUUUGAUUGCGAGCUCCUUUGCCAAGCGUAAGUCGGCGAGUAAUGCCUCGUAUUCUACCUCGUUGUUCGAGACCGAGAAGCCAAGCGUAAUAGCUUGCUCUAACAGGGUUCUAUCCAGGGUGGUGAUAACGACCCCUGCUCCAGCUCCUUUUUGGUUCGACGCUCCGUCUACACGCAACUGCCACAUGUCUCUGGGAUGGCUUGGUUCUGCGGAGGUCCUGUCUGCUUUUGAACUUCCCUCCUUUUGGUUGACUAACUUCUCUUUUUUGGCUGAUGGGGUGAAUUCUGCGACGAAGUAUGCUAAAGCCUGGGCUUUUAUUGCAGUUUUUGGCCCGUAGAGGAGGUCAUAUUGGCUUAGCUCUAUAGCCCACUUCAUGAGUCGCUGAGAAGCAUCAGGGCUGUGGAGGAUUGAUCUCAAAAGAAAGUCAGUCAUGACUAUGACUCGAUGAGCUUAGUAGUAGGGUCGCAGCUUUCUCGCAGAAACUACAAGAGCCAAAAUAAGUUUCUCCAAUUUCGGGUAACGAGUCUCUGCAUCGAGGAGAGCUUUUGACGUGUAGAAUACCGGAUAUUGGGCCCCUAUCUCUUCUCGGAUGAGAGCUGAACUGACAGCUGAGUUGGACUUACCUCACUAGGGACUGGAUUUGAGAGCAUGGAAGGUGAGGUGAGGUAAGUCUUCAGAUUAUGGAAAGCUACUUUGCAGUCCUCAUCCCAUUUCUCUCUUUGUCCUUUCUUCAAAGCUUUGAAGAGUGGUCUGCACUUGUCGGUUGAUCUCGAGAGGAAUCGGUUGAGAACCGCUGCUUUGUCCGUCAGACUUUAUAUCUCUUUCACCGUGGAAGGCGACUUCAUCUCUAGAAUGGCUUUGAUUUGACGUGGAUGUGCCUCGACACCUCGUUGCGUGGCUAGGUAUCCCAAGAAUCGGCCGGAGGAUACACCAAACAGGCAUUUACUUGGAUUCAACUUCAUGCGAUACUGGCGGAGCAAGCUGAAUGAUUGGGUAAGACUUCCGAUGUGAUCUGCACGUUUUGGGGCUUUGACCAGCAUGUCAUCCACGUAGACCUUCAUAGUUUUGCCGAUCUGCUUAUUGAAGAUUUUAUUCCCGAGCCUUUGAUAGGUUGCUUUGGCGUUCUUCAGCCCAAAGGGCAUGACCUUAUAGCAGCAGGUCCCUCUCUCGAUGAUGAAAAAAGUUUUUGCCUUGUCAUCCUCGUGCAUCAGGAUUUGUUUAUAGCUGGACUAGGCGUCCAUGAAGCUAAGCAGUUGAUUGCCAGAAGUGGAAUCCACGAGUUGGUCGAUUCUCGGCAAUGAGAAGUUGUCUUUAGGGCAUGCUUUGUUGAGGUCUGUGUAAUCGACACAAACUCUCCAUUUGCCAUUUUCUUGUUUUGCCACCAAAACAACGUUGGCAAGCCACUCUGAGUAGGAGGCCUCUUCGAUGAAGCCGACAGCUAGGAGUUUGUCAAUCUCGGCCUCGAUGAUAGCAAGUCGCUGGGGUGCGAAGUUGCGUCUCUUCUGCGCCACUGGCUUGCAGGCAGGGUUGAAGUGGAGUCAGUGACAGAUGAUGUUCUUGUCGAUGCCAGACUUGUCUGACGGCAACCAUGCGAACAUGUCUCUGUUGCUCUGGAGGAAGGUGGUAAGCUCCACAUUCUCUUCUGGCCUUAGGCGCGAACCGAUCCACUCUUUCCUAUCUGGUUGGUCAGGAUCCAAGGGUAUUAACUCGACGUCCUCCUUGGGUUUCCAUCCUUCUUCAGGAAAGACCUAUGGACGGAUUUCCUCGACUUGGUCCUGACGCUUUAAUUGCUAUAAGAUAGCAAGAUCCAGUUGCUCAACCUCCUCCAGAUCUGCCUGGCUCACAGGGAGAAACUGCGCUUGUUUACCUUUCUUUAGCCCUUGGGCGGAGCAUUUCCUCGCCAUUGCCUAAUCGUUGUUGAUUUGGCCGACACCGCCCCCAAGGAUUGGGUACCGAAUUUUCUAAUGUGUGGCGGAGGUGAUUGCAUUAAUUUUGCCAAUCGAUGGUCUGCCCAGAAUGCCGUUGUAGGGUAAGACCUUAUUAAUGACCAUGAAGGUUAUGAGCUGAUUAUAAGUGGGGAGUAGACGUCGAGGUCUAUCAUGCCCACGGUAACCGUUGUUGCACCAUUAAAAUCGCUCAGCAACCUAGCUAAUUUGUAAAUCUUUGUCUCCAAUCCCAUCUGUUGAAUGACCUCCAGUUGCAGGAUAUUGGCUGCGCUGCCCUCGUCUGUGUGGAUUCAGUCUACCAUGACCUGAGCAAUUUGAAUGCUGAUGACAAGGGCUUCGUUAUGUGGCAUGUAGAGGCCGAUCAGAUCUUUCUUUUGGAAGCCGAUUACAGGAUCGUCUUCUGCUGGUGGAAGGUCGGUCGAGAUUUGGGAGAUCACAGUGGUCUGUUUGAUCUUCCUCUUUUUUUCCUUUCUGGUCAGCCCAGACUCCUCGGAGUCAGCUAGGAUUGUGUUAAUUCUUAUGACCUUCUGAGGCGGCUCCUUGGCGAUGUCACGAUCUUCUAUCCGCUGGAUGACCUUCUUUGCAAUGAAUUCUGUGCAGUGACCUUCUCUCACGAGUUCUUCAAGAUGUGCUUUCCAAGCGAAGCAGUUGUUCAUAGUGUGUCCGUGCAUUUCAUGGACGGCACAGUAUUUGCUAGUAUUCCUUUUGUCCGGAUCUUCUUUCAAGGGUGGUGGUCUUCUUACCCAAGGUUGUUCUUCACUUGGGCUAAGAUUUGAUGUAUGGAGAUGGUGAACUUGGUGUAGUUCUCUCCUGCCGUAGCAUCCCCUUAUGGGUGCGACCUGCGCUUGUCCUUGUCCCUGUUGCUAAAUCCGUCGCUUCUUUGGCCUGCCCCCUUAGUCGGCUGAUCUUCCUGCUUAGUAGAGUUCUUUGCGGCGAUUCGAUCGUCAUCCCAAAGCGCAUAGCUUUCCGCGGUCUCGUAGACCUCUGCCAAAGUUUGGCUGGGAGUGAUGGUCAGCUCGUGGUACAAGUCGUGCUCAGUCGAAAGGUCUUUCUUGAAAGCAGAGGACGCAAUUUGGUCAUCACAUCCUACAAUGUUGGCCUUUUCUACUUUGAAUCUCUUGAUGUAAUCUCUAAAGGAUUCGUCGAACUUCUUGCGCAGGUUAUACAGGUGGUCAGGGUUCUUCUUGAUUGUUCGGUAAGAGGUGUAUUCUUUGGUGAAUAAGUAAGUCAGCUCCUUGAAGCUGCUGAUCGACCUGGAUGGCAGAGUAUGGAACGAGUCUUGGGCUUCCUCACAAGGUCAUUGCAAACACCUUGCACAUCAGCGCGUCGUCAACCUUGUGGAGGAUCAUGACACUUUUGAAGUGUUUUAGAUGGCUCUCAGGAUCGGAAUCCCCCUUGAAGUGUGUGAAUGUGGGCGUUGAGAAUCGCUUCAGGAGAGCAGCCUGCUCGAUUUUGGCAGUGAAAGGUGUAGAGUAUGCCUGGUCUACCUCAUUUCGUACAUCUUCGAAAUUUCCACCGGUCUUCAAGUCUCGAAGUUGGUCAUUCACAAGCUUCUCUACGUCUUCCGCACACAUUGCUUGUCGGCCACAUUGGCGACCUUCACGAAUUGUUCGAUGCUGACUGACUUCCUCGUUGAUUUCCGAGGAUCGACCUUCUUGUCUGCAUUGCCUAGGUGGAGUGUUGGUGGAUUGCGCCUACGAAAGAUUCUCUGUGGCUUGUCAAUGAGAAUCGGUUCUUCGAGAGUGAGUAACGAAGUGCCUUUCCUCAUGGUCCUUAUUGUGAGGGUUAUCCAGCUGACCUCCCUGGGGCCUAGCCUUUCCUGAAUGCUUCUCUGCGAGUAGACAGUUGAAUGCUUUUCUUCACGAUCCUCGUUGUGAUGGUUGUUUGGCUGACCUCCUUAGGGUCUUAGCCUUUGAUGUACAUUUCCCUGCCUGCCCAAGUAGGUGCGGACGUCGAGUCGUGGGCCCAGCCUUUCGUGCACGUCGUUCCUUAAACUCAAUCUGCUCUGAGUGUGGCUUGCAGAUGCUUGCGACAUGUCGGCAGGUCGAUCACGUUGUUGUCCCUCGACUUGUCUGCCCACUCUUGCUUGACCUGCUUGGUACUCGUUGAGCUGUCUACCGGCCCGUUCAUCCUUCCUUCUUUCCUCGCCUGGUUGUCCAAGGCCAAGGUUUUGAGCAAAGCUUAUUUGGUUGAGGAGCUGCCUCAUUAGAUUGUUUUGGUCGUCCAUUCUUUAAGCUAGCUGGUCAACUCUCAGAUUAAGGUCUGCUUGAUUUCAUGGAUCAGGAGGAGAGAAGUGUGUGGAGCUCAACUGCACAUAGGCUAGGGUUUCAUUAGAGGUGUAUGCGGGAGCGUGUGUCGAGCGUGGAGGCAAUAGAGGGAAUGCUUGGAGUUGCUCCAAGACCGGCCCUAGGUCGGCGGUGGUAACGAGUCCACCUUGAUGGGAAGUUCCACCAUGUUUGGCGGCAGUGACCGAUGCAGUGGUGAGAGGUGGUGGUGCCACCAUGUCGAUCGCGGGAUCGUUGGUGGAGUGGCUUUGGGCCGUCGCAAAUCUAGCCAUCAUGGCGGCUUUGCCUCUCGUGUUCAUGCUUCCAACCAUGGUUGUUUGGAAGGCUUAGGUGGAUUGGAAAAUUAGAGGAACGGAUUCCUUGAGCACGCAUUGAGUAUAACUCGUGCUCUCAAUGAAAGCACCAAUUUGUGGGAGCAAAUUUCCCCACGAGAAUAUUCGGUUCGAAAGAUUCCCCUUUCUUAUUCGCCGCCUCUUUCUCCUCGCAAAAUAGAACAAAUAAGAGGACCACACCCGAGGGGUGUUGGCCAAAGGCCCUCCGAUGCCUAAAUUAGUUCAAGUAUUUGUAAGAAAAACACUAGCUAACUAGGGUAUGGAGAUGUGUUUAAGGUGUAAACCGGGCGGCCGGAACCUUAUGUAAAAGAGAGAGAGAAAUGAGGUGGCUAGGGUUUGAGAGGAAUUUUCUGCAGAGUUUUUAGUAGAGAUUUCAGACGUACCUCAACCAUUGUGUGUGGCCAUCUUUUUAUAGUGGUCUUGGAGGCUAGAGUUUCAGAGAAAUAAUUUCGUAGAUGGAAAGGAAUUAUUCCUCCCCUAUUUAGAAUUGAUUUGAUUAAUUACGGAUUUGAUUUAUUAGGGUAAAUCAAAUCCCUAAUUGUGGUAAGUAUCAAAUCAAAUCCUUUUUUAAUUAGGUAACUGCUCAUUUAAUUGACAAUUGUGGUAGGAAUCAAAUCAAUUCUCAACCUAAUUGGUAACGUUCAAUUUAAUUGGGUAAUUCCCAAUUAAAUUGAGUAACUCCCAAUUAGGUUGAUUAAUUCACACUUAGAUCAAAUAAUCCCCAAAUGGAAAGAAUUAUUUGACCUAAGGUAUGAUUUAAUUCGAUUCCCACAAUAUUUAGAUGCAUAAUUGAAUGCGAAUAAACAUCACUCUCUCCAGUGUGAAAUGGCGAAAAUUCUCUUCAAUCAAAAGUGGGCUUACUUCAAAUUUAGUUGAAGAAUGAUGGUGUGUCUUGCCUGACAAUUGACAAUUAGGUUUAGGAGCGUUCCUCUAGUAGAAAAAUCUAAAUCAUUUGUGGUCAUCCACUCACUUGGUUAGUCUUCCAGAAUCAAAUACCAAAUCAACCCAAAGGAAGCUGCAAUUUUCUGAAUUGUAUACUUGUUUUAAUUCUUCCUAUCUUUUUCUCUCUUUCAUUUUUUUUGUCUCCCUCAAGUUAAUACUUAAGUGAGUUGCCAAAUGGGGGUAAAAAAGAGAGUAGAAGAGAUGAACCCCACAUUUGACUUUAAUAGACAAAUGCCCAAGAGAAGUACCAGUAAGAGCAUCUCCAAUUGGGAGGUGCUAUCCUAUAAUUUGACACACAUUUCUUUUUUCUUUUUUUUCAAUUCUAACAACAUGUCAUCUAUAUCGCAAUAGGCCGUUGUAGUUAAAUUUUCAAAUAACCAAGUUGCUCUCUAUUUUCCAAAGAAGACUAGAAAACAACUUACCAUCUAUCUGGUGCUGCUUCUUCCAAACAUUAGAAAAAACAGAGCUACACCCAGGAGGAGCCCAGGAGAUGACACAAUACUGCCUACUAUGAUUCUUACUUUCUUCACAUUCAAUGAGACUAUAAAAUAUAACCCAAGUGGUCUAACCCCCCAGGGCGGAAAUUGGGUUUAGCAAGUUUAGCACUGAUUGUUGUAUAGUCUUAAACAGUCCUGAUCUCUUGGACCCCUGUAGUCCAAGAGAUUUAUGGUCACCCACCGUUGGAUGUAAAUUCAACGGUUGACUUGAAUCGGGUAAUAAUAAUUUAUGUCAUAUUGCAUUUAUAUAUAUCAUUUUGAACCAUUGGAUUAAUAUCCAACGGUGGGUGACCACAAUCUCUUGGACUCCUGUGGUCCAAGAGAUCGGGACUGUAGUCUUAAAAUAAGUAGUUUAGCGAGUGCAAACUUCGACUUAAAAAAACUCUCAUGUAUAGCCGCGCGGCUAUACUAUUUACAUAUAAAUAUAUAAAAAAGCACCCCCUAGUCACGUGUCACAAAUAGUAUAGUCGAAAACAGUAGAGCCGCGCGGCUAUACUGUUUUUAAAAUAAAAAAAACCAUAUUCGAUUCUCCUUAUAUUUAAAAGGGGUAUAGCCGCAUGGCGAUACUAAUUUUUUUUUUUCAAAAAAAGGGACCCCAGUACUCCUUUUAUAUAUUAUAAUAUAUUGUCUAAUAUUUGGAAUAUUUACUCUAAAAUAAACAAUAUAUUAGGUUCUUUUUGUCUACAAAUUGACCAUUAAACUUCUUAAUCACUCUUAUACUUUCAAUUAAAUCUACUAGGCUAGGUUAUGAUAUUUUCACUAAAAAACUCCUCCUUUUUUUCUUCUCUUUCUCUUCCUGUUUUGUUUAACUUAAGCUUAAGUUUUGUAAUUUUUUUUCCCGCCCUUUUUACAUGUUUGAGUAGGGUACUUUAAUAUUGGGAUUUAUGAACUUUUUUUGUAUUUCUUCUUUAUAUUGGAAUAUAAAUUAUUAACUUUUGAGUCUUUAAUAGUGUAGAUGAUGAGAUUAUUAUUCAACCAUUUUAUAAUAUGAAAUGAAGGACAAUCAUGAUUGUGAUGAAUGGAUUAUUAAUCAAUAUGAAAUGAUAUUAUGAAGUGGGCUAAAUCGAGUAGUUAGUAUCGUAUUGUUGAGACCCAAAAAAUCCAAGGCUAGGCCCAAAUAUAUUAUGAAGUGGGCUAAAUCGAGUAGUUAGUAUCGUAUUGUUGAGACCCAAAAAAUUCAAGGCUAGGCCCAAAUAUAUUUCCGGUCCAAUGCGAUACCUUACCGAGAAGAAACCUUAUUUGGGCACGCGAAAGUUCGUCAUAUGCUCUUGCACACAUGCCAUGCCAAGCAAAUAAGCAACAUGCCACGCUACAAGCUUAAGUGGGCCCAAGCCACGUGAAUGCCUAGGGCCUGCUGAGUGGGUUGUGGUAUGGAUGGUUAUGAGUAUUCACGAGGCCCAUUGAUGGUCUAAGGAGUGGAAGUUUUGGGCUACUUGGGAGCACCAAAACUCAAGCCCAUUCAUUGAGCCCAAACAUAUGGGUAAGCAUGAGAUAAAACCUAGUAGCCCAUCACCUUAAGAAAUCCUAAUAGCCCAUAACAUGUGAGAAAAUCCCACAUCAACCAAAGCUUCCAGCAGUCUGACGAAAUCAAAGGGAACUCACAAGCCGUUGGAAACAAAACAACCCAACACUGUAACACCCCGACCCCAAAUUUCCCCAAAUUUAACCCUUAUUUAAUUAUUUAAGGGUAUUUUAGUCAUAUUUUUAACCGGAGAGAGUUUGGGGCAAUGACUAGUAUUUUUGGAUAGGUCGUACUGAGACGAGUUUAUGGACACGCAGUGAGCUCGAAUCGGAGUUGUAACGAGAGAGAUAUGGUCAAAAGAAGCCCAGUGGCACAAUCGUAAAUAUUUUGAAAUGAGAUUUUUUAUAAAAAUCUGGUUUUCUCUCUCUCUCUCUCUCUCUCUCUCUCUCUCUCUCUCUCUCUCUCUCUCUCGCUAGCGACCUCUCUCUCUCUCCCCCGUCGGUCUCUCCCCUCUUUCUCCUCGUAACUCCGGCCACCGGCCCCGGCUGUGGACGGGGCCGGUACCAAAAUGACCGAGGCGUCGUCCUCUUCCUACCCCAGCCACCUCCCACCGCCAGCCGUCGCGGAUUCGCCGGAAUCUGGAGAUGAAGCGGCCUACGUCGUCCAAAUUUCAAAGCUGCCGAUCUCCCUCCUCCGGCCACCAAUUCCGUCGACCCAGGUAUGGAUUUUGAACUUCUCGAGCUGCUCUAGCUGAUGGUUGGGUAGGAUUAGAUCGAUUCUUAGCUUAGACAACUCGAUUUUCAAAUUGAAAAUCGGCCGAACUUCGGCUGCCGUGAUCGGCCAUUUCCGGCCACUUUUUGGGGUAGGUCCAAGAACAAAAGUGGCUCCAAAUAGGGUGUUAUACCUAGGGUAGGAGUUUGGAGCCGUGGUUUUGAGAUUUUCCGGCGAAGCGUUAUCGCUUUGGGCACCCACGCGCUGCCGGUGCGUGCGGCGGCGCGUGGGCACUGUAGAAAAAGUAGCACUGUGUUCCGAUGAGAUCCUUAGGUUGUCACGAGUGCGUAGGAUUUUGCGGAUCUCAAUUCGGACGUCGUUUGACUAUCGAACGGAUAUUCGCAUAUUGCGCGUUAUUCGGGUUCGAUAGGUUGGGACCGUUGGAUGGACCCAAAUUUAAUAUAUGUUAAUCUAAUUAAUUCUAGGAUCGUGUAGGAAUUCACGGAUUGUGAAUCGGAGCCCCGGAUGUUCCGAAUAAUAAUUUUAAAGUUUGUAUUUUAUAUUAAUUGUCAGAUCGUGCGAUCGUGAGCAAUCUGACCGUUCGAUCUGAACCAAACUUGCAGGACAAGUGUCCUAUACCUUGUAGAACCCAUAGGGACCUUCGGAUCGGAAAUUGGAGGUCGUGGGUUCCGCAAGUCGGUUUGACCAGGGUUAGAGAAGUUUGACCCUUGGUUGACCGUGAGUCUCCCGGAGUAAUCUCACCUUUCUAGGGGAGAUUAUCGGGUACUAGAUGAUUGUGGACACAAUAUUAGAAUUAAUUUAUAUAAUUAUAAUUAUAUAUGGUUGUACAAGGGUACAACAGAGUCUAGAAUGUCAGUUUGGAGUGCUAUACGCACUACUUUAGGUACCUCCCCGGAUGUUGGGAUUUACUACAAGUACCACCAAGUGAAAUUGAGGUCCCGCGUGGCGUAGGUUAUCCAGCGUUGGGAUAGGUCUCAUACGUGGGGUUGGUUGUACCGGCGUAUGGGGAGAUUUGUGAUAUUAUGUUCAGGUCUCACGUGGCGUAGGUUAUCCGGCGUUGAGACAGGCCCCAUACGUGGUGUUGGUUGUACCAGCGUAUGGGGAGCUAUGUGAUAUUGUGUUGAGGUCGCACGUGGCGUAGGUUAUCGGGCGUGUCGACAGACCCCAUACGUGGCGUUGGUUGUACCGGCGUAUGGGGAGAUUUGUGAUAUGAAAUUGAGGUCCCACGUGGCGUAGGUUAUCCGGCGUUGGGACAGGCCCCAUACGUGGCGUUGGUUGUACCGGCGUAUGGGGAAAUAUGUGAUAUGAUGGCAUGGUCGCACGUGGCAUAGGUUAUUCGGCUUGUUGACAGGCCCCAUACGUGGCGUUGGUUGUACCGGCGUAUGGGGAGAUUAUUUGAAAUGCAGAGAAACGAAAUAUGGUAUCGCCCAAAUGUGGAAUUGGGUUUUAGGGAAGAACUACGUGUGGCUUGAUCCCUCAAGGAGGGUACGUAGGCAGCCUAAGGUUAAUAGGUGCAGCCGCAGACUAAAUGUUAGUCAUAAUUGAUAUUUGAAUUGUUUGGUAGUUGGUUAAGAAUUAUUGGAAGGCCGAAGGCCAUUUGUGUGAAUUGCAUGAAAUUAUAUUGUGCAUGCUGCCAGUUGGGAAUAUUAAAUGCGUUUUUAUGCAGGUAUAAAUUUUAGGAAAUGUCCAAUUUAUAGGGGAGACUCUGCCGAAUUUUCGGCAGGAAGUCUCAGUUUUUAGUAUCUGGGCCUGGCAUCGGGAGGAUGUCGGGAAUUCCAAAGGGUCGUCUCGAGUUCUGAAAAAUUCGGUGCGGGUCCUUUCAAACACCUUAUAAAAUAUCCAACGCCGUGCAUCUCUGUUAAAACCAGAUCACAGCCAAACCACCAAAACCAUGCAAACCCAUAUGCUGAUCACCAUUUUUACUAGCACCCUUACCCAUUCUUUCCUCUUCAAGCUUUGGUGAGAAAACAAGAAACAAAAGUGGGCGGAUCUUCACCCACAUGGAGAAAUCCAGCUGCCUGAGGGCCCUGGAACUCCAAAAAACUUCUUACCUACAUGCUCAGGCUAGGGAAGUUUCACCAAAUAAGCAAGAAUGGAAGAAAGUGAAGGAAAAGGGGAAAGGGUGGCUUGACGAAAUUAAGGUUUUCAGCACUUAUAAAAGGAAACACUUUCUAUCCAGCAAAAACAACUCACCCUGGUUGCUGCAAGCCUCCUAGCAACCAUGAGAAUUCAUUGAAGGCAAGCAUCCCCUUUGGAACCCUUCAAUUUCAUGCUUUGUUCUUCCAUCUUCCUCCUUUCUCUCUCUCUCAAAACCCACAUCCAGAGAGAGCAAGCAUCAUCUCUCAUCUUUGGAACCCUUCGAUUUGAAGCCUUGUUCUUCCAUUGCUUCCCAUUUUCUCUUCUGUCAAAUCACCUAGGAGCUUGACGAAACUUUCGUCAAGCUGCUGGAAAUAUGGUAAAGCCACCCAUGCUUCCAUCUUCUUCCUCUCUUUCCAUAAACACACAUCCAAAGAGCAAGCUUCAUCUCUCAUCCUCUAAACCUCUGCAAUUUCAAGCCUCAUUCCUCUAUCUUCUCCCAUUUUCAGCGGUAGUGAGAAUGAUUUCUGCGUGUGCAUGGGAAGGAUUGUAACUCAGAUGAGGAGGAGAUGGUUUGGAGUGGGGUGAGGCAGUUGGAUAGAGCUCUUGGCCUUUUCAAGUUUGGAUGGGAAAGAGCAGGGAUGAAAGAAGCUUUACAACUGCAAGGGCAUAUAUGGUGCGUAGGGGCUGAAGGCAGAACACUUACAUAUAGAGGAAACACAUUUUUUGUCCAUGGGAUUCAUGUUUGACAAACACUUGUCUUAGACUAUGAGUUCAAAUUUCAAAACCUUUUUUUUUUCUUUCUGAAAUCAGGACCAGUGUGGAGAACUAGCAAGGAUUGGAGAAACAGAUUUUUGGGCGUCACUUGACCACAGAUUGUUGAUUGCUCAAAUGUGUAGAAUUGGCCAUCUUAAAUGUCAAAAUGAUUUAUCAAUUGGGGUUUUUUUAGAAACGUUUAUGUUUGUCAAUAGAGACAGAAGUCAGAGAACAUAAACCUUUCUCAGCAAAUUGAAAUUCUCAGUGCAUGCUCUGUUCUUCCAUGGCUUUCAAACCUUCUCUGCCACGGUGAAAUGGAUCGAUAGAGAUAGUUUAGGCCGUUCCAUUUGUUUGAUGAAGCAUUCGUUCUAGGGAUUCUGUAUAUUCAUAACAAAAUCACUAGAAUGAUUCUUAGAAAUUCAUCACUGCUAAAGGCAAUGGGUUCAGCAUAAUAACUUCUUAGUCUUGCUUCUUGGUCCUUUAUUUUCUUUGCAUAAUACUCCAAGUUUACCUGGGUUCUACAGAGAAAAUCUCGUAGAUACCUCUUUUUGUGGUCUUCCAUGGCAUUUAAGUGCUGCUUUCCAUGGUGAAGUGGGCCUAUAGAGACUACCUGAGGUGUGUAGGCUUUGUCAUUUCCACGCCGUAAUCGCUCAGGAACUCUGUAGAUACACCUUCAAGGGGGACAAGGGAGACAAACUAUCCAAUUCCUUGCGCCUUACAAAUAGAUCGCAUGGGUUUUCUAUUUCAUCUGCAGCUUCAUCAAUUCCUUCCAUUUUUCUCCUGAUCAUCAUGCGCGGUGAUUCAAAUAUUUCAUAAUGAACAUUGAAAUGAGAUGCUACAAGCAAACUUAUGAAAAGAAACAGAAAUACCAAAAAGACAAAUCAAUGUAGAUGGUUUAGAAAAUCUAAACAUUGCAAUUAUACUCCUUUGCCCAACUUCUAGGAGCAAACGUACACAAAGACCUUAUUGCUUCCAACUUUUCCAACAGAAUUUCAUAUGAAUUGCUCCAAGUGAAAUCCGUAUGAAAAAUCGGUAGUUGGAUUUUCAUCCUGCUUUAAUAUGAUUAUUUAACUUCUAACAAAAAAACUCUUAUUACUUGAGCAAGUAAAAUACUAUUCCAGGUUUCUCCUAGUUCUAUAUGCGCUUAUAAUUGGUAUACUCUAUAAAUACCAUAAUCUGAAUUUCUCUGUUUUGAUUACUUUAAUUUAUUACUUAUGUUUUAAUUAUUGUUUACUUAGUGAAUUAUUAGUAUUUAAGAGAAGGCCUUCCAUCGAUUAGGCACCACGUGUCUAUAAUAAGUAAAGCCGUCCGGCUAUACUUAAAAAAAAAAAAAAUUGUAGUAUAGCCGACCGGUAUAGCCGCGCGGCUAUACUAUUUAAUACAUUAUAUUUAAACGGUAUAGCCGCGCGGCUAUACUAUUUAAUAAAAUAAAAAACAAAAGAAAAAGAAAAAUUACCCUCCUAUUUCAUUAGUUUGUACUUUAUAGAUACUAGCCCCUUGACACAUGCUCACGCAUGUGCCAAUUGGUUUUCUUUUUCUUUUUUAUUUUUAUUUUUAGAAUUAAGAAAAAAUAACAGGAUAGUUAUGUUCCAUAAAAGUAGGACCUAUUAUCUUAUUUUGUUUUUAAUUUUAAUUUUUUUAAUAUUAAAAAAAUAUGAAUUUACGAUAUUAUCCUCAUUUAAUUAAUAAUUUCAAUUCUUAAUGUUUGAAUUAACAAAGGGCAUUUUCUGGUAUUUUGAAUGUUUCACCAUUCUCUGCCUUUUGCUUUAUAUAUAUAGAUUAAUUUGCCAGUUUCAAGAUAUCCAAAGUACAUAUUAGACUUUCACUAUAUAAAUUUCAAUAUAUAUUUUUUAUAACAUGUGUUGUUCUUAUUCAAUAAUAUGUGAGAAUUAUUUGUAUAAUACGUGAAUUUUGUGUGUCUUACUGAAUUUUUUUAAAUACGUGUAUUAAACGUUACAAAUACGUACAUAUAUGUACAACACGACUAUUGUAAGUUUGCUAUAUAAAAAAAAGUGAGAUGUAUCUAGAACACGAAUGUAUUAUCGAAAAAUAUAUAUGUAUGUAUAUAUAUAUAUAUAUAUGUAAAAGCCUAUAGCCUCUCACCUAUACUAUUUAUUAAAGACAAUUUAAAAAUUACAACAACAAAAAAACCAGUACAGCCACAAAGCUAUACUAUUUUAAAAAAAAAAAAUAGAAAAAAUAUCAAGUACUACACAGGGCAAAGGCCCAGUGUAAAAUAGUAUAGCCGUACGGCUAUACGUUUUUAAGAAGAAUUUAAAAAACUAAGUAUAGCUCACCGACUAUACUAUUUUUUAAUAUAAAAAAACAACCCCAUCCAUUAGGCGCCACGUGUCAACAGAAGUUUAUUUUUAAAAAAAAAAAUUAAAAGACAAGGAGUAUAGCCGGGUGGUUGUACUAUUUUUUUAUUUUAAAAAGAAGACAGUCCAUCGAUUAGGCGCCACGUGUCCAUAAUAAGUACAGCCGCUCGGCUAUAUGUUGGAUAUUUUGAAACUAGCAAAUUAAUAUCAAUAGCCGGUCGUAACCUAUGCUGUCCACGUCACUCAUGUUUUACCAGAGUUAAAGCAUCCACAAUGAGCUCCCCAAACCAUCUCUUUAGACAAAUUUUAGGGAGAAAUUGGAAAAGUACAACUCCAACCAUGCUCCCUAUCCACCAACUAAAAUAGGGAGACCUCUAGGAGCUCCUAAAUCUGAGGAGAGGGAAAGGACUCUUAGUGACUCCCUAUAAUUUAAUGUUGCUUUGUUUUAUGCAUAUUUUAAACUUUUAAUUAAAUCAAAUUAUUAUUUUAUAUUAUUUUGUAUACAGAUGGACCAAUUAUAUUAAAUUAAAAAAUAAUUAAAGUAUUUGUGACUCUCUAAACUAAGGAGUAUGAUUAGAGUUCAAAUUUUAUAAAAAGCUCUUAAAAUAGCUUUUGUGUGUUUUUAGCUAAAUUUUAACUAAAAAAUUUGAAGAUUCUUUAUUUGGGUUUCUUUCAAGACGAAAACCAUAUCCACAACAGACAUCUUUGGCUGUUCAUCACAAUUGAGAGACAAUGAAGAAGACAUAAGGGAGAGGCUGCCAAAUACUUAUCACCUUAGCCACCACCAACACCACAAGACCAAUAUGUGUAGGCCAGGAGGCUUUCCAAUUUUAAUAUAUAUAUAUAUAUAUAUUAAAAAAUAAAAUAAAAAUCAAUCUAUUAUCAUAUAUAUUAUAAAAUAAAGAUUAUUGCUCCAUCCUCCAUGCACUUGCGUGCCCUCUUACAAAGUAUGAAGUAGAUUUUGUUAGCUGGAUUUAUAAGAUCUUUUGUUUUUUGGAAAUUUUCUGAAAUAAGGAAAAUCAAGUAAAAUUAAUAAAGCAUAAAUUGGAAAGGGAAAAUAUCUAGAGGAUGCAUUGUAGGAUUGCUCAAGCCAAUAAUUGUACCCUCUAAAUAUAUAGGGACAUAUUUUUUUUGUUUUCAUGACAUGUCGUCCUAAAAUUAUUGUUCUUAGCGGGCUCUCCACCCCCUCUCGAUUGAAAACCUAUUGUGUAAAUCUUCAAUCCUGAAUUAGAAAAGUACAACUCCAACCAUGCUCCCUAUCCAUCUCCUAAAAUAGGGAUACCUCUAGGAGCUCCUAAAUCUGAGGCGAGAGAAAGGACUCUUAGUGUCUCUUUAUAAUUUAAUGUUGCUUUGUUUUAUGCAUAUUUAAACUUUUAAUUAAAUCAAAUUAUUUUUUUAUAUUAUUUUGUAUACAAAUGGACCAAUUAUAUUGAAUUAAAAAUAAAUUAAAGUAUUUAUGACUCUCUAAACUAGGGAGUAUGAUUGGAGUUCAAAUUUUAUAAAGAGCUCCUAAAAUAGCUUGUGUGUGUAGGGGUCUUUUUCUUCUGGCAACUACAGAUGGGUUGGGCUACCGUAAGGAGCAAACUGAAGAAAAUAUCCCCUGUGUCUGAGUUCAAAGAUUCGGCCCCAAAAUAUUUCGAAAAGGCAGUAAAGCCUUAGGAAACACCUUAGUUACCUUCACCAACGAAAAUGACGGCUGCUUACAGGUAGAUUCUUAGUGCUUACAGAUGAAUUCUUAGCUUAGCAUGAGGAGAUCGUGGCAUGGAAGCAAAGUUAGCAUGAGUUUAGCACUAAAGAGAAAAUUAUGUGUUCUUGGGAGGAAGAAGGGGUGUCCAGGUAAAUGGGAAAAGGUUUUGCAAGUAGAUUUGGCUAAGAGAGAAGGGAGAGAGAGAAGAGGGUGGCUAGAGUGCUUCUUCCGGCAGCUUGACAGUGACUCUGUCAAAUGUUAGAGCAAUCUGCCAUAAGAGGGAAAAUGGGGAAGAAGGAUGAACAGUGCACAAAAUUGCUAGGUUUUUGCAAGUAAGAGAGGAAGCUUGCUCUCUGGAUGUGGAUGAUCCGUUGGGUAGAAGAGGCCCCAUUUUAUAGCCGCUGGAAACUAUCAUUUCUCAAGAAACCCUAAUAGUUUCUACCCAAUUUGGUCAAGCUUUUCCCUUCCUUUCUCAUCUCCUCCCUUGACUUUUCCUAUCUUGGUGAAAUUUCCUCUGUCUAUUUGCACAAAAUCAGGAGCUCAAGGCCUCCCUUUCCCGCAACUGUUCAAUGGGAGACUCCAUUCUUAGCUAUUUUUCUUCUUCUUUCCUUCCUCCUUCCCUGACCAAAUCUGAUGAAGGAAAGCAAAUAGGUGCACACAUUGGUUUGAAGGGUGCUUCUCCUUCUAGCAGCUUACAUGCCAAUAUCCCUUGGGUCCUUGCAUGUUUUUUGCUUUGAAACUUGUUUCUUCCUUCCCGUCAACUCACGUGGUCUUCCAUGCUUCUUCAUGGCUUUAUCUUUCAGCCAAAAGAUGGAGUUUUUACUGCUUGCUACUUUUAAUUGUAUGGGUCUUCUAGGAUAGGAAGUCAACCUACCAAACAAAUGGGCCACCUUUAUCAAAUAUUGGGCUGUUGGGGUUAGUUUUAGUGGGCCAUUUUGACUGGGCUUUUUGGUUGGGUUAUUUAAGUUAUUUUCCCUUUUGUGCUCACCCAUGUAUUUAGGCCUAAGAAAUGGGCUUGGGCUCCGAGUCUCCCAAGCAACCCGGAACCUCCAUUUCUUGGCCCAUUAAUGGGCCUCAUGACAACCUAUUACCAUCCAUACCACAACCCACUCAAGCAAGCCCCGGGCAUUUGAAUGGCUUUGGCCCACUUUAGGCUUGUAGUGUGAUUGGGUGUGGCAUAACGAUUUCUCGCUUGGCAUGGCAUGUUGCUUGGCAUGUUUUUUCAUUACGAUGCUUGAUGGAUUUGUAGAGCUACCUAUUUUUAUGAUCUUAAUCUUGAUUCCUAGCAUGACAAAUUUAUUUAUUUGGCAUGGCAUGCGGAGCGUGACUUGUGCGUGGCGAGUUUUGUAUGCUCCAACUUGGGCCUUUCCUAAAUAAUGUAUCAUUUUGGGUUAUGAAUUCUUUCGGGCCCAACCGUGAAUUUUUUGGGUUUCAACAGUGUGUUUUUAGCUAAAUUUUAACUAAAAAAUAGGGAGCAUGAUUGUAGAUCAUCUUAUAUACCUUAAUUUGAAGAUUCUUUAUUUGGGUUUCUUUCAAGAUGAAAACCAUAUCCACAACUGGCAGACAUCUUUGGCUGUUCAUCACAAUUGAGAGACAAUGAAGAAGACAUAAGGGAGAGGCCGCCAAAUACUUAUCACCUCAGCCACCACCAACACCACAAGACCAAUAUGUGUAGGCCAGGGGGCUUUCCAAUUUUAAUAUAUAUAUAUGGAGUGAAAAAAAUAAAAUAAAGAUUAUUGCUCAUCCUCCAUGCACUUGCAUGCCCUCUUACAAAGUGUGAAGAAGAUUUUGUGUGCUUCAAGUCAUUGACUAGAGCUGAAACAUGGUUAGCUGGAUUUAUAAGAUCUUUUGUUUUCUGGGAAUUUUCAGAACCAAGGAAAAUCAAGUAAAAUUAAUAAAGCAAAAUGGAAAGGGAAAAGAUCUAGAGGAUGCAUUGUAGGAUUGCUCAUGCCAAUAAUUGUACCCUCUAAAUAUAUAGGGACAUAUUUUUUUUGUUUUCAUGACAUGUUGUCCUAAAAUAUUUGUUCCUAGCGGGCUCUCCACCCCCUCUCGAUUGAAAACCUAUUGUGUAAAUCUUCAAUCCUGAACGAUGCUCCUAAAACUCAAGUGUCCCAGGCCAAUUAUUGCUCUCAUACCACUUGUUGCAAUACACAUCCACUCAUUCUCAGGGAAAGAAACCCAUCGAUAUUAUCUCAAAUUUAACCACUUUAGUCUAUUAUGAUUAACUAUGUAUUUUAUGGAUCAAUGCAGUUGUGAGGUUUUAUACCCAAUUAGAUCGACCAAUACAGAGAUCACAUGUGGACUGAAAAGCGCCAUCGGUAGGGGAGUGUUUGGCACCCUUUACUGCCGAGUGCAACACAAGACCCCUUACCAGGAACUUAUCUACUAGGACACGUGAAGCCACCACAAGUAAUAUCAACAGUCCCACAUCGAAGUUUAACAUAACAUGUACACUCCCCAGGACUGAUAAAAGUGGGCACAAGUCCCAAAAAUGGGGGAACUUGGACUUUCAGCAAUUCAUCCAUUAUUAUGUCCAAAUUACUAUACACUCCGUACUUAUUCUUACUUAAGCAUUGGAGAGCCUUCGGCCGGUACCACACCAGUGCCUAAGGGCUUACCGAGCGUUCUCUAUCUUGCAUAUUGAUCGCUCUACUGAAGCCCAUAAAGAGUUAAAGGUCAAGACAUCACUAAGUUGAGCCCAAAAGUGCUGAACCACAUCAAAAAUAUGUAUAGAUUGAAAAAAUAAAAUAAAAAUCAAUCUAUUAUCAUAUAUAUUAUAAAAUAAAUAUUGGAUAAAUUACUCAAAUGGUCCUCAAACUUAUACUCGAUUUACAUUUUGGUCUCUCAAUUAAAUUAUUUGUUCAAAUGGUCCAUCAACUCUAUAUUAUUUCUGCAAAAUCUACAAAGUGGUGGGAGGCAGACCAACAAAAAAAAUUAGCGAAGGCUUAUAACUCUGGUAAAACAAGAGUUACUUGGAUAGAAUAAUGUUACGUCGUACUGAAGAUUUUUGGGUUUCUUUAAUUGGUUAAGUGAAGAUUCUUUAUUUGGGUUUCUUUCAAGAUGAAAGCCAUAUCCACAACCACAACCACAACUGGCAGACAAUCUUUGGCUGUUCAUCACAAUUGGGCGACAAUGAAGAAGACAGAAAUUGGAGUACUGUAUGUUAUCACCCACACCACAAGACCAAUAUAAGGAGGAUGGGGAGGCUGCGGAAUACUUAUCACCUUAGCCACCACCUACACCACAAGACCAAUAUGUUGUAGGCCAGGAGGCUUUCCAAUUUUAAAUUAGAUAAAUCGGAAACUGUUUCGAUAUCCAAUUGUAUUCUAUAAAAUCAAUGAACACGGUGCUUCAAGAAAGUAAUAAAAUUUCAAUAAUUCAAUUGAGUGGUCAAAUUCAAGUGAUUUUUUGUAGUGAUGAUCUUUGAAUGAGUAUCUAUAAAAGAGACGGUUUGGAUUAGUGAAAUACAAUAUGGAGUGGGCCCUACCAGCAAUCCACGACAAAAUGUCUGCAAGCUUUCGUAAUAUAAGGAGGAUGGGGAGGCUGCGCAAUACUUAUCACCUUAGCCACCACCUACACCACAAGACCAAUAUGUUGUAGGCCAGGAGGCUUUCCAAUUUUAAUAUAUAUAUAUAUAUAUAUAUAUAUAUAUAUAUAGGGAUGUGAUUUCUCUACUCCCCUUUUCUCUACUUAUACUCCCUUUUGCUUUUAAAUACUUUUUAAUCAAUUUUUUUUCCGCUUUCCUAUUAAUAUUCUACCAUUUCCCUACAUUAAUUUCUUUUUACUUCACUUUUAUAUUAGUUCUUUUUCUUUAUACUUAAUUUUUCAACUUGCACUCCAUUUUCAUUAUUUUUUUCCUAAUCGAGUAAGAAAUUAAGUUUUUUUUCCCCAUUUAAUACUGAAAAUGGAGUGUAAGUUAGAAAAUUAGGUAUAAAGAAAAAGAAAUAAUAUAAAAGUAAAGUAAAAAAGAAAUUAAUGUAGGGUAAAGGUAGAAUAGAAAAGAGAAUGAACAAAAUUGAUAAAUAAAUAAAAAAGGUUUAAAAAGCAAAAAGGAGUGUAAAUGGAGAAAAGGGGAAUGAGGAAAUCAGCUCCAUAUAUAUAUAGAUUGAAAAAAUUAAAAUUAAAAUCAAUCUAUUAUCAUAUAUAUUAUAAAAUAAAGAUUAUUGCUCCAAGGAAAUGACAUCUUUUGUUUUCUGGGAAUUUUCUGAACCAAGGAAAAUCAAAUAAAAUUAAUAAAGCAUAAAUUGGAAAGGGAAAAGAUCUAAAGGAUGCAUUGUAGGAUUGCUGAUGCCAAUAAUUGUACCCUCAAAUUAUACAUGGACAUAGGGGUGGGCAUUCAAAUAGGCAAACUAGAAAUCCGAGCUGAACCGCACCUAGGAAAACCGGAAAAAAAACCGAGUUGACCAAAAAGUCAACAACUGGUCAAAAAUCGAACCGGACCGAUUUGGACUGGUUUUGGAUUCAGUUUAUAUGCAAUGCUACAUUUUUAGUCUCAUAACUAAUAUUUAUCCAAGUUCAAUUUCAAAACAUCUUUCUUUUUUAGCUUUAAUAUUUAUUUUUAUAUGAAAUUAAAUAAUUUAUUAAUUUUCAAGUAAAUAAAAUAAAAUUUCAGUUGAAAUUUAUAUUAAAAAAAUAAUUUUAAUAAUCCAGUUCAAAACCAAACCGGACCAUCCAGCUGUGAGGUACAUUUCUCCCACAUGCCACAAUUGUAUAUUCACAAUUACGUCUGAUACAUCACAUCAUGCCACUUGCCUCAAAUGAAUUUAAGUGAGUGUGGCAGUGGAAAGUAAUUAAGCUCUAUAUUGGUGGGUGGACUGUUACUUCUGGGUUCCCCUCAUCAUUCGUCUAUAAAAUGGUGAAGGCAGUUGCUAUUGUUACCAUAAGAGCCAGCUCCGACUUCCUUUAAUUUCUUGCUUCAUAUCCACUAGCUACAUCUGUUACCAAGUUAAUUUCAGUCCUAAUGGGGUUUCAUCUCCCACUCAUCUUUGCUCUUCUCAGUGUAAGCUCUGCAAUUUGAUUAACUUUUCCAUUCUCUCUCAUUGUACUCUAUAUAAACGAAAGUUUUGUGUUCCUAUAAUUCUCUCCGAUUUUAUUUAGUACGUACUUAAGUGUCGUCCACUAAUUAAUUACACUUUGUGAUUUGAUUUUAAUUUGAGUUCGAAUUAAUGUUGCAGCUAGCAGCAGUGGCACUGGCAAACCAUGCUGCUCAACCAGCACCUCAACUUUACUGGAACUCCGUCCUGCCAAACACACAGAUGCCAAGAUCUAUCAGUGAACUUCUGCAUCCUGGUUUGUGUUGAGCUCUUUAGAAUCUUAGAUAUCUCUUCUACCUGCCAUUUUACUAAAAUAUGUUCCACCACAUAUUUAUCAGUUAACCACUGUUAUUACAUGAGUGACACAUAUUCACAAAUCGGCUGAUCACUUAUUUUCCAUUAUGACGUUGAUAUAUAAUUUGCAGACUCCACAAAUGAAGAAAAGAGCACAAAUGACGUUGGCAAACCUGAAACUUUCCCAUUGGGCAAUAAACAUUACUCCAGUCAAAAACAUUAUGGAAGAGGCAAACCUGAAACUUUCCCAUUGGGCAAUAAACAUUACUCCAGUCAAAGACAUUAUGGAAGAGGCAAACCUGAAACUUUCCCAUUGGGCAAUAAACAUUACUCCAGUCAAAGACAUUAUGGAAGAGGCAAACCUGAAACUUUCCCAUUGGGCAAUAAACAUUACUCCAGUCAAAAACAUUAUGGAAGAGGCAAACCUGAAACUUUCCCAUUGGGCAAUCAGCAUUACUCCAGUCAAAAAAAGUAUGGAAGAGGUGCUUCUCCAUCCGACAAUCAACCACCAAUUCCAUAGAAAUUCAAACACGGCUACUUUCUUGCCACGAGAAAGCGCUCAAUCGAUCCCCUUCUCCUCUAACAAACUACCAGAAAUUUUCAACCAUUUUUCAGUGAAGCCAACAUCUGAGGAAGCCAAAACAAUUAAGCAAACAAUCGAAGAGUGUGAAGCUCCAGACCUUAAGGGAGAGGAAAUAUAUUGCGCCACAUCUUUAGAAUCAAUGGUUGAUUUUAGCACUUCGAAGCUUGGAACAAGAAACGUUGAAGCAAUCUCGACGGAGGUAUUGGAAAAAGGAGCCACCAUGUCCAUCCAAAACUAUACAACAAUGCCGGGACUGAAGAAGUUGGCAGGUGACAAAGUCGUUGUGUGUCAUAAGCAGAACUAUCCCUAUGCUGUGUUUUUCUGCCAUGCAAUAAAACAUACAGCAGCUUAUGCUCUCUCCCUGAAAGGCGAUGAUGGGGAGAAGGUUAAAGCAGUAACCAUCUGCCAUCUAGACACAUCAGAAUGGGACCCAGAGCAUAUGUCCUUCAAAAUCGUCAACGUUAAGCCCGGAACCAUUCCCAUCUGCCAUUUCAUUUCCACUGAUGCUAUUGCCUGGGUUCCGAACCACAAAUCUGCAUGAUCAUCACUUAGCACUAGUACUGUGCGUAUAAUAUGCCUGUAUAAUUAUCUCCCUACUUAUUUCUGCCUGUUCAUCAUGUGGUGUAAGAUAUAUGUUGAGAUGAAGUUUUUGGGAUUAGUGGUCGAAAUUAACCCGAUCAUGUUUUCUCUUGUAACUAUAUAGACUUCAACUUGUACUCAUAAUAAAGCAUGCUAUAUUUAUGAAGAGAUAUUAAUCUUCAGGCAAAUAGAUAUUAUGAAAACAUAUAUAGCAAUUUAUCCAGAAGAAAUAUUAUGAAAUGAAAAGAAUAAAAAGUAAAAAAACAGAAGGAAAGGAAUUCGCACCUGCUAUGUAUGAAAGGACCAAGAUUGUUUUCCCUUUGGUUAAUGACUAGAAAAGCUCACUUGCAGAUUGCUUUCUCUGACCGUAGAUGCAACAGAAAUUUUCUCUUAAUAAUAGCACAAUGAUCGGGUAAUUGUAAGAACAAGUUGAUUUAAAAUUCCUUGACCCAAAAAAAAAAAAAAAAUCAUUUCAAAUUCAGGUCAACCCAUAGAUUUCUUGCCUUUUUCUUCUUCAUCACGUUGGGCUUGUCUUCUUCUUGAGGAUUGUAUAGGCCCAGGAAAUGCUUUGAGGUAGUUUUUGGCCUUGGAAGUUGGGACCCAACCCAACUUCACAAAAAGAAAACAGAUUUGCCAAAAAUCAAAUUUCAAGUCUCUCCUCAGAUCACUAAUACAGAUCAAAUUUUGGAUUUGAUGAACUAAAGUGGUUUUACUUUCUCUGUCAGUGUUUGAUGACUUAAUUUGUUAUUUACUUCUUUUUUUUUUUUUACUUGAUCUUUGUAGGGGUUUUUUUCUUCCGGUAACUUAAACGGGCUGGGCUGCCGUAAAGGGUAGAUUGAUGAAAUUGUCUCCUUUGUCUGAGUUCGAAAAUCAAGCCCCAAAAGCGCUUCGAAAGGGCAGUAGAGCCUUAGGAAGCGUUCUAGUCAUCUUCACCAACUAAAACAACAGCAACUUACAGAUGAUUUCUUAAGGCUUACAGAUAAAUUUUCUAGCUUGGCAUGAGAGGCUUGUGACAUGGAAGCAAAAUCAGCAUGAGUUUAGCACCAAAGAGGAAAAUAUGGCUUCCUAGGGAGAAAUGGGAGUGUUUAAGGUGAGGAAGAAGAGGUUUGCAGGCUGAUUUGGCUGAGGAGAGAGAAAGAAAGAACAAUGUUCUUCCAGUAGCUUGACAAAGCUUCUGACAGAUGUGAAAGUCGUCUGCCAUAAGAGGAAAAUGAAGAAGAAUGGUGAAUAGUGCAUGAAAUUGCUGGGUUUUUGCAGGUAAGAGAGAAAGCUUGCUCUCUGAAUUUGAGUUGGUUUUUGGUUGGGUAGAAGAGGCCCCCUUUUAUAGCUGCGGGAAACCAUCUUUUUUCAAGAAACCCUAAUGGUUUCUAUCCAUUUUGGCCAAGCUUUUCCCUUCAUUUCUCUUCUCCUCCCUUGACUUUUCCUAUCUUGGUGAAAUUUCCUCUGCCUAUUUGCACAAAAUUAGAGAUUUUGAGGAGCUCAAGACCCCUUUCCCGCAGCUGCCUCAGUGGAGAAUCCCCAUUUUCAGUCAUCUUUCUUCCUUCUUUUCUCCCAUCUUCCAAGGUUAGGUCUGAUGAGGGAAAGAAAUGGGUAUGCACACUGGUUUGAAGGGUAUUUUUGCUUGAAACUUGUUCUCUCCCAUGUGCUGGAGCUUCCCAGCAACUUACACACAUGGAUAUUUUGGCUUUCAUCGUGGCUUUUGUUUUCAGCUAGGUGCUGGAGAUUUCGCAGAUAUUUUCAUGAGUUGCUUGGGCCUUCUAGGACAAUAGGUUGGUUUAUCAAGUGAAUGGGCUAACUUCAUCAAUUGUUGGGCUAUUUUGGUUGAGUUAAUGGACUAUUUUGGUUGAAGUAAUGGGCUAUUUUGGUUGAAUUAAUGGGCUAUUUUUCUCUCUUUGUGCUCACCCACAUAUUUGGGCCUAAGAAAUGGGCUUGAGUUCCGGGGCUCCCAAGCAACCCCGGGACUUCCAUUUCUCGGCCCAUCAAUGGGCCUCAUAUCAACUUAUUACCAUCCAUAUCACAACCCACUCAAGCAAGCCCUGGGCAUCUUGCGUGGCUUGGGCCCACUUAAGCUUGUAGCGUGACGUGUUGCUUAUUUGCUUGGCAUGGCAUGUGUGCAAGCGCAUAUGACGAACUUUAGCGUGCCCAAAUUGGGUUUAUUCUCGGUAAGGUAUCGCAUUGGGCCGAGAAUUUAAUUGGGCAGAACUGUGGAUUUUUGGGCCUCAACAAUCUUAUAUAUAUUGGUUUUCUUUUUUUCCUUAAUAUUCACCACCUUUCUGUUGCAUAAGUAUUUCAGUCUUAACGGGUUUCCAUCUACCACUCAUCUUUGCUCUUUUAAGUGUAAGCUUUUUUUUUUUUUUUUUAAGCACAAGAUUAGAGGGGAGGGGGAUUUCUCAAUGUAAGCUUUGCAGUUUCAUAAUUAAUAUUUCCAAUAUCUCACUGUUAGUAAAAUAUGGAACAGGAAAAGUAUGAAUAAAAUACACACAUGUUUUAUUUAGCAAAAUUUUGACAAGAUACAACUGAAAAGUUUGGCCACUAUAUAAUAUUUUGAUAUAAUUUCUACACUUCUUCUCAAAAGAUUAGAUCACUUCACAUCUUGUGUAUGUGAAAACUAAUGUAAAAAGUUGAAACUUUAUCGUAAAACCUCGACAAAAAUGAGCUCUACUAGAAAAUGUUCAAUUUGGAUUCGUUGAUUUAAAUGGCAAUUUGACACUUGAUAGAAAUUUUUACAUACAUGUGUUAGUGUUUGAUCACUUCACAUGUUACUUACUAUAUUUAUUCCACUCAAGUUAGGUAAAUAUUAUUAUCAAACAUUUCAAUUAAUUUGUGAUUUUUUUAUUAUUUAAUCAAUUAUGAAUUAAUGGAUUCUUCUUGUUGUUUUGAAGACCAAUAAAAAAAAAAGGGUAAGGAUGGCUUAUAACUCUGAUAAAACAACAGUGACGUGGACAGCAGAUGUUACACCGUACUGAAGAUUUUUGAAGAUUCUUUAUUUGGGUUUCUUUCAAGAUGAAAACCAUAUUAUCCACAACCACAAUGAAGAAGACAGAAAAUGGAGUAAUUCAGAUGUUACCAGCCAUCCACGACAAACUGAAGUCUGCAAAGCAUUCGUAAUCUAAAGGGAGACUUUGGAAAAGCCCAAAGGAGAGAGAAAAUUUUUAAAAGAAGCAAAAAUGGACAAAAUUGCCCUUAUUUAUUUUUUGAUUUCCUAAGAAAUCCUUUACAUUUGCAUGUCUUUGGUUUGAAAGUUGAGAGGUUAUUCUGUCUUUUUUCAAAAAGCUUUGGCUUUUUCCAAAAGUGAAAGUUUUUUUAUGGGUAAAACCUAAAUUUACUUAAUCCCUAAAAAGGAUGGGGAGGCUGCGCAAUACUUAGCCACGUGUAGGCCAGGAGGCUUUCCAAUUUUAAUAUAUAUAUAAAUUGAAAAAAUAAAAUAAAAAUCAAUCUAUUAUCCUAUAUAAAAUAAAGAUUAUUGCUUCCAUGGGCAGUGCUAUGCACAGGACAGUGCCUGCCCAGCACAAAUUUUUUUUAAAUAAAAAAAAAAAAUCUACAUAUGUUAUAAGCUCAUCCAAAAAAAUAAAAUAAAAUAAAAGUAAAUUCUACAUAUAUGUUGCCCAUCUAGGUGGUUCCAUAUCUUCUCUCUCCUUCUCUUUUGGCUAUUAGACUUCUUGUUUCUCUCUCUCUCUUUGCUACCUCACAUCAGCAAGUUUCUCCCUCUCUUUUUUUGGGGUCAAAUUCUUCCUCUAUUGACAAAAUCUUCUAUUAUCUUGGGUGGGCAACUUGGCAACAACAUCUUCUCUUCUCCUUUUGUCAACAACAAGUAUUAUUCUCAUUCUCUCAUUUGCUAUAUAUCUUUAAUUAUAGUUUUAAUUUAAAAUUGAGUAUUCUAGGGUUUAAUUAGGGAUGAAUUAUAAUUUUAGAAUUUUGUUGAAAUUAAUUAAGGCUUCGAUUAGGGGUGAAUUAUUCUACUGCUUUGGUUUGGAAUUUUGUUAAAAUUGAGUAUUAUAGGGUUUAAUUAUGGAUGAAUUAUAAUUUUUGAUUUUGGUAUUAUUGAGAUGUUAUUAUGAGAAUUUGUUUCAUUUUUUUAUUGGUAUAUUUGAUUAAAAUUCUUUCUACAUAUUAUUCAUAGGCUAUCUUUUAUUAUGUCGGAUCACAAUCGGAAUCCCAAGAGAACAAAGAAUUUGAAUAGUGUUGUUUUGUAUUGCAUUGCAUUUACUUUUGGUUUUAGUUUUGCUUUUAGUGUAAAUUACUCAAAUGGUCCUCAAAUUUGUACCCGAUUUACAUUUUGGUCCAUAAACUAAAUUAUUCAUUCAAAUGGUGCACCAACUCUUUAUUAAUCAGUGCUUUGGUCCUACCGUUAUGUUUUCUAUUAAAUUUAGUCAUGUGAGCAGCACAUGCUACAUUUGUAGGGGUAAAUAAGACUUUUGACCACUUUAUCACCUAUGUAUCACCACUUUAUAACCUAUUUGGAGAACAUAGGUCAGUUAUGGACGGUUUUACAAUUAUAUUUGACGGCAACAUUAACAUAAUGUAACAGUGGGAUCAAUGGAGCGAUUAAUAUAGAGUUGAUGGACCGUUUGAACGAAUAAUUUAAUUGAGGGACCAAAACGUAAAUUGAGUAUAAGUUUGAGGACCAUUUGAGUAAUGUACCCUUCGCUUUUAUAUUUGUUGAACUUUUAUUUAUGGAUAGAUAUGCAUUUGAGGGUAAGACCCAUUAUGUUCCCCCUGACUUGGUGUAUCUUUUUAUGUUUAUUAAUGAAAUUCACUCGAACUGUUGAGUUUAGUAUGUAAGUUUUGCCUAACCGGCUUUUGAAUCCUAGAACCGCCACUGUUGCUCCAUCCUCCAUGCACUUGCAUGUGCUCUUACAAAGUGUGAAGUAGAUUUUGUGUGCUCCAAGUCAUUGACUAGAGCUGAAACAUGGUUAGCUAGAUUUAUAAGGACCCAUCUCUCUAUUUCCUAGACAUAUACCCAUCUCUCUAUAAAUCUAUAUGUAAAACUCAAUUUCAAACUUAAAUGACCAGUAAGAUAUAAGAGGUCAUAGUAUUCCUAUGUUUUUACAUCGUUGCCACCAGACUUCUUAUUUUAUUUAUAAUUUAUUUCAAGCAUUUCAUUAACUGCCAUAAUUGUAAUUAAUACUCCAUAUUAAUAGCAUAUCAAUCACCCCAUUUCUUUUGAUUGCCAUUCCCUCUAACAUAUCGCCCCUUAAAAUUGAAAACCAAAAAAAAAAAAAAUGUAAAUUACAUAUCCAAUAAUGUACCUAUGAAAAAUAUAAAUAUAAAUAUAUACGUAUAAAAAUAUAGGUUUAUUAUUUACCAAAUAAAAAAUAUAAAAAAACUAGGUCAGUUGCUUUGUAAUUGAAAUUUCUAUACAUUUUCCACAAAUUAAAAAUAGGUACACAAUAAUUUAUAGAAAAUAUAGGUGCAUUAUUUAUCCAUAGGUAAAAAUACCUAUAAAUGCACAUAGGUAAAUUAUUUACCCAUAUAUUAUUUUUUUGCUAAGGAUUUACCUUAGUUUUUAGUAGAUUAAUUUACCUACCUAGAGGCAUAGGUAGCUUAAAAAAAUUGUAGCACCUUAGUUGGUUGCAUACUAAUUUACCUACCUAGAGGCAUAGGUUGCUAAGAAAAAAUGUAGGUAAAUUCAUGUACCUAAACACAUAGGGGUCAAAUAGAGAAUAACAUGUUAUUUCCCUUCGAACAAAUUAAUUUCAAACCAUAACAAUAAUUGAAUUCGGAAAUUGGUAUAAAUAAAAGGAAAUAAAUAAGCUAUCAAUUUGAAAAUUAAAAUAAGAAAUGAUCAAGUAGUCAUAUUUGAAAAAAAAGAAAAGAAUAUAUUCUUGGUUUUUAUAGGAACAACGUGUAUAUUCAAACCAAAUGGCAGUAACUACACCAAGCUUUAAUUACUUUUUUUUAAGGCCAAAAGUCACUUUUGGUCUCUGUAGUUUGACACUUCUAUUACUUUUGACGCUGUAGUUUCAAUUCCGUCAAUUUUGCCAUUGUAGUUUCAUAUUUGUAGCAAUUCAAGGACAUGUUAAUAUUAAUGUCAAUUUGUUUAAUGAUGCAAGGGGUAAUUUCGUCAUCCCAAAAUCCUUGAGCAUAAAAGCUUGUCUGAAAUUCUCCCCAUUUCAUAUUAGGGCUCGAAAUUCAACCACUAAUCCCAAUUUUUGAAGAACCCUAUACCCAAAUGACCAAUUUCAAGCCCUAAUAACAAAUUAGGGAAGUUUUAGAUGAGCUUUUAUGCUCAAGGAUUUUGAGUUGAAGAAAUUGCCCCUUGCACUGUCAAAGAAAUUGAUAGGAAUACUGACUUGUCCUUGAAUUGCUACAAAUACAAAAAUACAGGGUCAAAAUUAACAGAAUUUAAACUAUAUGGUCAAAAGUGGUUAAAGUGCCAAACUACAAGGACCAAAAGUGACUUUUAGCCUUUUUGUUUAAAUAAGGAAAAAACUUACCUAUUAAAUCCUUGGAAUCUAUACAAAAUUGAAACACAGUUAAUCAGCAUUGAAUUGCAGCUAAUUUCUUAAACAAGGGUAUUAUAGGAAUUUAAAAAGUAUAACAUUUAAUCCAUUGAGCUUGAUUAGGAAUCUUGAUGAGUUGGAUCCUAGUUAUAUAGUUUCUCUUAUAAAAAUCGGGUUUUAUUUAUAGACAAAUAAAACAAUGGGUUGUAGGUAAGAAAAUAUUAAUUUGAAGGGAAAGUGUCACAUCCUGGGAUCGGCUCCGCCGUAGCACGAUAUUGUCCGCUUUGGGCCCCCCUCUCUGCCCGCACGGUUUUGUUUCUGGGAGCUCACGAGCAACUUCCCAGUGGGUCACCCAUCCUGGGAUUGCUCUGGCCCCCAACUCGCUUAACUUCGGAAUUCCUAUGACUCCGAAGCCAGUGAGCUCCCAAAAGGCCUCGUGCUAGAUGGAUGCGGGUGUGUACAUAUAAGACACAUCACCCCCUCUCCGUUGGUUGAUGUGGGAUCUUACAGAAAGAGUCAAAUUUACUAAAUUAAUAAAGCAUAAAUUGGAAAGGGAAAAGAUCUAGAGGAUGCAUUGUAGGAUUGCUCAUGCCAAUAAUUGCACCCUCUCGAUAUUGAAAAACCUAUUGUGUAUUAUUAUCUUCAAUCAUGAAUGAUGCACCUAAAACCCAAGUGUCCCAAGCCAACCAUUGCGCUCAUACCACUUGUUGCAGUACACAUUCACCCGUUUUUAAAGAAAGAAAUUCUACCAAUCGAUAUUGUCUCAAAUUUAAUCACAUAGGUCUAUUAUGGUUAACCAUAUGUACUUUUAUCGGCCAUAUAGAGGUACCUUUUUCCAACGUGCAACAAUUGUAUUUGAUUCACAAUUAUGUCUGAUAUACAUCACAUCAUGCCACUUGCCUCAAAUGAAUUUAAUUGAGUGAGGCAAUGGGAAGUAAUUAAGCUCUAUAUUGGUGGGUGGAGUGUUACUUCUGGAACCCUCAUCAUUCGUCCAUACAAGGGAACAAUUCCCUUCCUUCUAUAAAAUGGUGAAGCCAGUUGCUAUUGUUUGUUAGAGUUUUAGGAUCUGAGUGUUAGAUUUUGUGAGAAGAGAGAAGAGAAUUUAGUGAAAACUUCCAAUACUGCUCUGCUAUACGUGUAGCAGAGAGAACAUUCUGUUUUGUUAUAUAUUUUCAGUACAACAACACACACUUGGUGUGAGAAGAAAAAUGACUGUUAUGCACAGUACCAGCUGGAUGCUUUCCAUCAAAGUAAUCUCAGCCAUUCACUAUCUAACCAAUCAAGCUAUGACACCUGGACUAAGUAUAAAGAAAUACAACUAAGCAGAAAACAAGACUCUUAAUCCUGAAAUCAACUUAAGCACUUAUAAUUCAACACUCCCCUUUAAGUCUUGAGGUGAUUUCACUCCAAGCAUGCCUCUGAGAUAAUUGAAUCUGUCUUUGGCCAGAGGUUUGGUAAAAAUGUCAGCCAAUUGUUCAUUUGUAGGACAAUAUUCCAGAUUGAUUACCCCUUCUUGCAAUGCAUCCUUGAUGAAGUGAUACCUCCUGUCAAUAUGCUUUGUCUUCUGGUGGAAUACAGGGUUUUUAGUGAUUGCAAUUGCUGAGAUAUUAUCACAAUGCAAUGGAGUAGCUUCAGUUUGAAGCUCUCUAAAGUCUUCUAGCACAAAACGGAGCCAAAUAGCUUGAGUAGUAGCCUCAGCUGCACUGAUGUACUCAGCUUCUGCAGUAGACAGUGCAACACAGUUCUGUUUCACUGAGGCCCAAGAAAAUACUCCACUUCCAAAACUAAACGCAUACCCUGAUGUGCUCUUGCAAUCACCAACUGAUCCUCCCCAAUCACUGUCACAGUAACCAACUAGAAUUGAUCUUUUGCCUUUCACAUAUUCAAGACCAUAGUCCAGAGUUCCUUUGAUGUAUCUCAAAACCCUUUUAGCUGUUCCAUAGUGUCUAUUUGUAGGACAGUGCAUGAAUCUAGCUAGCAAGCUUGAGGCAUACAUGAUGUCUGGUCUUGUAGCAGUUAAGUACAGCAAGCUACCAACAAUGCUUCUGUAUUGUUCUUCAUUUGCAGCUCAACUCCCAUCAUCCUUAGCUAGUUUCUCAGUGGCAACAAGGGGUGUUGUCACAGGUUUGCACUCAGUCAAACCAAACUUGCUCAACAAGGUGCUAGCAUAUUUCUUUUGAUGUAGAAAUAUACUAGACUCAGUCUGAAUAACUCCCAUGCCAAGAAAGUGAUGAAGUAAGCCCAAAUCAGUCAUCUCAUACUUAGCCAUCAUGUCUUCUUUGAAUUCAGCCAACAAUGCUUGACUGCUCCCUGUAUACACAAUAUCGUCUACAUAGAUAGACACAAUUAGAAUCUCCUUAUCUCCCCUUACUUUGGUAUAUAAGGUUGUUUCACUUAAGCUUUUCACAAAACCACAUUGAGUGAAGUAGCUGUCUAUCUCUCCAUACCAAGCCCUUGGGGCUUGCUUCAGACCAUAAAGGGCUUUAUGCAAACGAUAAACCUUGUCUUCUUUACCUUUAAUUACAAAACCUUCAGGCUGACUGACAUAAACUUCCUCUUGCAGCACACCAUUAAGGAAAGCAGACUUCACAUCAAGCUGGAACAAUUUCCAAUCCUUUUGAGCAGCUAGAGCAAUAAGUGUUCUAAUGGUGUCCAAUCUGGCUAUAGGUGCAUAAGUCUCAUUAUAAUCCAGUCCAGGCUUCUGAGCAUACCCCUUAGCCACUAAUCUUGCUUUAUUCUUUUGCACUGAGCCAUCCAAAUUCAGCUUUGUCUUGUACACCCACUUAACUCCAAUCACUGGUUUUUCAGUUAGUCUAUCUACCAAUUCCCAUGUUUCAUUCUUUUCAAUCAUCUGCAGUUCAUCUUCCAUAGCCUUAAGCCAAGAUUCAUCCUGAGCAACAUCAGCAUAUUUUUCUGGUUCCAUGAUACACAAGUUACACUGAGCUAGAACAUCAUCUAGCCUUCUCCAUUUUAGAGGGGUGUGAUCAUAAGCUUGAGUUCUCCUUUCUUCACUGCUUAUAUCACCUGGAGUUGAUGAAAUGCUCUCUUGCAUAUCCAAAGUUUGAGGUGUACCAGUAGAAUUCUCAUUAGAACUGUCAGAUUUCAAGUCCAAAUCAACUUGGUUUUCAAUUGAGUAUGUUGUCAUAACUGAACCAUUUUUGUUUGUCCAAUGCCAAGCAUUUUCUUCAUCAAAUGUCACAUCCCUUGAUAGUAAAAGCUUGUUAGAAACAGGAUCAAAAACUCUAUAUCCUUUUUCACAAGUUGCAUAUCCCACAAACACUCCCUUUGUACUCUUAGGAUCCCGCUUGUGUCUCAAUUCAGUUGGCACAUGAACAUAACACAGAGAACCAAACACUUUCAGAUGUGCAAUUCCAGGCUUCCUUCCACUAUAUGCUUCGAAUGGAGUAAUGUUGUUGAGAGCUUUGGUAGGACAUCUGUUCAGCAAAUAGAUAGCUGUAUGCACAGCUUCUGCCCAUAGGAAAUAAGGCAUUCCCUUCUCAUGUAACAUUGAUUUUGCCAUCUCAAUGACAGUUCUAUUCUUCCUCUCAACUACUCCAUUCUGCUGAGGAGUAUAGGCCAUUGUAAGCUGCCUUUGAAUGCCAUUAGCUUCACAAAACUCCAAAAAAUCAGUAGACAUAAACUCUCCACCCCUGUCACUUCUUAUGCACUGAACCUUGUGUCCAGUUUGUAAUUCAGUCAUGGACUUGAACUUCUUGAAACAAAAGAAGGCUUUUGACUUGUUUCUCAAGAAGUAUACCCAAAUCAUUCUUGUGAAAUCAUCUAUAAUCAGCAUGAAAUAUCUGUUCCUUGCAACAGACUCAUUUCUCAUGGGACCACAGAGAUCCACAUGUAUUAGCACUAGUACUUUGCUUGCUCUUUGAGCUUGAUCUUUUGGAAAAACAUUUCUGUGCUGUUUUCCAAAUUGGCACCCGUCACACACACCACUUUGUUCUUCCAAUUUUGGUAAACCAUGUACCAUUUCUUUAUCACUUAGCUGCUUCAAUCCUCCAAAAUGCAGAUGACCAAAUCUCUUGUGCCAAAUCCAUGUGGAUUGAAGAAAACUAGUCUUCAUUAGUAACUGUUUUUCAGCUAGAAAAGAGACAGGAUAGCAUCUGUUACUCUUCAUUUGCACCUUUAUGAUGAGAUAAUCCAUGGAUGGGCUAUCAAAUACCCUGCACAUCCCUUCUCCAAACACUAGACAGUACCCAUGUUCAUCCAUCUGCCCAACACUUAGCAGAUUUUCUUUCAAUCCUGGCAGAUACAUUACUUCUCUGAUGUAUUUCCUGCCCUUUGCUGUAUCAAUACUCAGUGAGCCAAUACCAGCUACACUCACUAAUGCACCAGUUGGCAUUUGUACUCUCCCAGCUACAUUAGUUCUCACAUCAACCAGCAAAUCUAAAUUUCCUGUCAUAUGAUUGCUGCAGCCACUGUCAAUGUACCAUUCAUUGGUUUUGAUCUCAGUGGUUGAGCAAUUGGCAUAAAACAGGUUUCCUGUAACCUCCAUUUGAUUUACACAAUUAGCCUUCUGCACAUUUUUGCUCACUGUACAGUCUCUAGCAAGAUGUCCAACUCUGUCACAGUUAUAGCAUUUUGGUUUUCCCUUAUACCUGCACUCACCAAAAUGAUGCUUUGAACACACCUUGCAUUGAGGCUUUGUGUUUUCCUGAUUUGAGAACUGUGUUGAAGUGUGGUUCUGUGCAGAAUAAUUAUUCUGCUGUGUCUUGUCUUUUGCCUCCCAUGACUUCCCUUUAGAGUUCCAGCUUCUCUGUGACUUAGAUGAACCAGACUGAGAAGCAUUUUUGUUCUGACCCUUUGAAUUCACAGUGAAUGAGGCAAAUGCCUUCUCAGCUGUAUCAACACUAUGCAUUUCAAGCCUUUGCUCCCGACUCUUCAAAAUGGCAGUUACUUCCUGCAAAUCCACAGUUUCUAGUGUCUUUGUGUUUUCAAUCACAAUGCAUAUAGGGUCAUACUUCUUACUUAGACUAAUUAACACCUUCUGAACCUACCUCUCAUUUGACAGAACUUCACCAAAUGUUUUCAUUUGGUUAAUCAAUUCAGUUAGUCUAGUAAGAUAUUCAGAUAAGGUUUCACUAUCACGCAUCCUACUGUAUUCAAACUCACGUCUAAGGUUUUGAAGCUUUACCGAUCUAACAUGCUCUCCACCAUGAUAUUCUGAGUACAGCAGAUUCCAAGCCAUCUUUGCAGAGUCAGCAUUGGCAAUUCUGGGAAAAAUCUGAUCAGAAACAGCAUUUUGAAUGAUACCCAAGGCCUUCGCAUCCUUCAUGAGAAUCGCAGCUGUUUUCUCAUCAACUUCUUCUUCUGAACCAUCCUCAGAUUCCUGCUUCGUCUUUGAAUCUGGGAUUAAAAACCCCUUCUCUACCAAACCCCAUAAACCAUAUGAUCUGAAUAUGGUUACCAUCUUAAUCCUCCAAAAUUCAUAGUUCUCACCUGAGAAAAUGGGGAUUCUAGCCUCUGAACUUCCAGAUCCAGCCAUUACGAAUUUCAGAUUCGCCUGGAAACAAGAUGUUUUCAGAUUUGACCCUUGAUCGAGCUCAAUCAGCUUCGUGAGCUUAGAAUGAGCUCACCUCGAUCGAUUUUCUUCACAGAACAACGCCCAGCUUCAGAUAAUCAAACUUGGCUCUGAGGCCAUGUUAGAGUUUUAGGAUCUGAGUGUUAGAUAUUGUGAGAAGAGAGAAGAGAAUUUAGUGAAAAUUUCCAAUACUGCUCUGCUAUACGUGUAGCAGAGAGAACAUUCUCUUUUGCUAUAUAUUUUCAGUACAACAACACACACUUGGUGUGAGAAGAAAAAUGACUGUUAUGCACAGUACCAGCUGGAUGCUUUCCAUCAAAGUAAUCUCAGCCAUUCACUAUCUAACCAAUCAAGCUAUGACACCUGGACUAAGUAUAAAGAAAUACAACUAAGCAGAAAACAAGACUCUUAAUCCUGAAAUCAACUUAAGCACUUAUAAUUCAACAUUGUUACCAUAAGAGCCAGCUCCGACUUUCUUUAAUUUCAGUCCUAACGGGGUUUCAUCUUCCACUCAUCUUUGCUCUUCUCAGUGUAAGCUCUGCAAUUUGAUUAACUUUCCCAUUAUCUCUCACUGUACUCUAUAUAAAGGAAUAAGUGUCGUCCACUAAUUAAUUACACUUUGUGAGAUUUGAUUUUAAUUAGAGUUCGAAUUGAUGUUGCAGCUAGCAGCGGUGGCACUGGCAAACCAUGCUGCUCAACCAGCACCUCAACUUUACUGGAACUCCGUCCUGCCAAACACACAAAUGCCAAGAGCUAUCAGUGAACUUCUGCAUCCUGGUUUGUGUUGAAUAAAUAUAGUAUGUUACUGGAGUACGUAUGGCAACAUAUUCACAAAUGUGUCACGUAUUUUCCAAUAUGACGUUGAUAUAUAAUUGCAGACUCCACAAACGAAGAAAAGAGCACAAAUGUCAUGAAUGCUGUUGGGAAUGGAAAGCCAAUUGACCACAAGGGCAACCUGAAAAUACUGUACUACCACAGCUUGCACGACGCCCAUUUUCUUACAAGAGUGAUGAUCGUCCCACUGACAAUCAACUCCAUUAUAAAAACGUAGCUAUUUUCUUCUUGGAGAAGGACAUGCGCCCUGGCACAACAAUGAGCUUCCAAUUCCCUAGAAAUUCAAACACGGCUACUUUCCUGCCACCAGAAAGAGCUCAAUCGAUCCCCUUCUCCUCUAACAAACUACCAGAAAUUUUCAACCAUUUUUCAGUGAAGCCAACAUCUGUGGAAGCCAAAACAAUUAAGCAAACAAUCGAAGAGUGUGAGGCUCCAGGCAUUAAGGGAGAGGAAAUAUAUUGCGCCACAUCUUUAGAAUCAAUGGUUGAUUUUAGCACUUCGAAUUUUCGAACAAGAAACGUUCAAGCAAUCUCGACAGAGGUAUUGGAAAAAGGUGCCACCAUGUCCAUGCACAAGCAUACAACAAUGCCGGGACUGAAGAAGUUGGCAGGUGACAAAGUCGUUGUGUGUCAUAAGCAGAACUAUCCCUAUGCUGUGUUUUACUGCCAUGUAAUAAAACCAACAGCAGCUUAUGUUCUCUCCCUGAAAGGCGAUGAUGGGGUGAAGAUUAAAGCAGUAGCCAUCUGCCAUCUAGACACAUCAGAAUGGAACCCAAAGCAUUUGGCCUUCCAAAUCCUCAAAGUUAAGCCCGGAACAAUUCCCAUCUGCCAUUUCCUUCCCACUGAUCAUAGUGUCUGGGUUCCGAACCACAAAUCUGCAUGAUCAUCACUUAGCACUGUACGUAUAAUAAGCUUGCACCCCUGUAUAAUUAUCUCCCUACUCUACUUAUUUCUGCCUCUUCAUGUGGUGUAAGAUAUAUGAUGAGAUGAAGUUUUUGGGAUUAGUGGUCGGGUUGCCUUAAAAACACAGAUUACAGAAACUGCUUGAACUUAACCCGAUCAUGUUUUCUCUUGUACUCGUAAAGCAUGCUGUUGUGGUUCUACUUAAUUUCGUUCUCCCCAAUGUUUGAGUGUUUAAUUGUUACGUUGGAUAAUGCUUGUAGUUAGAGAAGCCUUCAUUUAUAUCAAAGUCCUCAACUUGUAAAGAUAUCAAUGGUCCUAGUGCUGCCACGUGUAAGAAGAUUGAAGAAUAAAGCUGUUGAGAUAUUGUUAGACCUGUUAUGCAGUUUAGGAAAACUGUUAGUAUUGAUAAGAGAAGGUUAGAGAUGUUAGAGAGGUUAGAAAACACGUGAACAAGGCUUUAACUCAGCUGAUAUAAAGUCUGUAGUUGUGCUCAGUUGAACUUAAUGAGAAAUACAACAAGUCUCUUCUCUAUCUCUGAAAUUCUCUCUGCUCUCUCUGCUUUACUUCUUUUGUCUCUGCUCUACAUUUUUUUUCAAUCUUCCUAUCUUAACAAAACUAUCAAGAAUUAAUGCAUCCAGAAACAUAUAUACCAAGACGCAAAACAACAUAUUUUUCAUGCUCUGUCUGUAACACCAAAGCAAACUUCCUUUAUCACAAAAGGAUCAAAUUCCAGUACUAAUCUAAUCCAUCAUGUAAAGCAUACAAUCUACAAGUGCCUCCCUUAAUUUGUCCAUUGGAUAUAUAUGUCACUUUUUGGUAAUUUGGUAUAGCAGCACCACGUAGUCUUGAAAUAGUAGUGCGGCUAUACCAAAUAUACCAUUUGCCCCUGCAUUUAACAGAAAAGUAAACAAAAUUGACGGUAGAACUAUUUGUCCUAACGAAACUGCAGUUGAAAGACCAUGAGAACGAUUUUGAAAAUUGAGGGACUCAAAUGAAAAUUGGGUCUAAGUUCAAGAACCAAUAAAACGAUUAACCCAUAGAUUUUGGAUCCAGUACCACAUCCCAAAGAGAAAACCACAAGUUUGCAAGCAAGUUUGUCCAUAAUAACACUACGUACAGUAUGGGCAGUGCGCUAGACUCAUCUCACUUUCUCAACCUAUCCUAUAGUUGUCUAAAAGAGUUUCUAAUUUAAUGUACUGAGAUUUACGAAAGAAAUAUCAGAGAAACAAUUUUCAGGCAAUAAAAAAAUGUCUUGGCAAGAAAAUGUACAAUUUGUUACAUAACUUAUUAAAUAUGAACAGUUGAAAGAAAAAAGAAUCUGGAUGAGGGAUUUGCAAAUUCCUAUGGCCCAAUUACCUUUUUUUCUUUGUUGUUUUUUUUUUUUUUUUUUUGGUUCUUUUGAUCCAGUAGCAUAUUCCAAAGAAUGAAAACCACAGGCAUGCAAUGCAAGCUCUUUUCCCACGUUUUCCUCUGUUUUUCUCCUAUCAUGGAAGUGAUUAAAACACACCUCUAAGCUUGUUUUGCGUUUGGUAGCCGAGUGUAAAAGCUCAAUGCAAGAUAGUUUGAGGUAGAAUUUUCUCCUAUUUUAUUAGGACAAUGAUAAUUAAAAAAAAGUGUGAUUCAUUGAAUAUUUGCGGGGUUUUGUUCAGACCUGACAAAGUUCUAAGUCAACACAUCAAAUUCCUUUUUCCAACAUGCAACAAUUGUAUUUGAUUCCCAAUUUUUUCUGAUAUACAUCACAUCAUGCCACUUGCAUCAAAUGAAUUUAAUUGAGUGAGGCAAUGGGAAGUAAUUAAGCUCUGUAUUCGUGGGUGGAGUGUUACUUCUGGAACCCUAAUAAUUCGUCCCUACAGGACUCUAGAACUCUCAAACUUCUUACAAGGACUACUUAACUCUAUAGCUUAAUGCAUAUAGCAUAUAUAUGCAAACACAAUUAGAAAUUCUACAACAGAAGCAAGAUCAAUCUCACUAUGCCUUCUAAACAAACAAACAAAUAAAACAAGCAUAUUAAUUGCUUUAAUCACUCUACUAACAUCAACACAGCACACUUAGUUUACUAACAGAUGAUAUAGAAAGGAAAAAAAAGGACCAAUAGGGAGAAAAUGGUGAACUAAGGAGAGACUAAUACUUCUGGUCCUUAGAAGGCAUAACAGAAAUAAUAGAGCACACUGCUUGAAUGCAAGUCAGUAUUAGGAGCAAAACAGCUGCAAUGAAAGAAAUAGUUGCCCAAGGUGUAUUGAAAUAAUGUUGCCUCAAAUUUGCCUUCCAUUUGUUCCAAGGCUUUCUGCAGUAGCUAUUAAGGCGCUCAGAAAGAAUAGCAAAGUAGAAGCUUUCACGAUACACUGCAAUUCCUUUUCCGAGGUUGUUAAUCAGAGUGCACACCUCAUUGUAGUCACCAAGCAUAUUUUUGACAAUCCCAUCCUUCAGAAGGAACUCCACAUCCUUUUCGGUGUUCACAAACUCAUCCAUGAGUGAAACAUAAUCACUUAUGUAAUUCUUACGGCAAUGGCACUAUUCAAAGGCAAUGAGGUUACGGAGUGUGAGCUCUGUGUAAUCGUGUAUUUUUAGUUUUGGAAUUUCUAGAAUCCCAUCGUUGAAUUGUGUUAACGCAGCUUUCCUUUCCUAGCCUACACGGAAGUCAACUUCACAAUCUCCUCCUAGCAAUUAGUCUUUCCUGCUGUAAAUCAGAUUUCCUACUGUAAAUCGGAUUGUAUUCAUGUCUAUAUUAUUUCCUACUUUAAGUAGAUAUCUUGUACUAGUAUAAAUAGGGACUUUGUGUAAUCUGUUAAAUACAAGGAAAUAUAUACUCUGCAUGGUAUCAGCCUAACCUAGGGUUCUCUCUCUCUCCCUUAUUCGAUCCUCUUCUCCUUUAGGUCCACCUCAUGGCUUUGUCUGAAUCCACCAUCUCCCUCCCAAGCCCCAACUCUUCUAUUUUAUCAAGCUUAUUGACUCCAACUAUCUUCUUUGGCUCCGCCAACUCAAACCCUUUUUAGUCGGCCAUGACCUCUGGAAAUUUAUCGAUGGCAUUCAUAAACAACCUUCUGCCCACACCUCCACCUCUACCACCGCAACACCCACAACCACCACCACUCUUACCCAAAUCAAUCAUGCCCAUGCUCAGUGGUACCAACAAGACCAACUCAUUGUUAGCUACAUCACCAAUACACUCUCUGAGUCCAUUCUCUUUCUCACUGUUGGUUGCACCUCUGCCCGGGAUCUCUGGGAGUGUCUCCAACGCCACUUCUCUCAAUCCAGUAUGGCCAGUGAAUCUACUCUUCGUUUUAAACUCAUGGAUUUGCAAAAAGGCUCUGAACCCACUUAUGCUUACAUUCGUCAUGCUAAGUCCUUUGCCGAUUCACUGGCUGCCAUCAAUGAACCUGUCUCCCCAAAAGAACUUGUCACUACUGUGCUUUGGGGUUUAAGACCCUAUUGCAACAUCCUCGUCACAGCAAUUCUCAAUUUCCCUCUGCUUCCUAACUUUGCUAAUCUUCGUGCUCGUUUGUUAGCAUUUGACGCACAGACUCCUUGAAUCUCUCCUGAUCAAAACACAGCGCAAAUGGCCACCCAAUCCUCUCCUCACACCACCGGUCAUACUUCCUUCCCUUCUCACCGUGGUGGUGGCUCUUCCAACAACAGGCGUGGUGGCCUCGGUGGCUGGCGCAAUAGCGGCCGGGGUGGCUGGCGCAGCUUCUCAUCUUCCUGGAGCAACCCGUGGAAUGGCUUCCAGCAGCUCCAAUGACCUAAUCAACCAUGGCCUCCUUUUGCUCCAAGUUCUGGAUCUCAAAGCAACUGGCCUUCCUUUCAGCCUCCUUGGGCCUAAUCUGCCGCUUCUAUCAAACACUUUGCCCGGCCCAACUCAGCUCCUGGUGUCUUGGGACCCGCUUGGUGCACUACCUGCAAUACCAAUCACAUACUACUACAAUAUGUCCUCAUCGCUACAAUGGCCCAGAAUCCUUUCUUUGCUAGGGCUCAAUUCAUGUAGCCACCUGACUCUACUUGGUACCCUGACACAAGUACCACUCAUCAUAUGAUUGGUAGUCCUUCUAAUCUCCAAAAUCAAUCCUUCUAAUCUCCAAAAUCAACAGCCAUAUCAGGUUCAUAAUUCUGUAUUUCUUGGUAAUGGAGAUUCUCUCCCUAUCUCUCAUACUAGCUCUCUCUUUUGUCUUCCAUCUCUUCGUACUAAUCUUCUUUUUGUUGCCCAUUUUACUUGUGAUAAUUUAGUUUUCUUUGUCUUUACUCUUGACUUUUAUCAAAUCUAUGACUUAUGUACUGGUUCGUUACUCUUUCAGGGCCCUUCUAAAGAUGGUCUUUACCCACUUUCCAUCUCCUCUCACUCAUCCAUAGUCCCCCAUGCCCUUACCACCGUGCACUCUCCUGCUUGGCAUCAUUGCCUUGGCCAUCCAUUCCAUCGUGUGCUCUCUCAUUUAGCGCCAUCUCUAGGCUUUAAAGUUUCUCAUGCUUUCUGUAAGGAUUGUGCACUUAGCAAAUCCACCAAACUGUCAUUUCUUAGUAAUAAAACCUUUGCCCCAUCUCCCUUUUAUUUAAUUCACUCUGAUGUAUGGAUGUCCUCGGUCAUUUCUGUCACUGGUUAUCGCUAUUAUGUCUUGUUUACAGAUGACUUUUCUCGUUACUCCUGGAUCUAUCAUAUGCACCGUAAAAAUGAGGUCUUUUCUCACUUUCAAACCUUUCUUGCUAUGGUUAAAAAUCAAUUUCACACCACUGUACAAAUUCUUUAAAGUGACAAUGGCACUGAAUAUGUUAAUAAUGCUUUCUCUGAUCUUUGCAGUCAACUAGGCAUCCACCAACGUUUCACAUGUCCCCACACUCCCCAACAAAAUGGCCUAGCUGAACAUAAACACAGACACAUUGCCACCAUGAUCUGUCCCCGGUCAUUUAUUCAACCAUCUUGACCUUUUGCUUGAUCAUUUUCCACAAGCAACCGUCCACGUACCCCAAUAAUUUAAAAGGGCUGAUGAUCUUUAAUUUGGUGAAAGCUUCUAUCUACCUACCGUGCUAUAUAUGAGCUAUGCAAUCGUGACCGUGUUACAUGACGUCCCAAUGUCGUAGGGAUAAAAAAAUAAUAGUCAUGGUUUUCUUAUUAAUGUCAAUACAUUCAUAGCAAAGAGCUUGUAGCUCUAGUGGUUAAGAGCAAUUACCCAUGCACUUGAGAUAUUUUGUGUUUAAAUCCCCUCUUCCCCAAUAUUUCUUGUAUAAAAAUAAAAAUAACAAUAAUAAUGACAUUAAUGUUGUAUUCUAUAAAGUGUUGGACAUGUUUUAUACCCCUUUCUUGCAAAUUACAGUUUGCCACGUGUACAAAAAUAAUAGAUAAGUGUUGGACAUCAAGAGCACUUACAUAUAGGUUUAAUAGGUAAGUUUUGAAUAUUUCUGUAUUUAGCUUUAAAUAUUGAAAAUCAACCUAUUAGCAUAUUAAAGAUUUGUCCAUAUUCGACGUACAUUCUCUUAUUUUUCUCUCAUUGAAGUAAAUACAAAACUAAGCACAUAGUGGGAAAGUGCGUCACGAUUAGGGGUGGGUUUAGUCUAGGUUGGUUCAUUUUUGGGCUCAAUUUGAACACCGAACUGUAAGCUUCGGUUUGGCUAUUUUGGAAACCGAAACCAAACCAUAAUUGAUGAAAACCGACCACUUCGAUUACCUUCUGGUCUUCCAACCAGAAGAAAACUCAAAACUUUAACCAUACCAAGUGCAACAGAAUUACACCAGGCUGGAUUCAAGUUUAUGAUGGUUAAAGAUAAAAACUUAUUUGACAUACAAUUUGAGAAUGGAAUCCUCAAAAUUCCACACCUGCGAAUACGGGGUUUAACAGAAAUUUUCUUCCGCAAUCUUAUUGCCUAUGAGCAGUGUGAGCUUCAUGAUCAUUACAUCAACGACUAUGUCUUCAUCAUGGACCGCCUGGUCGACAGUGCCAGGGAUGUGGAAUUGCUUGUGAAGAGUGGAAUUCUUGAAUCUAUGCUACCGGACAGCGAGGCAGCAGGGGAAUUUAUUAAUUCUCUUGACUUGGGGCCUAUUUUAGGCAAGCUUGAAACAAGACUAUUUCAGUUCACCAUGGGCUGGCCUGUCUAUUAUUGUAGCCGCUAUACUAGUUGUGCUCACAUUUAUUCAAACAGUGUGCUCCGUAAUGGCGCUGUAGGUUCUUCAUUUCCUCAAUUUCAUGUUUAGUGGUUGCAGAUUUGUUGCUCAUGUACGUGUUUAUCUAAAGUUAAAUAAGAGUGAUUGACUGGAUUGACUGUUAGUCUGUUAGUUUGUUUUUCUGGGGUUUUUCCCCCCUGUUCGUCAAAAAAAAAAAUAAAAGAGUGAUGGCUUGUGCCUAUGAAAAUUACUUAGGAGUAUGCUCCACAGAGCCAAAAUAAAUAAACUAGGGAAGUGGAGGUUCUUCUGUUUGUAUAUAAAUGAGCAAUUCAAACUCUCAGUGCCAAGGGAGUUACCCUUGAUACAUUUGUUAAAAAUUAUAUAUUUGGUCUUACAUCAAACAAAUAAUUUGAAGGGCUUUUUUGACAACUGCUGACAGCGUUUGGCAGAAAAGUUUAGAAGCGCUUCUACGCUUCUAGAUCAUAAAAGUGCUUUACCAAAAAGCACUUAGAUUUCUUAUGAAAAUUUCAACAUUUUUAUAAUAAAAGCGCUUGCUAGAAGCACUUAUAAGCAGAAGUGCUUCAUAGAGAAGCAGUCCCAAACGAGCUUGAUUUUCAAAUGUGCUGCUUAAGAAGAAAUUUAAUACGUUUUGAAAACAAAAAAAAAUACGAAAUUUAAUACGUUUGUUUUACAAAUUGUAUUAAUUGUUAUCAAUAAUACUUGUGCACACCCACAACAUACUUCUUUCUUUCUUUAUUUUCCUUCAGUACAGUUCUGCCUUUCUUUAAUUAUUUUUAACGAAUGCAAAGAGUUUGUCACAAAAUCAAGGAUUGAAAAAAAAAGAGAGUAAAUUAUGUGCUAGAGAAACUUUCCUGCAGAAAUUGAAGAACAACUCUAGUUUCUCUCUUUCGCCUUGUACUCCCGCACUGAGGUUAGUAUUGUUAUAAUGUGCAGAUUAUACGGUCACUCUUGUAUAAUGGCGAGAAGGCUCUAAUUAUAUUUUUGAACCUCUUUGACAGGACCCGCCCCGAAUUUCCCGAAACCCAAGACGAAUUCUGUGGAAAUUCCCUACAUCACCCCGAUGUUGGGCCCACUUCUAAAACUAUAUCAUUUUUCCUAAAAAGGAAUAAGGGCACGAGACUUUCUACCGAAAUUUCGGCAGAGUCUCUCCUGUAAAUUGAACAUUUCCCAAAAUUUCAACCUGCAUAAAACACAUUUUAUAUUACCCAACUGGCAGCAUGCACAAAAUAAUAACAUGCAAUUCACAUAAACGGCCUCUGGCCCUCCGGUAAUUCAGAGCAAUGCAAACUAGCAACUCUAAACCUAAUAAAACAACAUAAGUAACAUUUAGCCAGCGGCUGCACCCAGGCACUACCCUAGGCUACCUACGUACCCUUACUAAGGGAUCAAGCCACACGUAGUUCUUUCAUACAAAAUUUCCAAAUCCAUCAACAUGCAAUCAAUUACAGAAUCCCAAACAAAAUCUUUCUCAAACAUCAUUAGUUCCCAACUCAGUAUAAUAAUCCUUAAUUCAUCUCUGUAAUAAUCACAAUAUCUCCCCAUACGCCGGAACUACCAACACCACGUAUGGAGCCUGCCUGUACGCCAGAUAACCAACGACACGUGGGACCUCAUCAUCAUAUCACAUAAUCUCCCCAUACGCCGAAACUACCAACACCACGUAUGGGGUCUGUCAACACGCCGGAUAACCUACGACGUGUGACCUCAACAUCAAAUCACAAUAUCUCCCCAUACACCGGAACUACCUACGCCACGUAUGGGGUCUGUCCACAUGCCGGAUAACCUACGACACGUGGGACCUCAUCAUCAUAUCACAUAAUAUAUUAACGAUCAAGAAAUAUCACUACGGUCAUUUAAUCCUCCUGGGAAGGUAAAACUAUCUCAGGAGACUCACGGUCAACCAAGGGUCAAACUACCUCAUACUUGGACAAACGAGCCCACGGAGCCCACAACCUCCGUUUUACUAUCCAAGAGUUCCUAUAGGUUCUACAAGGUUUAGGAUACACGGCUUGCAAGUUUGGUCAAGAUCAGACGGUCGGAUCGCUCACGAUAGGACGGUUACUGCAAACCUAGCCCUAGGGUUGGCAUUUUCGGAGUAUCCGAAACUCCGUUUUACGAUCUGUCGAAUCAUAGACGAUCCUAAGGAUUUGCAGACUAACUAUAAUAAAUUCAAGACCAUCCAACGGUCUAAACCUAUCGAACCCGGAUAACGCGCAAUAGGCAAUAUCCAAAUUGAAAUCCGAGCACACCUACGCACUCGUGAGGACUAGGAGAUUACAUCGGGACAUAGUGCCCUUUUUCUACAGUGCCCAUGAGCCGCCGCACGCACCAGCAACGCGUGGGUGCCCAAAGCGAUUAUGCAUCGCCAAAAAAUCUCAAAACCACGGCUCAAGACUCCUACCCUAGGUAUAACACCCUAUUUGGAACCACUUUUGUUCUUGGACCUACCCCAAAAACUGAUCAGAAGUGGCCGGAAUGGCUGAAAUGUAAUUCAAAAAUCAAGCUACCAACGCUCAAAAUCGAUGCAAUCCUACCCAACCAUCAACUAGAUUAUGAAGAAUGGAUAAAUUUCCAUACCUUGAUCGCCAACAAUGGCGGCCGGAGGAGAGAGAUCUGAUCCGGCGAAGUUCGAGUGAAAACGGCCAAAAAUCAUCUUUUUCAGGCGGCUGGAGGGCGACCGAUGUCAGGGAAGGGCAGGGUCGUGACGCUAAGGCUGAGCCUGUCCUUUUGGCACCGGUCCCUUCCGCAGCCGUGUCCGGUGGCUGGAGUUUCGAAGAGAGAGAGAGAGAGAGAGAGAGAGAGAGAGAGAGAAAUCUGAUUUUUAUCAAACCUUUUUGCCAAAAUUACGGUUAUGCCACUGAGGGUAUUUUGAUAGUAUCUCUCUCGUUACAACUUCGAUUCGAGCCCACCACGUGUGUACGGACUCAUCUAACUGUGUUGUACGCAACGGUAUAGUCGAAAUUCCCAAAUUAUUUCCUUGUCAAAAAGUCAACUUUAAACAUUAUAAAAUAUUUUAGGGAAAAAAUGGUAUUUUCUCUCAAUAAAUUAGUAACUAAUUUAUUUAGGACUGGGUCAUUAUACUCUUUUUCGCUUCAAUGGAUGGGAAAAAAUUUUAUGUAAUAUCCCACAUCGACCAACGAAGAGGGGGCGAUGUGUCUUAUAUGUACAUGCCCGCCUCCAUCUAGCAUAAGGCCUUUUGGAAGCUCACUGGCUUCAGAGUCAUGGGAACUCCGAAGUUAAGCGAGUUGGGGGCUAGAGCAAUCCCAGGAUGAGUAACCCACUGGGAAGUUGCUCGUGAGCUUCGAGAAACAAAACCGUGAGGGCAGAGAGAGGGGCCCAAAGCGGACAAUAAGGCCUCGUGCUAGAUGGAGGCGGGCAUGUACAUAUAAGGCACAUCACUCUCUCUCCGUUGGUCGAUGUGGAAUGUUAGAAUGGAAUUGUUACCUUUGGUGUGGAGGUGUUCUAUCAUUUGAGCAAGAAAUUCCCACAUAUUCUUCAACUAUUUUUCAAGCAUGCAUAUUCCUCCCUAUCAAUCUUUGGUUUCUUCCUUUACUGUGCAUAGUAAGGAUCCAGUCAGGGACGGACCGUCGCUAUGACUAUCCUGGGCUAUAGCCCAGGCAAAUUAUUUUUUUUUCUAGUCUAAAAUAGCAAUCCCACCGCUUGCUGUAGUACUUGUUCAGUUCGUCACAAACAUGAGCAUAAUAGAAGUUAUCAACAUCUAUAUAGGAACCCCAAUGAAAAGGCUGUUAACUAAUAAUGAAGUUAACCCGUCAAUUUUUCCGCAUAUCAGAUAUCUCUCAGAAUAUGCGAUUCCAUAUUCAAUAAGCCACUCCACAUGCCCUGAGGUUUUCAUCAAACCACCCAUUAAGGAAACAUACUGACUCAUGUAAUUAUCAUUACUCAUCGGGUAAUGCAAUUGUUCAAAGGCAAGGACAUUUCUCAUUAUUUAUGUAGCGAACCCCAAUGGAAAUGGUGGGAUCUUCAGAACCCCAUCGGUGCUACUGAAUUGUAUGUCAAAUAUGUUUUCACCUUGUCACGCCUCAAACUUGACUCCAGCGUGCUGUAAUUCUGUCAAGCUGGGUAUGGAUGAUGGGAGUUUGAUGCAGGAGCAUAGGGGUGGAUCAAGAUAGAUAUUUACUAUUUAAUUAGUUAUUUCAUGAUAUAUUGUUAUUUUCUUAUUUAGGUAGUUUUAUGAUAUCUUUUAUUAUUUAUGUGUGAUUUUAUAAUUAAUUAGUAUACUUUUGGACCAAGUAGCCUUGGUGCUCAAGUCUUGUAAAGCCUAUAAAUAAGGCUAAUGUAAUAGUUGUAGAAUAGAUGUCGAUGAUUAAUAAAAUCGUUUAUUUGUGGCAUGGAUUUGCUACGAUAUAUGUGAGUUUGCACUAGCCCUAGAUUUCAGUGCUCGUGUAUGUGGUUGGUGACCUGUGUCCGGAUCCCGAUCCCCAUCAAUUGGUAUCAGAGCUAUGGCUCAAGAUCUGCUAUAUCGGGGAGGUUUUUGGAUGGAGGGUCGUUUUAACAACUACAACGACAUGGAGGAAAUUAGGAGGAUGCUACGGCAACUUAUGGAACACAUUGCUCGCAUUGAAGCUCGAACCCAGAUAGGUAAGAGUUCUGACGGGGAGGGAUGUGUGAACCCUUAUCUGAACCGAGUAGCUCGCAUCGACACUCUAAGCCGUGAGAGUCUCGACGGGGAGUACGAGGGAGAUAGCCCUUUUCAUUAUUGUGCUCCGCUGUGUGAGUCAAGUGAAGAGGGGCACGGUUAUUCUCAUUGUGUCUUUGAAGGUAUAAAUGAAUUUAGUAAUUUUGGUGCAUCUUGUUAUUCAUCAAAGUUAUUAAAUUUGGAUUUACCUCCAUUAUUUGAUCCUUGCAAUUGUGAAAAUUGCAAUAAAAAUUGUUUGGGUGUUCAAAGCAAUUUUGAUAAGCAAUUUAUUGACCAGAACAGUGAAGAGAUGAGAAUUGAGAAAACUUUCGAAGAUAUUAUUGAUUUUAUGGGCAUUAAUAUUUUCACUUGGAAGGUUGCCAAAAAUCUGGUUGAUUUUGUCAAUCGGUUGAAGAUUCUAGAGAGAAACAUUUGCAUUGCUAGAGGGAGUAAGAAGUCAAGAAUAACGAAAUAUUCCAAAUAUCUUUUUAUUUGGAAAGGAAGGUUUCAAUUGGAUGCUAAAAGAUCCAAAAUUAAUAUGCAGCAAUUGAAGAUUCUACUCGGAUUUUCCUUAAUCAAAGGCUUGAAUUCGAGGACGAAUUCUUUCCAACUAUGGGAGUCUGAUGCAGGAGCAUAGGGGUGGAUCAAGAUAGAUAUUUACUAUUUAAUUUGUUAUUUCAUGAUAUAUUGUUAUUUUCUUAUUUAGGUAGUUUUAUGAUAUCUUUUAUUAUUUAUGUGUGAUUUUAUAAUUAAUUAGUUUACUUUUGGACCAAGUAGCCUUGGUGCUCAAGUCUUGUAAAGCCUAUAAAUAAGGCUAAUGUAAUAGUUGUAGAAUAGAUGUCGAUGAUUAAUAAAAUCGUUUAUUUGUGGCAUGGAUUUGCUACAAUAUAUGUGAGUUUGCACUAACCCUUGAUUUCGGUGCUCGUGUAUGUGGUUGGUGACCUGUGUCCGGAUCCCGAUCCCCAUCAGAGUUCCCCUCCAGCUUUUGAUUCCAACGGUUGAUAGAGUUUAAAUAUUUUCCUGAAAAGAUCAAUAAUAUGUGCCACUGAUCUAAAAGUCUCCAAAUUGUCUUCCAAUUUGUCAACAGGCAAUAGAUGUUCGAAGAAACUGAAAGAAAUACAAAUUAUUGAAAGCCCCUCAGUAAUGCUGUUAUUGUCAGCAUUAGCAGGGAGUGUAAUUUUCUGUGGGUCGAAAAGAUCCUCGAGAAUGAAGAAUGGCAACUGAUUUUCAAGCAACCACGUAUCUGUCCAUGCAUCUUGCAACAUACCUGGUUUGUCAAAUAUGCGGUCAUUUUCGUCCCAAAAUUUGAAGUAGUCCUUCAAUAAGGGCUCAAUAACGAAGGCGGCGCCCACUAGAAUGAUUGUUACAAAUUCAUCACUGCUAAACUUGAUGGGUUCUCCAUAACAACGUCUCAAUCUUGCUUCGUGGUCCUUUAUUUUCUUAAUAUAAUCCUCCAAACUCACAUUGGUCCGACCUAUAAAAUCUUGCAGGUAUCUCUGUUUGUUCUCUUCCAAUACGACAUUCAAGCCUUCCUUUCCAUGGUGAAGUGGACCUAUAGAGACCGACUGCCUGAGGUGUGCAGAGCUUUUCAUUCACACAUACGUAGAUAAAAUGUCUGGGGGCUCAGAGAGUGAUGAAUGUGCAACAGCUAAUGGGAGGGUUUAUAUUCCUGAAGUAAGAAAUGAGGAAACACCAGCAGUUGGGAUGAAGUUUGACUCGCUUGACCUCGUUUACAAUUUCUAUAAUAGAUAUGCAUUCUUGGCUGGCUUUGGUAUUCGACUUCAUUCUAGCUUUUGGGGGAAAAAUAAGAAAGAGAUUUUGAGGAAAGAAUUUGUAUGUUGCAAACAAGGUGCAUACAAGAAGGAUGAAACUCGGGAGAGAAAAAGACAACGGGGAAUAAGUAGAUGCAAUUGCAAAGCAAAGAUUGUGGUUGUGAAGACAAAUGGGAGCAAGAAGUAUACCAUUUCUCUUUUUGCAGAGGGACACAAUCAUAAGAUGACACCCUCAGAAAGAAUGCAUUUAUUGAGAUCACACCGUCAUAUUUCAGAUUCUACAAAAGUACUCACAAAACAGUUGGGUUCAGUUAAUAUUCCCAUUCAUCAGAAGGUAAGUAUAUUCGAGGUGCAAUCCGGAGGAAUGGAUAAAAUCGGUUUUAUCAAAAAAGAUAUCUACAAUCUUGAAUGUAGUGUGAAUGGGAAGCUGAGGAACCACGAUGUUGAACUAGUGACCGAGUAUUUUAUGGCUGAACAGAAAAAAAAUGAGGCUUUUUAUUUCAAGAUUGAGGGAGAUGGGCAUGACAGGUUUAGUCGAUGUUUUUGGGCAGAUGCAACUUCUAGACGGGCGUAUGGGUUUUAUGGAGAUGUUGUUGUAUUCGAUACCACAUUCAACACGAAUCGAUACGACUUGACAUUUGCACCAAUGUUGGGAGUUAAUAACCAUGGUCAGACAAUUGUCUUAGCAUGCGCAUUUUUGAGCAAGGAAACGACUGAGUCGUUUGUUUGGAUGUUUGAGGAGUUUAAGAAAGCCAUGCCAGGUGGGGAACCUAAAACGAUCAUUACAGAUCAAGAUGCGGCAAUGGCCAUAGCGAUUUCAAUAGCCUUCCCGAGUACAUUUCAUCGACUUUGCAUAUGGCACAUCACAUCAAAGUUCUCUGUUAAGUUACCACGUGACGCUUAUAAGGAGUAUUGGCCUGAAUUUCAGAAAGCCAUAUGGGAUACUGACAAUAAGGAUGAGUUUGAUGCAAAAUGGAAUAUUGUGGUUAUAAAGGCUGGUUUGACUGACCAUCCAUGGCUAAGUUCAAUGUUUGAUUUAAGGGAAUCUUGGGUUCCAGCCUACGCACGACAAUUUUUUGCCGCUGGAAUGUCAAGCAGCCAAAGAGCGGAAGGUUCUCAUGGUUUUUUCAAGCAAUACAUAUCAAGGAGAAAUUCGUUGAUGGAUUUCAUAAUACGAUUUGAGAGGGCAUUUUCUCAUCAACGUGAAAAAGAGUUAGUUGCUGAUCACGUAGAUGCAUUUGAAGUGGCUCAAUGUCUUCUACCGAUGCCAAUGAACAAACAAAUGGCUACCUUGUACACAAGGACAAUGUUUCAAAAGUUUGAGCAAGAACUAAUACAAAGUACAGCAUGUUUCCUAGAGCUCAAAACAGAGGAUGCAUGUAAAGUUGUGUUCAACGUGAGCGAAAGGAAAAAUUGGGAAACAAGAGUGGCAGAAGUCGUAUAUGUCAAAGAUUCUGACCACGCAUCGUGUAGCUGCAAAAGAUUUGAAUUUGUUGGAAUUAUUUGCAAGCACAUCCUAGCAUUGUUCAGAAGGGACCAGAUUGAAUAUAUGCCCGAUAAAUAUAUUUUGAAGAGGUGGAAGAAAACUGCGAAAUGUGGAUUGGUGUCAGAUGCAAAUGGCAACGAAAUUAAAGACUGUGCAGAUCCUGGCCUUCUAAUAAAGCGGAGUACAAUGUCUCGACUUGCUUCAAAUGUGGUUGAGGAUGCAUUAAUGAGUGAAGAAGGAUGUGAGCUACUGUCAGAGACUCUAAAAAGUUUGCAGGUGAAGUUGAAGUUGCUGAAGGAUGGACCAAGUAAUAACGAAGUUGGAGGGUCCAGCUCUCAAACACAAUAUAUGAAAGACCCUAAGAGAGUGAGGUGCAAAGGAAGGUCGAAAGGAAUAACGGGAGCAAAGGAAAAGGCAAUGAAGCGAGGGAUUAGACACUGUCGGGAGUGUGGACACAUUGGUCAUGAUAGAAGACAAUGCCCAGCCUUGAACACACCGUAAGAUGCUACCACUAUUUGUAAUAAUAUCUAAAAUAUGAAAAGGUAAAAUUUUUAUGUGCUUGUGUUUGAUGUUUAUGCAGGACAUCACCGUCGAACAAUGACAAAUCAACUCCAAUACAUCGUAGUGACCCAUUAUUCGACGAUUUUGACAAGAUGCACAGACCAACUGAAUGAUUGAUAUUUGUAUUAGACGAAAUGUGGUUGUUAUGAAGAUUAAUGAUCAAGUGAAGUUUUAUAGAUUCAGUUUUUGAAUGUUAUUGUGUUUUUGUUCAUGUCCACCGAUGAGCUCUUACUAUGUCCACUGGUAAUUGAAAUGAAAAUUUUCUUGGUUUCAUUCUUCCAAGACAUUUGGAGACAUGUUAAUUUUACGUCUUCUCCCUAUUUAUAAAUUUUCAUAGACAUUUGAUCAAGUUUGAAAUUUGUAGUUAUGUGAAGAAGCAAUGACUCUUACCAUGUAAAAUGGGCAGUUUAGGGUGAAAUUUGUUUUAACAGAGAUUCAUUUUUCAAUUCCUCAGGGUAAUGCAGCAAUUACAGCAGCCAGCUGUUGUUUCCAUUACCAGUAAUCAUUUCCAGCAGCAGCCACUUUUUCCGACUGGUUAUUAGGGGCACGAUUUUGUACACUUUUGUAAGUGAAGGAUACUCGAAGCACUUUGUUGGAACAGAGCAAAUAGAAACCAGCGGGUAAAAAAAAAACAUAACAUUGCAGCUAAUUACAUUUCGAUACAUAGGUGAAAAAUAUUAAAGGGUACACUAACUUACAUAAAUACUCAUAAUUCCACACACAAAAGAACAUUUGAUUGCAAAACAUAUUAUGUGCUUCCUCAUAGCAAUACCACGAUCUCCCCAACCAACUGAACAACGGUAGCCACAAUCACUGGGUCGUACUCGUCAGCUUCUUCUUAGCAGGUCUCACAUGCUUAUGGCCACUCAUAUCCCUAGUGAUAUACACGAAAUAAAUCUUCAGCAAUAUUUGGAAUUUUAUUAUAUAUAAAUAAACCAUAAACCAUUCAGUAAACAAUGUAUAGCACAUGUUAUGUAACUUAUGACUCACGUGUCAGUUUUUUUUUUAACACAUUAGUACUCCAGCUCUUUAAUGUAAAUGGACAUGAUAAGGAGCAUUUACUGAUUCCCGGCUUUCUAUGAUAUUGACUGCUUCUUGAAUAAUAUUUCCAUAUUUGCAAAAUAUAAUGUUAGACAUUAUAACACAUGAUGACUUGCAAUACAUAGUCCCAAUAAUUAUAUAUCAAGCAAAUGAAACUGAUAUUUGUGUUAUUUUAAGUUAGAUAAUGACAUUAAGGGAGUAUAUGUGCAAUACCACGGUCACCCUCAACCAACUGAACAGCGGUAGCCGCAAUCACUUAGUCGUAUCGGUCGGCUUCUUCCGAGCAGCUUUGACGUGCUUAUGCUCAUUCAUGUCACCCCCAUCGUCUAGUAUCUCUCUCACAGCAUCAGGGGACACAUAGUUCCAAUCAUAACUUGUAUGAGUAGUUGCCGCAAAUGCUCGGAAUUUGUCGAAUCCUUCGUUGAAUGCCAACUCCAGUUCAGUAUGGUGCUCUUCGCAUCGCAUAUGGUUCAUCAAACAACCUUUGAUUUCAUCAUUCAUUACUGUAUCCAACUCCUCAGCUUUCAGCUUCCUGCUAUGACUCAGCUUCAAGUACUUGUUCUUUUGGGAUAACGCUUUGUUCACCCUAAUGUUAAGAUCAGCCAAAAUUGCCUCGUCUUCAACACAUUUCUCGUGCCAUGAAUUGAUCAGUCUGGAAUUAUAAUCCAGCUUGCCACUGACUGCAUGUAUUGCCUGUAAUGGAUCAUCGGAGUCCCCCUCACUCCCAAAUGAUGUUGAAAAAGGAAGGGGUCGGCGAGUACAAUGUGGAAAUAGAACCUGCCACUCCAAUUUGUCAUCUUCGAUUGUGUUGUUGGCGCCUGAAGAGGUUGACAUGCUUGAAUAAUCCUCUUUGUUUUGGGAGGAUGAGGAUUGCAUAUGCAAUUUCGUUUGAGAAAGGGAACAUAGGUUUAUAGACCAACAUACCAAAGCUUGUGUGUAGUCAACAUAUGUACUUUUUGGCGGGAAUUUUUUAAAAAUAGGUGUUAGGUUUUGCUUUUCAAGCAUGUCAACCUCACACUCUCCUGACACCACUGCUAGUGGUUGAAACAAAGUCAAUGGAAGUGACAUCUACUUAGUUAACUCAACCAAACUAGUUAGGAUUAAACUUAGAUUGUAUCAGACCAAAAAAUAAUUUCUACUUUGUCAACCAAAUAUUUUUUGGCGGGAACCCUUUUCUUGGUAUUACUAUCACCCCUUUCAUAUAAAAUCUCCUUCCACACAAAACUCACUCCUCCACCGAAUCUGUCUCCAUCUACCGAUACUCUCUCAAGCAAACAAACUCAUUCCCCCCAAAGAAUGAGCAUAAGCACAACCAAGUUUGAUGUGAGCAUAAUAAACACCCCUCCAAACAAAGACCGGCUUCGACACGCAAGUGAGUCACCGGACAAGCAAUGUCACAUUGCUAGACAGAAUGACCAUUUUGUUGGAAGUUUUGAGUCUGAAAGAGUUGUUGCUUUUUGGAAGGAGAGGCAUCUUCAACUUGGUGAUGAAAUCCAAAGGGCAAGGGCACGUUUGGAAUUUGUGGAAGGCCAAAUUGAAGAUGACAAAAGGCAGGCCAAUCUGGAUAGGGCGAAGUUGUAGCGCAUGAAGCGUAGACACAAACGACUUCGGAGUGUAGCUGUUCAAAAAUACAAGAACUCAUCUAAUGUAGUGGAGUCAAAGAAGCGUGUGAUGCAAGCUGGAUUCGACUACUUCCGAUCCUAUGCAAAACUCGUCGUACCCGGGUUUGAUUGGUCAUCUAUUACCGUUUCCGACGUCACCAAAUAUACUCAGCAAGGGAAGUAACCAUUUUGGUUCUCGUGUUUUAGCAGAGGCAAAUAAGUGGAAUUGGAAUUUUGGUUACACUCUGCUUCAAAGCUAUUUUGAUGCUAACUACUAUGGAAGAUUUAAACCUUAAUAUUUUGAUGUCUUUAAUUACGAAAACAGAAGAUGCAAAGAGCUCAUCUACUUCAGCCAUAUGUUGCUGCCAUGUCCAUUUGUUUUUGAUCACUUAUCAGAUUUGGACAUGGUUGCAUCAUAUGCAAUGUUGCCUUUAUUUAUUAUAUGUUAGGACAAGGUUUAUGGAAAAGCUUUUGUGAGUGCGUUUGUGACAAGGUUAUGGAAUUAUUAUGUACACUUUAUAUAUUGUUUUUUGUACUGGUUCAUUUCCUACUAUUUCUUGCUUUCUUUAUAUUUUAUGUUUGUGGAAUCCCUCUCAAAGUUAACAUAUACUGUGAAAAAAAUAUUAUGCAACUGAUUAUAUAAUCACUCAUAUAGACUAGGACAAAUAUUCACUAAGGGUUUUAAACUUGCUUCACUUGUGUGAUGUUAUUGACAAAAAGUAUGGCAUUAUUUAUGUGAUUUGACAUGAUUGAAAAUAUAUUACUGAUUCCCAAUGCGGCGUCAUAUGGACAACGUAUUGAAUACCUGUGACGUGUUAAUAACUCAAGGUGCAGUUGCAUGUGGACAACUUCUUGAAUACCUCUGACGUGUUGAAAACUCUAGGUGCAGUUGCAUGUGGACAACUUAUUGAAUACGAACUGACGUCUUCAAAGCUCUAGGCGUAGUUGCAAUGAUGGCUUCAAAGCAUGUGCAAUUAUUUUUUAUGUACAUUAUUAUAACAAAACAUAUUAUUGUAUAUAGUGAAACUAAAUAUUGUAUUAUUAGAAAUUAUAUUUCGAAUAUUAUCCGAAAUAUACGUGUUAACGUGAAUUUGGGUUAAGAGGAAAGUGAGUUAUGUACAAAUAAUUUUCAUUUUCUCAUUUUCCGGGCAUUUUUUGGAUUUUCGUAGAAUUUAUUACCUAUGUCCACAGAUUGUUGCACUAAAAAAGCCAAAAUAAUAGCAAGAGGACACCUGGAGCGAUCUCAGCCCGUCACUGAUGACUACUUGCACAAGUGUACGUCAGUCAACAUGGCCACACCCUCCCAUUUUACCCUAAAUUAUUAUUUUAUUACUUUUCCUUACAAAAAUCAGAACUAAUUACACACAAAAUAAAAAAAUUAUCCGAAAAUUGCUACGAACUCAUUGACACUCCAUCUCCGUUGCUGAAUUCUCCGAUUCAUUGUUACGUAUUUGUAAAAUUAAUUCCCAACAUUAACGGGAGAUGCUUGUUGAAGUAGGUUAUUCAAGUUGAAGUUAACAAACAUCAAUACUUAGGGUUAAGAGGAAAGUGAGUUAUGUAACACAAUUUGGAUUAUUUCAUUGCGAGACGAAUGAUUUAUAGGUUCUCCUAGUUUUAUGACGUCACAAGUAGGCCGGAGUAAUUUUUGGGGCAUUUUUACGAUUUUCCUACUAUUUUUUACCUAGUUUCAAAGAUUUUUGAACAAAAGAAUCCAAAAUGUAAAAGAAGAUGACACCUGGCGCGAUCUCAGCCCGUCACUUUUCACUACUUGCACAAGUGUACGUCAGUCAACAUGGCCACAUCCUCUCAUUUUACCCUAAAUUAUUAUUUUAUUACGUUUUGUCUUGGAAAAUUCAUAACUAAAUACACAAAAAUUCAAAAUUAUUUCUGAAAAUUGCUACGAACUCAUUGACACUCCAUCUCCGUUGCUGAAUUCUCCGAUUCAUUGUUACGCAUUUUUAAAAUUAAUUCCCAACAUUAACGGGAGAUGCUUGUUGAAGUAGGUUAUUCAAGUUGAAGUUAACAAACAUCAAUACUUAGGGUUAAGAGGAAAGUGAGUUAUGUAACACAAUUUGGAUUAUUUCAUUGUGAGACGAAUGAUUUAUAGGUUCUCCUAGUUUUAUGACGUCACAAGUAGGCCGGAGUAAUUUUUGGGCCAUUUUUACGAUUUUCCUACUAUUUAUUACCUAGUUUCAAAGAUUUUUGAACAAAAGAAUCCAAAAUUAACAAGAAUAUGACACCUGGCGCGAUCUCAGCCAGUCACUUUUGACUACUUGCACAAGUGUACGUUACCGAACAUGGCCACAUCCUCCCAUUUUACCCUAAAUUAUUAUUUUAUUACCUUUUUUCUUGGAAAAUUCAUAACUAAAUACACAAAAAUUAGAAAAACGAUCCGAAAAUUUCUACGAACUUAUUGCGAUUUCAUCUUCCUACUGCAUUCCCUGUUUAAUGGUUAUGCUACAUUAGUAUUUUAUUAUUAUUUAUCCACAAUUAUUAUAAUUAUUAUGAUAUUACUUUUUAGGCUGUCCAUUUGUUAAUUAUACCACAUCCAACUUGUUGAAAACAAUUUUAUUUUCCGUGCGAAUAGGCCAUUUGUAGUGCUUAUCGGUUUCUCUGUUCUUCAAUUUGUUAAUUUUUUUAUUUUUUAGGUUGAAGGGAUGUUUUGAAACAUAAUAUGGAAAUAUACAAGUCAUCCAUUGUACUCCUUCCACACAAAAAAAUAGUCUACGUCAUUCACUGUUCAACACCCUAGGUUAAGACACGUGUAACCAAAUCCGUUCGGAUAUGCUAAGUGGGAAAAUGUCAUUCCCAAGCACUGGUGAAAAGACACUUAUUUACUCCAUGCAUGACUUUUGGUUUACCAAAUAUGAAGAUUGGGGUCGGUGAGCAAAAUAUCUGUGUCAGUAAAAUGUCAUUCCUAGCCAUCUAUGAUGUAAGUAAUAAUUCCGCUAUAUAAUAAAUAUUAUACAUUUAUAUAUAAAACGGUUUAUGACAAAAUACCAACAUUUGAACAACAUUUAAACUGAGAUAGGUAUAACGUAGCCAGCCAACCUAGAAGUGAAGAGAAGCAAGUCCACAAUGCAUCAAAACUGUAAAUUCGUACUAAAACUAAUGCAAAAAUACGUGAUUCCCUCGCACAACUUACUCACGCAGGAUUUUGCACCAAAAAAUACUCUCACGGUGCCAUUUGCAUCGGUUGCAGCAAGUCCAAAACGCAGGAUUUAUCUUGUCUUCACUAGGCCACCCUGGAAUAACAAAAUACCAUUCAUUGUUGUUACAAGCGCUGCACCGAUUGAACUUAAUCUUCCCAUAGUCAAACAUAUCUACGAUAUGUCUUGCAACAAAUGCUCCGCGACAUCUUCCUGUUAAAGCAUCCCUGGUUCCUUUCAUAUCAAUGUUGUUACGUUGAUUCAAAGAACACAAGAAUUGUAAUGCAUCCUCUUUUGACUGACCAAUUCCGGACAUACCAAGUAGUCCAACUACAUAUGCCGCUUCCAUAUGGCCUGCCGUGGCUGCAAUGCGCAUCCCAUACAACGCUUCCACCUUACCGUCUGUGAAAAAACCUUCGAAUGCUUCUCUAAAUAUGGACUCAGGGUUAUCGCAAGCCCUGCAUUGUUGCAAGAAAUGCUGGACUGCAGGUUUGGCACGGUAGCAGAUAGGAUGGUGUGGGUACUUUGCCAUUGAAAUGGUGUUCCACACUUGUGGACUGUUUGCCAAAAUGUUGAACAAUCGGCACACACAUGCCAUACGGAAGAGAUCUUCCGAUGAUUCGGUUGCCACGUAUAACAUCACUUGAAACCAAGCGGACUCCGGGAUAAAGGCUUCGGGCAUAUCGAAAUGGAGAUGCUUCCUUCUCUUUCCUCCGACUGUAGUGAAGUGUUUCGAAUUCAUUGAAAAGUUUUUGGAAUGGAACGAUUUGAGGAGUGGCAGAGGGGAUAAAUGAUAAUAUUUGGGGUACACGUUCUACUUCCGAGCCUCUGUUUAUAGUGUUUUGAAAAGGUGUUUCCAGUUGGGGUUUUUCCAAGUUGACCCUUUUGAAAGAAACUGAAUCCAAGUGAAUUAAAACUUAAGACAAAAGAAGGGAAAACGUCAUAACGGUGCAUACAGAGUCAGACAGUUAAAAAGUUAAUUAAAUGGCUAUUUGCAUAGCCAUUUUUGGGUUUAUCCCACUAUCAAAUUCAUUGAUACAAAUGUGAUGGAUUACUGACUAGUGACAGAAGGUCCCAUCAUAUACUUUUUCAUUUUCGCACACCCAACUAUCCCUAGUAAUGUUAUUAAAAUGGAACCAAUAAUGACGGAUUCUUAUCCAACUAGUUGCCUUAAUGAAAUAUAAAUAAAUUAAUAAAAUUGAAGCAGUGUCCCGUCAUUAGUCAGAAAAUAUAUUUGGUAGUGAAGUAGUUUCUAUUGCUUUUCGGGCUAAAAGAUGUCACAAUGCUGACGGUACAGGUGUCGACAUCGUGACCAACCCACCAAAUGAUCCCAAAAAAAAGUAAUAUAACUCGAUUUGGGCAGAGAUGAGAGAGAGCUGAGUGACAAGUUUAGGGUUAUGAGUGAAGGGGUAUGAAUGACAACUAUGAGUGAGAAGGUAUGAGUCCGAAGAGGUUUCAGUGAGAAGAUUUGAGUGAGAAGAGGUACAACUGAGAAGAUUCAACAUGUCUUCGUCUUCAUCUCCUGCUCAAACAAAGAGGUGUCAGUAUUGUGGAGCUACAAUGGUGCUUCGGGUUUCAAAAUCUGAAAAAAAAUCGAGGGAAGCCAUUCUGGAAGUGUCUAACCUCCUAUGUAAGUUUUAAUUUAAAGAAUAUGUAUGUGGGUGAAAAAAAACCUAUGUCUAACUCUGACAGAAUUAUAUUCCAUAUAUGAUGCCUGCAAUUAGGGAGCCACCAGUUGCAAUGGAUUCGAAUGGGUUGAUGUAACCUCCGCUGAAGCAGAACAUCAAGAUGACACGUAUGAUGUUAGAGUGCUGAACAUGCUGAAGUCCAUUAAGGACUUGGUAUUAGUUUUAUUAGUUGUAUUAAUUGUCAUUUUAUUUGUUCUUUUAAUGAUCAUUUAACUGCACGGUUUAAAAGAUUGUGAAAGUUCUCUCGCACAAGACAUAUUGCACGCACCACCAAUGAGACCCUAAACCCAUUUUGUAAUAUUUGGUAACUGCAUGUAUUUCGCAUGUUAUUGAAUGUUUAUUGAAGGUUUAUUGAUAGUUUGCUGCAUGUAUAUGGAAUAUCAUUGCCCCAAAAUUGGAUGUUUAUUGGGGCCACAAGUAUCACUCAAGUAAGAAUGAAGGGGAGAAACGGACCUUAUUCUUUCUUAUAGUAGGAAGAACAACUGUUAAGUUUAAUAUCCUAUUCAAUACGACUUCCCUAUGGUUGGUGUACUUGGGGACUGAAGUAUAUUGCAUCAUUAUUGUGGGCAAGGGCAUGUCUAUUGUGUGUGUUAAGGGAGUAUUGUGUGGGCAAGGGCAUGUCUACUGUGUGUAUAUUGCAUGUCUACUGUGUGUAUAUUGCAUAUCUAUUCUCUGUAUAUGGCAGGCCAAGUUUGUGUAUAUUGUUUGUCUGUUGUGUGUGUAUUGCUUGUCGGUGCGUUUGUGAAUUGUGGUUCAUUUUGUGUAUAUUGUCUUUGUUUCUACUUUUAUGCUACUGAGCUGCGGAAAACCUCGCAUGUUUAGACACCUAUUAUGAUGCAACACAUUGCGAUUAAUGGUGGCUUGCAUCAACAAUGACAUAUCACUUUGCAAUGAUGUAAUACACUUAAAAAGCCGUCUUCAAAUCCCAAUUCACAUAUGCAGUCUUAAAAUUCUAAUUCAAUGCAGUUUGGUUAACAAACAUGUAAAUGUCAUGAAGGAGUUAGCGGUAGAAUUCGAUAAGGACCCGUACGUCUCUAUUGUGUAUUUACAUUAGUUUGAGAAUGGACAUUCCCAAAACCUUCUCAUGUACCAUUUGUCAUCUUCAACCAAUAUCAUGGGAAGUAAGCAUCUCCCCUUGUUAUCUCCGCAGCCAAUUUCAACCGAAAAAAAGGCAUGUUGUGCGAGGUGCAAGUAGCUAACGGAAGCUUAGCGCUGAAAAGCUCAAUGUACUUUAACACAAACAUGCCACAAUCGCCUCUGAAGCAAAACAAGAACUCGAUCAAUUCAACUAAUGACAUUCUAAUGUAAUUGACAAUUGAAAGUAAUAAAAUUAAAUUGCAAGUUGUGCUUACUCAUUAGACUGUUGUGGAACAUCCACACGCUCUAUUGGCCACGGACACCACCAAUCUCGGCUGCAAUUGUUUGCAUAAACACCUUCUUCAUAAAAGUCGAUGGUGUUGAGAAGAUUUGGAAGCGUAAUUGAUAGCGGGCCGAGUUCUUCCUUUACGAUGUCAUCUGGAAUUAGUGAAACCUUUGAAUCGUACACUUUGAUUCACACAAUACCAGAUCAAACANNNNNNNNNNNNNNNNNNNNNNNNNNNNNNNNNNNNNNNNNNNNNNNNNNNNNNNNNNNNNNNNNNNNNNNNNNNNNNNNNNNNNNNNNNNNNNNNNNNNNNNNNNNNNNNNNNNNNNNNNNNNNNNNNNNNNNNNNNNNNNNNNNNNNNNNNNNNNNNNNNNNNNNNNNNNNNNNNNNNNNNNNNNNNNNNNNNNNNNNNNNNNNNNNNNNNNNNNNNNNNNNNNNNNNNNNNNNNNNNNNNNNNNNNNNNNNNNNNNNNNNNNNNNNNNNNNNNNNNNNNNNNNNNNNNNNNNNNNNNNNNNNNNNNNNNNNNNNNNNNNNNNNNNNNNNNNNNNNNNNNNNNNNNNNNNNNNNNNNNNNNNNNNNNNNNNNNNNNNNNNNNNNNNNNNNNNNNNNNNNNNNNNNNNNNNNNNNNNNNNNNNNNNNNNNNNNNNNNNNNNNNNNNNNNNNNNNNNNNNNNNNNNNNNNNNNNNNNNNNNNNNNNNNNNNNNNNNNNNNNNNNNNNNNNNNNNNNNNNNNNNNNNNNNNNNNNNNNNNNNNNNNNNNNNNNNNNNNNNNNNNNNNNNNNNNNNNNNNNNNNNNNNNNNNNNNNNNNNNNNNNNNNNNNNNNNNNNNNNNNNNNNNNNNNNNNNNNNNNNNNNNNNNNNNNNNNNNNNNNNNNNNNNNNNNNNNNNNNNNNNNNNNNNNNNNNNNNNNNNNNNNNNNNNNNNNNNNNNNNNNNNNNNNNNNNNNNNNNNNNNNNNNNNNNNNNNNNNNNNNNNNNNNNNNNNNNNNNNNNNNNNNNNNNNNNNNNNNNNNNNNNNNNNNNNNNNNNNNNNNNNNNNNNNNNNNNNNNNNNNNNNNNNNNNNNNNNNNNNNNNNNNNNNNNNNNNNNNNNNNNNNNNNNNNNNNNNNNNNNNNNNNNNNNNNNNNNNNNNNNNNNNNNNNNNNNNNNNNNNNNNNNNNNNNNNNNNNNNNNNNNNNNNNNNNNNNNNNNNNNNNNNNNNNNNNNNNNNNNNNNNNNNNNNNNNNNNNNNNNNNNNNNNNNNNNNNNNNNNNNNNNNNNNNNNNNNNNNNNNNNNNNNNNNNNNNNNNNNNNNNNNNNNNNNNNNNNNNNNNNNNNNNNNNNNNNNNNNNNNNNNNNNNNNNNNNNNNNNNNNNNNNNNNNNNNNNNNNNNNNNNNNNNNNNNNNNNNNNNNNNNNNNNNNNNNNNNNNUUUUCCUCUCCCUCAUCUCUAUUAUUUGGCCCUUCACCCCCUUCAAUCCCUUCAUCUUCUUUUUCCUCUCCCUCAUUUCUGUUACUUGGCCCUUCAUCCCAUUGAAUGUCAUCCAUUUCCCCAUAUCCCUUAAAUAGAUGUGAGACGACACAACGAUUCGUCCUCUGUUUCAGUAAAGCUAGGUCCCUCCUUACUUCCUGCUCAAACUGAGGACCUAAACAUUGGUCCAAUAGUUUUUCCAUCCGUAUGACCUUUAAGUGAAGGACGUCUUUUUCCCGCUUUUCUUGAAACAACUCGGACCUCAACAAGCUUACCACCUUGUUCAACUCAUCAAGAUCACCACAUGAAGAAGGAAUUGACUCUGCCGAGACAACAGCAGGGCGAUCCUGUGGCCAACUCCAAUAUGGCUGUCUCAUUUCCUCUUCACUUAGACAUAGCGCCCGCAACUGAACUGACUGUUUCAGAAUACAGACAAGAGUCAUAUUAAAUCAUUCUACUUCAUAAUUUCAUUCAAUCUUAUCAAUAGUUCUAAGGGCUGCAAACCAAACCUCUUUGCUCUGGAAAAAAUAAUUGUUCAACUUUCUCAUCUCUGGAACAGACGUAGUAGUUCUCCAUCGCAAAAUACGCGGGACAGCGGUCGGAUCAACAACCUUGCAGUAAUUCAGGUCCGCCAUUCUAGGAAUUAAUUCAUAUACCCAAAUCUACACAAUUCACAGGACAAAAGUCAUUAUUUAUGUUUUAAAGAAAAACAAAACAUAACUGACAUGAACAUUAUUACCAUGUACCUGGAAAGCAUACGUGAAACCUUUAAAACUCCAGCCACUCCUUUGCGCUUCACUAUGCUUAUCCUUCUUGCCCUUCUCAUUUCUCCGGCUUGUUCCCGUUACCUUACUUUUCCCCUUCCCUCUUCCCUCUUCAUUUUCCAAGCUUUUCACAUACUUUGUUGGUGCAGAAAAUAGACUGUCUUGGGUUUUGUCAAAGGACACCGAACCCCACGGAUACCUGUUGAACGCAUCCAAGUCCUCUACAAGGGUCAGGUAAUUUAGAUUGAUGUUCAAAUGUUUGUCCCUUCCCAAAACCACUAACUCAGCAAAGUAAACAAGAGGUAGCUUGAAGAUGUCAUCUUCCUCUGUGCACCUCACAAAUGCUUCUUCUAAAGCAUUGCAUGUAAUUCCUUCGUCUAUAAAAUAUCUUUUCUGAAGUCUGAUUUCAUUACUCUCUCCACUGGAAACUUCAGGCACUUCCCCAAAACGAAGCCCUGUGAUCAAACAGAAAUCCUGACGAGUGAACUGAGCAACGUCACACCCUAAUAAGAAACUCAGUCCAUCCAAGUCUUUCACACCCUGCCCCGCUACUCUACGCAACACAACCCCAUGCACAAUCUGUCCGCUAAACUGAAUCUUAUCUAUAUUCAGAAGAUGGCCAAAGCAUGAUGUCUUGAAUUGUUCUAAUUGUUCCGCACUCAACUUCGCUCGAAUUGCAGCUAGAGAUGAAUUUGCAUGUGAGCAGUUGUUCACCCGUGAUGAAUAUACCUCUGCCUCUGGCCAUACCAGCUCCACGUUGGAUCCCAUUUCCUCAAAUACAAUGUGAAAUAACGUGAACAUAUAUACUACCACGUAUUUGCACAAUCACAACUAGUCAACCAGGCACAUUACAACUUUUACAAAGUACAUGAGCAUAUGGAUUACUCAUCACAGGCUUUAACAUCAUCAAAGCAAUAUGACAAUUUUUGUGCAAAUACCUGUUAAUGCAAUGAUUAUGUGAAUUACAAACAAUUUCACGUGUUUUAUUUAUGGAUCCAUACUCGUGUGAGUGCAAUGUAGGCAAGUUCUGCACUUCACACACAUGACAAUUAUUGUCAUCUCAUACACAACCCAAAAUAAAUAAAUAAGAAAUAUAGUGGAAGGAAGCAAAGCAAAGCAUGUACUCUGCUAUCUGCUUGCUAAGCAAUUGCCACAUCCUUCUUUCUUUCUACCUUUUUCUUCAGUCACCCACAAUCGUCAUAGAUCAACCUUCAUUUCAAAUGCUUUGCACUUUUAUUCAUGAGUUUAUUAUUAUCUGUUCUCAUUUCUCAUAGGCAAAUUUAGUAACAAAUGAAAUAAUAUUUAUUUCACAAAAUAUAUAAAUUCUAGUGCCAGAGAGGUACUCUUCACUCUGCACUGCUUCAAAUGUGGAAGGUUUUGAGAUGUUAUUGACAUGUGAUUGACUUUAUUUUCAUUCGUUUUUUAACAUAUACCCAAGCAAAAAUUAACAUGCAAUUGAAGCACAAAUAAGAGAUGCCAAAUCCAACAACAUUGAUGGUACAAAUUGGGGAAAACCAUUACUCUAACCCUAAACUCAAAUUCCUUACAUUACUCAUCAAAUGCUUUGCAGUUCUAUUCAUGAGUUUAUUAUUAUCUGUUCAAAUGUUUCUCAGGCAAAUUUAGUAACAAAGGAAAUCAUAUUUACUUCAUAAAAUAUAUAUAUAUAUAUAUAUAUUCUAGCGCCUCUUCUUAAUCUGCACUAUGCACUGCUUCAAAUGUGGAAGGUUUUGAGGGCCUCCUCCAAUUCAACACCAUUAUCUUAUUCAUAUCAUUAUUGACAUGUUAUUCACUUGUUAUUGACUUCAUUUUCAUUCUUUUUUUAACAUAUACCUAAGCAAAAAUUAACAUGCAACUGAAGCACAACGAAGAGAUGCCAAAUCCAACAAAAUUUAUGGUACAAAUUGGGGAAAACCAUUACUCUAACCCUAAACUCAAAUUCCAUAAAUUACUCACCAAAUGCUGGUUAUUGCAAGGUGUCUGUGUGGGGUCUUUCUGUUUCUUUGCUCCACAAAUGGAACCUACCACUUCCAACGAAUACAGCUUUUCCCCUUCCCCUUCCACUGCUUCGCCUCUUCACUGAUUUGGAAUCCACACCUUUGCCCCUUCUACUCCAAAUAAAUACUUUCUCGGGGUCUGGAGAACGGAGUGGCGAAUCGUUGCCUUCAACUGUCGUUAGCCGUUGCCUUCAUUGGGUAUCUCAGACCUCUGUGUUUUAGAGAGAUGAGUUCUUUCUGUUCAAACUUCGAACUUGCCUCUUCUUCUUCUUUUUCGGACGUGUUUCCCUCUUCUUCUUCUUUUUGGACGUGCUGGAUAUUCAAUUCGGGUUUGGGUUCCUUACCUACCCAAUUGUGAAACUUUAACUCAAUUCUCCCCAGCCCUUGGAUUAAUCUGAUGGCUAUAAAGUGAACCCCUUAUAACUUACCCCUUAUAACUUUCCACUCAUUAUAGUCUUGGCCAGGUAUGGCGGCCAUGCUAGUAAGUGUUGGGUCUUUGACCCAACUUAAGCUAAAUGGGUCAUAAGAUGACCGAUCAUCUUAUCUCAUAAGGAUAUAUAAGUCAUGUUAUGAUUUAGGAUUUUAUAGGGUUUCCUUUGUAAGAGGUAAGAGAGAAACAAGCUCUCUCUCUCUCUACACAAGGAGGUCAGCCAUAGCAAGGGAAAGGCUCCUAGCACUCUCCUCUCUCUUAUUAUAUCAUCCUUCCAAGGACAGCUUUGGUAUGGUAAAGUUGGAGGUUGCACACUUUGUGCACUUUGGUAAGAACUCAUCCAAGGGAGCCAAGAUUAAAUUGGUUAGCUGUUGGAUUAAAUUGGUUAGCACGAUUCAACGGUUAAUAGAUAAAACUUCACAUAAAAGUCAUAUAUAAGGCCCUCACUAUAGAAUGACUCGUUAGUUUAGUCUCUUGUUACAUAUCAAAUGUUAGAGAUAUUUUUUAAUAAGGAUCUGCCAUACCACAUAGUUGGAUAAGACAUUAUACACGGCUUUUGUAAGAGCAUCUCCAGCGCUCCAAACUAGCCCAAGCAGCAGGGGGGCCUAAGUCUAGGAAGCAGCUCCAGCUCGCAAGAUUCAACCCAGGCAAGGUGUGGAACCCACGAGGAGAUCUAGCCCGUCACCUUGCCUUUGGGUUUCAGUCAAGCUGAUGUCAACGAAAGAAUUUCAAAUUUUUUUUACCGUUACAAUGUACGCGCCAACGAUAAAUUUUCUUUGGAUUUCUUGCAUUGAUCCACAGCUACCAAAAACCAACAGCUACAAGCCACGUGGCUUCUCCAGGAGCCUCCGAUCCAAAAAUCAUGUCAAAUCUAACGGCAGUCCAUUUUUUGGCUAAAAAUAUCAAAAAAUUAUGGAAACAUGUUCUAUAAAUUCCUACAAAUAUUAUUCACUUCCCACACCAAAUCUUCAUACAAAUUCAUAUCCUUUCAAUAUUUUUCACUUUCCAUACAAGAUUUUCUACUACUAAGUUUCGUUUGUGUAAAAAUACAAAUGACCUCUUCUAUCGAAGCCGGAGGCGCGUGUACAACCGUGGAAGAUAUUUUGUUGCGUGAGUGUUGGGUCAAAGUUGGUCAUUCCCUGAUCACGGGCAAUGAGAUGAAGUCCUCUCGUAGGAGUUUCUGACAUCGCAACGAAAGUAAGAUGUGAUAUGAAAAUGUAAGGAAUUUGAUGAGAGGAAUGGGAUUUGAGGAGUUUGAUGUAGGAAUUGAUGUAGGAAUUGAAUUUGGGAGGUAUGUAUAUAAGAUUUGAGGGUAUGUGUUUAGGGAUUUUGAUAAGAGGAUUUGAGGAAUUUAGAUUUGAAGGAUUUGGAUUUGGGGAAUUUAAAUAUGAGGAAUUUGAUUAGGGUUUGGGUUUGAAUAUGUGAAAUUUGAUAUGAGAGUUUAGAGACAACAGAUGAUCGAUUGCUCUGAUACCAUGCUAAAAUAUGAUAUGGUUUGAAUACUUUAGGUUGAGUUUUAUUCUUUUCCAUAAAAAGGUAUAUAUAGGAGUUUACAUGAGUGCUUUACAAAGAAAUAGAUACAAUAAUCAAUUAGGAUAAUAUCUCCUAAUUAUACAAUAAUUUGUCAACUAUAUAGAAUAGGAAAGUAAAUUCCUUAAUUAAUCAAGAAAAUAAAUCUCAUUGAUUAAUUAGGAGACUAACGUCAACAUUUAUAAGCCAUAAAAGAGCAGAAAAAGAGGUACUUAGGAGAUUUUAUACGUCGGACUAAGGUAAGCUUAAAGGACUAUAUCAAAAAAAUAAGGGACCAAGAAGCAAGACAGAGAAGUUGUUAUGCAAACCCAUUAAGUUUAGCAGUGAUGAAUUUGUAAAAAUCAUUCUAGUGGAUUCUGCCUUCACUAUUGAGUUCUUAUUGAGGUUCUAUCUGAAAGGAUCUGGACAUGAAGGAGACCGCUUAUUAAACAAACCGUGGAUGUUUACAGCCUGACAUGUGGUUGCUUGAAAAUCAGCUCCCAUUCUUUAUUCUUGAGGAUCUUUAUCACACAUACAUAAUAACCGACUCUUUUAGGAAUUAUUACAGUACUCAUGAUCAUGAGAGGCUUUCAAUAAUUAAUAUUUCUAAGAAUUUCUUCACAGCCGGAAUAUUGAAUUUGGAGGGGAAGGGAGACAAAUGGAACAGAAUAUCAUCUUCUUCUAGUGUUGGAAAUUUUAUAUUAUUUAAUAAUAUUUAAUUUCUAUUGUGAAUGAAAAAUAAGUUUCUUUAAGAAACGUGUGUCUUAGGCCAGUUUUUCUAACUGGUCGGCUUCCUUAGAUUUGUGCCUAUUGCUUUUCAAAGUAUAAUGAUGCAAUGGUUGUAUCUCGUUCAGGCAAAUGGAAGGUAUAUAGCAAUUUAUAGAACAAUACAGUAAUCCAGAAGAAAUAUUAUGAAAUGAAAAGAAUAAAAAGUAAAAAAAGAGAAAGAAAGGAAUUCCCACCUGCAAUGUAUAUGUAUGAAAGGAAGGACCAAGUUUGUUUUAAAAUGGUAAGAACAAGUUGAUUUUAAAUUGGGUUCAGAUCAACUCAUAGAUUUCUUGCCUUUUCUGUUCUCCUUCCUUGGACAUGAACUGUUUAAUCUUGGACUCUUCCCCAUCAUGUUGGGCCUGUCUUCUUCUUGAGGAUUGUAUAGGCCUAGGAAAUGCUUCGGGGUAGUUUUUGUGUUUUGGGCAUUGGGACCCAACUUCACAAAAAGAAAACAAAUUUGACCAAAACACAAAUUUGAAGGACAUUGAAAUUGUACCCGUAGGAUAGAUUAAAACACUAUAAGGGAGGUAAAUAGUACGUUUACAGAGUUUAAGUGUAAUAAAGGAAUAAAAACAUGCCCAGAGAAUUGAUAAGUGAUAUCAAUUCUUGAAUAUACGUGAAAAUUAUUUUAUGUGGUUAAACCCCACCUCUGGGGAAAAUCCACGGAACUUCUUAGUCCAACUUCUAUCACUUAUCCUAGACACAUUCUAGAUAAUGUUUGCCAACCUCUUCGUAACUCAACUUCUGUCACGAGAUGAUCUUUCAACACUUUAUGUCGAACGCAAUACUGGUCACGAUUUCUUCAAGCUCGCCGGAGUUCUUCCAAUUCUCCUUAUAUUGAAUCUGAUACUAGUCACGAUCGAUUCAAGCUCAUCGGAGAAAAAUCGCCACAACAAUCUUGGUGCCCUCAACCGUAUGAGUCACUGAACAUGCAAAUGAAUACAAUAUGAAUGAUAAAAGUGUUUGAUAAAUCACCAAGUUAUGGAACACUUGAUGAUUUAUCUCAAAUAAAAAUUCAGCUUUCCAAAGUUUAUGAAUUGAAAAUAUGACCGUUAAAGCUCUCUAAACAAAGAAGACGAAGGUCUUAUUUUAUAGACUUUUACUUUACAAGAAAGAAAACACGUUGAAAACCAAAUCUCCAAUUUCCAAGGCUUGACAGAAAAUCACAAAAUUAUCUUUCCUAUUCUAGAGAUUGGUCACAUGAAGUCCAACCAAUAGGAAAUGAGAUAUUUAAGAAAGGAAGAUUUUGAUCAAUAUCAAUAUCAAAUGAAUUCUUAUACGCCUAGUCAAUUGUUAUGGGUAUCUUGACUCCUUGAUAUUGUGAUAUGAUUGAAACAUGAUUUCCACGUUAGAAAAUUAAGGGGAUGUUAAAACAUGAAGGUAAUAGGAGAAUCAAAUUGAUUUGGGCCAAAAUUGCCUAAAAAGAAAACACUCCUUAAUAAACUUCAAUUUACUUUUAAAAAUAGUAAAACGUGAUUGAAUCGUUCUUUAAAACAAUUCCCUAAUAUACAUGCAUGAUAGUGAUAUCACUUACCUUUGAAUCAGAUGGCUUUCACGGGUCAAGCCACAAGUUUUUGUCUUGGGGAUUGCUGAGCUUCAUCAAUCCUGCCAAUGUCAAUUUUGCCCCUAAGCUCUCUCAAAGCACGUUUACAACCUAUGCUAACAUAUAUUAGAGUUUAUGUUAGUAUCAAGAAAAUGCCAACACUAAUUUCGUAACACGUAGAAAUUGUUAGAGAUUGAAGUUUUUAUCAUUUUUUCUUCCAGACUCUCCACCACUCACUAAUAUAGUUUACUCAUGUGAUGAGUUUACAAAACCUAUUUCUCUACUCUCACAAAGACUAUACUUAGGGGGGUGUAUUCAAUUAGGAUUCUAAAGCGUUUAAAAAGAUUUUGUUUAAGUGCCAGCUUUCAUAGAACUUGAUGGAACUUUAUAAUUCGUAUAGAACUUGAUAGACUUUCAGAAGACUUCUGUAUAAUUUUUUAAUAAAACUUUCUUAAGCUUUCAUAGAACUUGAUAGGCUUUCAUUCCAAACUUAUGUAGAUGGUAUAUUUCAUUUUAUCCCCAUCCUUGACAUUUAAAGAAAGAAACUUGAAUUUUUUCAAUCAAAUUUGUUUUUGUUACCAAAGCAGCAAAAACAAAAAGUACUUGUUUGCGAUGGAAGAACAUAUGCACAGUUCAAAAUGAAAAGAAUAAGAAGCAAAGUACCUAUUUGACCAAUGAAUGCUGUGUCAACUAGAGAAGCAAUUGGAUCGGCUGUCAAAGCCAAUGCUGCAGGCAAUGCAUCGAUGGUCCAAAUUGCAAUAAAAAAAUAUUUUGAAUAAUGGCUCUUGCAGACAAAGACCACAUAAAUUCUGAACUGGUCUAGCUUGAAUAAUAAGGUUAGAUUAGCCAAUUGAUGAGAUUAAAAGCAAAGCAAGUUGAUGAAUUUAUCAUCAACUAUUUAAUAACCACAGUCCUGAUCUCUUGGACCCCUGUAGUCCAAGAGAUUUAUGGUCACCCACCGUUGGAUGUAAAUUCAACGGUUGACUUGAAUCGGGUAAUAAUCAUUUAUGUCAUAUUGCAUUUAUAUAUAUCAUUUUGAACCAUUGGAUUAAUAUCCAACGGUGGGUGACCACAAUCUCUUGGACUCCUGUGGUCCAAGAGAUCGGGACUGUUAAUAACCAAUAGAGUAUUUAAACAUAAACAACAAUGUUUGAUCAACAAAACAAAUAGUCCAAAUAUCAUCCAAAAAACAAUAACAAAAAAUCAAUCAUUCCAAACAAACUAGUCAUUCUCAAAAACUCUCAAAAAACCCACUCAUUCCAAAUUGUAGGAUAUCCAAUUUGAGCACUCCUCAGGAGACAUUUUCAAAAAUGCAUCCUUUUUUGUGUUACUAUGCAACAAAGAGAGUGCUUUAUAACGAGCAUGUUCAUCCAAAUUUGGGGUCUCCUUAAUGGCAUCCCAUAUAUAACUCCGCUGCUCUCUCUCUUUUUCCCUUUUUGCCAAUAGGUUAUGGACCUCCCGGAAGUCGAUGACAAUUGAAUCAAUGCUAAGGCUAAUUCUUCCCAUAGCUUGCUGGGUGGUCACAUUUGAGAUAGCAUUCCCUUCCAAAUAUGUUCUAGUUCGUUUCCUCUAGUAACAAGCAUAAAUCCUAGUAACAAGCAUAAACCCUAACCCCAACCUAUAACCUAAUAACAAGAAGAAAACCCAACGAGGUAUUGAUCAAAGAAAAAUUAGGGAGCAUACCUUCACAGAUGGAGGAAGGAAGCUGUUCGUCUUCGCAGAGAGAAAAUCUAGGGAAAGAGAAAAACGUCUUAUGAAAUACUUGGGGGGGAGGUUGGAUUUAUUUUGGUCUUUUUUAUUUAUAACUCUCCCCUUAAAACCUACGUAAAUUUAUCACUUAAUGAAAUCCUUCCAAAUAUAUGACCUUUCGAAUACACCUAGAUUUGAUUCAACUUUUUUAUAAUCAUAAUUGAAUACACCCAUAUUUGAAUGGACUUUUUAAAAGUUCAUAUAGGUCCGAAAUGAAUAUACUCAAACUUGUAAAACCUCUUUUAAAGUUUGUAUAAAUCCAAAUUGAAUACACCUGGAUUUUUAAAAUCUUUUUAAACACUUUAUAAUCCUAAUUGAAUACACCCCCCUUAUUCUCAAAAGACUAUAUUACUUUACCUCUAUCUCUGUGAAAUGUAAAAAGUUGAAACUUUAAUGUCAAACCUCAACAAAAGAUGAACUUUCAUCAGUUACGUUGAAUUUGGAUUUGUUGAACUUAAGUGGUUUUAUUUUCUUUGUCAGUGUUUGAUGACUUAAUUUGGUAUUUAUUUCUUCUUUUUUUUCCUUGGAAAUGUGUUCCACCAACGUGAGGAAGAAAAAUAUGCACAAAUUAAUAUAUUUAAUAGAAGCCCAAGAUUUCGGAUGCAUAUAAUUUCUACAAAAAUCUACAAAGUUUUUUACUUUACAAACUUCUUAUGUCUACCAAUUUCUACUAAAAUUAAUUUCUCUGUGGUGCUCAAAUUCAUCAUAUGUGUGUCGUUAAUUUUAUUGAAAAUUGGAAGUUCCCAUCAUUUUUGUUUUUUGGGAAUUUUCUGAACCAAGGAAAAUCAAGUAAAAUUAAUAAAGCCUAAAUUGGAAAGGGAAAAUAUCUAGAGGAUGCAUUGUAGGAUUGCUCAUGCCAAUAAUUGUACCCUCUAAAUAUAUAGAGACAUAUUUUUUUUGUUUUCAUGACAUGUGGUCCUAAAAUUAUUGUGUAAAUCUUCAAUCCUGAACGAUGCACCUAAAACUCAUCCACCCAUUCUCAGGCCAAUUAUUGCACCUAGUGGGCUCUCGACCCCCUCUCAAAUUUAACCACAUAUUUUAUGGACCAUCCAGCUGUGAGGUACAUUCCCCCCACAUGCCACAAUUGUAUAUUCACAAUUACGUCUGAUACAUCACAUCAUGCCACUUGCCUCAAAUGAAUUUAAGUGAGUGAGGCAGUUGGAAGUAAUUAAGCUCUAUAUUGGUGGGUGGAGUGUUACUUCUCGGUUCCCCUCAUCAUUCGUCUAUAAAAUGGUGAAGGCAGUUGCUAUUGUUACCAUAAGAGCCAGCUCCGACUUCCUUUAAUUUCUUGCUUCAUAUCCACUAGCUACAUCUGUUACCAAGUUAAUUUCAGUUCUAAUGGGGUUUCAUCUCCCACUCAUCUUUGCUCUUCUCAGUGUAAGCUCUGCAAUUUGAUUAACUUUUCCAUUCUCUCUCAUUGUACUCUAUAUAAACGAAAGUUUUGUGUUCCUAUUGUUCUCUCCGAUUUUAUUUAGUACGUACUUAAGUGUCGUCCACUAAUUAAUUAUACUUUGUGAUUUGAUUUUAAUUUGAGUUUGAAUUAAUGUUGCAGCUAGCAGCAGUGGCACUGGCAAACCAUGCUGCUCAACCAGCACCUCAACUUUACUGGAGCUCCGUCCUGCCAAACACACAGAUGCCAAGAUCUAUCAGUGAACUUCUGCAUCCUGGUUUGUGUUGAGCUCUUUAGAAUCUUAGAUAUCUCUUCUACCUGCCAUUUUACUAAAAUAUGUUCCACCACAUAUUUAUCAGUUAACCAUUGUCAUUACAUGAGUGACACAUAUUCACAAAUCGGCUGAUCACUUAUUUUCCAUUAUGACUUGAUAUAUAAUUUGCAGACUCCACAAAUGAAGAAAAGAGCACAAAUGACGUUGGCAAACCUGAAACUUUCCCAUUGGGCAAUCAACAUUACUCCAGUCAAAAACAUUAUGGAGGCAUACCUGAAACUUCCCCAUUGGGCAAUAAACAUUACUCCAGUCAAAAACAUUAUGGAAGAGGCAAACCUGAAACUUUCCCAUUGGGCAAUCAGCAUUACUCCAGUCAAAGACAUUAUGGAAGAGGCAAACCUGAAACUUUCCCAUUGGGCAAUAAACAUUACUCCAGUCAAAAACAUUAUGGAAGAGGCAAACCUGAAACUUUCCCAUUGGGCAAUCAGCAUUACUCCAGUCAAAAAAAGUAUGGAAGAGGUGCUUCUCCAUCCGACAAUCAACAACUCCAUUAUAAAGACUUAGCUAUUUUCUUCUUGGAGAAGGACAUGCGCCCUGGCACAACAAUGAAGUUCCAAUUCCCUAUAAAUUCAAACACGGCUACUUUCUUGCCACGAGAAAGCGCUCAAUCGAUCCCCUUCUCCUCUAACAAACUGCCAGAAAUUUUCAACCAUUUUUCAGUGAAGCCAACAUCUGAGGAAGCCAAAACAAUUAAGCAAACAAUCGAAGAGUGUGAAGCUCCAGACCUUAAGGGAGAGGAAAUAUAUUGCGCCACAUCUUUAGAAUCAAUGGUUGAUUUUAGCACUUCGAAGCUUGGAACAAGAAACGUUGAAGCAAUCUCGACGGAGGUAUUGGAAAAAGGAGCCACCAUGUCCAUCCAAAACUAUACAACAAUGCCGGGACUGAAGAAGUUGGCAGGUGACAAAGUCGUUGUGUGUCAUAAGCAGAACUAUCCCUAUGCUGUGUUUUUCUGCCAUGCAAUAAAACAUACAGCAGCUUAUGCUCUCUCCCUGAAAGGCGAUGAUGGGGAGAAGGUUAAAGCAGUAACCAUCUGCCAUCUAGACACAUCAGAAUGGGACCCAGAGCAUAUGUCCUUCCAAAUCGUCAACGUUAAGCCCGGAACCAUUCCCAUCUGCCAUUUCAUUUCCACUGAUGCUAUUGCCUGGGUUCCGAACCACAAAUCUGCAUGAUCAUCACUUAGCACUAGUACUGUGCGUAUAAUAUGCCUGUAUAAUUAUCUCCCUACUUAUUUCUGCCUCUUCAUCAUGUGGUGUAAGAUAUAUGUUGAGAUGAAGUUUUUGGGAUUUGUGGUCGAAAUUAACCCGAUCAUGUUUUCUCUUGCAACCAUAUAGACUUCAACUUGUACUCAUAAUAAAGCAUGCUAUAUUUAUGAAGAGAUAUUAAUCUUCAGGCAAAUAGAUAUUAUGAAAACAUAUAUAGCAAUUUAUCCAGAAGAAACAUUAUGAAAUGAAAAGAAUAAAAAGUAGAAAAACAGAAGGAAAGGAAUUCGCACGUGCUAUGCUAUGUAUGAAAGGACCAAGAUUGUUUUCCCUUUGGUUAAUGACUAGAAAAGCUCACUUGCAGAGUGCUUUCUCCGACCAUAGAUGGAAGAGAAAUUUUCUCUUAAUAAUAGCACAAUGAUCGGGUAAUUGUAAGAACAAGUUGAUUUAAAAUUCCUUGACCCAAAAAAAAAAAAAAAGUUCUUUUCAAAUUCAGGUCAACCCAUAGAUUUCUUGCCUUCGUCUUCUUCAUCACGUUGGGCUUGUCUUCUUUUUGCGUUUUGGGCCUUGGAAGUUGGGACCCAACCCAACUUCACAAAAAGAAAACAGAUUUGCCAAAAAUCAAAUUUCAAGUCUCUCCUCCGAUCACUAAUACAGAUCAAAUUUUGGAUUUGAUGAACUAAAGUGGUUUUACUUUCUCUGUCAGUGUUUGAUGACUUAAUUUGUUAUUUACUUUUUUUUUUUUACUUGAUCUUUGUAGGGGCUUUUUUUUUUCCGGCAGCUUAAACGGGCUGGGCUGCCGUAAAGGGUAGAUUGAUGAAAUUGUCCCCUUUGUCUGAAUUCGAAAAUCAAGCCCCAAAAGCGCUUCGAAAGGGCAGUAGAGCCUUAGGAAGCGUUCUGGUUACCUUCACUAAUUAAAACAACAGCAACUUACAGAUGAUUUCUUGAGGCUUACAGAUAAAUUUUCUAGCUUGGCAUGACAUGGAAGCAAAAUCAGCAUGAGUUUAGCACCAAAGAGGAAAAUAUGGCUUCCUAGGGAGAAAUGAGAGUGUUUAAGGUGAGGAAGAAGAGGUUUGCAGGCUGAUUUGGCUGAGAAAAGAGAAAGAAAGAACAAUGUUCUUCCGGCAGCUUGACAAAGCUUCUGACAGAUGUGAAAGUCGUCCGCCAGAAGAGGAAAAUGGAGAAGAAGGAUGAAUAGUGCACGAAAUUGGUGGGUUCUUGCAGGUAAGAGAGAAAGCUUGCUCUCUGAAUCUGAGUUGGUUUUGGUUGGGUAGAAGAAGCCCCCUUUUAUAGCUGCGGGAAACCAUCUUUUUCCAAGAAACCCUAAUGGUUUCUAUCCUUUUUGGCCAAGCUUUUCCCUUCCUUUCUCUUCUCCUCCCUUGACUUUUCCUAUCUUGGUGAAAUUUCCUCUGCCUAUUUGCACAAAAUUAGAGAUUUUGAGGAGCUCAAGGCCCCUUUCCCGCAGCUGCCUUAGUGGAGAAUCCCCAUUUUCAGUCAUCUUUCUUCCUUCUUUUCUCCCAUCUUCCAAGGCUAGGUUUGAUGAGAGAAAGAAAUGGAUAUGCACACUGGUUUGAAGGGUGUUUUUCCUUGAAACUUGUUCUCUCCCAUGUGCUGGAGCUUCCCAGCAGCUUACACACAUAGAUAUUUUGGCUUUCAUCGUGGCUUUUGUUUUCAGCUAGGUGCUGGAGAUUUUGCAUAUAUUUUCUUGAGUUGCUUGGGCCUUCUAGGACAAUACGUUGGUUUAUCAAGUGAAUGGGCUAACUUCAUCAAUUGUUGGGCAAUUUUGGUUGAGUUAAUGGACUAUUUUGGUUCAAGUAAUGGACUAUUUUGGUUGAAAUAAUAGGCUAUUUUUCUCUCUUUGUGCUCACCCACAUAUUUGGGCCUAAAAAAUGGGCUUGAGUUUCGGGGCUCCCAAGCAACCCCGGGACUUCCAUUUCUCGGCCCAUCAAUGAGCCUCAUGUCAACUUAUUACCAUCCAUACCACAACCCACUCAAGCAAGCCUCAGGCAUCUUGCGUGGCUUGGGCCCACGUAAGCUCGUAGUGGCAAUGUUGCUUAUUUGCUUGACGUGGCAUGUGUGCAAGUGCAUAUGACGAACUUUCGCGUGCCCAAAUUGAGUUUCUUCUCGGUAGGGUAUCGCAUUGGGCCGAGAAUUUAAUUGGGUAGAACCGUGGAUUUUUUGGGCCUCAACAAUCUUAUAUAUAUUAGUUUUCUUUUUUUCCUUAAUAUUCACCACCUUUCUGUUGCAUAAGUAUUCCAGUCUUAGCGGGUUUCCAUCUACCACUCAUCUUUGCUCUUUUAAGUGCAAGCUUUUUUAUUUUUAUUUUUUUAUGCACAAGAUUAGAGGGGAGGGAGAUUUCUCAAUGUAAGCUUUGCAGUUUCAUAAUUAAUAUUUCCAAUAUCUCACUGUUAGUAAAAUAUGGAACGGGAAAAGUACGAAUAAAAUACACACAUGUUUUAUUUAGCAAAAUUUUGACAAGAUACAACUGAAAAGUUUGGCCACUAUAUAAUAUUUUGAUUUAAUUUUUUUUAUUUUUUUAAUAUAUAUUAUUUUUAUUCAAUAAUAUGUGAAAAAUAGGUGUACAAUAUAUGAAAUUUGUAUGUAUUAUUGAAAAAUUCGUAAAAAAAAAACAUGUUAUUAAAUGUGAAAAAUAUGUACGUAUAUGUAUAAAACAUGUAUUGUACAUUACUUUUUAACAAACUUGUAUUUUACCUAGUCUUUAAACCGUAUAUGGAAAACGGAAGUAUUAUUGAAAAAUACAUAUGUACGUAUAUGUAUAAAACAUGUAUUGUACAUUACUUUUUAACAAACUUGUAUUUUACCUAGUCUUUAAACCGUAUAUGGAAAACGGAAGUAUUAUUAAAAAAUACAUAUGUACGUGUAUAAUAUGAGUAUUAAACAAAAAAAUGUGCUAAGUACUUAUCUUUUAAUUUAAUAAUUCAUUUCAUUUUGUGAUCUCAUACGUAGUAAUGAGAGUUCAAAUUAAUGUUGCAGCUGACAAUGGUGGCUCUGGCAAGCCAUGCUUGAUGCAGGAGUAUAGGGGUGGAUCAAGAUAGAUAUUUACCAUGUAAUUAGUUAUUUCAUGAUAUAUUGUUAUUUUCUUAUUUAGGUAGUUUUAUGAUAUCUUUUAUUAUUUAUGUGGGAUUUUAUAAUUAAUUAGUUUACUUUUGGACCAAGUAGCCUUGGUGCUCAAGUCUUGUAAAGCUUAUAAAUAAGGCUAAUGUAAUAGUUGUAGGAAAAGAGAUGUCGAUGAUUAAUAAAAUCGUUUAUUUGUGGCAUGGAUUUGCUACGAUAUAUGUGAGUUUGCACUAGCCCUAGAUUUCGGUGCUCGUGUAUGUGGUUGGUGACCUGUGUCCGGAUCCCGAUCCCCAUCAAUGCUGUUCUCCCAGUACCUCAACUUUACUGGAACUCUUUCCUGCCAAACACAAAUGCCAAGAGCUAUCAGUCAACUUCUGCAUCCUGGUUUCUAUUAAGGGACUUUUCGUGAGCUUAUCAUCUACCCAAAUUUUACUCAUCCGACGUAAUUUUAAAAGUGAUUUGAUCCUUUGGCAAAGUAAUCUUGAACUACAAAAAAGGAGGGCACUCGAAUAGGCAUGCCAUUUGGUAUUACCCACCUCUAAUUUCUUUUAAAAUUUUAGUAAUUGAUUUUUAAGAUUAGAAAAUGGGAAAGUUCAAAACCGAAAAAGUUGUUUCAGUUUUGGCAAGUAUCGGAAAAGACUAAAAUUUUCCGACUUUAUUAUUACUAGAAACAAAGUCGAAGUAUUCACCAAUCAUGUGGCCUUCCAAGUGCUCAAGGUUAAGCCAGGAACCGUUCCUAUCAGCCAUUUCCUUCCCAAGUAUGAUCAUGUUGUCUGGGUUCCAACCCACAAAUCUACAUCAGUACCUGAACUAAUCAGUUCUACAUGAAUAUUCAUUCAUGGCAACCUUGGGCUAAGUAUUUGAAUUUAUGCUCAUAAAGCUUUAAUGCUUUUGAGGGCCAAUCGUUGUCUACAUAUGGUAUUGUAGCAUCUUUAGAUGGAAGAGGUCAGGGGUUCAAUUCUUGUUUUCCACUUCUUUAUUUGUUGGUUUAUCGAGUGUAGAGUGGAGUUGCACCUAUAUGUUCGUCUCUCACCCCAUCAUUUACCAUUGAUAUAUAUUUAAUAGAAGCCUAAGAUUUCGGAAGCACAUAAUUUCUACUUUACAAACUUCCUGUGUCUACCAAUUUCUACUAAAAUUAAUUUAUCUGCGGUGCUGAGAUUCAUCAUAAUUUUAAUAGAAAUUGGAAGUUUUCAUCAUUUUUGCUUUAAGUCUCUACUCCACUCACUAAUAAAGAUUACUCAUGUGAGUUUACAAAACAUUUUUUUUUUCUACUCUCUCCUGAAGACUACACUUCUUCUCAAAAAAUUAGAUCACUUCACAUCUUGUGUAUGUGAAAACUAAUGUAAAAAGUUGAAACUUUAUCGUAAAACCUCGACAAAAAUGAGCUCUACUACAAAAUGUUAAAUUUGGAUUCGUUGAUUUAAAUGGCAAUUUGACACUUGAUAGAAAUUUUUACAUACAUGUGUUAGUGUUUGAUCACUUCACAUGUCACUUACUAUAUUUAUUCCACUCAAGUUAGGUAAAUAUUAUUAUCAAACAUUUCAAUUAAUUUGUGAUUUUUUUAUUAUUUAAUCAAUUAUGAAUUAAUGGAUUCUUCUUGUUGUUUUGAAGACCAACAAAAAAAAAAAAAAGGGUAGUGAUGGCUUAUAAUUCUGGUAAAACAACAGUGACGUGGACAACAGAUGUUACGCUGUACUAAAGAUUUUUGAAGAUUCUUUAUUUGAGUUUCUUUCAAGAUAAAAACCAUAUUAUCCACAACCACAAGCACAUCCGGCAGACAAUCUUUGGCUAUUCAUCACAAUUGGGAGACAAUGAAGAAGACAGAAAAUGGAGUAAUUCAGAUGUUACCAGCCAUCCACGACAAACUGAAGUCUGCAAAGCAUUCGUAAUCUAAAAAGGAUGGGGAGGCUGCGCAAUACUUAGCCACGUGUAGGCCAGGAGGCUUUCCAAUUUUAAUAUAUAUAUAGAUUGAAAAAAUAAAAUAAAAAUCAAUCUAUUAUCAUAUAUAUUAUAAAAUAAAGAUUAUUGCUCCCAUGGGCGGUGCUAUGCACAGGACAGUGCCUGCCUAGUCCAAAUUUUUUUUAAAUAAAAAUAAAAAUCUACAUAUGUUAUAAGCUCAUCCAAAAAAAAAAAAAAAAAUAAAAGUGUUGUAAAUUAUAAGGUGGAGCCCACAUGUUGGAAGGCUUUGCCUACAAAAGGGUUCACACCCUCCCUUUGUAAUUAGACAUUGAGAAUACUAAGGAAGACAGAAAUGAAUAGAGAGAAAACAUUCCCUUCUCUCCAUCUCAAUUCCCUCUCCAAUUCCUCUAGAUUUAUAACACGUUAUCAGCAGCACGAAUCGCUUUCAAACAAUACCAGCUGAAUUUUAUGAUGAAACCCAGAUCUCUCAUCCAUCUCUGCUGCUCCACUACUUCAAAAUAAAUCCCACAGAAAAAGAAAAAGCCUCAAUGCUCUCUCUCUCUCUCUGUCUCGCUUGGGAGACUUGGACAAUUCCUCAUCCCCGUUACUGACAAUUUCAACAGCUUCAGGGGAAGCUAGUUUAUCUUCCUCUGCUCACGAAACCAUGACUCUUUCAGAGCCAAACAACAACACAAUAGACAACGCAUGGAGACCAGACUGGAGCUCGUCGGCUAAGGCACCGACGAUCCGACCCUACCCGUAUGGACCUUCCGGAUGUGGUUCCUGGGUCUUGUCUCAUGUGCCCUCCUCUCAUUUCUCAACCAAUUCUACAAGCAGCAGAGCUUCAAAUCAAACAGAUCAUGGCAUCGCUUUCACACCUCCCCAUCUUCCUCUUCCUCCUGUUCACCGCUUUCUAUUCUACAGCUUCGCAGUCCUUCAUCGGCGCAUCCAAAGGCGACAUACCGGCGCUCGCCUCAGAUCCGAACGCGGCGGCUCAGUGGGUGAACUCGAAUGUCCUCGCCUUCUACUCGGCCAGCAACAUCGACCUCAUCAACGUCGGCAACGAGGUCCUUUUUCUCCAACGACCAGGGCCUCAUCUCGCAGCUCCUCCCCGCCAUGCGAAAUGUCCAAUCUGCCCUCUCCGCCGCGUCCCUCGGCGGCAAGGUCCGUGUCUCCACGGUCCACUGCCUCGCCGGAUCGGGAUCCUUCCUUCAAGUGUUUCUCUGUCUUCGACUUGAAAAAGAAGGUCAUGGCAGGCCUAUGUAAAAAUUGCGAAAAGGAAGGCAAUCUUCAACCUUUUCUCCUGUCUCUCUCUUGAUCAAUUCAUGGAAGGCACAUUUGGGUCUUCCGGGGGCUCAUCAAAUGAGUCAGCAAUGUCAAAGGUGGAGGUGGUGGAGCAAGACUACGUGGGGAUGUCAUAUGAGGCAACCUCAUACCCAGCUGAGGCAGAGCUUGUGCUGGGCCUGGGCCUUGGCCUGAGCCUUCGUGGUGGUGGUGCAGGGAAGCAGCCAAAGCCAUGUGCAUGGGGUGAGCGUGGUAGAAUCUUGACUGCUAAAGUUAGGUGCUGAGUUACACUGUGUUCUCUGCUACUGACCCUAAGAGGAGUGCUAGAAACUUCCAUGUUCCGCCAUCAUUUCGCUUUCACUGUUACAAGGCACUGGAGUAUGUUUAAUUGAAAAGUGAGAUACACAGCAAGUUGAUCAGCCUAGUGGAAAGCAAAGGAUUAUUGCCAGGGAUAUGAACACCCACCGAAAUAAAGGGAUAAGUACUCUUUUUCCCUUCGACCAGUUUUUUUUUGUCCCACUGGGUUUUUACUGGCAAGGUUUUUCACGAAACAUAUUCCGUAUCAUUUGUGGUCUCUAAGAGGGAGUGUUGUAAAUUAUAAGGUGGAGCCCACAUGUUGGAAGGCUUUGCCUACAAAAGGGUUCACACCCUCCCUUUGUAAUUAGACAUUGAGAAUACUAAGGAAGACAGAAAUGAAUAGAGAGAAAACAUUCCCUUCUCUCCAUCUCAAUUCCCUCUCCAAUUCCUCUAGAUUUAUAACAAAAAGUAAAUUCUACACAUAUGUUGCCCAUCCAGGUGGUCCCAUAUCUUCUCUUUCCUUUUCUUUUGGCUAUUAGACUUCUUGUUUCUCUCUCUCUCUUUGCUACCCCACAUCAGCAAGUUUCUCCCUCUCUUUUUUUGGGAUCAAAUUCUUCUUCUAUUGACAAAAUCUUCUAUUAUAUUGGGUGGGCAACUUGGCAACAACAUCUUCUCCUCUCCUUUUGUCAACAGCAAGUAUUAUUCUCAUUCUCUCAUUUGCUAUAUAUCUUUAAUUAUAGUUUUAAUUUAAAAUUGAGUAUUCUAGGGUUUAAUUAGGGAUGAAUUAUAAUUUUGGGAUUUUGUUGAAAUUAAUUAGGGCUUCGAUUAGGGGUGAAUUAUUCUACUGCUUUGAUUUGGAAUUUUGUUAAAAUUGAGUAUUAUAGGUUUAAUUAUGGAUGAAUUACAAUUUUUGGUUUUGGUAUUGUUGAGAUGUUAUUAUGAGAAUUUGUUUGAUUUUUUGUUGGUAUAUUUGAUUAAAAUUCUUUCUACAUAUUAUUCAUAGGCUAUCUUUUAUUAUGUCGGAUCACAAUCGGAAUCCCAAGAAAACAAAAAAUUUGAAUAGUGUUGUUUUGUAUUGCAUUGCAUUUACUUUUGGUUUUAGUUUUGCUUUUAGUGUAAAUUACUCAAAUGGUCCUCAAAUUUGUACCCAAUUUACAUUUUGGUCCAUAAACUAAAUUAUUCAUUCAAAUGGUCCACCAACUCUUUAUUAAUCGGUGCUUUGGUCCUAUCGUUAUGUUUUCUAUUAAAUUUAGUCAUGUGAGCAGCACAUGCUACAUUUGUAUGGGUAAAUAAGACUUUUGACCAGUGGCGGAUCCACGUUGGGACAAGAGGGGUCGGACGACCCCUUGGAAGGCUGGAAAUUUGGCAAGGGAGUCCAUGAAAGCCCCCUUGGACAGCUGCUGGAAGCCCCCUUGUAUGCACACAAUGUGCUCGACGAAAUGCCCCAACGAAAUGUCCUGCGCAGCUGUGCUGCGCCUUGCGCGUAAUUUUUUUUUAAAACCAGCCUUGCCAAACGACGUCGUUUGGUCAAGGCUCAGUCAAAUUUUUUUUUAAUUAACCUGGCCUCAAAACGACGUCGUUUUGGGCCAGGUUUAAAAAAAAAAAAACAGAACAGUACACACGCACAGCAGCUCUGCACAGAUUCAUUUUCUCCAAACCUUUCAUUCCCAAUUCCACAGCCCCUCUUCCCAUCCUCUCAAACCCUAACCUCCCAACCUCCCAACCUUGGACAACCUCCAUCAACUCUUCACCGGUGGCCCAAUGCCGAUCACCACCACCUUCUACCGCCGUCCGCCGCCCAUUUUUUAAACUACAAGUAAGUAAGCAUGGAAAAUCUGAUAUUAAUAAUUAUAGUGAUAAUAUAUAUUGUUGAUAUUGAUAUUUUUUUUUUAUGUAAUGAAAUUUAUGGAUAUGAAUCAUAUUGAUUGAUUGAGUUUAUGCUUGAAAUUUAUGGAUAUGAAUCAUAUUGAUAUUUUUUUUUAUGUAAUUAAAUUUAUGGAUAUGAAUCAUAGUGAUAAUCAUAUUAAUGUAGAUUGAUUGAGUUUAUGCUUGAUUGAUAAUAUGAAUUGAUUGGGUAUAUUAAAUAUUGAUUGCUAUUUGAUAUGAUAAUUUGGUAUAUUGAAUAUUGAUUGAUAUGGGUUUAGGGAGUAUAUUGAAUAUUGAGAGUGGGUUAUUGAAAUUUUCAUAUUCAUAUGAUAAUUAGGAUAAAAAUUAAUGAUUGAUUGAAUUAAUUGAUUUGUAGAUUUAUGGAACGAUUCUUUAAAAGAAAAUUAUCUACGGAUAGUUCUUCUCUGUCUAAUCCGGGUAGUUCAAAUGCAAGACCAAUUGAAGUAGAUGAGAUCUUAGCUAAUCUUCAAGCAGACCCUGGACUAAGAACUCGAAUGGCGGAUUAUAGUCCUAAUAUUAGGGAUGAGAUCCGAAGAGCAUAUCUACAAAAGGGACCUUGUCAACCUAGAAGUUAUAAAUUCCCACAAACUAAUCAAUCAGGAAUUAAUAGACGCUUCAUUGCUCAUUGGUUUGAUGAUCAUGAUUGGUUGGAAUAUAGUAUUGCUAAAGAUGCUACGUUUUGUCUUCAUUGUUAUCUCUUCAAAUCUAAUUUUGAUCAAGUGGGUGGUGAUGCAUUCACUGGGGUAGGCUUCAAUAAUUGGAAGAAGGCGAAAGAAAGAUUUAACCUUCAUAUUGGACCGGUUGGUAGUGUUCACAACCAAGCUAGAGAAGUUGCUUACAAUUUGAUGCAUCAAACUACACACAUUGAAACAAUUGUGCUCAAGCAAACAAGCCAAGCUCGCACGGCUUAUCGCACUUGCUUGAAUGCAUCACUUAAGUGCACUAGGUAUUUGUUGCGGCAAGGGCUUUCUUUUCGUGGUCAUGAUGAAAGUGCACAAUCAAGUAAUAAAGGGAAUUAUUUAGAGCUCUUGCAAUUUCUUGCGGAUCAUGAUGAAAAAGUUAAGGCCGUUGUAUUGGAAAAUGCUCCGGGAAAUUUAAAGUUAAUAGCUCCUUCAAUUCAAAAAGAUCUUGUCAAUUCUUGUGCCAAAGAAACCAUUGAUCUUAUCUUGAGUGAUGUAAAAGAUAGAUAUUUUUCAAUAAUGGUGGAUGAAGCACGUGAUGUUUCAAUAAAGGAGCAAAUGGCAAUGGUGUUGCGUUAUGUGAAUGACAAAGGACAAAUAAUUGAAAGGUUUGUGGGGGUUCAACAUGUAACCGACACUACUUCAAGUGCACUAAAGGAAACAAUUGAUGAAUUCUUUUCUUCCGCGAAUUUGAGCUUUUCCAAGCUACGAGGACAAGGUUAUGAUGGAGCUAGCAAUAUGAGAGGUGAGUUCAAUGGCCUUAAGAGAAAGAUUUUGAGAGAACAACCUUGUGCAUUUUAUGUUCAUUGCUUUGCUCAUCAACUUCAACUAGCUCUUGUUGCGGUAGCAAAGAAAAACAUUGAUGUCAACUCUUUUUUCACAACGGCUAAUAGUUUGGUUAAUGUGGUUGGAGCAUCUUGUAAGCGUCGCGAUGCACUUAGAGCACAAUACCAAGAAGAGCUUGUGAGAGCUUUUGAAGAUGAUUGUCUUAUAACGGGGCGGGGCUUAAAUCAAGAAAGGACUCUCAAACGUGCCGGCAAUACACGAUGGAACUCACAUUAUGGUACGUUGAUUAGUAUCAUUUCUAUGUUCCCAUCUGUGGUGAAUGUGCUUCAAAUGAUUGUUGAUGAUAAUCUUAAUGAUAGUUCGGGUGAAGCCUAUAAGUUAAGGAGAGAAAUACAAUCUUUUGAGUUUGUGUUUCACUUAUUUGUAAUGAAAGCUAUAUUGGGAAUAACAAACACUUUGUCUCUAGCAUUGCAAAAGAAAGAUCAAGACAUUGUGAGUACAAUGAAUUUAGUGAAAACAUGCAAGGAAAACCUGCAGUUGAUGAGGGAUAAUGAGUUUGAAGAAUUGGUUGGGCAAGCAUCCUCGUUUUGUUACAAAUAUGAUAUUAUAGUUCCUACCAUGGAUGAGGAAUAUGUAAUUCCAGGGAGAUCAUGGCGUAAUGCUCCAAUGAAGACAAAUUAUCAUCGUUAUCGUGUGGAGAUCUUUAUUCAUGUAAUUGAUGGGCAACUUGCGGAAUUAAAUGAUCGCUUCAACGAGGUAAGUACUGAGUUACUUACUUGUUUGGCAUGCUUGAGUCCAAAAAAUAACUUUGUGACUUUUGACAAACGAAAGCUAGUUCGUCUUGCUCAAUUUUAUCCUUAUGAUUUUUCGGAUAGAGACUUAUUGAUGCUUGAAGAUCAACUUGGUGUUUAUGUUCAUCAUAUGCGUUCGAGUAGUGAUUUUUCUCAAUUGGAAGGGAUUAGUAGUCUUGCGGAAAAAAUGGUGGAGAAAGGAAUGCAUGAAAUAUUUCCUUUUGUAUUUGCUUCUUACAUUGGCUUUGGUUUUACCGGUUGCAACUGCAUCAGUGGAGAGGGCAUUUUCCGCUAUGAAUAUUAUUAAAAAUCCACUUCGCAACAGAAUGGGAGAUCAAUGGUUGAAUGAUAGCUUGCUUGUUUACAUUGAGAGAGAUGUUUUUGCUUGUAUUGAUAACGAAAUUAUAAUGCAAUGUUUUCAGAAUAUGAAAACUCGUCGUGGACAAUUGUAACUUGUAUUAUUGGUUUUGUUAUGAAUUAUGAAUGAAAGUACUAUCUUUCUAUCUUUUUAGCAUUAUUUUCUUUGUAGAAAAAUUUCAGAACUUUUACACUAAGCCCCCUUGGCUACAUAAUCCUGGAUCCGCCACUGCUUUUGACCACUUUAUCACCUAUGUAUCACCACUUUAUAACCUAUUUGGGGAACAUAGGUCAGUUAUGGACGGUUUUACCCUUACAUUUGACGGCAACAUUAACAUAAUGUAACAGUGGGAUCAAUGGAGUGAUUAAUAUAAAGUUGAUGGACCAUUUGAAUGAAUAAUUUAAUUGAGAGACCAAAAUGUAAAUCAAGUAUAAGUUUGAGGACCAUUUGAGUAAUUUACCCUUCGCUUUUAUAUUUGUUGAACUUUUAUUUAUGAUAGAUAUGCAUUUAAGGGUAAGACCCAUUAUGUUCCCCUGGCUAGGUGUAUCUUUUUAUGUUUAUUAAUGAAAUUCACUCGAACUGUUGAGUUUAGUAUGUAAGUUUUGCCUAACUGGCUUUUGAAUCCUAGAACCGCCACUGUUGCUCCAUCCUCCAUGCACUUGCAUGUGCUCUUACAAAGUGUGAAGUAGAUUUUGUGUGCUCCAAGUCAUUGACUAGAGCUGAAACAUGGUUAGCUAGAUUUAUAAGGACCCAUCUCUUUAUUUCCUAGACAUAUACCCAUCUCUCUAUAAAUCUAUAUGUAAAACCUAAUUUCAAACUUAAAUGACCAGUAGGAUAUAAAAGGUCAUAGUAUUCCUAUGUUUUUAUAUCGUUGCCACCAGACUUCUUAUUUUAUUUAUAAUUUAUUUCAAGCAUUUCAUUAACUGCCAUAAUUGUAAUUAAUACUCCAUAUUAAUAGCAUAUCAAUCACCCCAUUUCUUUUGGUUGCCAUUCCCUCUAACAUAUCGCCCCUUAAAUUUGAAAACCAAAAAAAAAAAAUGUAAAUUACAUAUCCAAUAAUGUACCUAUGAAAAAUAUAAAUAUAAAUAUAUACAUAUAAAAAUAUAGGUAUAUUAUUUACCAAAUAGAAAAUAUAAAAACCUAGGUCAGUUGCUUUGUAAUUGAAAUUUCUGUACAUUUUCCACAAAUUAAAAAUAGGUACAUAAUAAUUUAUAGAAAAUAUAUGUACAUUAUUUAUCCAUAGGUAAAAAUACCGAUAAAUGCACAUAGGUGAAUUAUUUACCAAUAUAUUAUUUUUUUGCUAAGGAUUUACCUUAGUUUUUAGUAGAUUAAUUUACCUACCUAGAGGCAUAGGUAGCUUAAAAAAAAUGUACCACCUUAGUUGGUUGCAUACUAAUUUACCUACCUAGAGGCAUAGGUUGCUAAGAAAAAAUGUAGGUAAAUUCAUGUACCUAAACACAUAGGGGUCAAAUAGAGAAUAACAUGUUAUUUCCCUUUGAACAAAUUAAUUUCAAACCAUAACAAUUAUUGAAUUUGGAAAUUGGUAUAAAUAAAAGGAAAUAAAUAAACUAUCAAUUUGAAAAUUAAAAUAAGAAAUGAUCAAGUAGUCAUAUUUGAAAAAAAAGGAAAGAAUAUAUUCUUGGUUUUUAUAGGAACAACGAGUAUAUUCAAACCAAACGGCGAUAACUACACCAAGCUUUAAUUACUUUUUUUUAAGGCCAAAAGUCACUUUUGGUCCCUGUAGUUCGGCAUUUCUACCACUUUUGAUGUUGUAGUUUCAAUUCCGUCAAUUUUGCCAUUGUAGUUUCGUAUUUGUAGCAAUUCAAGGACCUGUUAAUAUUAAUGUCAAUUUGUUUAAUGAUGCAAGAGGUAAUUUCGUCAUCCCAAAAUCCUUGAGCAUAAAAGAUUGUCUGAAAUUCUCCCCAUUUCAUAUUAGGGCUCGAAAUUCAACCACUAAUCCUAAUUUUUGAAGAACCCUAGACCCAAAUGACCAAUUUCAAGCCCUAAUAUGAAAUUACGGAAGUUUUAGAUGAGCUUUUAUGCUCAAGGAUUUUGAGUUGAAGAAACUGCCCCUUGCACUGUCAAAUAAAUUGACAGGAAUACUGACUUGUCCUUGAAUUGCUACAAAUACAAAACUACAGUGUCAAAAUUAACAGAAUUUAAACUAUAGGGUCAAAAGUAGUUGAAGUGUCAAACUAUAAGGACCAAAAGUGACUUUUAGCCUUUUUGUUUCAAUAAGGAAAAAACUGACCUAUUAAAUCCUUGGAAUCUAUACAAAAUUGAAACACAAUUAAUCAACAUUGAAUUGCAGCUAAUUUCUUAAACAAGGGUAUUAUAGGAAUUUAAAAAGUAUAACAUUUAAUCCAUUGAAUUUGAUUAGGAAACUUGAUGAAUUGAAUCCUAGUUAUAUAGUUUUUCUUAUAAAAAUCAGGUUUUAUUUAUAGACAAAUAAAACAAUGGGUUGUAGGUAAGAAAAUAUUAAUUUGAAGGGAAAGAGUCAAAUUUACUAAAUUAAUAAAGCAUAAAUUGGAAAGGGAAAAGAUCUAGAGGAUGCAUUGUAGGAUUGCUCAUGCCAAUAAUUGCACCCUCUCGAUAUUGAAAAACCUAUUGUUUAUUAUUAUCUUCAAUCCUGAAUGAUGCACCUAAAACCCAAGUGUCUCAGGCCAACCAUUGCGCUCAUACCACUUGUUGCAGUACACAUUCACCUGUUUUUAAAGAAAGAAAUUCUACCAAUCGAUAUUUUCUCAAAUUUAAUCACAUAGAUCUAUUAUGGUUAACCAUAUGUACUUUUAUCUGCCAUCCAGAGGUACCUUUUUCCAACGUGCAACAAUUGUAUUUGAUUCACAAUUAUGUCUGAUAUACAUCACAUCAUGCCACUUGCCUCAAAUGAAUUUAAUUGAGUGAGGCAAUGGGAAGUAAUUAAGCUCUAUAUUGGUGGGUGGAGUGUUACUUCUGGAACCCUCAUCAUUCGUCCAUACAGGGGAACAAUUCCCUUCCUUCUAUAAAAUGGGAGCAAUUCUCUCACUGUACUCUAUAUAAAGGAAUAAGUGUCGUCCACUAAUUAAUUACACUUUGUGAGAUUUGAUUUUAAUUAGAGUUCGAAUUAAUGUUGCAGCUAGCAGCGGUGGCACUGGCAAACCAUGCUGCUCAACCAGCACCUCCACUUUACUGGAAUUCCAUCCUGCCAAACACACAAAUGCCAAGAGCUAUCAGUGAACUUCUGCAUCCUGAUUUGUGUUGAAUAGAUAUAGUAUGUUACUGGAGUACGUAUGGCAACAUAUUCACAAAUGUGUCACGUAUUUUCCAUUAUGACGUUGAUAUAUAAUUGCAGACUCCACAAACGAAGAAAAGAGCACAAAUGUCAUGAAUGCUGUUGGGAAUGGAAAGCCAAUUGACCACAAGGGCAAACCUGAAAAUACUGUACUACCACAGCUUGCACGACGCCCAUUUUCUUACAAGAGUGAUGAUCGUCCCACUGACAAUCAACUCCAUUAUAAAAACGUAGCUAUUUUCUUCUUGGAGAAGGACAUGCGCCCUGGCACAACAAUGAGCUUCCAAUUCCCUAGAAAUUCAAACACGGCUACUUUCCUGCCACGAGAAAGAGCUCAAUCGAUCCCCUUCUCCUCUAACAAACUACCAGAAAUUUUCAACCAUUUUUCAGUGAAGCCAACAUCUGUGGAAGCCAAAACAAUUAAGCAAACAAUCGAAGAGUGUGAGGCUCCAGGCAUUAAGGGAGAGGAAAUAUAUUGCGCCACAUCUUUAGAAUCAAUGGUUGAUUUUAGCACUUCGAAGCUUCGAACAAGAAACGUUCAAGCAAUCUCGACGGAGGUAUUGGAAAAAGGUGCCACCAUGUCCAUGCACAAGCACACAACAAUGCCGGGACUGAAGAAGUUGGCAGGUGUCAAAGUCGUUUUGUGUCAUAAGCAGAACUAUCCCUAUGCUGUGUUUUACUGCCAUGUAAUAAAACCAACAGCAGCUUAUGUUCUCUCCCUGAAAGGCGAUGAUGGGGUGAAAGUUAAAGCAGUAGCCAUCUGCCAUCUAGACACAUCAGAAUGGAACCCAAAGCAUUUGGCCUUCCAAAUCCUCAAAGUUAAGCCCGGAACAAUUCCCAUCUGCCAUUUCCUUCCCACUGAUCAUAUUGUCUGGGUUCCGAACCACAAAUCUGCAUGAUCAUCACUUAGCACUGUACGUAUAAUAACCUUUACCCCUGUAUAAUUAUCUCCCUACUCUACUUAUUUCUGCCUCUUCAUGUGGUGUAAGAUAUAUGAUGAGAUGAAGUUUUUGGGAUUAGUGGUCGGGUUGCCUUAAAAACACAGAUUACAGAAACUGCUUGAACUUAACCCGAUCAUGUUUUCUCUUGUACUCGUAAAGCAUGCUGUUGUGGUUCUACUUAAUUUCGUCCUCCCCAAUGUUUGAGUGUUUAAUUGUUACGUUGGAAUAGGCUGCUAAUGCAUGUAGUUAGAGAAGCUUUCAUUUAUAUCAAAGUCCUCAAACUAUCAAGAAUUAAUGCAUCCAGAAACAUAUAUACCAAGACGCAAAACAACAUAUUUUCCAUGCUGUGUCGGUAACACCAAAGCAAACUUCCUUUAUCACAAAAGGACCAAAUUCCAAUACUAAUCUAAUCCAUCAUGUAAAGCAUACAAUCUACAACUGCCUCCCUAAAUUUGUCCAUUGGAUAUAUAUGUCACUUUUUGGUAAUUUGGUAUAGCAGCACCACGUAGUAUGCAUUUAACAGAAAAGUAAACAAAAUUGACAGUAGAACUAUUUGUCCUAACGAAACUGAAGUUGAAAGACCAUGAGAACGAUUUUGAAAAUUAAGGGACUCAAAUGAAAAUUGGGUCUAAGUUCAGGGACCAAUAAAACGAUUAACCCAUAGAUUUUGGAUCCAGUACCACAUCCCAAAGAGAAAACCACAAGUUUGCAAGCAAGUUUGUCCAUACUAACACUACGUACAGUAUGGGCAAUGUGCUAGACUCAUCUCACUUUCUCAACCUAUCCUAUACUUGUCUAAAAGAGUUUCUAAUUUAAUGUACUGAGAUUUACGAAAGAAAUAUCAGAGAAACAAUUUUCAGGCAAUAAAAAAAUGUCUUGGCAAGAAAAUGCACAAUUUGUUACAUAACUUAUUAAAUAUGAACAGUUGAAAGAAAAAAGAAUUUGGAUGAGGGAUUUGCAAAUUCCUAUGGCCCAAUUACCUUUUUUUCUUUGUUUUUUUUUGGUUCUUUUGAUCCAGUAGCAUAUUCCAAAGAAUGAAAACCACAGGCAUGCAAUGCAAGCUCUUUUCCCAUGUUUUCCUCUGUUUUUCUCCUAUCAUGGAAGUGAUUAAAACACACCUCUAAGCUUGUUUUGCGUUUGGUAGCCGAGUGUAAAAGCUCAAUGCAAGAUAGUUUGAGGUAGAAUUUUCUCCUGUUUUAUUAGGACAAUGAUGAGCUAUAUGUGACAACAAAUUGCUUUAAUAAUGAAAAUUAAAAAAGUGUGAUUCAUUGAAUAUUUGCGGGGUUUUGUUCAGAGCUGACAAAGUUCUAAGUCAACACAUCAAAUUCCUUUUUCCAACAAUCGUAUUUGAUUCACAAUUUUGUCUGAUAUACAUCACAUCAUGACACUUGCAUCAAAUGAAUUUAAUUGAGUGAGGCAAUGGGAAGUAAUUAAGCUCUAUAUUGGUGGGUGGAGUGUUACUUCUGGAAUCCUAAUCAUUCGUCCCUACAGGACUCUAGAACUCUCACACUUCUUACAAGGACUACUUAACUCUAUAGCUUAUUGCAUAUAGCAUAUAUAUGCAAACCCAAUUAGAAAUUCUACAACAGAAGCAAGAUCAAUCUCACUAUGCCUUCUAAACAAACAAACAAAUAAAACAAGCAUAUUAAUUGCUUUAAUCACUCUACUAACAUCAACACAGCACACUUAGUUUACUAACAGAUGAUAUAGAAAGGAAAAAAAAGGACCAAUAGGGAGAAAAUGGUGAACUAAGGAGAGACUAAUACUUCUGGUCCUUAGAAGGCAUAACAGAAAUAAUAGAGCACACUGCUUGAAUGCAAGUCAGUAUUAGGAGCAAAACAGCUGCAAUGAAAGAAAUAGUUGCCCAAGGUGUAUUGAAAUAAUGUUGCCUCAAAUUUGCCUUCCAUUUGUUCCAAGGCUUUCUGCAGUAGCUAUUAAGGCGCUCAGAAAGAGUAGCAAAGUAGAAGCUUUCACGAUACACUGCAAUUCCUUUUCCGAGGUUGUUAAUCAGAGUGCACACCUCAUUGUAGUCACCAAGCAUAUUUUUGACAAUCCCAUACUUCAGAAGGAACUCCACAUCCUUUUCGGUGUUCACAAACUCAUCCAUGAGUGAAACAUAAUCACUUAUGUAAUUCUUACGGCAAUGGCACUAUUCAAAGGCAAUGAGGUUAUGGAGUGUGAGCUCUGUGUAAUCGUUUAUUUUUAGUUUUGGAAUUUCUAGAAUCCCAUCGUUGAAUCGUGUUAACGCAGCUUUCCUUUCCUAGCCUACGCGGAAGUCAACUUCACAAUCUCCUCCUAGCAAUUAGCCUUUCCUACUGUAAAUCGGAUUGUAUUCAUGUCUAUAUUAUUUCCUACCUUAAAUAGAUAUCCUGUACUAGUAUACAUAGGGACUUUGUGUAAUCUGUUAAAUACAAGGAAAUAUAUACUCUACAUGGUAUCAACCUAACCUAGGGUUCUCUCUCUCCCCCUUAUUCGAUCCUCUUCUCCUUUAGGUCCACCUCAUGGCUUCGUUUGAAUCCACCAUCUCCCUCCCAAGCCCUAACUCUUCUCAUUUUAUCAAGCUUACUAACUCCAACUAUCUUCUUUGGCUCCGCCAACUCAAACCCUUUUAGUUGGCCAUGACCUCUGGAAAUUUAUCGAUGGCAUUCAUAAACAACCUUCUGCCCACACCUCCACCUCUACCACCACAACACCCACAACCACCACCACUCUUACCGAAAUCAAUCCUACCUAUGCUCAGUGGUACCAACAAGACCAACUCAUUGUUAGCUACAUCACCAGUACACUCUCUGAGUCCAUUUUCUCUCUCACUGUCGGUUGCAUCUCUGCCCGGGAUCUCUGGGAGUGUCUCCAAUGCCACUUCUCUUAAUCCAAUAUGGCCAGUGAAUCUGCUCUUCGUUUUCAACUCAUGGAUUUGCAAAAAGGCUCUCAACCCAUUGAUGCUUACCUUCGUCAUGCUAAGUCUCUUGCCGAUUCACUAGCUGCCAUCAAUUAACCUGUCUCCCCAAAAGAACUUGUCACUGCUGUGCUUCGGGGUUUAGGACCCGAUCACAAAAUGCUCAUCACAGCAAUUCUCAAUUUCUCUCCGCUUCCAGACUUUGCUGAUCUUCGUGCUCGUUUGUUAGCUUUUGAUGCACAGACUCCUCGAAUCUUUCCUGAUCAAAACACAACGCUAAUGGCCACCCAAUCUUCUCCUUACACCACCGGUCAUACUUCCUUCCCUUCUCACCGUGGUUGUGGCUCUUCCAGCAAUAGGCGCGGUGGCUGGUGCAGUAUUGGCCGUGGUGGCUGGCACAACUUCUCAUCUUCCUAGAGCAACCCGUGGAAUGGCUUCCAGCAGCCCUAAUGACCUAAUCAACUGUGGCCUCCUUUUGCUCUAAGUUUUGGAUCUCAAAGCAACUGGCCUUCCUUUCAACCUCUUUGGGCCCAAUCUGCCGCUUCUAGCAAACACUCUGCCCGACCCAACUCAGCUCCUGGUGUCUUGGGACCCGCUUGGUGCACCACAUGCAAUACCAAUCGACAUACUACUACAACAUGUCCUUAUUGCUACAAUGGCCCAGAAUUCUUCCUUUGCUGGGGCUCAAUUCAUGCAGCCACCUAACUCUACAUGGUACCCUGACACAAGUGCCACUCAUCAUAUGACUGGUAGUUCUUCUAAUCUCCAAAGGAAAUUAAAUGAAGGAGUCCUACGAAGGCUCAAGGCUCGAAAGCACACGAUCCGGCUCUGCUGCGGAGCUCACUCAACUACUGGCUGAGGGGGCGCAAAACAGAAAAUUGUGAGUGGACAAAAAUAAAAAUUCAGUUCAGUGUAAACCAACGUAAUAUAACCCCACCGUUUAGAAAACCAUGCAAGAAAUCCAAAUGCAUCUCAAAACCAUCAUAAUCAUCAAAUCAAAAUCAAAUACUGGAUGCCAAGUCCGAAAUCCAUAAAGAAAGCUUUACAAACCCACCAUCCAAAUCUUACAAUCCCACAACUAAACUCUCGAAAGCGUACCCAUUGGCAGUACCAGCAAGGAAGUAUCCUCACCGAGAAACAAGAACAAAAGAAUAGCUAUAUAUAUAAUUAUAUAAUAUAACCACACCUAGUUGUACCGGGAAAACAAUCCAACCGGGGGAUUGUUUGACUAGUCACCAUGGCAGAGUCAAAGUAAACAAAUUCCUCAAUUCACCAUGUGACUAGGGAACGAGCUGUCCAACUGGGGGACCAACUCUCAGCCAGCAUGUACCGUCGAUAGCCUCAAAACCCGUACGUCUGUGACCAGUCCUACGCGUGCAGACUACCCAAUCAAGGGUUUACAGCAACAUCCCAUCAAGGAUGCCCUAGGUUCCCACAAUUCCAAGUAUCUCAAGUUUGCGUAUCCAAGUUCCAAAUCCGGGGAGGUACAUAGGGUAGUGCUUAUAGCACUCCAAAUUGACAUUCUAUACUCAUCACUUUCCACAAUCUCAUCUCAACAACCUAAGUACCCCACACAUAGCCAAACAUAUAUAGAAAUUCUCAAAAUCCAUAUAUACAUACUCAAGAUACUCAAAUAUGUCAAAAUCCAAAAUAUAUUUCCAAUGCAUCAUAAAAAUAUCACUUUUAACAAUUGAAUAAAUAAUAUAUAUCCAAUAUACCAAUUAAAACAUCAUGCAUAAUAUUUCCCAUCAUAAAAUCAUGCAUAAGAUUUGAAAACAAAGUCCACUCACAAGUAGUCCCACACUGCUUGACCUUGAGAGGGUCCCGCCUACUGCGUAUGCGUGGUUGGAGUACCUAUUUCAGAAUACGUAUACGAGAUUAAUAAGAAGCGUUUCGAACGAGAACUUUGAAUUAAAUAUCCUAAUUUCCCAGGUUUCUAGUAAGUGUACUAGGAACGAGACGUUCUAAGGUUCCACUACCCAAUUCGAACCAUGGAAGAGCUUCGGGAGACACUCGGUCAACCGGCGGUCAAAUUCCCAAAUCGGGUCAACUGGCCCACGGGACCCACGACCUCCGUUUUUAAAAUCCGUAAGUUCCUAAAGGUUUCACAAUGUCUAAGAUACUACUAUCACAAGUUUGGUCCGAAACGGACUGUUAGAUCGCUUACGAUCGCACGAUCAGACGGUUAUUGUAAAACGUAAACUUUAAGUUAUUGAAUCAGAACAUCCGGGGCUCCGAUUCACGAUCCGCGAAUUCCUACACGAUCCUAGGAAGGUCUAGAGUAACAUAUAUUGGAAUGGAGUCGAUCCAAAGGUCCGAACAUAUCGAACCUAGACCGGAUAACUCCUAAUAUGUGAGAUUCGUUCGGGGUUCGAACAUCAACCAAAUUGGAAUCCUAAGGUACCUACGUGCUCGUGACAUUAAGGGGAUCAAUUGGGACAAAAAUGCCCCUCUGCUACAGUGCCCACGUGCCACCACACGCGGCGGUAGAGAGUGGGUGUCCAAAGCGAUUUCUCUUCGCCGGAAAAUCUCCAAAUUACAAGCCACUCUCCUGGCUACAGGUUCUACUCAACGAGUGGAACACUUUAUUCAACUACAGCCAAGUCCAAUUCGGACGGCAAGUGGCCGGAAACUCACGGUUUAACCCGGAACUUCAUGGCUUGGAUUGGGCGACCAUCGUCACCAUUGUCGUGGCACAACCUAGGAAAUAGCUAAAAGGAGAGGAGGGCUACCUAUUCCAAGCGAUGGCGCAGCUCGCGGUAGCCGAAAAUGUAGCCGAUGACGUUGGCAGUUUUGGCCGGUUUUUCACGUCGUUGCCAUCGCCGUUUGUCGAGUUUUCGAUUGGAGAAAAGGGGUGGGGUGAGUAGAGGAGGAAGAGAGGAAGCUUUUGCAAGAAAUGACACUUGUCAGGGAGGGGGGGGUUGGGGGAAGAGAGAGAGAGAGAGAGAGAGAGAGAGAGAAAAAAAAAAAAUUUCAGAUUUUCAUCCAAACCCUUUUCGAAAUAUUUACAAGUUUGCCACUAAACUACUUUUGGUUGCCAAAUCUUCGUUAUAACUCCGAUUCAAGCCUACCACGUGUCUACGGAUUCGUCUCAAUACAACCUACCCAAAAAUACCAGUCACUGCCCCAAACUCUUUUUGGGUAAGAAAAUGACCAAAAUACCCCUACCCCAAGGGUAAAUUCAUAAUUUCACUUCAAUAAUUUAAUAAAGAAUUAAAUUUGGAGUCGGGGUGUUACAUUAACUACCUGUUUAGUAGGUGUGGGGUUUUAUACAAAAAGCAUCGAUGUUAUUGGGAGUGGAACCACUUAUUAUAAGUUGUGAUUUAUUUAGUCAAGUUUCCUAUGUGGGAUUUUCUAUUCUUCAACAAGCCCCCUCAUGUGGGACCACCACAUAGUGGGCCACAUGUAAAGCUAAGUCCACAUCGGAGUCAAUCAUUCAAGCCCAAUACCUAAACACCACGUAUUGUGUGAGGGGUAGGGGUAAACAUUCAAGCCCAACAUGUGAACCACCAAAUAUUAAGUAAGGGUAAAGGCUCAAUUCAGGCCCAAUCAAUGAACCCAUUAUGAUAUCAUGUUAAAUUUCAGAUAGACGGGACUGUGGCCCACCACUAGCAACAUUGAUAUUGUCCCCAACUUAACUACAUGUUUAGUAGGUGUGGAGUUCUAUACAUAAGGUCUCGAUGUUUUUAGGAGUGGAACCACUUAUUAUAAGUUAUAAUUUAUUUAGUCAAGUUUCCAGUCAACCUGACUUUGAUACCAUGUUAAGAUUUUAAAGGGACGAACUCUUGGCACUAUUAGUAACAUCGACAUUGUCCCCAACUUAACCACCUGUUUAGCAAGUGUGGGGUUUUAUCCUAAAGGCCUCGAUCUUAUUAAGAGUUGAGUCAUUUAUUAUAUGGAACUUUCUAUUUUGUUAACUCUGUGUAUUCUUCAUCAAUGUGAACACCCCUAAACCAAUCAUACCUGAUACGAAUUGAAACACAAGUUUGUUUUUUGCCUUUGGUAGAUGAGUAGCUAGAAAAGCUCAAUGCACUUGCUCUUCUGCUACAUUUCAAUAUAAGAACAAGGUUUGGAAGUCAGGUCAACUCCUCAUAGCUUCCUUGCCUUUGCUUUGACAUGUCUAUGCACUUCUUGGGGAAGUUUGAAUAAUCCAUUGCAGGCCCCAUGACAACUAAGGAACCAACAUUUUGUAGAAGGUUUUGUCUAUACCUUUUGACUAUAAGUAAAAUCUUUUGUAUCUGCUCUUAUGUUUCGGUGAAGUUUCUAUGUGUCCUUUGUGCCGAGUUUCUAUGCGUCCUUUGUUGAACCAAAAAAUGAGGUUGUUUCUUACUAGAUUCAAAUACUUAAAAGAAAAAAAGAAAUUGUUGUUUCUUAAUGGAUUUUAUGAUGAACAAUAUCAAACUCUCCUCUUAUACGUCUGUUGGUAAAUUUUAACAACAAUAUUAAAACCUUGCAAGUGCACAAAUCAAAUGAUAGUAUAGUAAGCAAGCAAGGGUCGAUCCCACGGAGAUUGUGAUCUAAAGAGAUGUUUAUCAAUGUCACGCAAUGAAAAUCAAAACAAAGGACUUCCAAACACACGCCAACACCAAGGGGGGUUUUGAUUUGUUUUUGUGAAUCAAACAAAAUAAGGAAAAGGAAACAAAAGAGAAUUUAAAUUAGAGUUUAAGAGAAAUUGGUUUAAAAUCAAUCAAGAUCAAUAGCUAGGACUUACUAUCCACCUCCAAACAAUCAAUCAAUCCAUAAACAACAAUAGAUAAUCAAUUUCUAGUAAGCACACUACUACAAAAAAGCAAAAAGACGACGGUAAAUCACCGUCGUGUAUUCGGUUUUUCAAUGGUCGUGGAAUCCACCGUCAUCUUUUCCCUCAUAAACCACGACGCUAAAUCACCGUCGUUGUUACAAUAUACAACGUCAUCAACAAAUACAAAACGACGUCUUUGUACUGCAAAAAGAUCUAAAAAAGCAAUCGAUGAUGAGAAAAGACGACCAACUCUCUAAACAAACCGUCGUUAAAAAGAAAAAAUAUGACACAUAUUAACAGAACAUGGCCGCAAGAUAGACAUACAACGACGAAAAUUAAAAUAAGACGCCGUUAAAUAUCAUUUUCACGACAAUAAAAAAUAUGUCGUCUUUAAAUACAUUAGAAGACGACGUUAUUGAUACCUACUACGUCGCCUAUAUAAAAAUAACCGUCGUAAAAUAAAUUUUCCACUUCGAUUUUUCUAUAAAAGAUGACGUGGAAAUAGUUGUCAGUGUCAUUAUUUACGACGUAUGUAUUUAUAGAGUAGACGUUGAACAACGAAACAACGUCGGUUACAAAUAUAUGAGAGUCGUAUUACAAAAUUUAUACGUCCUAUUUUCAGAAACAAACAACGACGAUAAAUAUUAGACGUUGUUAAAUAAAACAACGUCGAAAACAAAUAAAAACAGACGUGUUUAGUCUGCUAAAGUUCUAAAAAAUAGUCGAGGAUGAGAAUAGACGACCAACUCAAACAAAUCACCGUCGUUAAAAAGGAAAAAUAUGACACAUAUUAAAAGAACAAGGCCGCAAGAUAGACAUACAACGACGACAACUAAAACACUACGCCGUCAAAUAUAAUUUUCACGACAAGAAAAAAUAUGACGUCUUUAAAUACAUGAGAAGACGACGUUAUUGAAAUAUACUACGUUUCUUAUUUACAAACAACCGUCGUGAAAUAAAUUUUCCACUUCGAUUUUUCUAAAAAAGAUGAUGUGGAAAUAGUUGUCAGUGUCAUUAUUUACGACGUAUGUAUUUAUAUAGUUGACGUUGAAAUGCGAAACAACGUCGGUGGCAUUUAUAUAGUCGACGUUGUAUUUAUAUGUAUUCAUUACUCACGACGCACUUAUUAAUAUAGACGACGUUGAACUUCUAAACAACGUCGGUUCCAAAUAAAUGAGAGCCGUAUUACAGAAAAUAUAGAUGGCGUUGAUUAUGAUGAGAGCCGUAUUACAAAUAACGUCGUUUAAUUGAUAUUAGACGGCGGUUAUAAUGAAUUACCGUCGGAAUUCAUUUCGUUCCUCUUCGUUUAUAAAAGAACUUGCGACGUGGAAAAUGUAUGAUGACGUCGUAUUUUUUAACGUUCAGAUUAUAUAUCUCGUUUUUUAGACGUCGGUAUUAUGGGAUUGGAGUCGUGUUAUUUUGAAUUACAUGGCGGUUCUUAAUCCUUCCCCGACGUGAUAUCCUGAAUAAUUGCUUCAUAAUAGCGUCGUGGUUCUUCAUUGUUACGUUGCUUUAAGACGUCGGUAAAUAUGCUGAAUAACUGGUUCACAAUAACGUCGUGUUUUAUUUGAACGUAGAAAGUGAAGAAAUCACAUUACAAUAUAUUACAAAAUUAAUGUCAUACACUGCCAAUUACAUAAGCAUCAUUCAAUCCAUAUAUCUUCACACCCAUCUCGAAUAUUUUGACCGCCUAACUCACCCACCAGUUCAUCAAAUGUGUCAACAUUUGGCAUCCCUCUAGUAAAUGGCUCACACUCAAUUAUCACAUCACCUAAGACUUCAUCACCAAUAACAUUAUUAUAUUCUCUAUUAGGCAUUGAUAACACUACCGACCAACCACGAUGCAUCGGGUCGUCAACAAAAAAUAUUUGUUUGACUUGAGAAGCCAAAACAAAUUGGUCAUUCCUAUGUCCAAUUUUACUCAAAUCUACAAGGGUAAAUCCAAGUUCGUCGACUACAAGACCAGAACUAUCUAUCCAAUCACACCUAAAGACUGGGAUUGUAAACUUUUGGUAGUCAAGGUCCCAAAUUUCUUGAAUGACACCAUAGAAACCCAUAUUUGAGAGAAUUGAGUUUUUAUCCUUGGCACUAGCAACUUGCAUGGUAUGUGCAAGUAAAUAAACUCCACUAUUUUGAGUUGUCCGCACAUCAUCUUGUGCCUUGAUAUUGAAUUUAAUACCUUUAAUAAGAUAGCUCCUAUAUAAUGGCACAGCCAUGUUUGGACCAGCUGCUAGCCACCUUAAAUUUUCUGAUACGCCAUGAUUGUCUUCCUCAAGUUCACUUUGAACCUGCAAAUUAAUCAUAUAUCUUAAUGCAAUCUAACAUAGAAAUAAGAAGAAAAUUAAAAGAGAAAUAUGUUAUUCAACAACAUAUACCUUGAAGCGUAGCCAUUGAAUGAAAGUGUUAUUGUGCUUAUCCUGCAGCCACUUUGUGAUUUAAGGUAUGACAAUCAUGUGAUUUAAGGCCAAGAAGUCUUGAAUCUUGUAAAGAUACAAGAUUUUUAAUAUUUGAAGAAUAACCUUCAGGGACCUUCAUACCAUAGAAAGAAUUGCAAACCUCUCUCUUCUCUGCUCUUGACAAAUUCCAAGGCCCAGGAGGCAAACGAGUACGUCUUUCUCCAUACUCGGGUUGCAAAUCAGUUUUGACCCCCAUGUUCAAUAAAUCUAAUCGAGCAGCAAUCCCAUCUUUAUUUUUUCCAGGGAUCUCCAGCAAUGUACCAAUGAUACUAUCGCAAACAUUCUUCUCAAUGUGCAUAACAUCUAGGGCAUGCCUCACAGGAAGGUAUUUCCAAUACUCGAGAUCAAAGAAUAUUGAUUUCUUCUUCCAACAAACUCUGUCACCAUUUUCAACCAUGUGCAGCACUUCUUCUCCGGUUAAUGGCUCGGGAGGUAUGCCAUAUUCAGGUUUCCCAUUAAAAGCUGCACGUUGCCUCCUAUAUGGAUGAUUGAUUGGUAACCAUUUUCUAUGCCCAAUGUAACAAAUUUUGUGGCCAUUUUCAACCUGUGACUAGGUGUAUCAUCGCCGCAUAUUGGACAAGCUUUAUAUCCUUUAACAACACAACCAGAUAAGUUUCCAUAGGCGGGGAAAUCAUUAAUUGUCCACAUUAAUGCAGCUCUGAGUGUAAAGUAUUCUCCAUUAUGUGCAUCAUACACUCCUCUAAUCCCAUCCCACAAAGAUUUUAAAUCAUCAAUCAAAGGCUCCAAGUAGACGUCUAUAUCAUUUUCGGGUUGUUUAGGACCGGAAAUCAAUAAGGUUAACAUCAUGAACUUUCGUUUCAUGCACAGCCAUGGAGGGAGAUUAUAUGUAACUAAGAUAACCGGCCAACAACUAUAUCUGCUACUUAGAGAACUGUGGGGAUUGAAUCCAUCAGAUGAAAGAGCCAAUCUCAAGUUUCUCGGCUCAUUACCAAACUCAGGCCAUUUAUCAUCAAGAAGUUUCCAAGACGGGGAAUCCGCCGGAUGAGACAUCUGACCGUCAAUUGAUUUUCUAGCAGCAUGCCAAGUCAAACUCUUAGCUGUCUCAUGUGAUUGAAACAUCCUUUUAAACCUUGGAAUUGGAGGAAAAUACCACACCACCUUCGCUGGCACAUCCUCUUUCAAGAUUGAAUCUUUGCCUUCCUUCCACCUUGAGAUACCACAAGUAGGACAAUUAGUUGAAUCCUCAUACUCCUUCCUAUACAAGAUGCAAUCAUUGGGGCAUGCGUGCAUUUUCUCAUAACUCAGCCCCAAUGCACACAAAGUCUUUUUUGCCUCAUACAUAGAGGUUGGUAUUGUAUUUCCUUCUGGAAGCAAAUCGCCUUGAAGUAUCAAUAAUUCUGUAAAACAGACAUCACUCAUCCCAUGUUUUGCCUUCAAAUUAUACAACUUCACUAAUGCCGAUAACUUCGUGUACUUUCUACAACCAGGGUACACUGGUUGAUCUCCAUCCCCAAUCACAUUGGCAAACUCAUACGGAUCGGAACCAAAAUCACCAAAAUCAUUAUCAUCCAUAUCAAUUUCUUCAGACACAAAACUGUACCUACUAUGGCCAUCAUCUUCUUCAACAUUUCUACUAGCAUUAGUAGUUGCUUCCCAAGGUUCUCCGUGAAAUGUCCAAUUCUUAUAGCUUUGGUCAAUUCCAUUAAAGUAUAAGUGAUCCCUUAUAAUUCCAACCCCAAACAACUUCAAAUUAACACAUUUAACACAUGGACAACGGAUAUGUGUUGUAGUUAGAAGAUUUUCUACAGCAAAGUUCAAAAAUGCUUCCACCCCAAACUCAUAUGCCUUCGAUCUUCUAUCCGAGUGCAUCCAUGACUUAUUCAUCUCCGACACUAUAACCUAUUAUCUAUAAUAAAGUGAAAAUACAGGCAAUGACCAUCACUAUAGCAGAUUAUACAAAGAUCUAAUAGCAAGUAAUACAUAACAGAGACGACGGGUUUUAAACAAAAACAGACGUAUUUGGCAUAUAUAGACGACGGAUUUUCAACAGACGUCGUCUAAUAUAAGUAAUACAAACGACGGUUUAUGAAAAAACCGUCGUGUAUAAGUAAUACAACGACGGUUUUUUCAUAAACCGUCGUGUAAUCGUCGUCGUAUGCCUAAAAAGGCGUCGUGUCUCAGUUUAUUUUCAAGAACCCAAAACCCAUUAAGAACACAACAUAUAUAUGAAACCAAGCAAGAAACCAACAUAUACAUGAAGCCAAGCAUGAAAACAAUAAAUCCAUUCCCAAUUCAACAUAACAUAGGGUGAUUAAAAGAUCCGACAAAAUUAAAACCAUUCCCAAUUCAACAUAACAGAUAAUGUAAUCCAUGAACCCAUUAAACAGAAAAUCCAUGAACCUAUACCUAUAAGCACAUUAUUAACAGAUCGCAAAGCAUAUACCUAAAACCCUUUAACAAAACAACCUAAUAUCAUUCAAUGAAUUUACAAAGGGAAGAUAGGGUUUGUACUUACAGGUUGGACGAGCUCACAGAUUCGACGAAGCCUGGAGAGUGCAACUUUUAAUUAGAGCAGAAGUGAGAGAGCGAAUGUUAUGUUGCGCGAAAUCUGAAAAUUUUAGGGUUCAGGGUUAGAAGUAUAAGAAUAAGAGCCAAAUAUAAAAAAAUUUAGGGCGCGCGAAAAUUUUUAGAGCGCGCGCUCUUUAAAACGUCGAAAGAAAAACCAUGGCGAAAGUUCUACAAGAACCGACGUAAAUGUAAUAUUCCACGACGAAAACACUUAACGUAACGCCGUUUAUUUUGACGUUCAUUUUUCGGAUUAAUUUUAAAUUUAUUUUGAAUAUUUUGAUAUAAAGACGACUGAAAAACCACGUCGAAGUUAAGAAAUUGAAAACGUUGUAAAUUAUAAUAGACGACUUACAUAUUAAAAUGACGUCGUUUAAAGUGGAAACCAUGUCGGAUAUUUUACUGCACGACGUAACAUAUGUAUUCCACGACUCAACCACCGUCGUUAACAAUUAAUACCCUAAACCCUUAAAACUAAAUUAUAUAAUUUUAAAAAUUAAGUUUAUAAAAGGGUUUAUGGUUUUACAGCCUAAUAUAUACCCUAUACUACCCAAAAAUUAUACUUUAAAAAUAAACCCCAAUAAAUAACAACCCUAAUCUCUAAACCCUAGACUCUAAACCCUAAACCAUAAAACUAGAAGUGAUUUUAUGACUCAUCAAAACAAUUUUGUUUUGGAUGGUCAUUUUAAAUUUUUUUUAUUCAAAAUGAAUUUUUUCAAGGUUUAGGGGGAAGAAAAUAUAUCAAUGACUUCAUAGGAGUUGACUUUUCAUUUUUCUGAUUUAUUUUAAAUUUAUUUUGAAUAUUUUGAUAUAAAAAUAAUAAAAUAUUCUUAUCACAAUAACAAACCACGUCGGUGUUAAUAAAUUUUAGACGUUGUAAAUUGUAAUAGACGACUAAGUUGUUAAAAUGACGUCGUUUAAAUGAGAAACCAUGGCGGAUAUUUAACUAUCCGACAUAAAAUAUAUAUUCCACGACUUAACCGCUGUCGUUACAAAGUACUACCCUGAACCCUUAAGAAAUUGAAGACGUUGUAAACCAUAAACGACUCAAUUGUUCAAAGAACGUCGUCUAAAUAUCCUUUUACGUCGGAUUUGGUUAAAACGAAACAACAAAAAACGACGGCUUUUGACUUUAUUACGUCGUUGGAAAAGUAUUACACGUCGGUUACGCAAUUUGUAUGUUUGUUUUUUUUUUUAAUUUAAGAAAACCUCAACAAAUUUUUACAUUAUAUAUUAUAGACAAAAUUUGUACAUUAUACAUAAAUAUCAAGUGUUCAAUAAUUCCCCUAUUCCAGGUGAAGGCAAACAAACUCUGACCAUUCAUUCCGGACUUCAUCAAUUGCUUCUUGGGGGUAUGGCGCUUCCUGUUUUCCCUUGGCAUACUGCAUAAACAAUGACUAUUAGGGUUUAUAAAUAAAAAGAAAUUCAAUCACAGACGACGAUAUUUUUCAUAACCGACGUACUAUAUCUAUUCAACGACGGUAAUUUUACAUGACCGUCGUUGAUAAUACAAAAAACGACGUAAAAUGUAUGAAGGUAAUUUCUUCUUACCUUCUUCUCAAACCCCAAGGAAGGAUCCAUGAUGAUGUCCCUCAUGAAGCGCAUCACAUAAUACCCGCAUUCGACAUUGCUGGGUUGCUUUGGUGUCCCUGACAGAGUUUUCCAAAUGGCUGCCUUACGGCCUGGUCUGGCUAUGUGAGAAUUAUAAAUUUUUAUAGCACUGUUCACAAUGUUUUUGGCCUCUUCAUCGACCACACGAUUUCCUGGCAGAGGAUCCAGAAAAUAGACGGUUUCUCUCUUUGCUCUUACAAUCAGCAAGAUCCAAUGACGGCUGCACAAAAUUAAUAUAAAAACGACGGUUAUUUACAAUAACGACGUAUUAUAAUGUUUCACACGACGAAAUAAAGUAGCAAUCGACGACAUUUUACAUUUAUCACGACGAUAAAUAACUACCGACGUGGUUAGUAGUUUCAAACGACUCAAUAAAAUAAAACACCGACGUGGUUAGUUUAUACGCUGUAAUUUAUUGAAAAUCAUAAAAACAAAAUCCUGUUAAGGAGACUAACCCUGGAUUGUAAGGCAUCAGGAAAAUCUGUUCACCGUCAGUCUUUUGAAGUCGAGCUGCUAGUAAGCGUGAUCUGUCAGCUAUUGUGCCAGAGUUGGCACUAACUGUAGCAAGGUCGAUAAAGCCAACCAUAUUGCACAUAUUUGCUCGUUUCAAAACAUCGUGCAAGUGCCUAAAUAUAUAAAAUAAUAUAAACAAGUCAGCACAAAAAAACACACGACGGUUAUGUAUAACAAAACGACGUAUUAUAAAAUUUCACACGACGUACUGAAAUAGACAACGACGUUAUAAUAUAUUUAUCACGACGGUAAAUACUAACGACGUGGUUAGUUAGUUAAGACGACGUAAUAAAUAAACCAACGACGUAUUAUUUUAGAAUGACAAACCUCAUAUAUACAAAAAAACACGACGGUUAUGUAUAACAAAACGACGUAUUAUAAAAUUUCACACGACAUACUGAAAUAGACAACGACGUUAUGAUAUACUAACGACGUGGUUAGUUGGUUAAGACGACGCAAUAAAUACACCAACGACGUAUUAUUUUAGAAUGACAAACCUCAUAUAUACAGCAAUGACAGUGGCUCCUAUUUCUUCCAUGCCUGCAAAUUGUGUAAUAUCUUCAGGCAGGAGGAAGGUAUCGCGCUCUAGACCAAACACCUCCUUAUCAAUUGUAAAGUGCAGGGUCUUAUCCUGAGGCACGAGUGUCGUUUCCACAUAACGACAAAGGGAGUUUAAAGAAGAUGGCGCCUCCAUAUUUGAAUAAUCAACAACUUUAAUAACCUGUUUAAAGAAAUAUAAAAAAUGACGUGGUAAUUCAAUAAAAACGACGGUUUAAGGAAUAAAACGUCGUCUGAAAAGAAUUUAAACGUCGUCUGAAGAAACCGUCGUGGUGAAUAAUUUAUUACGUCUUAAAAAAAAUUCCGCCGUCUAAGUUGUAAACAAACGACGGUUUAAAGAAAAAUAUCGACGUCUGGAAUUUUGAAAAACAAAUAAAAAAGGCAAAGUUAUGUGAACAUACCUGGUCGUCAUCUUCUUUCUCCUUUUCAUCAUGUUUUUCUUCUGUCUUCCCUUCAUCUAUUACGUCGAGAAUGACUAACUCCGUCGUCUAAAAACCACAAAGUUUUAAAAUAACGACGUUUAAUGGCGUGUAAAACAAGUAAACUAAAUACGACGUGGUAUUGAAAUACAAACGACGGUUUAUGUUUAAAAUCGUGGUGGUAUGUAUUUCAAACGACGGUUUUAUUAAUAAUAACGACAUCUAAUGGUUUUUAAAAAAACAGAGAAUUCAAAGUUCAGAUAUGUUACCUUUUCUUCCUGAUGUUUCCCAUUUUUGGCAGUAUCAUCCUCAAAAUGCUGGGAUCUCACAUCACCUCCAGAGCAGCUUGCUUUGUCAGACAUUGGAUUUUUGGGACUUUGGCUAAUUCUGGGUUUAAGCAUGCUUGGAUCAAAAUUGGGAAUUAAUUGGGAAAGCUGACUCAGGAAAUGCUCCCUCUCAGCCUCUACCAAUUGUUUCGUUCUAGCCUCCAUCCUUAAAGCCUCUUCCCUUGCCUUAGCUUCCAUCUUUUUAGUCUCUUCUUGAAGGAGAACUCUUAAACUGUCCUUCAAACGGUCGUCAAAGCUCACUCUCUGUGGUUUGGGUAAAUUGAAAUAUUGCCUUGGUGAGAUCCCAGCACCUACUCCUCUCACUCUGCCUGGAUGCUCGGGGCCCAAAGCCAUGGUCAGCACAUCAUUGCUGCCAGAAACAGUGACUUUGCCUUCCGAGACUUGUUUUUGCAAUUCAUCCUAAAACAAAGAUAUAUAAAAAAGUAAGAACAAAAACACACGACGGUUAUUUAUAUACAAACGACGUAUUAUAUAAUUUCACACGACGCAAUAACAUAUAAAUCGACGUUAUUAUAAUUUAUCACGACGGUAGUUUUUAAACCGACGUGGUUAGUUUUUAAAACGACGAAAUGAAUAAACCACCGACGUCUUAUGCUUUAUUUACAGAUAACAGAGGGAUGAUUCAAUAUUCACACCUUUAACGACCUUGUUUAAAAUAUUUCGACGUAGUAAUUCAAUACAAACGACGCGAAAAUGAACCACCGACAUCUUAUGCUAUAAUUACAGAAAACAGAGUAGUGAUUCCUGAUUUAGACCUUUAACGAUGUGGUAAUAUCAUUCACACGACGCAAAAUAUAACAUAAGACGUAAUAAGAAUUAUUCACAGUUUAAUAAAAAUUUAAAACAGAGUGAGUAGGCUUACAAUUAAUUUUGCUUUCUCUGCCACCUUUGGAUCCGGGAUGUUACCAUGUUUGUCCUGUCUAGCUCUCUUCCAUAAGGUAGAUCGAUCAAUUUCUACCCCAGGCAUGGUUUCCUCCAAUUGAUCCUCCAAACCAGCAUAUCCUUUUCGAGACAAUCGAUGAUUGUACUCAAGUUUCUCCCUAAUCUGUGCAUGUUGAGAAUGCACAGACUCAAAAUCUUUGGAUAACCUUGAAGCUACAAAGGCAUCCCAUUGUGCUUUCUCUAUGAAUUUAUAUAUUUCAGGGGGUUGGCUUAAUCUCUCCCUGUCAUUAGUGUAUGGAAGGAUAUAUUGCCUCGUUAGUGUAGACUUGAAAUCCUUCCAUUUCUUGGCAGCAGAAGCUAACACAGAGCUCUUGCCCCCUUGACCUACCACAAAAGCAAUGUCAACUGCUUCCCAAAUCUGCUCCUUUAUAUCCUUGGAGAUUUGAGCCUAUUUCAUGUCCACAAGUGGAACUCUGGAGCGUGCCAACACACCAAUGUAGGACUGCAUCUCACUAUGUGCUUGGCCAAUUCCUUUCCCCCUUUUAUUGUACUCAACAAUUGGCCUCAGUUUCUGAAGUUUUCUCUUCACAACAUGAGGCAUUGUGCUCAUACCUCGACCAGACUUUGAAUCAUCAGAGAUUGUUGUCGUGCUGGUUCGUUCUGUCUCAGCAGAUGAUGAAGCAAACUUCAUCUUCUUCGAAGGCUUCACUUGAGGAGGUACCAUUCCAAGGUCCUUACCUCCAUUUUUCUUGGAGCCAGAAUCCUUACUUUGGUCUUAGUGAGAAACCAUUUUUACAGACAAAACUGCAAGUGAAAAUAUUUCAGGAAAAGAUUAAGAACACAAACGACAGUUAUUAAUAAAAUACGACGUAUGAUAUGAUUUUAAACGACGCAAUGAAAUAAUCUCAGACGUAAUAAAUGUUUAAAACCAAGGUAAUUAAACAACGACGAAAUAAUUAACUAUAAACGACGUGAUAAUUAACUAUAAACGACGAAAUAUUUAUAUAACGUCGUGGUAUUGAUGUUCACACGACGUCAGUCGUAAUAUACCGUCGUCUAUAUAAGGAUCCAAAACCCUUCUUUCUUUCUCUGUGAAUGUUUGAUUGCAGAUUUGAUUUUUCUGAACCAUGGUUUUUGUUUUCUAAUUUGAUAAAAUACAAGGCCAAGAAAGAAAGUUUUGGAAUCUUAUAUAGACGACGGUAUUUUAAUAUGACGUCGUGGUAUUAACAUUCACACGACGUAAAACAAUAAGAUACUGUCGUCUAUAUUAGAUACCAACCCUACUUUCUUUUUCUUUAUAUUUUAUCAAAUUAGGGAAAAACAAAAACCAUUGUUCAGAGAAAUCAAACCUGCAAUUAAACAAGCAAAUAAAAAAAAGACUAUAAUUUUAAAAACAACUUUGUCAAUUUUCAGACGACGCUAGAACGACUGACGAACCGUCGUGGUCUACAUAUUUAACCACGUACAUAAGAAGCUACCGUCGUCUUAUUUAGUUGAGGUAGUUGUCUUCAAAGUUGGAAACUUUCCCUCUUUGUCUGUAUAUUUUAUUGAACUUGGAAAGAAGUAAAAUGAUUUUGGCCAGAAAAAAGGUAAAAAGAUUUUUCAAACAAAAAACGUAUGAGCAUGCAAAACAACAACCAAAAUAGUGAAAAUGAAAGCUUACCUUUUGCGUGCAAUGAAAGCAAGAGGAAGAUUAUGUUUAAGUUCAGAGACGACGAAGAAGAAGAGAGGAAGACGAUGAGAUACUCUGACAGUGCUCUGACAAGGAAAAAAGUCUAAAAGUUUUCUCUGGGAGAUUGAACUUUUUAAUCGGGUUUGAAAACGGCGCAUGUGUAUGUCAGGUAGACGAAAAGUUGCUUACAUAUAAAACCAUUUCAAAAAAAUAAUACGGCGGUUACAUAUAACUACGACGUAUAAAUUACAAAAUACGACGGUACAUUUAACUUCGGACGUGGUAAAUAAAUACGACAGUAGUGUUGUAGGUACCGUCGUAGUAAACUCAAAAAUUAAAGUACAUAAGUAAUAACUCGCGUCAUGGUAGAUUAUUUAACACGUCGUUUUUAUUAAUUUACCGACGUGGAUUUCUGUAAUAUACGUCGAUAAUACCGACGUUGAUUUUACAAUUUAAACGGCGGUUUUUUUGUAAGGACCGCCGUUGGUUUUAAAAAUUUAUUCUAUAAAUUUGUCGCUUUCAUUCAUUUUCGGUUUACAUUUAAGGUUCCAAGUUCUUCCUCUCUCAGUCUCUCACGUCUCAAAGACAAUAAUUUGGAUGUCUUUCUCAAAGAGAAAUUGAGCUUACUCGCAUCAAAUAUAUGUCCACAAGAAGAAGCUUGUCAACUAGCCUUCUCACUUCCUUGAUCAAGCCUGAUAGGACACUUAGUGCUUCUGAAUACUCCUUGCUUUCCAUCAAAAGAGAUGCAAGCCUGGCCUCCACUCGCUGUCGAAGGAAAGUUCGCUUCUCAGGGAAAUCUUCUUGAUUUUCUUGGCUAAGAAGAUCCGUCAGAUUUGUGAUAGCCUCUUCCUUUAUCCGUAGAGCUUCAGAAGAAGAAGAUGGGUUUCAAGAAUGCGAUAAAGAAUAGAAAUGGCUUCAGAUGGCCUCUAAAGCAUGAGCAAUCGAAUCAGUAGUUGUUGGGAGAUAUGAUGAAGACAUUGUCAAUGCUUUGAACUAUACAAGUCCUGCAGAAAGAUAAAGGACCAAACUGUUAAAGAAACUGAAACAAUGGCGGUUUUCUGUUCUACCGUCGUCUUUUCUCGUCGUCUAUAUUAAGGUAAGAUGGCGGUAGAUUUAUAAUUACCGACGUAGAUUAUUUUGUUAAACGUCGUUAAGUGUACUACAACCGACGUGGAUUUUAUUUUUAAAUUAUAAAUAGAGUUUUUUUUCCCCUAUUCUUUCAGUUUUAGUUUUCAAUUACAAAGCGUGAUAAAUAGAUUUUUCUUUCCCGAGGAAAUUUAAAAUGAGGGAAAUUAAUGUUCUAGAAUUUGUAAACUAACACGACGCAAUAUUUGCAAAUCUGUGUCAUCUGUUAAGAUUAUGAUGUGGAACAGAGUUCCAUCUGGUAAGAUUUCGUAACCCUUGGGAUCUCAGACAAAUCUGAUUAUGUCGGCGGUUUUCUAUAUAAAUCGUCGUGGUUAUUUCAAUUCUUGUCAUUAAGUAGAUCUACCGACGUAGGAUAAGAAAAUCAAAGAAAAAAAUUGUUAACAAAAAUUCUUAUUAAGACGACGGUUAAAAUUAAAGGUACGACGUAUAAAAUGAAUAAAUACGACGUUAAAUUUUAUUGUACGAUUUAAAGAUAACGUCGUAGAACUAUAAGAGAAUGACGUCGAUAUAUUUAUAUUUUCCGUCGUUGUACAUUAAUUUAAUACGGCGAUAUUUUGUAUUUUAAAGCCGUGGAUUUGUUUGUAAUUAUACGGCGUCUUAUACGAAAACCUCGUCGUGUUAUUUUAUGAGUAAAAACGGCAGUUUUUAUUGAAAUCGUCGUCUUUACUUUCUACGUCGGUCGAUUCAUAACUUCUGCCGUUCUUUGUUGGCAUUGAUUUUACACUGCGAAAAUCUGUUUCAAAUAGACGUCGGUUGUUUAAUUAUGUACGUUGUUGUUUUUGAACAGCCAUUUGAAUCUCCAUUUUUUAGUUGUCUAAGGUUGUAUUACACGACGGUGUUUUUAGAACCGUCGUCUUUUUAAAAACCACGACGGUUUUCACUUAGACCGUCGUUGUUUUCUGGUCGUCUUUUUCACUUUUUGUAGUAGUGGCAUAUGAUGACGACACUCACAACAAGAUCAUGGCAUUUGACUCGAGUUGUAUGAUUCUCUCUUAAGUGUAUGUAAAGUGUAUGACAUUUACAUCAAUACGUGUAUUCUUAAUUGAAAUCUACUAUGGCAUUUACUCAAAUUAACAAUCAAGAAUCCAUUAAGAUCAAAGAGAAUAUGAGUGUCACAAAAACCCUAAAACAUGGCAUUUGUUAUUAGGAAUUCAAGAAUCGAUUUCUCAUAACUAGUUCUUAACCCAAUUAUUCGUUGCAAAUAAGAACACAUUCAAUAUGGCAAUUGACCUAUGUUCUACAACAAUUUAAUUCCAAUACAUGCUUCUAAGUUAGCUACUCAAAGAAACAAAAUAUCAGAAUUCACAUAACAUAUAGAAACCGAAAACAUCACGCUUGUAGAAACUAAAAAUCCAUUAACCUUGUUUAUAAAAUUGAAAUCAUGUUUAGGGCUUCAAGAUUAAGCCCUAACUAACAAGAAAUUAGUUACUCAUGGUCUUGGAUGAACUCAAAAAUAAAUACAUAAGAACUGAAAAUUAAAGAAGGAAGGAAAAGAAAGAACUCGUUCGCAGCUUUCUCCUCUUGCGCUGUUGAUCUCUUUAGGACGUGAAUCCUUUUUAUCAGCCUUGCCUCGUCUUUUAUAUCACUUAUAUCAGAGUUCUAAACCCUAAAAUUGACUGAAAAGUCGUCCAAGAAGUCUUGGUAAACAAGGAAUCCAAAUAGGAAAGUAAAAAUCACAAUUCCUAACUCCACUGGGAAAUACAGCUCAGCCCAAUGUUCACACGAUUUUGGGAUCUUCGACCUUGUAGAAAAAUCAUUAAAAAUAUAUUUUAGAAAGAUAAAUGUCUUAUCUUUCCAACCAUAUAUAGCACGUAACUUGAAAAAUUCGGAAAGGCUUCCGUUUCUUCACAUUCACGUAGCAUGUACGAAACUGUCCUGUCUGCACGUGGGCUAACUUUACUUGUAAUACUGUACCAAUUGGCUCGGUAGAAAAUUCUAGAAAAAUCAUAGAUUGAACUUCAAGAUGUUAGCUUUCAUCUCCAAUCAGGGGCGGCCUUGGGGAGGUGCAAGUGGCGCCACCGCACAGGGCCCCCGAAAAAAAAAAUAUUUAUAUUAUAUAUAUAUAUUAAUAUUAUAUGAAUCGUAUAUAUAAUAUAGCGUCUGGAUAUUUGCACAACAGCGUGUUCAGGGGAGUUGGAUGGAGCACAUCUCUCUUUGGCAAAAGGGCCCGAGUUCGAUGCUCCUUGAUGUCGUUCUACUGGCUAGCCUUUUGUGAUAUUAUUUUUGCAUUCAAACUUUACAUAAUUAUUGAACCAUUGGAUUAAUAUGCAACGAUGGGUGACCACAAUCUCUUGGACUCCUGUGGUCCAUGAGAUCGGGACUGAUAUUACAUGACUUAUUUUAUUAAAUUAUUAUCAUGUUGAUGAUUGGUUGUAUGAGAAUAUAGUUUGUAGAAAUAUUUAUCUAUUUCUUGUUGGGGUUUUCUUCCAGGUUAUAGGGUUUUGGAAUUUUUCUUUGUAAUCUAAACAUGCCACCUACUAGAAAAUACGUUUAUGGAUAUACAAAACGGCUUAGAAAAAGAAAAUUCGAGGAAUUGACUCAAUCUCAAAGAGGAGCUCUUGAUAGAUUCAUUGUUAGAGAAUCACAUGCUACAAUUGAUGAAAAUAUUUAAAUUUUUAUGAAUUUAAUUUCUGAUUUUCAUUGCAUAUUUAUUGAUGGUGAAUUUUAGUUAUAAAAAAAAAUUGUUUAUGACAUUAAGUUAUGGCAAAUUUUUAUAGUAUUUUCGUAUUAGAUUAUGCAAGGCCCCAAUUUAAGUUUCGCACAGGGCCCUCAAAAUCUCAGGGACGGCCCUGUCUCCAAUUGGUCUUGUGCUAAAAUUCCUCCGAAAAGUUGAUUUUCCCUUAAAAACCUUCUAAGAGUGCAGAAAAGCUGAAAAUCAGAAAAAUAAAGUAAUAAGCCAUUUUUAAAUCUAAUUCUCUUACAAAACCAAAGUAAAAAGAGUACAUAAAUGAGUAUAUUUAUGGACUUAUCAACGUCUUCUUCGUUGGACUUGGGGUUGUUUUCCUUAUAUGUCCCCUAUAUAUAUAUAUGGCCUUUAGUUGAGCCCACAAAUACCUUCAGUUAGUUUUUGGGUUUAGGGGCCUACAGAACCUGCACUAAACAAUAAAAGAAAAUACCUAAUUAGUUUAGUACGAAUUUAUAAUGAAGGCUUUAUUAGGUGAAGUUUUAUUUCUUAAUCGUUAGAUCAAAUUGGUUAGCAUCUGAAGUCGCCCAAAGAUUUGAGAGGGAUUCCACAAACAUAUAAUAUAAAGAAAGAAAGCAAUAGUAGGAGAUGAACCAGUACAAAAAACAAUAUAUAAAUAGUACAUAAUAAUUCCAUAACCUUGUCACAAACGCACUCACAAAUGCUUUCCAUAAACCUUGCCCUAACAUAUAACAAAUAAAGGCAACAUUGCAUAUGAUGCAACCAUGUCCAAAUCUGAUACGUGAUAAAAAAAAAAGGACAUGGCAGCAACAUAUGACUGAAGUAGAUGGGCUCUUUGCAUCUCGUGUUAUCGUAAUUAAAGACAUCAAAAUAUUAAGGUUGAAAUCUUCUAUAGUAGCAAGCAUUAAAAUAGGUUUGAAGCAGAGUUUAAAGAAAAUUCCAAUUCCACUGAUUUGCCUCUGCUCAAAGACGAGAACCAAAAUGGUUACUUCCCUUGCUGAGUAUAUUUGUUAACGUCGGAAACGGUAAUAGAUGACCAAUCAAACCCAAGUACGACGAGUUUUGCAUAGGAUCAGAAGUAGUUGAAUCCAGCUUGCAUCACACGCUUCUUUGACUCCAUUGCAUUAGAUGAGUUUUUGUAUUUUUGAACAGCUACACUCCGAAGUCGUUUGUGUCUACGCUUCAUGCGCUGCAACUUCGCCCUAUCCAGAUUGGCCUGCCUUUUGUCAUCUUCAAUUUGGCCUUCAACAAAUUCCAAACGUGCCCUUGCCCUUUGGAUUUCAUCACCAAGUUGAAGAUGCCUCUCCUUCCAAAAAGCAAGAACUCUUUCAGACUCAAAACUUCCAACAAAAUGGUCAUUCUAUCUAGGAAUGUGACAUUGCUUGUCUGGUGACUCACCUGCGUUUCAAAGGCGGUCUUUGUUUGGAGGGGUGUUUAUUAUGCUCACAUCAAACUUGGUUAGUAAAUCCAUUCUAUGGGGGGAGUGAGUUUCUGUGGAGGAGAGAGUUUCAGUAGAUGGAGACAGAUUCGGUGGAGGAGUGAGAUUUUUGUGGAGGGAGAAUUUCUAUGAAAUGGGUGAUAGUAAUACCAAUAAAAGGGUUCCCGCCAAAAAGUAUUUGGUUGACAAUGUAUAAAUUAAUUUUUGGUCUGAUACAAUCUAAGUUUAAUCCUAACUAGUUUGGUUAGUUUGGUUGAAUUCACUAACUAGAUGUCACUUCCAUUGAGUUUCUUUCAACCACUAUCAGUGGUGUAAGGAGAGUGUGAGGUUGACAUGCUUGAAAAGCAAAACCUAACACCUCUUUUUUUUAAAAUUGAAAGAAAGUACAUAUGUUGACUACACACAAGCUUUGGUAUGUUGGUCUAUAAAGCUAUGUUCCCUUUCUCAAACGAAAUUGCAUAUGCAAUCCUCGUCCUCCCAAAACAAAUAGAAUUAUUCAAGCAUGUCAACCUCUUCAGGCGCCAACAACACAAUCAAAGAUGACAAAUUGGAGUCGCAGGUUCUAUUUCCACAUUGUACUCGCCGACCCCUUCCAUUUUCAACAUCAUUUGGGAGUGAGGGGGACUCCGAUGAUCCAUUAGAGCUAAUACAUGCAGUCAAUAGCAAGCUGGAUUAUAAUUCCAGACUGAUCAAUUCAUGGCGCGAGAAAUAUGUUGAAGACGAAGCCAUUUUGGCUGAUCUUAACAUUAGAGUGAACAAAGCGUUCUCCCAAAAGAACAAGUACUUGAAGCUGAGUCAUAAAAGGAAGCUGAAAGCUGAGGAGUUAGAUACAGUAAUGAAUGAUGAAAUUAAAGGUUGUUUGAUGAAUCAUAUGCGAUGCGAAGAGCACCACAGUGAACUGGAGUUGGCAUUCAACGAAGGAUUCGAAAAAUUACGAGCAUUUGCAGCAACUACUCAUACAAGUUAUAAUUGGGACUAUGUGUCCCCUGAUGUUGUGAGAGAGAUACUAGACGAUGGUGGUGACAUGAAUGAGCAUAAGCACGUCAAAGCUGCUUGGAAGAAGCCGACCGAUACGACUAAGUGAUUGCGGCUACAGUUGUUCAGUUGGUUGAGAGUGAUCGUGGUAUUGCACAAAUUAGAAGUAUAUUCCCAUAAUGUCAUUAUCUAAUUUAAAAUAACACAAAUAUCAGUUUCAUUUGCUUCAUAUUGUAACACCCCGACCCCAAAUUUCCCCAAAAUUUACCCUCAUUUAAUUAAUUAAUUAUUUAAGGGUAUUUUAGUCAUAUUUUUAACCGGAGAGAGUUUGGGACCAUGACUUGUAUUUUUGGAUAGGUCGUACUGAGACGAGUUCAUAGACACGUAGUGGGCUCGAAUCAGAGUUGUAACGAGAGAGAUAUGGUCAAAAGAAACCCAGUGGCACAAUCGUAAAUAUUUCAAAAUGGGAUUUUUAUAAAAAUCUGGUUUUUCUCUCUCUCUCUCUCUCUCUCUCUCUCUCUCCCGCGACUUCUCUCUCUCUCCCGUCGGCUCUCUCUCUUUCUCUCCUUGUAUCUCCGGCCACCGACCACGGCUGUGGGCGGGGCCGGUACCAAACUGACCGGGACGACGUCCCCUUCCUUCCCCGACCAUUCCCCGCCGGCAACGCGGCCGUUGCUGGCCGGAAAAUGCAGAAAACCGCCGGGAGGUCGUCGAAACUUCAACGCCGUCGAUCUCCCUCCUCCGGCCACCAUUUUCGUCGACCCAGGUAUGGAUCUUGAACCUCUCGAGCUGUUCUAGCUGUUUGUUGGUUGGGUUUUGAUCGAUUCGAUCUCUAGAUCACUCGAUUUUCGAAUUGAAAAUUGGCCGAAACUUCGGCCGCCGUGAUCGGCCAUUUUCGGCCACUUUUUGUGGUAGGUCCAAGAACAAAAGUGGCUCCAAAUAGGGUGUUAUACCUAGGGUAGAAGUUUGGAGCCGAGAUGUUGAGAUUUUCCGGCGAAGCGUUAUCGCUUUGGGCACCCACGCGUGCGGCGGCGCGUGGGCACUGUAGAAAAAGUAGAUGUGUUCCGAUGAGAUCCUUAGGUUGUCACGAGUGCGUAGGAUUUGGCGGAUCUCAAUUCGGACGUCGUUUGACUAUCGAACGGAUAAUCGCAUAUUAUGCGUUAUCCGGGUUCGAUAGGUUGAGACCGUCGGAUGGUCCCAAAUUUAAUAUAUGUUGAUCUAGGUAUUUCUAGGAUCGUGUAGGAUUUCACGGAUCGUGAAUCGGAGCCCCGGAUGUUCCGAAUAAUAAUUUAAAGUUUAUAUUUUAUAUUAACCAUCAGAUUAUGCGAUCGUGAGAAAUCCGACCGUCUGAUCUGAACCAAACUGGCAGGAAAAGUGUCCUGUACCUGGUAGAACCCAUAGGGACCUUCGGAUCGGAAAUUGGAGGUCGUGGGUUCCGCAAGUCUGUUUGACCAGGGUUAGAGUAGUUUGACCCUUGGUUGACCGUGAGUCUCCCGGAGUAAUCUCACCCUUCCAGGGGGAAUUAUCGGGAGCUAGACUAUUGUGGAGGGUUACACAAUAUUAGAAUUAUUUAUAUAAUUAUAUAUGGUUGUACAAGGGUACAACAAAGUCUAGAAUGUCAGUUUGGAGUGCUAUACGCACUACUUUAGGUACCUCCUCGGAUUUUGGAUUCGCUACAAGCACCACCAAGUGAAAGUUAGGUCCCGCGUGGCGUAGGUUAUCCGGCGUUGGGACAGACCCCAUACGUGGCGUUGGUUGUACCGGCGUAUGGGGAGAUUUGCAAUAUGAUGUUCAGGUCUCACGUGGCGUAGGUUAUCCGGCGUUGAGACAGGCCCCGUACGUGGCGUUGGUUGUACCAGCGUACGGGGAGAUUAUGUGAUAUGAUGUUGAGGUCCCGCGUGGCGUAGGUUAUCCGGCGUUGGGACAGGCCCCAUACGUGGCGUUGGUUGUACCGGCGUAUGGGGAGUUAUAUGAUAUGAUAGUAUGGCAUGGUCGCACAUGGCGUAGGUUAUCCGGCGUGUUGACAGGCCCCAUACGUGGCGUUGGUUGUAUCGGCGUAUGGGGAGAAUAUGUGAAAUGCAGAGAAAGGAAAUAAGGUAUCACCGAUGUGUGGAAUUGGGUUUUAGGGAAGAACUACGUGUGGCUUGAUCCCUCAAGGAGGGUACGUAGGCAGCCUAAGGUUAUUGGGUGCAGCCGCAGACUAAAUAUUAGUCAUAUUUGGUAUUUGAAUUGUAUGGUAGUUGUUUGAGAAUUAUUGGAAGGCCAAAGGCCAUUUAUGAGAAUUUGCAUGAAAUUAUAUUGUGCAUGCUGCUAGUUGUGGAUAUUAAAUGUGUUUUUAUGCAGGUUGAAAUUUUGGGAAAUGUCCAAUUUAUAGGGGAGACUCUGCUGAAAUUUCGGCAGGAAGUCUCGGUUUUUAGUAAGUGGGCCUGGCAUCGGGGUGAUGUCAGGAAUUCCAAAGGGUUCGUCUCGGGUUUUGAGAAAAUUCGGGGCGGGUCCUUAAACAUAUAUAAUUAUUGGGACUAUGUAUUGCAAGUCAUCAUGUGUUCCUUCUGUCUAACAUUAUAUUUUGCAAAUAUCAAAAUAUUAUUCAAUAAGCAGUCAAUAUCACAGCAAGUUGGGAAUUAGUAAAGCCCCAUUAUCAUGUCCGUUCACAUUAAAGAGCUGGCGUACUUUUUCUCAAAAAACUGACACGUGAGUCAUAAGUAACAUAACAUGUGCUAUACAUUGUUUAGUGAAUGGUUUAUGGUUUAUUUAUAUAUAAUAAAAUUCCAAAUAUUGCUGAAUAUUUGUUUUUUCUAUAUCCCUGGGAACAUGAGUGACCAUAAGCAUGUAAGACCUGUUAAGAAGAAGCUGACUAAUACGACCGAGUGAUUGUGGCUACCGUUGUUUAGUUGGUUGGGGAGAUCGUGGUAUUGCUAAGAGGGAGCACAUAAUGUGCUUUGCAAUCAAAUUUUCUUUUGUGUGUGGAAUUAUGAGUAGUUCAAAUGUUAGUGUACCCUUUAAUAUUCUUCAACCGUUUGAAAUGUGAUUAGCUGCAAUGUACUUUUUUACACGCUGCUUUCUAAUCACUCUGUUCCAACAAAGUGCUUUAAGUAUCCUUCAGUUACAAAUGUUUACAAAAUCGUGCAUCUAAUAACCAGUCGAGCUCAGAUCUUAAUAACAAGUAAAACACUAGAACAUAACAUUCGGAAAAAGUGGGUGCUGCUGGAAAUCAUUACUGGUAAUGGAAGCAAGAGCUGGCUGCUGGAAAUGCUGCAUUAGCCUGUGAUAUAAUCAAUGAAUCUCUGUUAAAACAUAAUUCACCAUAAACUACCCAUUUUACAUGGUAAAAGUCAUUGCUUCUUCACAUAACUCAAAAUUUGAUACUUUAUCAAAUGUCUAUGAAAAUUUCUAAAUAGGGGAAAGACGUAAAAUUAACAUGUGUCCAAAUUUCAUGCAAGAAUGAAACCAAGCAAAUUUUUAUUUCAAUUAUCAGUGGACAUAGUAAGAACUCAUCGGUGGACAUGAACAAAAAAAUAAUAAUAUUAAAAACUGAAUCUAGAAAACUUCACCUGAUCAUUAGUCUUCAUAACAACCGAAUUUCGUCUAAUAGAAACAUAAAUCAUUCAGUUGGUCCGUGCAUCGUGUCAAAUUCAUAGAAUAAUGGGUCACUACGAUCUAUUGGAGUUGAUUCGUCAUUGUUCGACGGUGAUGUCCUGCAUAGACAUCAAACACAAGCACAGAAAAAAUUUACCUAUUCAAAUUUUAGGUGUUAUUAUAAAUAGUGUUAGCAUCUUACGGUGUGUUCAAAUUUCUUGCGCAUUGUCUUCUAUCAUGACCAAUGUGUCCACACUCCAGACAGUGUCUAAUCCCUCGCUUCAUUGCCUUUUCUUUUGCUCCCGUUACUCGUUUCGACCUUCUUUUGCACCUCACUCUCUUAGGGUCUUUCAUAUAUUGUGUUUGAGAGCUGGACCCUCCAACUUCGUUAUUACUUGGUCCAUCCUUCAACAACUUCAACUUCACCUGCAAACUUUUUAGAGUCUCUGACAGUAGCUCACAUCCUUCUUCACUCAUUAAUGCACCCUCAACCACAUCUUAAGCAAGUCGAGACAUUGUACUCCGCCUUAUUAAAAGACCAGGAUCUGCAGAGUCUUUAAUUUCGUUGCCAUUUGCAUCUGACACCAAUUCAGAUUUUGCAGUUUUCUUCCACCUCUUUAAAAUAUAUUUAUCGGGCAUAUAUUCAAUCUGGUCCCUUCUGAACAAUGCUAGGAUGUGCUUGCAAAUAAUUCCAACAAAUUCAAAUCUUUUGCACCCACACGAUGCGUGGUCAGAAUCUUUAACAUAUACGACGUCUGCCACUCUUGUUUCCCAAUUUUUCCUUUUGCUCACGCGAAAGACAACUUUAGAAGCACCCUCUGUUUUGAGCUCUAGGAAACAUGUUGUACUUUGUAUUAGUUCUUGGUCAAACUUUUGAAACAUUGUCCUUGUGUACAAGGUAGCCAUUUGUUUGUUCAUUGGCAUCGGUAGAAUACAUUGAGCCACUUCAAAUGCAUCUACGUGAUCAGCAACUAACUCUUUUUGACGUUGAUGAGAAAGUGCCCUCUCAAAUCGUAUUAUGAAAUCCAUCAACGAAUUUCUCCUUGAUAUGUAUUGCUUGAAAAAACCAUGAGAACCUUCCACUCUUUGGCUGCUUGACAUUCCAGCGGCAAAAAAUUGUUGUGCGUAGGCUGGAACCCAAGAUUCUCUUAAAUCAAACAUUGAACUUAGCCAUGGAUGGUCAGUCAAACCAGCCUUUGUAACCACAAUAUUCCAUUUUGUAACAAACUUAUCCUUAUUGUCAGUAUCCCAUACGGCUUUCUGAAAUUCACGCCAAUACUCCUUAUAAGCAGAAUGUGGUAACUUAACAGAGAACUUUGAUGUGAUGUGCAAUAUGCAAAGUCGAUGAAAUGUAGUCGGGAAGGGUAUUGAAAUCGCUCUGGUCAUUGCCGCAUCUUGAUCUGUAAUGAUCGUUUUAGGUCCGCCACUUGGCAUGGCUUUCUUAAACUCCUCAAACAUCCAAAUAAACGACUCAGUCGUUUCCUUGCUCAAAAAUGCGCAUGCUUAGACAAUUGUCUGACCAUGGUUAUUAACUCCCAACAUUGGUGCAAAUGUCAAGUCGUAUCGAUUCGUGUUGAAUGUGGUAUCGAAUACAACAACAUCUCCAUAAAACCCGUACGCCCAUCUAGAAGUUGCAUCUGCCCAAAAACAUUGACUAAACCUGUCAUGGCCAUCUCUCUCAAUCUUGAAAUAAAAAGCCUCAUUUUUUUUUUCUGUUCAGCCAUAAAAUACUCGGUCACUAGUUCAACAUCGUGGUUCCUCAACUUCCCAUUCACACUACAUUCAAAAUUGUAGAUAUCUUUUUUGAUAAAACCGAUUUUAUCCAUUCCUCCGGAUUGCACCUCGAAAAUACUUACCUUCUGAUGAAUGAGAAUAUUAACCGAACCCAACUGUUUUGUGAGUACUUUUGUAGAAUCUGAACUAUGACGGUGUGAUCUCAAUAAAUGCAUUCUUUCUGAGGGUGUCAUCUUAUGAUUGUGUCCCUCUGCAAAAAGAGAGAUGGUAUACUUCUUGCUCCCAUUUGUCUUCACAACCACAAUCUUAGCUUUGCAAUUGCAUCUACUUAUUCCCCGCUGUCUUUUUCUCUCCCGAGUUUCAUCUCUCCUGUAUUCACCUUGUUUGCAACAUACAAAUUCUUUCCUCAAAAUCUCUUUCUUAUUUCCCCCCCAAAAGCUGGAAUGAAGUCGAAUACCAAAGCCAGCCAAGAAUGCAUAUCUAUUAUAGAAAUUGUAAACGAGGUCAAGCAAGUCGAACUUCAUCCCAACUGCUGGUGUUUCCUCAUUUCUUACUUCAAGAAUGUAAACCCUCCCAUUAGCUGUUACACAGUCAUCACUCUCUGAGCCCCCAGACAUUUUAUCCACGUAUAUUAUUGAUCCACUUCUAUAUUAUUGCAUAGCAAAUAUUAAUUCAUUAAUAAAUCAUUACUGCAUCACAACAUAUCAAUGCAUUCCACUUACACAAAACAUUGCCCAAAUUGACACAAAACACGCAUAGCCUAACUUGUUGGAUUCCGAUUACACAAAACGCAAGCAAAAUUUAAUAAUAGUUACGUCAUCUCUUGUGAAAUAAUCUAGAAAAAAUAACAUUAGAACCAACAUGUUCAACUAAGAACACAAAUGCAAUUCAAACCAGCAAUCACAUAACUUCACCCAAUAUCCUCUCCAAAUGCUUACUCCUAAUGUCAUUAAGCCUAAGUUUAGGAUCUUUUACCUACAUUUCAUAAUUUUUCACCCCCACCAAAAAUAAUCAACUAAGUAUACUGAAUAUUCAUAAGGAAAUGACGCAUUAUUGAUGCCACAAAUGACGAAUUUCCUACCCUCACAAAAAACAAAUCAAACCCAAUUAAAUCAAUCCAGCAAGAGUGAACUUACCUCUCAAAAUCAAUCGGGAGCUCCGAAGUCAGUAAGCUUGAGAGAAUGUGGUGGACAUUAGAGAAGACUCUUUGGUAUUGGAGACUCCAUCUCUACCAAAAUCGAGGAACGAACUGCUGCUACGGCGUCUAGCUACAGAAAAAGAUAUGCUACUUUACUUUCAUCUGGAAUCUUGUUUGCUGAACGAAAAAGAGAAAGGGUUUUCACUUGAGCCAUAGAAUCAAAACAAGGCAACAUCUAGGUAAGAGCCAUUAAUCGUCAUAUCGAGGAUACCAUAGAUCGCAGGCCUCCCAAGGAGCUGAUGACAAUGGAGCGACUAUAGGGUUUGGGAGCUUUGGAUCCUUCUAAUUGUGGGUUUGCGUUACAUUCAAAAAAAGAGGAGUGUGUUGUUGAGUUUUUCACAUAGAGGGAAAGAGGGAAAGAUCUUCAACUGAAGUUGGGUUUCCAACGGGUCAAAUUUCAACCCGGUUCUACAUGCACCCUCUUUUAAAAACUCACCGUUGGAUUUCAUCCAACGGCUCGUACAUACCCCUCAAAAACACCCCUUAUAACUUUCCACUCACUAUAGAAGCUCUCCCCAGGAAAUGCUUCGAGGUAGAUUUUAUGUUUUGGGCCUUGGGACCCAACUUCACAAAAAGAAAACAAAUUUGACCAAAAAACAAAGUUGAAGGACAUUGAUAUUGUACCUGUAGGAUAGGUUAAAACACUAAAAGGAAGGUAAAUAGUACGUUUACAGAGUUUAAGUGUAAUAAAGGAAUAAAAACAUGCCCAGAGAAUUGAUAAGUGAUAUCAAUUCUUGAAUAUAUAGAACGUAAAAUAAAGGAAUACGUAGAAAAUUAUUUUAUGUGGUAAAACUCAAUCUAUGGGGCCACGGGACUUCUUAGUCCAAAAAAAAUCCAUUGAACGAUGAUUACAAGAAGUACUCACACACUUAUCCUAGACACAUUCUAGAUAAUUUUUACUAACAUCUUUGUAACUCAACUUCUGUCAUAGGAUGAUUUUUUGACACUCCUUAUGUUGAACGCAAUACUGGUCACGAUUUCUUCAAGCUCGCAGGAACUCUCCUUAUAUUGAAUAUGAUACUAGUCACGAUAGAUUCAAGCUCAUCGGAGAAAAACAGCCACAACGGUCUUGGUGCCCUCAAUGGUAUGAGUCACUGAACAUGCAAAUAAAUACAAUAUGAAUGAUAAAAGUGUUUGAUAAAUCACCAAGUUAUGGAACACUUGAUGAUUUAUCUCAAAUAAAAACUCAGCUUUCCAAAGUUUAUGAAUUGAAAAUAUGAUCGUUAAAGCUCUCUAAACAAAGAAGACGAAGAUCUUAUUUUAUAGAAUUUUUCUUUAUAAGAAAGAAAACACAUUGAAAACCAAAUCUCCAAGGCUUGACAGAAAAUCACAAAAGUAUCUUUCCUAUUCUAGAGAUUGGUCACAUGUAGUCCAACCAAUAGGACAUGAGAUAUUUAAGAAAUGAAGAUUUUGAUCAAUAUCAAUAUCAAAUGAAUUCUUAUACGCCUAGUCAACUAUUAAGGGUAUCUUGACUCCUUGAUAUUGUGAUAUGAUUGAAACAUGAUUUCCACGUUAGAAAAUUAAGGGGAUGUUAAAACAUGAAAGUAAUAGGAGAAUCAAAUUGAUUUCGGCCAAAAUUGCCUAAAAAGAAAACACUCCUAAAUAAACUCAAUUCACUUUUAAAAACAGUAAAACGUGAUUGAAUUGUUCUUUAAAACAAUUCCCUAAUAUACAUGCAUGAUAAUGACAUCACUUACCUCUGAAUCAAAUGCCUUUCAUAGGUCAAGCCACAAGUCUGUGUUUUGGGGAUUGCUGAGCUGCAUCAAUCCUGCCAAUGUCAAUGCUGCCCCUAUGCUCUCUCAAAGCACGUUUACAACCUAUGCUAACAUAUACCCUAAACCCUAGUAUCAAGAAAAUGCCAACACUAAUUUCGUAACACGUAGAAAUUGUUAGAGAUUGGAAGUUUUUUUUCUUCAAGUCUCUCCACCACUCACUAAUACAGAUUGCUCAUGUGAUGAGUUUACAAAACCUAUUUCUCUACUCUCACAAAGACUAUACUUCUUCUCAAAAGACUAUAUCACUUUACCUCUAUCUCUGUGAAAUGUAAAAAGUUGAAACUUUAAUGUCAAACCUCGACAAAAGAUGAACUUCCAUAAGUUACGUUGAAUUUGGAUUUGUUGAACUUAAGUGGUUUUACUUUUCUGUCAGUGUUUGAUGACUUAAUUUGGUAUUUACUUCUUCUUUUUUUCCUUGGAAAUGUGUUCCACCAACGUGAGGAAGAAAAAUAUGCACAAAUUAAUAUAUUUAAUAGAAGCCCAAGAUUUCGGAAGCACAUAAUUUCUACAAAAUUCUACAAAGUGUUCUACUUUACAAACUUCAUAUGUCUACCAAUUUUUACUAAAAUUAAUUUAUCUGCAGUGCUCAAAUUCAUCAUAUGUGUGUCCUUAAUUUUAGUGAAAAUUGGAAGUUUCCAUUAUUUUUGUUUUACGGGAAUUUUUUGAACCAAGGAAAAUCAAGUAAAAUUAAUAAAGCAUAAAUUGGAAAGGGAAAAUAUCUAGAGGAUGCAUUGUAGGAUUGCUCAUGCCAAUAAUUGUACCCUCUAAAUAUAUAGGGACAUAUUUUUUUUGCUCAUACCACUUGUUGCAGUACACAUUCACCCGUUUUCAAAGAAAGAAAUUCUACCAAUCGAUAAUGUCUCAAAUUUAAUCACAUAUUUUAUGGACCAUCCAGCUAUGAGGUUUUAUCUCAAAAACCUUCGGUACAUUUCUCCCACAUGCCACAAUUGUAUAUUCACAAUUACGUCUGAUACAUCACAUCAUGCCACUUGCCUCAAAUGAAUUUAAGUGAGUGAGGCAGUUGGAAGUAAUUAAGCUCUAUAUUGGUGGGUGGAGUGUUAGUUCUGGGUACCCCUCAUCAUUCGUCUAUAAAAUGGUGAAGCCAGUUGCUACUGUUACCAUAAGAGCCAGCUCCGACUUUCUUUAAUUUCUUGCUUCAUAUCCACUAGCUACAUCUGUUGCUCUUCUCAGUGUAAGCUCUGCAAUUUGAUUAACUUUCCCAUUAUCUCUCACUGUACUCUAUAUAAAGGAAUAAGUGUCGUCCAUUAAUUCUCUCCGAAAGUGUCGUCCUGAUUUUAAUUAGAGUUCGAAUUAAUGUUGCAGCUAGCAGCGGUUGCACUGGCAAACCAUGCUGCUCAACCGGUACCUCAACUUUACUGGAACUCCGUCCUGCCAAACACACAGAUGCCAAGAUCUAUCAGUGAACUUCUGCAUCCUGGUUUGUGUUUGAGCACUUUAGAAUCUUAGAUAUCUCUUCUACCUGCCAUUUUACUAAAAUAUGUUCAACCACAUAUUUAUCAGUUAACUACUGUCAUUACAUGAGUGACACAUAUUCACAAAUCGGCUGAUCACUUAUUUUCCAUUAUGACGUUGAUAUAUAAUGUUGGGAAUGGAAAGCCAAUUGACCACAAGGGAAAACCUGAAAAUACUGUACUACCACAGCUAGCACGAAGCCCAUUUUCUUACAAGAGUGAUGUGGGGACCAAAUCUCAUGUAUCAUAGCUUAACCCAUAUGCCACAACUAAAAGACGUGGGAUGAUCGAACAGCAUACCCACAUGGUCAUGGAUCUCUUCAGAUAAUCAAUAUUAAACAACCCAUAAACUUCUCCCUUUGAAGAACAAAUUAAAACCAAUUUCUAGAGGAAGGUUACAAAACAUUUUAGCCCGUGAAGAACAAAUCAAGACAAUAUAACCCAUUUGAUAACAAAAUCAAAAUGAGAUUUACCAAUACUAGAUGACCACGGCGCCAGUAUAAUGGUACGACGGCGGCGUUAUUGUAACGGUGGAGAAGUGGAUGGUAUGACGACGGUGUUAGUGUGACGGUGGAGGAAACGAUAUUAUGAAGGAGGCGUUGCUAUGUUCGGUGGAGGAGUCGUGUGUUUCACAGUUCAAUAUAUCCUUUUUAGUCAUUUUAUAUUAGGGUAAAUCAGUAAUUCAAUAAAUAAUUUGAUAGUAUGGUGUACUCAGUUAAUAUUAGGGUUCAUUUAACAGCACUCAAAUUAACUAGUGUAGAGUCUAUCUAUAUUAUUAAUACUAAAAAUAAAUAUAUGACUAAAUAACUCAAAAAAAAAAUAAAUCUACAAUCUUUUUUUUAAAAAAUUUUUUUUAUAGAAUUUUAUUAGAUUAAUAGGCACUACUAAAAAAUCUCCUUAUAAACUACAAAUACACGCAUAACUUAUACUAAUGUGAGCUACUGACACCACCUGCCACAUGACAGUUGUCCAAGCAUAGUGUUGUCAUUCAUUAUUCCCCACAGCAACUAACAUCCAAUAAAGGGUUGGGGCCCACCCAUACUCCACCUCUCUGUAUGUAGCUCUUUGAGAAUACAGAAGAAAUAUUUUUUAGGGAAAUAGCUUAAAAUGAUACCCAUUUCAUAAUUUUAAUUAAAAAUACCACCCCUUUCCAAUUUUUGUACAACUAUCACCUAUAAAUAUAAAAUUAUUGUCCACUUAUUGCUGAUUUUUCACAAGUUCAGAAAUUUUGGAAAGAAGAAGCUCACACAGCUCUCUCUCUCUCUCUCUCUCUCUCUCUCUCUCUCUAGCACAACUCUCUUUCUUUGGUAUCUGUCUAUCACAGCUCUCUGUGUCUCUCUUGGCUCUCUCUAUCUUGGCUCUCUCUCUCUCUAGCACAACUCUCUGUCUCUCUCUUUGCUCUCUUUCUCAUAGCGCAGCUGUUUCUCUCUCUAGCUUCGUUAUGUCUCUUUCUCCCCUAUUCGAUCUCUUGCUUUCUGUUUGGAAUCGCGAACCCCUCCCUUUAGCUAUGUCUUCUGAAUAGCUGCUUGCAACCUUGAAGCUCUAGUGGAUUGCCGACCUCGAAAAGGUAGUGUUGAUGGUUAUUUUCUUAAUAUCAGUGGGAUUAUGUGAAAUGGGUUAUAGUUUGAUUGUUUGGGUUUGUGUUAAAUUCGUUUUGGCUUUAAUUUCUUUGGGUUAGGUUUUGUUGAAUAUUCAUACUCAUUCAUCUGGGUUUGUACCAAUUGCAUUUAGAUUGGUCUGGAUAUGUGAAUCUUGAAACUUGGGAUUUUCUAUUUGAUGUAGUAGAUCUGUAUAGUGUGAUUCUGUUGUGUUCCUCUUAUUUUACAGUCGUAUUGCUGUUAUAUUGUCAUUAUAUUGCUUAUAUAUUGCUGUUAUAUUGUGGUUAUAUUGCUAUUGUAUUGUUUGGUUAUUGUGGUUAUAUUGUGUUAAUGAAAUGUUGUUUUGUCAUGGUCAGAAAUGGAGACAAUUGUUAUUCUCGUGUGCUACAAUGGAAAAUGGGUCACCUCGAAGAAGAUGUGCAAAUACGAAGGGGGUGACUCAAAAGGCUUAAUAGUUCCACGGACCAUCAAAUUUGUUGAACUGUUGGACCGUGUGCAUUAGAUUGGUAAUACAAACAGCAGGGAAGACAAGGUUUGCUUAAAAUUCUCAGUUUUGGUGGCCUCGAAUGAGUGGAAGCACAUAAAUAUUGAGGACGAUGAUGAUAUCAAUUUUUUUAUGAAGUACAAUUCCGAGGUAACACCUUCAAAACUAGCUCCCUUACUCGUGAGUAUAGAAGAUAAAGGAUUGACAAAUGAUGUAGUUCAUAGUAUGCAUAUCACGACAGAUAGUAGUCGGAUGGGUCAUUCUUCAGUUGCCAUUGUUGAAAGCAAUGAAGUAACUUGGAAUAAUACGAAUGUCACUGAUGUGGGAGGUGAAGUAGGGACAGAUUUUGUGGAUAUGAUUGAUUUUAGCGAGGUGUAGGAGAUGCAUGGUGGUGAUAAUAGUACUGAAAGAAAUGAAGUGUCAGUGUACUCUGCCCCUCCUAAUUUGGGCUGCUUCAACAUAGCUGCCCAGUUGCCAAUAAUGCGUUUAGGAGGAGAAUCUGAACCCACUCGUCAACAUUAUUGGAGUCAAAUAGGUGAACAAAAUCGGUACAAUGCAGCCGGUGUAAAUGAUGAAGAAGCAUAUUUGGACAGCGGGUUUUCACGAAGUGAUUGGAAUCCGAAAAUUACAGUUGGGCAAAUUUUCUCUAGUAAGAAAGCAUUGUUGACGGAGUUACGGUUGACGGCAUUAAGAGGCCACUUUGAAUUUAAGGUGCAAUUCUCUUGCACUAAAAGGUUGCUUGUGGUUUGUUGUCAACGUCCAUGCCCAUGGCGGGUCCGAGCAUCGAGAAUUGGAGAAUACAGCUUCAUGAUUGUGAGGUGUACAACUGUCCAUGAAUGUGAUUUGAGGUUCGUAAGUGACAAGCAUCGUCAAGCAACCGCAGCACUUGUAGCCACUUCACUUAAAAGGAAGUGACAUUAUGAGAGAUGUGAAACACAACUUUGGUUGCACCAUCCAUUAUUCGAAAGCUUGGAAAGCAAAGGAGUUAGCUCUAUUGUCCAUUAGAGGAUCAGCGGAGGAGGCAUAUUAUAUCCUUCCAGCUUAUUGCUAUGAAUUGGAGCGUAUGAAUCCCGGCACAAAAACACACAUCCAAACUGAUGAGAACAAUCACUUUGUGUAUUUAUUUAUGGCGGUUGGCGCAUGUAUUAGAGGGUUCCGUUCUUCCAUGCGCCCAGUGAUAGCCGUGGAUGCCACUCAUUUAAAAUCCAAGUACAAGGGUGUUAUGUUUGUAGCAAAUGCAUUCGAUGGUAAUUGAAAUAUAUAUCCUCUUGCUUUUGGGAUCGGGGAUUUGGAGACGGAUGCAUCAUGGCAUUGGUUUUUCACUAAACUUCAUGAAGCCAUUGGUGAGUGUCCCAAUCUUGUUAUUAUUUCUGAUCGCAAUGUUAGCAUAGAGAAUGUGUGGAACAAAAUUUUUCCAACUGCACAACGUGGCAUAUGCUUUUAUCAUAUGAAGGGGAACAUGAAACGCACUUGCUAGUUGAAAAAGCGUGAUCACAUACUUAUGCACUUUGAGCAGGCUGCGAAAUCUUAUUCCAUUGCUGAAUUUGAUUGUCAUUUUUGCAAGAUCAAGCGAAAGGAACAUGUUGCUCAAUAUCUUGAAGAGACAGGGUUACAUAAGUGGUCUAGAGCUCACAUGGAUGGACGCCGCUACAAUGUAAUGACAACAAAUAUUGCAGAGUCAAUCAACUCAGUCCUUAGGUUUGCAAGGAUGCUGCCAGUGGUUCAUUUGAUAGGGGAAAUUGUUAAUCUCCUUGUGAAAUGGUUCACCGAACGUUGUGAGUUGGUUUUGAAUUGCACAACAACAUUGUGCCCCAAUUUUGGAGAGAAGAAGUUGAGGAACAGGUUGGAGGAUGCUGCAAGGAUGAAUGUGGUUAAAGUAAAUAAUGCACAGUUUAAUGUUUUGGACGGUGAUAUGGACGGCCUCGUAGAUUUGGCGAACAGCAGUUGUAGUUGUAGAAAGUUUCAGCUUGAGCAGCUACCUUGCAAGCAUGUAGUUGCAGUUUGCCGCUUCUUGAAAGUAAAUGUAUACGCAAAGGCUUCUCGGUAUUACACUCAGAAAACCUGGAUGAUGCUUAUUCGGAUAGCAUCUACCCGGCACAACCUCACGGAAUGUGGGAUAUUCCUGAAGAUGUUCGAAGUCGAGUUGUGCUGCCUCCCAUGGCAAGGGUCAUGCCAGGCAGACGAAAGAAGAUCAGAAUUCCCUCGCAAGGAGAGGGCACCAUUAGAAGAAAGUGCUCAAGGUGCGGUUCCGCAGGCCACAAUAAAAGCACAUGUAAAAACAAUAUUCCAUUGCGCAAUGUAUCUUAGACAAUAUGAUUUGUGUUGCUUUGGUAGGUCAUGUAAACUCUACUUUUAUUUGUGGUGGGUUUCGUGUUAUGUUGAAUGGGAAUUCUUUUAAAUUUGCAUAAUUUGGGUUGCAUUGCUACAGCAUGCUGUAUUGCUGACAGAUUGCUAUUAUAUUGGACUUUUAUUGUACUGGUAUUGCUUCCAGAUUGCUAUUAUAAUUUGAGUGCGAAAUUAAAGGGACUGGAAUGUAAUUCCAAAUGGAUCCAAAUCAUUAAAGUUCUUAGAAUUCCUAUAUUACACAGUUACUGUGAUACUCCGACUAUACCUUCUUUUAUGAUUACAAAUUCGGCCAAUGCAUAGGCCAGAUGUGGGGCAAAUACAAGGUGAAAUGUCCUAUGUGUUUGACUACAUAUACUUGUUGAAGGAGCAUUACGAAUGCUAACCUCAAUAGAUUGCUCAUGUCUUGCCAAGAACACUCUUGAAUUUAUGCAAUGUGCCCAAGCCAGUCCCAAAGCUGGACUCACCCGUCUGCCUGAUGUGUCCAGGGACUCCAAGUUUCCCAACCUCACCUCAUUCACUUUAUCAUGUGGCCCAAUAAAAUCCACCACUUGGUUGGUGACAACCACCGCCAACCCAAACUUAUUUGCUAAACCCUUCAAUGUCCCAGAUAUGUUGAAAAAUAUUUCAAACCGCCAUUUCAAAUCUGCUGGUGUUGUCUGAUACUGUGAUCGGAACAAUGCAGCAAUGGAAUCAAUGACAAUGAGUUUCACAGGUAGGUGGGUGUGAUCAAUGGCAAUAAAUGCUUCUAUGUCUCCAAGGACAUGGAUGAGUUGUUGAGCAUCAUGAACACCAUGAACAUAUAUGUCUUCCAAUGGCUCCAACCUUAUUAAGUUGGGGUAUGAUGCAUGAUAAAGGUUGCCUAGUUGUUGCAAUCGACGAAAUGGGAAGCUGAAUUCUGUGAAUAUGUAGACGGUGGAGCCCUCUAGUCCGCCAUGUGAGGGUGGGAGCUGAGCUGGUACCGUAAGUUGGAGACAAAGUUGCGUCUUCCCAGAACCACUCUCCCCUACCAAUUCUGUUAUAGAGUUGCAGGGUAUCCCACCCCCCAAGCAGUCAUCUAGUAUUGGGCAUCCAAUGGAUAAUUGAGGGGUUGAAAGAGGAAGGAGCAUGAGGUUUUAGGGUGUCAUAUUUGUGUAAUUUAGGGGGGGAUGUGAUGGUGCUACAAGGCAUGCAUUAUAUAUAUAUAUAUAUGUAGAGUUCAUUUUGAAGGUCUGUAUUGUAGGCCAUAUGUCUUUUAAGGGAUGUAUAAUCCAUCCUUUUUUCAGGUUGUAAUUAAUUUUUUGUUUAUUUAUUAGUAUUUUUUUGGACCAAAUAAUUUAAAAAACAUUAUGAUGCAGUACGUACUGUAAUAGGAUCAUAUUGUAACUCUAUCAUCACUCUAUUGUACUCUUAUUGACAUAAUAUUGCCGUUAUAUGCAUGUUUAUUAUAUAGUUAUUACUGCUAUAUCGCCACUGAACUGGACACCGAUAAACUGUAUACGCACAAAUACAAAAAGAGGCUUCAUCAUUCCAUAAAAUCCUAUUUCCAAACUUACAUAAUACAACAACAGGCCACCCCAUCGUUACAUAAUACAAAAAUACGCCACCUCAUAGUUCCAUUUCCCUACUGUUGACAAAUUCGAAGUUGCAUACUCUUCAAGUGCGGUGACCGCGACGCAUGAAAUUCAUGACCCCGGCCACAGUGAUGUUGGCCUAGUUUCCUGCCGGAUCCACUAUUUUUGCAAACUUACGAAAUAGUUCGAAUCCGCUUUCCACUUCUUCUUGCUUCAACUUGGCCGUUGCUUCUGAUUCCUUGAAUACCAUAAUUGCAGUGGUAGGGGCAAUUUCAAUUUUUGCUUUCAUUGUCUUUAUAUGUAGGAGAUGCAUGCGCGCAUGAUAACGAGAGCGAAUUGUGCGGUUUUUUAUGACACCCCAUCUAGUUUGGCCCUCCACAAUUUUGAAACUAUGUCUGCAUGAAGAUUUUUCCAAAACAUGGUAUUGCCUCGACAUUGCUGCAUGCCAUGGACCAAGUCUGCAGGGAGUGAAUUGGGUGACUUGGCUUGUGUUUCAGUCUUCUCUCCUUCAGUAAUUGAAAGUGUUGGGUGUGGUGUGAGGUUAUGGUCCAUGGUCUUCGAUAUUUAUUGUAGCCUAGUGUACAACUUAAUUGGAAAAAAAGGGGACUAAAUGCGAUGGGAGUGAAAUCAGUGGGGAAGGUAGUGGCUGUAAGCAGGAGUUAAUGUGAUGGAAGUUUUCAUUUCAAACAACUGGGUUGAUUAAUAUAGGCAAGUUUUAAUGACCUGGAGUAACUCAGAGAGUUAUUGGUGGGAGGGAUUAGAGGGAGUAAUUGGCGGGAGGGAUUGGCGGGAGUCUUAGGCGGGAUAGUAUUGGGCGGGAGUUAUUACCCAGUUGACUGUAUGCCUUUUUGUAAUAUAUUUGUAUGUUGGACGUUCCAAACUUGGUAAUUUUCCCAUUAUGUAAUUCAAAUAAGGGAUUUGCCUAUUUGCCUAAUUGACCAACUCAUUCAAAUUGACCAAUAUGGUUAUUGUCUUAUUUCUCAUUUCAGCAAUCUCAAUUCGUUUCCAUUUUUCCAUUCUUCAUAUUUUCCUAUUUUCCAUGUGUCAUCCAAUUUUCCAAUUUUCCAAUUUUUCAUUAUUUUUGCCUAUUUUUUCCUAUUCCCUAUUUUCCUAUUGUGCAAUUUCCCAAGUUUCCUUUUGUUGUAUUUCUAGUUUUCCAAUUUUUCAAUGUUCCCAUUUUCCCAUUAUGUAAUUUAAAAAAAGUUGCCUGCUUUGCCUAAUUCAGAAAGUAAUUAAAAUGGUCCAAUAUGGUAAUUGUCUUAUUUUCCAUUUCCACAAUUUCAAUUCGUUUCCAAUUUUCUUAUUUUCCAUGUGUCCCUAUUUCCUAUUUCCAUUUUUCAAAUUUUAAGUUUUUGUCCAAUUAUCCAAUUAUCUUUUUUCCAAUUGGACUAUUUUCUAAGUUUCCUUUUUUUCCUAUUUCCAAUUUUCCAAUUUUUCAAUUUGCUAACUUUCCUUUUGUUCUAUUUCCAAUUUUGCUAUUUUCCAAGUUGCCUUAUUUCCUAUUUUUCAAUUAUCCAGUUAUCCAAUAUUCCAAUUUUCCAAUUAUCCAAUUUUCAAUUUUCCAAUUUGCGAAUUUGCCUAUUUUCCAAGUGUCCUUUUUUCCUAUUUCCUAUUUCAAAUUUUCCAAUUUUCAUGUUUUCAGAGUUUCCUUUUUUUUUCCUAUUUUCCAAGUUUCCUUUUGUCCAAUUUCAAAUUUUCCAAUUUUCCAAGUUGCUUUAUUUUCCAAUUACCCAAAUUUCCUAUUUUCCAAGUGUCCUUUUUUCCUUUUUCCAAUUUUCCAAUUUUCCAAGUGUCAUGUAAUCCUAUUGCCUAGUUUCCUCUUUCCAAUUUUUCCUUUUUUCCUAUUUCCAAUUUUCAAUUUUCCAAAUUUCCCAAAUUUCCAACUUUCCAUUUUUUCGUAUUUCCGAUUUGCCAAUUUUCCUUUUGUUCUAUUUCCAAUUUUCCAAGUUUCCUUAUUUCCCAUUCUCCAAGUUUUCACUUUUCCUAUUUUUCAAUUUCGCUAUUUUCCAAUUUUCUGUUCUGAAAUUCGCAAUAAAUGCUUAGUUACACAGUCCUAUUUUGGGUUGAAAUCCACAAUUUUCAAUUUCCCAUUAAGGUUUGCUUUUUUGUCGUUUGGAAGCCAAUUUUAUUGUUGUUAAUGUAAUGUUGUACUGUUGUAAAUUACAGCCAAUGAGUUAAUGAUGUAGUUUGCAAUCCCAUCAAUUGAAUGCACCAACUAAAUACCCAAUAUACUUCAUAUAAGUUCGUACAUAUAACUCAACCUUCCUAUACAGAACUGCAACAGAGGCACCUUCUUAACGGGAAAGGUAAUUAGUCUUACUAAAACGCAAAUAUUCUCCACUACAGCUAACCAAUUGUCGUUUACAACUGGAGACUGAAUCUACCUUUAUUUGUUUUGUUGCAGGCAACAGCUGUGAAUUGUCCCCGGCAAUACUUAAAGAUGUCGGAUGUACGCCCUCCAAAUGAGCAUGUCACAGUUACCCGGGGGACCAGCCGUGGCAUGUGCCAUUCCCAUCUCCACCUCGGACUCCCAAUCAUGAUCCCACUUCAUCUGGAAGUGAGGCUGAGAGCAAUGAUCCGCUUGACAAAAUCUCUGCCGUCAAGCACCACCUCCAAUAUAUGUCAAAGGCAACGGAUUGGUGGGAGAGUAAGUGCGAUAUUCAUGGCCAAGUUAUGGGAAACUUGGCCAACAAGUUGAACAAAGCAUACGCUGGAGAGGUGAAGCAAACUCUAAAAGCAAAAAGUCGGAGCAAAGAGUUAGAGUCCUUGAAGUUGAAAUUGGAAGAGAGAAAGAAAAAUGCUGUCGAAAAAUUCACACAAUCUGAAGAAUAUAACCAUGAAAUGGUUGAAUGUUUCAACAACGGCUUUGAAAUGUUCCGAGAUUAUGCUUCGGUCAUCUCACCAGACUACAAUUGGAGUGAAAUUGAUGUAGCUGGUGUUUGGCAGGUGCUGAAUAUGGGUGCUGAGGGAAUGGCUCAUCAUAGCCUCGUGCAUGCAGCAAGGAGAAAGGACAAAGACUUGGAUCUUUUGAUGGACCUGUAGUAACAGUGAGUGCUGCUUCAGUUCAACUCACCUGAGUACAUGGAUCUUUUGUUGCCUUCAUUUUCCCUUCGCAGGCUAGUAUUGUUAAGGUUCGGUGGCGAUUUCUUUUGCAUGUGUAAAAUGUUGUCUGUAAUGUGUAUGUAUUGUAUGUAGAUUGACUUAAUAUUGUAGUUCUAUUGUAUGUAUAUUGCCUUAAUAUUGCCUUUGUAUAGCAUAGAUAGUGUAUGCAUAUUGCCACCGUAUUGGAUGUAUAUUGUAAAACUAUUGGUAUCGUAUUGCCCUUAUAUUGCUCUAAUAUUGCCUCUAUAGUGCACCUAUAUUGACCUAAUAUUGCUCUUAUAUCGUAUGUCAAUGGCAUGUGCUCUAAUAAGUCUCCAGUUCGUUGAAAGUAAUCCUGAAUUCAAAUAUGAUGGACAAGACAAUUGUUAUCCAUCCUUAUAUUACCAUGAAUUGAUUUGGACCUUUCAAAUGAUAGUUGGAGUUGCACAUGGAUUCAUAUUCAAAAGGAAAGUAAUUCUCUCCCUCAAUGAAUUGUCGUUCAAAAGAAGGCAGCUAUCAAAUUUUGGGUACAAAAAGGCAACAUCCACGGUAAAUUAAUUGGGCACAAACCACAUAUUACAAAACCAGGAUGAUUUUUGGCAUGCUUCAAAAGAGAAGGGCCAAAUACAACAGAAAAGAAAAUCCAUUCAAGCUUGUACAAUAGAAUGCACAAUAACCCUUUUACAUGUCCUUCCAACACCAGUGUUUUGCCUACUUUAGAGUCGCAGGAGGAGAGCUUAUUGCCAUUGUGCAAUUCGAGGGGGCAGUCAAUUUGGAAUGGUGGCAUAAACAUGUUUACUCCACGGAUCACCUAUAUGGGACAGAGCUUCCUUCUUCCCUUGUCGUCUGUAGGUUUCAACUUCACACUUUUUAUAUACAUGUAUGAGAACUUGUGGCUAUUUAUUUAUGGCCUUCUAACACUUGUUCUGCCAUUCCAAAGUGGGUUGGAGACUUUUUGAGUUGAAUGACUGGAAAGACUUCAGAUGACAGAAACUAGAGAGUUUGAAGAAAAAGGGUUACCAAGAACAGCAGUCAUGCCCACGACAUAAACUAAACAUGCUAUAAGCUCCACAGUAAUAUUUACUUCAUCUCCAUAAUCAGAAUAUUGGGAAAAAAAUACCACGGAGAAAUACGUGAAAUGAAAAACAACUCGGCAGUUACUGUGAGAUUGUGUACAUAAAACUUGGAACAACCAAACCAAUUAAAGCUAAGCCAUCUCAUACGUAUACCUACAUCAAAUAACAGUGUAUGGUCAUCUUGUUUAGAAUAUUGCAAUCAACACUUGGUUGAGACCGACCUGCAAAAACAACUGGGUUAAGUACAGAUGAAGCCAUUUAUGAAGGGCAGUUCCAGAAUUAAGACCUACGUUAAUUUGUAACUGCCACCGAAUCAGUUCAUAGUGCCAAAUGCAUCUACCAAGCACACAGAUAUGACCAGCCAAAAGAAAAAAAAGCAAAGUAAAAAAGAUAAAAGAGGCAUGCCAUAAAUGGGAACCUCAGCAGAAAUCAUCAGAUAUGCAUACAAGCAGAUUGAGUAACAUCUCACUAAGUAGAGGUCAUGUUGGUAAUCGCAUGUUGUGUUUGCACACAGACAUUUGGUUUUUGCAAACACAACAUGCAAUUGCAUUCCAUGAUGUGUGUGUUGUGUUUGCACACAGACAUUUGGUUUUUGCAAACACAACAUGCAAUUGCAUGAUGUGUGUGUUGUGUUUGCACACAGACAUAUGGUUUUUGCAAACACAACAUGCAAUUGCAUAUUGUGUGUGUUGUGUUUGCACACAGACAUAUGGUUUUUGCAAACACAACAUGCAAUUGCAUAUUGUGUGUGUUGUGUUUGCACACAGACAUUUGGUUUUUACACACACGAUAUGUAACAUUUAGUUUUACCCUUUUAUUCUUAUUUUCUUCGUUCAAACAUGGUGGUGAGAAAAGCACCAAACCAUCCCAUCAUAUAAAGCAAAACUCAUACAAUAUUUUAGAUGCAAAAGUUAUAUAUUUUAUAUAAAUGCAUCAUCCGCAUGGCUUGAAAUUACAAAUUCACGUUCACAUAUUACUUUUCACAAGCGCACAGACUAACAAUAAUAAUAAUCAACCAAGUAGUUGCGACAUUCAUCCUAUUACGUCCAUAUUGAUAAUGUCAGAAGUUUCAUCGAUAAGCCUCAUCAAACUACAAGUUUUUUAAUUUGAAUUAUGAAUUCAGAACUAAAAGCUCAUGAUAUGCAGAAAAUGACAUACAUUGUCCACAAUCGACUUUUCGAUAUAUUUCUGCUCUAGCAAUUUAUCGUCCAAAUUCUGGACUCUCUGUGUCAGGUGCUUCUUUGUGUUCUAUCCAGCAUAAGAAUAUUUAAUAGUGUGAUUUCAAUUGUUUAUACAAAUUCUAUAAGUAAUAUUGAUGAGUGCUGUAAAUCUAUUUGAUAUUGGGAACAAACAUGGUCCCACUAACAGAAACUCAAACAAAACAGGAAUUUUUUUUUAUUUUUUUUGGCAUAGACAGCCGAAAAGAAACUUACAGCAAUAGCCUCUGUCACGCUCUCCAGACGUUUAUGCAAUUUUGAAACAGCAGCAUUCAUACUACGCUUUGUCACAUACAGAAGAUCUGAGAAUUUUAGACCCUAACCAUUUGUGAAGAGCAAAUAUUAGAUUUGCUUAAAGAAGACAACAACUCACAGAACCAAUGGAUGAAAUAAUAUGAACAUAAAUAUAUCAUUUGGAUACCUUCCACCACAUGUAACCAUAACCCAAUGCCCCCAAGGUAGCUGUUGGCAUUAUUAGUGAUGUCAAACCUAUUAAAAAAAUCAAAAAAAAAAAUAUAACCAAGUAUAAAAUGUUUCUAUUGCAUUAUGAAAUACAUACGUGUAAGGAAUUAAUCGUUUUACAACUUAACCAAAAAGUCAAGGCAGGAGCAUGCAUUCAUUGAGUGGUUAUAAGCAAGAGGAAAAAGCACAAAGCAUGCUAAGAAUUCAUUUGAACACAGAAGAGAAAGUAAGCUACCUUGGAAUUUGGCUGUCAUUCCCCUUCAGGACGGCUCUCUGUAGUGACGAGUCUAGUUGUCGGACCUCAGCUGCCAGUCGGCGCACCUAAAACAAAGUAACACAGGAAAAUUGAUAUCCAUUACAAAAAACAAAAAUUGAACACGAGAAAGCAUCCUUCGACACUAAAUUUAUAGCAGUUUUUCCAAUACCUGUGAUGCGAUCGCAUAAAAGUCACCUUCUGAUUGUUCUCCGGUUCCAUUGAACAAAGGCUGCAAACAAAACAGAAAUAGACACAAAUCCAUCAAUUUUUUGAGCAACAAGACACAAGCUCCGAAAUAAAUAAACUAUCUAACUGAUCAAAACCCUAGUUUACCAAAUGCAUUACAAAAUUAAAAACUCAUACAAAAAUAACACCAAAUACAAAUGUUCUGCGAGUUCCACUAGCAAAGCAGAGUACAAAUCAUGAAAAUGGUACCUGAAGUUCACCGAUCAAUUCAGAUAAUUGACCAUUCUUACGCAGGAUGGUGCUCGUAUACCCUGUAGAAAGAGAACAAUCACUCAGAUCAAAUGUAGCUAAAUACACAAGGAAACUAAUCCAGUAUGCAAGAUGAAAGAGGAGUGAUUGGUACCUACUCCAGCGAAGAUCAGCAAACACAGUAUGAGGUUCCAAAUUCAAAUAACAACAUAAUGCUAAGCAGAGAAGUAGAAUUGCUGCCGAAAUUAUUUAAAACGAACUAAGUCAAAACUAAAUGGAGAAAUGUUAACAAAGUUGUAUGCUUCAGUAAGUCCAGUAACAGAUUCCCAAAACCACAGAGACAAAAUGUGAACAAUGGCUACAAAAGCAUCCAUAAAGAGCAACUAUGUUUAUAUAUGGAGGUGUACAAAAUAGUUAACCUUCAAAAUCGAAACAGUGUGUGUGCCAUGUAAGGCAAUUAGCCACUGCUUCUAGACUAUACAAUAUUACACCUCACAAUAAUAACUAAACCAACUAGCUCUAGCAAAAAGGCAGGAUGACCAUAUAAAGUACCCCCAGCAAAGCAUCUACGUCUGCAUCUUCAUAUCAAGGAGUUCCUGACAUAAGUAAUGAGCAAAGUGAAUUCCCAAGUCAUAAGUCCAGAAUGAGGUGAAUUCACGGACAUUAAAACAUUUACCUCAUAAAUAUGCCUCCCCCCUUAAACCCUCAAUUGCAAGCCUCAGCCGGUAAUAUUUGAUCUUCAAAGGGUCAACUUUAUCUACCGAAAUCCCAGCACUGAGAUGCUCGAUGAAUUUGACGGUCAUGAUUCCGCAAGACGUACUGUGAGACCAAUAAGUUGGGAAAUUAGAACUGCAGUUAUGUAAGAUUUGGAUAAACUGCACUAAAUUCACAAAGCUUACCCAUCUCGUUGUUGUGGCACAUCUGCAAUGCUGCAAACUGAGAAUGGCGUAAACGUCAACAUCUUCAGCCCCUUUUGCUUAACCUUUUCAACCUCAGAAUCUUCAUAAAAGUGCAUAUCGUACAGCACUCGUGCCAGCGUAUCGCUAAUAGGGUGCAGAAGUGUAACCAGCUUCGAACAUUUGGUAAAAGCAACAUAUGAGUCAUACACAGUUGCAGUAUGUCAGACGAAAUCAAUUUCGAUUGCAACCCAGUAAGACCCUUUAAGAUUAUAUGGAAUAUAGACCUUCCGGACUUUUGUCCAAGCUUGGCCAUACCCGUGUUGCCACGUACCGCGUACAAAGUAAUGUAUAUUCUGCAGCUUGCUGGGUGGAAGGUCAACGGUGUUUGAAGCAACUGCCUUCUUCGAUCCACGUUUCUUGGCAGUCGGUUUGAACGGAUCUAGAAAUUGCUGCAUAAAUUGAAAUGAAGGCAUAUUAGAAAAUCACAACCGAAAGCAAAUGAAGCAGCGAAUGUAACAUGGUAACAUGUUUACCUGCAAGCAACAAUCUGCUGUUGUCCAGUCAGUUCCAAAUACCAACGGAUGAGAGAGUUGCCUUUUCCAGAUAAGAAAGGUUGCCAUGUCCAGGUGCUGAAAGUUGACACACAUAAUAUCAGCACAAUUUCAUACAACUGUACACUUAAAAAAGGUGAGAAAACAAUUUAAUUAUCGCAAUAAAGUAGAGCUUUGUGUAUUCUUACCCUUGAGCUAAUCCAUUCCGUUUCAUCGAUAAGUCUGUAGAAAAAAUCAGCGCCCACUGAAAAUAAUUCCAGCUGCACCUCCGCACUACAAAAGGCAAACUUGCAAUGGUUACUUUUAUAGUCAUCUCAUAAUUCUGACUUUGUUGAUGACAAAAAUACACAUGUAUAUUAAAGCAAACUCUACGUUUUCUCAUUAGUCUAUGACUACAUACUAGAAUAGGAUGAAGAUUGGAAUUCAAAGGUAAAGAAUCCUAACCUGAUAUCGUUUUUCCAGGCAGUACAAAACUCUAUUACUGCCUUCACAUCUUCAAUGGGCACGGAUUUUGAUGGAUCAAAACAUGGCGGGGUUGCAGUCGCAGCCAACACACUCAUCGUCCUCUUCUUCCUCAAAGGAUCAGUAAAUGGGCUCAACAAUGUCUGCGCCGGGCGCUUCUGUCUGCACCCUUUACCUUCCACUUCUUUUUUUUCCACACUCGAACUACCUUCUUCAUCACCAGCCAUACUAACUGUGGGUAGACUUGGAGGAUUCAUCGGACCUCCCGAUGGCAUACUCUUAGUCACUUUCCAAUCUUCUAACAGAGACAACACUUUUUGGCAGAUUUCGUCACACCCGGCCACAUCUUCCGGGGUAGGCAGCUUCUCGGAUUGUGCCUGCUCAGCUGCUUCAUGCACUUGUAAGUGAGGAACUGAAGCGGCCAUUUCUGCCUCUUCGACUACCAUGGCUGCGGAAGGUUCGGCUCCAUCACCGGGAACUUGUGUUUCCAUUACCGCCGGUUCUGUAGGCGGACUAACAUGGUCAUGUAAUGGCGACAAGUGAUUGUCGCCUCCUUCAUUCAUAUGAGGACUACUGAGGUCCUCAUGUCCUUUCCCACCUUCAUUCACCCCACCAUUUCGUUUUUUCAGCUGCUCUAUCUCCACAUUAAAAUAAUGCUCCAUUAAAGCCAGGGUGUUGCGGAAAUCCUCCACACACUUUUUAUUUUUUUCGAACUCUCUUUCAACUUUCAAUGACUCCUUCCGUACCAUGUCUUCCAACUGAUGCACUCUGUUGCGAAGCGCUCGAUUUGAUAUGGCAACUUUGGCCAAUUCAUCCUUUGUCCUUUGAAAGUCACGCUUCAAAGUGCGUAACUCUCUGGACGCGACUGUACCCUGCAUUCAGUUAUAAUGCAAGUGUUACAAUAUUUUCAAAAUAUAUUGCAACAAUACAGCAGUUAUUUUCCUAUUGUAUUAUGACGUAUAUCUUGGAAAAAAAUGUAAUGCUUGCCUUAGAAGACGACGGAAGGCUAGCAGUUUCGUCAAUGUCCUUAUCUUUUUCUUCUACAGAGGCAGAAGUGCUGGUUUUUUGUUCAGCGUCAUCGCCAAACAACUGAACAAGUUCUUCAGUGUCGUCAACACUGUCACCCCAAGUCCAAUACGGCUGCUGCUUGUCGAUUACAGAUGGCCGGAGAAGUUGCACAUCAACCUGCAAUUUACACAUACAAUAUACAUAUCAGUAAACUUAUUAUAUUAUAUUUUCAUAUGCCUAACAUUAUCAUUAAAAACUUAACUAACCUCACGGUUCUCGAAUACUUGGCUCAUUAGCUCAUAAAAACACGGCGAACUAUUGCUCCUCCAAUGUAGUAAACGAGGGAUGUAGGCAUUAUCUUCGUGCACCACCAAAUGUAGUGCAGCCAACGCUGGAAAAACCUCAUAAGCCCAAAUCUGGUUUGAGGAAUAAAACGUGAGUCACUGUAAACAAAUGAAAUUUAACUUCAACAUGAAUGGAAAUUUGCUCACCUGAAGUGCAUAGGCAAAACCUUUGAGGUGGUACUCUCUUGGUCUACCAGUUGCCGUUGUUUUUGCUUUCUUUUCAGAUUUUUUUGUUUUUGCAGCUUUUUUGGGCACUUUCACUCGCUGGUAAUCUGUACAAAGUGCCCUCAGAAGUGACACAAUUGUCUUGGCAUAACACACAGCACCCCAUGGAUACUUCCCAAACUCUUCAAGGUCUUCCACCAACUUCAAAUAUCGCAUGUCAAUCUGGACAUGUUUUUCACUGCCCAACAGCACAAACACAGCAAAGUAUACAAAUCUGAGCUUCAAUACAUCGUCCGCAUCAACGCAUUUGAGGAAGGCCUUUUCUAAUUCCAAAACAUUGACAGUUUUAUAGUUGCCAAAGUACUUCCUUUUCAAUGAGCAGUUCUCAUUAGUGGGAAUCGGAAUAAAGGGAAGGUUUCCAAACCUUAGCCCUGUCACGAUGCAAAAUUGCUGCGCCGUGAAUUGGAUCACCUUAUUGCCAACGAUGAAUUUGAUCCCGUUGAGUUGGGAAACUGUCUUUGGAUCAGCUUUCCUCAGCAGCAAGCCGUGGACAAUUGGCGAAGUCCACUUGAGGUCCUCAAUCAGUAGGAGAUGCCCAAAACAACUCUCUUCAAACCUUUGUAGCUGUUGUUCACUGAAUUUCUCCUUUAUCGUGCUGAUUGCAGUCUUCGUAUGGGAUAGGGACAAUGCUUUUCCUUGGAACUUUUCUUCCUCUGCAAUCAUCAACUUCAUUUGAGCAACCAUCUUUCCCUGCAUGCCAAUAUUAUAAAAAAAAAUUCAGUCCGUUGCAAUCUAGACAAUAACAAGCAAUAAACAAUCAGCACUUAUCUACAGCCUAUUAUAGGAUAUUAAGUGAAAACAAAAAAACAAAAAAUACAGGGCAUAAACAAAACCCCAGCUAUUUACAACUGACCUACUAAUUCAAUAGCUCAAAGCCACAUCCCAAGACACCCAGUACUCUACCACUCUUGCAUAAUAUAAUAUCUAAAGACACAUCUCAACACACCAGAUAAUCAUGACACAGCUUCAGCUAGAAUGGGAAUGUGCGGUAGCACAAGCCUAAUUGAGAACAAUUCAAGACUAACGAUAGAAAUCUAUCUGACUAGAAAGAGUUUUAAAAAAACAAGAAGACAUCGGGAAAGAAUUGAUUGACUUCAAGGUAUAAUGUAAUGGAACAUCCUAUGAAUUAGUGGCAACCAUAAUAAUGACUCCACUAUGGCCCUCCUUUCAAAUGUAAGAAAAUGAAUGAAAUUGGCACCAUCCCUUCAGUUUUUUCUUAACAAAAUAAGAGAUUUGUAUGUAUUCUCUGCUUUAUCGAUAUCAAAGAUAAAUUAAUAAAUAAACCAUCAAAACUGUAUAAAAUGUUUGUUAGACAUGUACAAUUACAAAAUUAUAAGUUCUCCUCAGAAACAAAGUUCUCUAAGUACGCAAACAAGAAAAGCAAAAGCUUAAAGAGUUAGCUUAUAGCAAAAUCAAUGUCCCCAUUUCUCUAAACCACACCUGCUGGUGGUAGGUUCCCAUCUUCACUCAUUUCCCGCUUUCUUUUAAACAGACAAUGAUCAAGCACAAAAGAGCAAACUUUUAAAUAACUCAUAUUACACCACAAAUAGUUCUAAAGAAAACUUAUUCAUAUCCAAUAUGCAACCCCUAAAGUUAGUAAACAGAGUUAUAAAAAAAUAUGUCAAAUUAACAAGCAUUAUUCUCAAACAAAAAGUAUGAUAUGGUUGGGAGUUUACAAGUUCAAAAUGAUAUACACAGGUUAAUUGUCUUAGACUUUAGAUAUCAUCUUCAACAAAGAAAAUAGAUACCGAUUAGACUUGUAAGAAGGUUAAAUGCAAUGGUCAUAAAGACCCAUAGUAAGCCACCAAAUACCAAUCAAUAACUGCUAUAAAAACCAUAAUAAAACCAUAAUAAACUAAAAAUACAACAGCACUAAAAUGCCAACACAACAUCACUACAUUAGCAAUAUAGUAGCAACAAAACCACAAUACGACAUCAAUAGCAACAGCAAAACAACAGCAGUGCAAGCAUCAGUCCACAAAGAACAAACCCAUUCACUGUUUCAAACAAGGAAUCAUCAUACUAAGAUCAUUUCAGAGAAACCCCAAAACCAAUUUCAGUGAAACCCCUAAACCAAUUUCAGAGAAACCCCUAAACCAAUUUCAGAGAAACCCCUAAACCUUCAACCAAUUUCGAACAAAUCCCUGAACCAAUUUCAUAGAAAUGCAUAAACCCUAAACCAACUUCAAAGAAACCCUAAACUGUAAGAAAAUGACGAUGAACAGUACCUGUUCAAGGUGAACGAUGGAGUUGAGCUUCGAUGAACAAAUUUCGCUCGGAGAGGAAGAGAGAAGAGAGAGUCAGAGCUGAGCGACGAGAGAUUAAGGGCUGAGCGACGAGAGAGUGAGAGCUGAUCGACGAGAGAUGAGAGAGUGAGAGCAAAGUGACGACAGAGUGAAGAGAAAUUGAGAGAAGGAGCCAAGAGAGAGAGCUGAGAGAGAACUUCAGCAAAACUGAUAGAGAACUUCAGCAAAAGUGAUAUGUGUACAAUAAGGGGACAAUAAAUAUAUAUUUAUAGGUUAUAGUUCCAAAUUUUUUUAAAAAGAGUGGUAUUUUCAGUUACAAUUAUAAAAAUGGUGGCAUUUUGAGCUAUUUCCUUAUUUUUUAUUCAACAUGGACGCAGAAACUGUUGCUAAACUGCAAACUUCUUAAAAUAUUUGUCUCACUUUCUCAACCCUAUAUUUGUCUAACUUUCUAGAUCCAUGUACUGAGAUUUAUUAGGGAAAUAUUGUAGAAACUGAUUAUUUUGAAAUAUUAAAUGUGAAAAACUGAACAAAAAUUUGAUGGGUUACAUAUUUCAACUCAUUUCAGCAGCUUAGAUUUUGAAGACCUCGGAAGAGGCCAUGCAGUGAGCCUAGCUAGUGCACUGUUGAUCACUUCAGUGUCUACCGAUCUGUAAUUUUUCCAGAUUGGUUAUAUUUUCCUUUACAUAUUCUUAUAUUAUUCCCAGCUGUAAGUGUUUUACACACUUGUCUAUUAGAAAAGGGGAGACUUAUAAAUAAAUCCAAAAUGGGUACAGUAUUUAUAAAGAAUGACAAAAUUAAAGUGUUUGGGCAAUAAUGCCCUUAUUCAUUUUGAGAUUGCCUAAGGAAUAUUUUUUCUGAUUUUCAGAAGAUGCCAAAGGACCGUUGUUUGAUGAUUGCCGUAAGGAGCUAAGAAAACUUGCUUUGAUAGUUUUGGACAGAUGCAUGCUACUGUUGCUGGGAUGAUCUCUUCACGUGAAAUGAGGAUGAUGAUGCUUCUACACUACACAAUCCAACGAAUUCACAUGUCUAUUUCAGAUACAAGUAUAAACUAACAAGGCUUUAAAAUAUGGGCUGAUGCACUGUUGUUGAUGUUGCUGACACUGUUACUGUGUUGUUGAUACUGUCACUGCGUUGCUGUUGGAAAAAGCACAAGGACUUCACAUGUUGCUUUCGUCUUUUGUGGAGGAGAGAGACCUAGGACUUGCAUGUCUUAGAUAUUUAAGAUAAGGGGCUUUCGUUCCAUUUUGAAAAUACUUUGGGUGUUUUUGAAAGGUGAUUGUUUCUUUUGGGUUUCUCACUAAAUUUCGCUUUAGAAGGGAAAAUAAUAAUAAUAAUGUCAAACAAAGUAGGGUAAAUAUUCAGAUAUGCUCAUAUUAUUAUUCUUCUCCAAUAUUGAGGUAUUUAUACAAGUACAAAGAUGUGUUAACCCUAAAUAAAAUAGGAAAUAUAUCUAAAUUAUAAUAGGCAGUAAAUCUCUAUUACAAUAGGACUAAAUAAUAAUUGGUAAGUAACCAAAAUUCUAAUGAAAUAAGGAAUCAAAAUCCUAACUAAGUAAGGACUCGCCAACACUCCCCCUCAAGUUAGGGCAAACAUAUUUCGCAUGCCUAACUUGACAAGCGAGUCAUAGAACACCAUACUUGAGAAGCACCAAUUGUAGAGAAGGUCUUUUCGUCAACCACGAGUGAAACAAGUGACAAACUAAAGCAAAGUUCGCAGCGGAAACACAAGAGCGAAUCCUAAAAAAUAGGGCACAUAGCAGAACACAAAAAUCCUGGAGCACGACAGUAGAUAAGGCAGAACACAGAAACCCUGUUAGCACGGCAAUAGGUAAGGCAGAAAAAGUCAAGAGCAAAGGCAAGGUCAACAGGCGUGACCACAACGAAAACACACCAGCAAAGACAUGAGCAACAAUAUUAGCACCAUAAUAGACAUGAGCAACAAUACUGGUACCAACAACAGCAAUACAAGGCACUGGCACCAGCAAGAGCAACAAGGCAUGGACAUAACAUGCAUAAUCAAUAGUAAUCAACAUUGUCCCCAACAAGAGUCAUAAUAGGCAUGAGCAAUAACAUUGUCCCCACUAAGAGACUUAACAGGUAUGAGUAACAGUACUGGCACCAGCAAAGGGCAUAGUAGUCAGCAGCAAUAACAAUGACAAAUACUUCUAUUAUUGCAGAGACAACUUCUCUUCACUCCCCAUCUCCCCUUGAAGAGAAGGGGUCAUCGGAACCAUAAGAAAAGUGGCACUUAAGAAACAGAAGUUGACUGACGCUCAAAUGUAGAAGAAUCAGCCAUGGCAAAUAGGUAGCUGAAUUGCAGCGGAAUAGAUGAGCAGCGGUGUCACUCCCCCUCAUAUCUGAUAAUGUAUGAGAGUCGAGAUUUGGAGAAAGCAAUAUCGAAAAAUAAAGUUGCAGAACCCAAAUAAAGUUGCAUCUAUCUCCCCAUCAAAUCCGACACUGGUAAAGGGUCGAGAUUUGAAAGAGGAGAAAUUGAAAUAAUAGUAAAGAGACUCAAACAUGCAGUCUCAUGGCAGAAACAAAUGCAAGAGGGGAAGAUGGUAGCAUACGGUUGUCCCAUGAAGAAAAAACUUCAGAAAAGGAGAAUAGUAAGGGAGGAAACCUAGCAAAUCAUGAACAGAGACAAAGACAAAGAUGCUCAAACUGAGAAGCGGAAAGGCAACUCAAGAGAGCAACCGAAGAAGACAGAGGCCCGCAGAACAGUCAAAGUUAAGGCUCGGCGAGUGGUGACGAUGCUCGCGGAGGAAAGCAACGGCUCGGUGAGCGGUGAUGAGGCUCACGGAGUAAAGAGACUUGUUAUGAAGUUUCAAAGAUAGAGAAGCUGAGACAUCAAGAAAGACCAUCUGGCAUACAAAGAUGAAAAAUAAAAAUUUUGGAACAGUAGCAAAGAAGCAUGUGAAGGCUGGUGCGGUGAAAACACAUAUGAAAGGAUGAACAAAAGAAGAUGACUAUACAAGAUGAAGACCCAUGAUGGGUUAGGAAUGAGGAGUGCCAACGACUCUCAAUUUGGCAGAGGUUAUCGCAGGUUAGGAACCUGGCUCUGAUACCAUGUCAAACAAAGUAGGGUAAAUAUUCAGUUAUGCUCAGAUAUGCUCAUAUUAUUAUUUUUCUCCAAUAUGGAGAUAAUUAUACAAGUACAAAGAUGUGUUAACCCUAAAUAAAAUAGAAAAUAUAUCUAAAUUACAAUUGGAAGUAAAUCUAUAUUACAAUAGGACUAAAUAAUAAUUGGUAAGUAACUAAAAUUCUAAUGAAAUAAGGAACCAAAAUCCUAACUAAGUUAGGACUCGCCAACAAAUAAUAGUACAACUCUUAUUAGCAACAGGUUACAAACUUCUUCUACAACACACCAACAUGAAUCUAGCCCUGAUCCACUCUUUUACAUACUUGAAAACAAAACAAAACACGAAAAACAAAAAACAAGAAACAAGAUAGGGAGAAAAUGGCUACGGAGAGACUUCCUGCUAAUCAGGGGCGGCCCUGGGGUGGUGCAAGUGGCGUCACCGCACAGGGCCCCCGAUUCUUAAGGGCCCCCAAAAAAUAAUUCUUUAUAUUAUAUAUAUAUAUAUUAAUAUUAUAUGAAUCGUAUAUAAAGUAUAGCGUCUGGAUGAUAAAGAGACUCAUUAUCAUUAUCUUAGUCAUAAGAUUCAAAAUGAAUUGAUACUUUUGUUAGCUUCUGAGCUCAAAAGUGCAAUCAUUAAAAAGAUUGAAGAAGCUAAAUAUUUUUCUGUGAUUCUUGAUUGUACUCCAGAUGCUAGAAACCAAGAACAAAUGAGUUUGAUAGUAAGAUGUGUGGAUGUCUCUACUAAUUCAAUAAAGGUUGAAGAAUUCUUUUUGGAAUUUUUGAUUGUGAAUGAUACAACAGGACAAGGACUUUUUGAAGAGUUGCAAACGGUGUUGCAAAAACUUAAGCUUGAUAUUGAUAAUGUGAGAGGACAAGGCUAUGACAAUGGAUCAAAUAUGAGUGGGAAAUAUCAAGGUGUCCAAAGAAAAUUUUUGGAUGUAAAUCCUAGAGCAUUGUACACACCUUGUGGUUGUCAUAGUCUUAAUUUAACACUUUGCGAUAUUGCAAACUCUUGUGGAAAAGCAAAAGAUUUUUUUGGAAUCAUACAACGUAUUUAUACAUUGUUUGCUAAUUCUACAAAGCGGUGGAAGAUAUUGAAAGAUAAUGUUAAACACUUAACUCUGAAAUCAUUGUCAGUUACACGUUGGGAAAGUCGUAUUGAAAGUGUGAGAGCAAUAAGAUUCCAAGCUGCAGAUUUAAGAGAAGCUUUACUUCAGUUAGCAGAAAGUGACGGUGACUCCAAAAUAACAAGUGAAGCUAAUUCUUUGGCAACAUAUGAACUUGGAAAUUUUGAGUUCUUAUUGGGCAUGGUUAUUUGGUAUGAUAUAUUAGGUGGUGUCAAUGUAGUGAGCAAAAACUUACAAUCUGAAGACAUGCUUAUUGAUGUUGCUAUUGAUAAAGUGAAAGGGUUGAUUACUUUUUUUUUGAAAAGUAUAGAGAAAAUGGGUUUACAGAAGCUAUGUGUACUGCUAAAAAAAUUGCUACUGACAUGGGAAUUGACCCGGUGUUUCCUGAGAAGCGAAAAAUUCGUAGAAAAAAACAUUUUGAUGAGAAUACUUGUGAGCUAUCCCAAUCAGUUCCUGAAUCAACUGAAGAAAAGUUUAGAAUUGAUUAUUUCUUGUAUUUAGUGGACCAAGCUAUUGGUUCUUUACGAAGAAGGUUUCGACAAUAUCAAGAGUAUGAGAAUUUUUGGGUUUUUGUUUACUUCAGAGAAGUUAAAUUCAUUGGAUGAUUGCGAUUUGAAGAAUAGUUGCAGUCAUCUGGAAAGCAUUUUGAAAAAUGACAAGUUUUCUGAUGUCGAUGGGGAGGAUUUAUUUGUUGAGUUGAAAGUUUUACAAGAGCUUUUACCAAAAGUAAAUACCACAGCUACUGCAAUAUUAAAUUUCUUGAAAAGAUUAAAUUGUUUUCCAAAUGCAUUCAUUGCAUAUAGAAUCCUAUUGACUAUUCCUGUUACUGUUGCAUCUGCGGAAAGAAGUUUUUCAAAAUUAAAAUUGUUAAAAUCAUACUUGAGAUCAACUAUGUCGCAAGAAAGAUUAAAUGGACUAGCUUUGAUUUCAAUUGAAAGUGAACUUCUUGAAAAACUUGAUUAUGAACAUUUGAUUGAUGAUUUCUCUUCUAAAAAUUCAAGAAGAUCAAUUUUCAGACAUUAGUAUUGUACUAGCUGUGUUUUUUUUUUUCUUCUAGGGUAAAAGCUCUCAUAAUAAUUUUAAUUCUUCAAAUAAGACAGCAAAUACAAUGUGAUGAAUUUUGGAUAAUCAGGUAUGUUUUUGUUGUUGCUUUUGUGUUUAAUGCAAUAUAAUCUAAUUUUUUUAAUGACAUUUGUGUGCAACUACUCUUUGAUUUGUGAUUGCCAAUUUUUUUUUCUUUCUAUUAAACACAGAUUGCUUAUUGGAGGCAGCAAGAGACCUUAUAGGGGCACAAGGAGCUUAUUUUUGUACAAAACAUUUAACUUUAUCAAAUGGAAACAUUUAAAUUUUUAUGAAUUUGAUUUCUGAUUGUCAUUGCAUAUUUAUUGAUGGUGAAUUUUAGUUAUAAAAAAAAAAUUGUUUAUGACAUUAAGUUAUGGCAAAUUUUUAUAGUAUUUUCGUAUUAGAUUAUGCGAGGUCCCAAUUUAAGUUUCGCACAGGGCCCUCAAAAUCUCAGGAACGGCCCUGCUGCUAAUACUUGAUCAAUAACAGAGAUAAUAGAGCACACUGUUUGUAUGACAAUGAGUAUCAGAAGAAUAAUAGCUGCAAAGAGAGAAAUAGCUGCCCAAGGUGUGUUGAAAUACUUUUGUCUCAAAUUUGCCUUCCGUCUGUUCGUGGUCUUCUUGCAGUACUCGUUUAGUUUGCCAGCAAGAUCACCAAAAUAGUAGUUUCCGUGGUUCGGAGCAACUUUACUGCAAAGCUUGUUAAUCAUAAUGGAAACCUUAUUGUUGUCACCUAGCGUGUUUACAACAAUUCCAUUGUCAACAAGCAACUCUACAUCCUUUGGGGUGUUUACAAAUUUAUCCAGGAUGAAAACAUAAUCGCUUAUGUAUUUAUCCACGCAAUGGCCUUGUUCAAAGGCAAUGAGAUUUCUAUGUGUAAGCUGUGUAAUCAUGUAUUUCAAUUUUUGGAAUUUCCAAGGUGUUUUUCUUGAACUGUAUAUCGAAUAAGUUCUUGCUUGAUCCCACGUUAAACUUAACUCCGGCCUGGUGUAGUUUUGUCAUGCUGGGUGUACUUUGGAGCCCUCCAUUUUUUUUUCUUUUGGCAGAUGUAAAGUUCUAAUAAAAUCAACAAAAUGUAAAGGUUUUUUAGGAUCAGGAGGCAUAAAAGACUUACGGAAGGCUGGUGAGUUCUCCAAGUUUUCUAAACGCAGUGCCUGUUGGAAGAACUUGUAAGAGAGUUCAAUUAUUGAAGGCUCCCCAGUCUGAGCACCUGUGAGAUUGUAAAGAUCCUCGAGAAUGAAAAAUGGCAGCUGAUUUACGAGCAUAAGCAUGUCAGGCAAUAUAUUUUGUAGCACCCAUGGUUUUUUAAAUAUCCAAGCAUCAUCAUCCUGCAAUUUUUCUUCCUGAAAUUUUUCUUCGGAUUUAUUCCUCAACAAUAGCUCAAUGACAAAGGCGGCAUCAACUAGAAUGAUAUUCACAAAAGUAGCAAUGUUAAACUUCUUAGGGCUAGUUUGGCGGCGUUGUGCUUUUAAAAAAAUAUGCUUCUGCUGUGCUGUGAAAAUAAUUAGCUGUGAAAAAAAGCUACUAGGCGUUUGGUAAACUGUUUUUGAAAAACUGCUGUGAGUAGUCAAAGUGUUUGGUAAAUUUUUAUCAGAAGUACUUUUAGUGUGUAUAAUGACCAAAAAGGACAUGAUGAUGAAAUUGUUUGUUAUUUUCUUCAUUCUUUUUCUACUUUAAAAAAAAAAAAAACCCAAUUUCACUACAUAAAUUUUUAUUCUUUUUUAAUUCACACCUUUUUAUCAAAAAAUUUAAUCUACAAUUAACAUACAUAUUUUACCAUAAAUUAUAAAUUACUAUUAUAACAAAAGUAAUUCUAAAUAUUGUUAUAUUAAUAUGGGCUUCGGACAUGACAAAAAUACAAAAAUUGUUCAAUUUUAAAAUGCCCCAAUAGAUCACUACAAUAUAAAAGAAGCUAAUUAGAUGCAUUCAUUAAACUUGUAGCGAUGCUAUUUCUUAAUGCAUUCAUUAGCUUCUUUUUUUGGUUUCCAAUGGUUCUCUAACAAUUUUAACUAAAAAAACAACCAUAAUGCUUUGUGAACAAUAAAUUCAAGUCCAAAUCUGCUAUUGCCCACACCAUACAUAUAUACAUAAUUGUUCCUUUCAUAAAACUUGAAGAUUCAAUAGUAAUUACACAGUUUACCAAUCUUGAUUCCAACUAUAUCCAUAAAAUUAAACUAUAAUUAGAAAUAGAGGAGCUACAUGUGAUUACUCAUAAAUGCUUCCCACUCUCAUCAUCAUCAUCAUCAUCAUCUUCCUCCUCUGUACUUUGCCUUUCACAAAUGGACAAGACCAGAUGGUAACGUACACGACAUGGUCCACAUAUAGAUAAAUUUUGGGUUCACUGGAGAACAUAAAAGAGUUUUUACACGAAUACAAAGUUAGUUAAGUAGUGAAUAAAGUAAAACUAUUCUGUACAAUUCUAGCUGAUGCAGUCCAAAAAGAAUAUAUGUCUAAUAACUUAAAUAACAAUAAAGAGAAACAAAAGCCUCAUGAAAAAUGCUAGAGUAAAAGUUACAUAACUGAAUCGAUGGACAGAGAACUCCACAGGCAGAGAAACAGCAACAAAAAUUGUCAAAACAGUAGCAAGACCAUGUUGGAGUCAAGGCCAAAGAUCAUAUUUCCUGUGUAUCUUCUUCCAUUCUGAAUUAUUCUCGUAUUCAAAUACUGUAACUCUAUUUCAAGUGCACCCCAAAAUACUUAUCUAAGGCCAGUACAUAGGACUUCAUAAAGGGUGCGAUAAAAAAUAUUGCCCCUUAAUUGAUAAACAGAACCAAGAUCCCAACAGCACACCAAAACUAUACCAACCACACCUACAUAAUAUGGACAGAAAAUCCUGUUGUUCCGAUCUCUAACCACACCAAUGACAUUCAUUAGGAAAAUACAAAAGAUGGGUACCCUGCAUUUCUAACAUUUAAGAUAAAAUUCACUGCCAGCUAAUCACAAAUUUGAAAAGAUGGCAAGAAAAUUGGCUAAGCUUUAACAAAAACCAGAGCAGUCCUUGCAUAGACCUGACUUUUUGCUCCAAGCUUUAGCAGAUCACUUACUGGUAGAGAGCAGAGAACAUGUAUGUGAAUAUCUGAAGUUGGAAGGGUAAGCCAUCACAAACACCAAGAGAUCUGAUUCUCAUCUCUUGUUACAACAACAAAUCACAAACACCAAUACAUCUGAUUCAGAAUCUCAUAAACAAUGGAGGAACAAACACAUAUUCACACACAUAUAAAUCCCUAAACAGAAAAAAUAAAAAAUAAAAAAAAAACCAUGAAAGUCAUAGGAGAAUCAAAUUGAUUUGGGCCAAAAUUGCCUAAAAAGAAAACACUCCUAAAUAAACUUCAAUUCACUUUUAAAAACAGUAAAACAUGAUUGAAUCAUUCUUUAAAACAAUUCCCUAAUAUACAUGCAUGAUAAUGACAUCAUUUACCCCUGAAUCAAAUGCCUUUCACUGGUCAAGCCACAAGUCUGUGUUUUGGGAAUUGCUGAGCUGCAUCAAUCCUGCCAAUGUAAAUUCUGCCCCUAGGCUCUCUCAAAGUGCGUUUACAACCUAUGCUAACAUAUACUAGAGUUUGUUUUAGUAUCUAGAAAAUGCCAACACUAAUUUCGUAACACGUAGAAAUUGUUACAUAUUGGAAGUUUUUAUCAUUUUUUCUUCCAGUCUCUCCACCACUCACUAAUACAGAUUACUCAUGUGAUGAGUUUACAAAACAUAUUUCUCUACUCCCACAAAGACCAUACUUUUUCUCAAAAGACUAUAUCACUUUAUCUCUAUCUUUGUGAAAUGUAAAAAGUUGAAACUUUAAUGUCAAACCUCGACAAAAGAUGAACAUCCAUCAUCAAUUACAUUGAAUUUGAAUUUGUUGAACUUAAGUAGUUUUACUUCUCUGUCAGCGUUUGAUGACUUGAUUUGUUAUUUACUUCUUCUUUUUUCCUUGGAAAUGUGUUCCAUCAACGUGAGGAAGAAAAAUAUGCACAAAUUAAUAUAUUUAAUAGAAGCAAAAAUUAAUAUUUACAAAAAUAUGCACAAAUCAAGUAAAAUUAAUAAAGCAUAAAUUGGAAAGGGAAAAUAUGUAGAGGAUGCAUUGUAGGAUUGCUCAUGCCAAUAAUUGUACCCUCUAAAUAUAUAGGGACAUAUUUUUUUUUGUUUUCAUGACAUGUGGUCCUAAAAUUAUUGUUCUUAGCGGGCUCUCCACCCCUCUCGACUGAAAACCUAUUGUGUAAAUCUUCAAUCCUGAAUGAUGCACCUAAAACUCAUGUUGCAAUACACAUCCACCCAUUCUCAGGCCAAUUAUUACUCCUAGUGGGCUCUCCACCCCCUCUCAAAUUUAAGUGGUCCAUUAUUAUUAACCGUAUAUUUUAUGGACCAGCCAGCUGUGAGGUUUUAUCUCAAAAACCUUUCUCCCACAUGCCACAAUUUAUGUCUGAUACAUCACAUCAUGCCAGUUGUCUCAAAUGAAUUUAAGUGAGUGAGGCAGUGUUACUUCUGGGUACCCCUCAUUAUUCGUCUAUAAAUUGGUGAAGCCAGUUGCUACUGUUACCAUAAGAGCCAGCUCCGACUUUCAAAAUAAAAAUUCCAACAACGGUCUUAGUGCCUUCAAUUGUAUGAGUCAUUGAACAUGCAAAUGAAUAAAAUAUGAAUGAUAAAAGUGUUUGAUAAAUCACCAAGUUAUAGAACACUUGAUGAUUUAUCUCAAAUAAAAAUUCAGCUUUCUAAAGUUUGUGAAUUGAAAAUAUAAUCGUUAAAGCUCUCUAAACAAAGAAGACGAAAGUCUUAUUUUAUAGAAUUUUUCUUUACAAGAAAGAAAACAUGUUGAAAACCAAAUCUCCAAUUUCCAAGGCUUGACAGAAAAUCAAAAAAAUAUCUUUCCUAUUCUAGAGAUUGGUCACAUGUAGUUCAACCAAUAGGAAAUGAGAUAUUUAAGAAAGCAAGAUUUUGAUCAAUACCAAUAUCAAAUGAAUUCUUAUACGCCUAGUCAACUAUUAAGGGUAUCUUGACUCCUUGAUAUUGUGAUAUGAUUGAAACAUGAUUUCCAUGUUAGAAAAUUAAGGGGAUGUUAAAACAUGAAAGUAAUAGGAGAAUCAAAUUGAUUUGGACUAAAAUUGCCUAAAAAGAAAACACUCUUAAAUAAACUUCAAUUCACUUUUAAAAACAGUAAAACAUGAUUGAAUCAUUUUUUAAAACAAUUCCCUAAUAUACAUGCAUGAUAAUGACAUCACUUACCCCUAAAUCAAAUUGUCACGCCCCGGACCUGGGGGUCAGUGGAAACCCCACGUUCGGUGCGUGAGAAAAUAAAAAGUAAAAUAAAAUAAAAAGAAUGCCGAAACAAGGGUUUAAAAUAAACUUCUCUUAUAAAAAUAACUCCAAAAUCUUACAACUUUACAAGAAAUAAAUAAAGCCCUAUCAUUCUUAUCUAAUUCAGCCUCAACUGGUUUAGUCCUUGUCUUGCCCACUAAUUCAUCUAAAAAAUGAAGAGUGUUGCUAAACGAACCCUAAAAUUAAUUGAGUACACCCUACUACCAAACGAUUUAUUGAAUUUGUCACAUCUCGGGAUCAACUCCGCCGUAGCACGAUAUUGUUCGCUUUGGGCCCUCCCUCUCUGGCUCGCAUGGUUUUGUUUCUGGGAACUCACGAGUAACUUCCCAGUGGGUCACCAAUCCUGGGAUUGCUCUAGCCCACAACUCGCUUAACUUCGGAGUUCCUACGACUCCGAAGCCUGUGAGCUCCCAAAAGGUCUCGUGCUAGAUGGAUGCGGGUGUGCACAUAUAAGGCACAUCACCCCCUCUCCGUUGGUUGAUGUGGGAUCUUAUAGAAUUACUAAUUUAUCCUAAUAUAAAAUGACCAAAGAAGAUAAAAUAAUAUUGGUAUCUAUUGCUUUGAAUCCAUGCCUUCAAACAAAUUGACUUAAUUUUUAACAAACAACACGGAGUCCAGGAGAAGUGUAUUGAUCCAAGUUGAUUUUUGUAUGCGUAAAACUUAAACAAUCAAUAACACAAAGCAGUUCAUGCUGAAAUAUUGGAAACCCACACCCAAAGAGUUCUCCGCUGCGAGGUUGAAGGCAGGAGAGAUGGGUGACAGAUUUUACUUCCACUGCGAAGUUGGAGGCUAGGAGAGUCUGUGACUGCCAUGGUUGAGGGAGAAGAUGCGUUCAAAAUGCCUAUUGAUAUUUUACAUUAUUGGCUUUUUUCAAAAGUGAAAGUUUUUUUAUGGGUAAAACCUAAAUUUACUUUUUCUAUACAAGUUAACAGUGUUUGUGUAUUGUGAAAAGGUGGAGAGACGUGUCAAAAUUUUAGACAAAGGACAGGAGGAGAUAGGGAAUUUGGGGACAGCAGAUCUCAACUCCCUUGAGACCCUAUUCUCUACGCCACCCCUCCCCCUCAACAACCCUAGUCACCAUUUCUCCUUCAACUCCAACGGCAACUCAUUAAAACCCAAUUCUCAAAUGCAACAAUCUAAUCCCAAUCCCAAUUCAGAUGUUUCUAAAAAACCCAUUGUCGUGGUGGAGAACUGCAAUUCCAGGUGGUGGUGGUGGUACCACAUGGGAGAGAGAAAAAAGAAGAAGAAGAAGCAGGAGAGAGAGAGUUUUUUAUUUUAUUAUUAUUUUACUGUAAUUUUUUAAUUUAAAUAAUUAAAAAAAUUAAAAGUUAAAGAGGAUGUACCAUGGGUAUUUUUGGUAGUUAAAUAAGGUGUACUUAGGGUCAGUUUGGCAUUGCUGUGCUGUGAAAAUAAUAGCUGUCAGAUUUGCUGUGAGAGAAAUCAGCUGUGAGAGAAAUCAGUUUGGCGUUUGAUAAAAUUUUUGUUAAAAGUGUGUUGAUAUUGAUUUUAUGCUUAAUCCGAAAAUGAUUGCUGCAUAAUCAUUAAACCCAGCGCCUCUUCGAAACUGAUUCCUAUAUAAUCAGAAAAUGAAAGCACCUCAUUAGCUGCUUUCCUUUAUAGCUUUCUCUCACAGCAAUUUUUAACAAUAAGUGAUUUUCUCACAGUUUACCAAACGGGUUGGGCUUCUCAAAAUUUUUUAAAAAUCACUUAUUACCCCAAAUAAGCAAUACCAAACGGGCACUUAGUUAAUUUUACAUUUUAAUUUAAACAUUAGGGUGUACUCAGUUAAUUUUAGGGUUCGUUCAGCAGCACUCAAAAUUAAACAAGGUGAGGGAUGAGCAAGUAGGGACAUGAGACAUUGCCACAGUAGAUUGAUAUAACUAAAUAUUAUUAUAAACAUAGAAAUAUAUAAGUAUUAUUAUAAUAGGAUUCAUAAUAAUUAAUAUAAAAGUAUAACAACAAUAUUUACAUUUAUGUACCAAGAUAAUUACACAUAUAAAUAUAACCAAUAUAUAUUUUUAUAUAUUUUAAAAUAUAAGUCUUUACGUAAAUGCCUUUCACGGGUCAAGCCACAAGUCUGUGUUUUGGGGAUUGCUGAGCUGCAUCAAUCCUGCCAAUGUCAAUUCUGCCCCUGAGCUCUCUCAAAGCACGUUUAAAACCUAUGCUAACAUAUACUAGAGUUUAUGCUGUAUCUAGAAAAUGCCAACACUAAUUUCGUAACACGUAGAAAUUGUUAGAGAUUGGAAGUUUUUAUCAUUUUUUCUUCCAGUCUCUCCACUACUUAUUAAUACAGAUUACUCAUGUGAUGAGUUUACAAAACCUAUUUCUCUACUCUCGCAAAGACUAAACUUCUUCUCAAAAGACUAGAUCACUUUACCUCUAUCUCUGUGAAAUGUAAAAAGUUGAAACUUUAAUGUCAAACCUCGACAAAGUGUUCUACUUUACAAACUUCUUGUGUCUACCAAUUUGUACUAAAAUUAAUUUCUCUACAGUGCUCAGAUUCAUCAUAUGUGUGUCCUUAAUUUUAGUGGAAAUUGGAAGUUUCCAUAAUUUUUGCUUUAAGUCACUCUUCUGAAGGAAGUUGAGGUUCCACUUCAUAAUCCAAAAUGUCAGGUUGACUUAUGGCAAACAAUGUAAAUAUGUAGGAGUACUAUGACCUUUUAUAGCAUUUUUAGUUUGAAUUUGGGUUUUAUACAUAGAUUUCAAAAUUAAUAGGUUGAUGCCUAGGAAAUAGAAAUUGUAAGGGCCUAUAUUAGAGUAGCCCUCUUAAAAAUAAUAUUAAUUAAUGAAUAUUUGUUCUUCUUGUUGUUUUGAAGUAGUGGUGGGAGGCAGACCAACAAAAAAAAAAUAUAGUGAAGGCUUAUAAGAGCAUUUACAAUCAUGCUCCCUAUUUUUUAGUUAAAAUUUAGCUAAAAAUAGAAAAAAAGUUAUUAUAGGAGCUCUUUAUAAAGCUCCUUUAUAAAAUUUGAACUCCAAUCAUACUCCCUAGUUUAGGGAGUCAAAAAUACUAUAGUUAUUUUUUAAUUCAAUUUGAUUUUGGUUAAUCUCUAUAAAUAUGAAAAAAUAGUUAGCAUUAAUUAAAAGUUUAAACUAUGCAUAAAACAAAGAAACAUUAAAUUAUAGGGAGCCACUAUGAGUCAUUACUCUCUCCUCAGAUUUAGGAGCUCCUAAAGGUCUCCCUAUUUUAUGAGGUGGAUAAGGAGCAUGGUUGGAGUUGUAUUUCUUCAAUUUCCUCCCUAAAAUUUGUCUAAGGAUGUGGUUUAGGGAGCCCAUUGUGAAUGCUCUAACUCUGGUAAAACACGAGUGACAUGGACAACAUAUGUUACGUCGUACUGAAGAUUUUUGGGUUUCUUUAAUUGGUUAAGUAGCAUCCACACAGCUUCCUAAAUCAUCUCCUUAGACAAAUUUUAGGGAGGAAUUGGAAAAGUACAACUCCAACUAUGCUCCCUAUCCACCAACUAAAAUAGGGAGACUUCUAGGAGCUCCUAAAUCUGAUGAGAGAGAAAGGACUCUUAAUGACUCCCUAUAAUUUAAUGUUGCUUUAUAUUAUUUUGUAUACAGACGGGUCAAUUAUAUUAAAUUAAAAAAUAAUUAAAGUAUUUAUGACUCUCUAAACUAGUGAGCAUAAUUGUAGAUCAUCUUAUAUACCUUAAUUUGAAGAUUCUUUAUUUGGGUUUCUUUCAAGACUUAUCACCUUAGCCACGCCACCUACACGUCUGCAAGCUUUCCUAACAAGGAAGGGGAGGCUGCGCAAUACUUAUCACCUUAGCCACACUACACCAAAUUGACGUCUGCAAGCUUUCGUAAUCUAACAAGGAAGGGGAGGCUGCGCAAUACUUAUCACCUUAGCCACACCAACACCACAAGACCAAUAUGUGUAGUCCAGGAGGCUUUCCCAUUUUAAUAUAUAUUAUCAAAUAAAAUAAAAAUCAAUCUAUUAUCAUAUAUAUUAUAAAAUAAAGAUUAUUGCUCCAUCCUCCAUGCACUUGCAUGCCUCUUACAAAGUGUGAAGUAGAUUUUGUGUGCUCCAAGUCAUUGACGAGAGCUGUAACAUGGUUAGCUGGAUUUAUAAGAUCUUUUCUUUUCUGGGAAUUUUCUGAAUCAAGAAAAAUUAAGUAAAAUUAAUAAAGCAUAAAUUAGAAAGGAAAAAUAUCUAGAGGAUGCAUUGUAGGAUUGCACAUGCCAAUAAUUGUAUCCUCUAAAUAUAUAGGGACAUAUUUUUUUGUUUUCAUGACAUGUGGCCCUAAAAUUAUUGUUCCUAGCGGGCUCUCCACCCCCUCUCGAUUGAAAACUAAUUGUGUAAAUCUUCAAUCUUGAAUGAUGCACCUAAAACUCAAGUGUCCCAGGCCAAUUAUUGCUCUCAUACCACUUGUUGUAAUAAACAUCCAUCCAUUCUAAAGGAAAGAUAACCAUCGAUAUUAUCUCAAAUUUAACCACUUAAGUUCAUUAUGAUUAACUAUGUAUCUUAUGGACCAAUCCAAUCAUGAGGUUUUAUACCCAAUUAGAUCGACUAAUACAAAGUUCACACGUGGAUUGAAAAGCGCUAUCAGUAGGGGAGUGUUCGGCACCCUUUACUGCCGAACGCAACACAAGACCCCUUGCAUGCCUUCACUAAGUUGAGCCUAUCUAUUUUUUAGCAUUAACAAUAUAUAUAGAUUGAAAAAAUAAAAUAAAAAUCAAUCUAUUAUCAUAUAAAAUAAAUAUUAUUGCUCCAUCCUCCAUACACUUGCAUGCCCUCUUACAAAGUGUGAAGUAGAUUUUUUGUGCUCCAACUCAUUGACUAGGGCUGAAACAUGGUUAGUUGGAUUUAUAAGAUCUUUUCUUUUCUGGGAAUUUUCUGAAGCACGGAAAAUCAAAUAAAAUUAAUAAAGCAGAAACUGUACCCUUUAAUUAUAUAUGGACGUAUGUUUUUUUGUUUUCAAGUCUUAGAUGACAUGGGGACCUAAAAUUAUUGCUCCUAGUGGACUCUCGACCCCUCUCAAAUUUAAGUGGUCCAUUAUUAUUAACCACAUAUUUUAUGGACCAUGCAGCUGUGAGGUUUUAUCUCAAAAACCUUCGGUACAUUUCUCCCACAUGCCACAAUUGUAUAUUCACAAUUACGGCUGUUACGUCACAUCAUGCCACUUGCCUCACAUGCAACAAGUCUGUGUUUUGGGGAUUGCCGAGCUGCAUCAAUUCUGCCAAUGUCAAUUCUGCCCCUGGACUCUCUCAAAGCACAUUUAAAACCUAUGCGAACAUAUAUUAGAGUUUAUGAUGUAUGUAUCUAGAAAAUGCCAACACUAAUUUCGUAACAUGUAAAAAUUAUUAGAGAUUGGAAGUUUUUAUCAUUUUUUCUUCCAGUCUCUCCACCACUUAUUAAUACAGAUUACUCAUGUGAUGAGUUUACAAAACCUAUUUCUCUACUCUCGCAAAGACUAAACUUCUUCUCAAAAGACUAGAUCACUUUACCUCUAUCUCUGUGAAAUGUAAAAAGUUGAAACUUUAAUGUCAAACCUCGACAAAGUGUUCUACUUUACAAACUUCUUGUGUCUACCAAUUUGUACUAAAAUUAAUUUAUCUACGGUGCUCAGCUUCAUCGUAUGUGUGUCCUUAAUUUUAGUGGAAAUUGGAAGUUUCCAUAAUUUUUGCUUUAAGUCACUCUUCUGAAGGAAGUUGAGGUUCCACUCCAUAAUCCCAAAUGUCAGGUUGACUUAUGGCAAACAAUGUAAAUAUGUAGGAGUACUAUGACCUUUUAUAGCAUUUUUAGUUUGAAUUUGGGUUUUAUACAUAGAUUUCAAAAUUAAUAGGUUGAUGCCUAGGAAAUAGAAAUUGUAAGGGCCUAUAUUAGAGUAGCCCUCUUAAAAAUAAUAUUAAUUAAUGAAUAUUUGUUCUUCUUGUUGUUUUGAAGUAGUGGUGGGAGGCAGACCAACAAAAAAAAUAUAGUGAAGGCUUAUAAGAGCAUUUACAAUCAUGCUCCCUAUUUUUUAGUUAAAAUUUAGCUAAAAAUAGAAAAAAGUUAUUAUAGGAGCUCUUUAUAAAAUUUGAAUUCCAAUCGUACUCCCUAAUUUAGGGAGUCAUAAAUAUUAUAGUUAUUUUUUAAUUCAAUUUGAUUUUGGUUAAUCUCUAUAAAUAAAUAAAAAUAUGAAAAAAUAGUUAGCAUUAAUUAAAAGUUUAAACUAUGCAUAAAACAAAGAAACAUUAAAUUAUAGGGAGCCACUAUGCCAAUAAUUGUAUCCUCUAAAUAUAUAGGGACAUAUUUUUUUUGUUUUCAUGACAUGUGGCCCUAAAAUUAUUGUUCCUAGCGGGCUCUCCAACCCCUCUCGAUUGAAAACCAAUUGUGUAAAUCUUCAAUCUUGAAUGAUGCACCUAAAACUCAAGUGUCCCAGGCCAAUUAUUGCUCUCAUACCACGUGUUGUAAUAAACAUCCAUCCAUUCUAAAGGAAAGAUAACCAUCGAUAUUAUCUCAAAUUUAACCACUUAAGUUCAUUAUGAUUAACUAUGUAUCUUAUGAACCAAUCCAAUCGUGAGGUUUUAUACCCAAUUAGAUCGACCAAUACAAAGUUCACACGUGGAUUGAAAAGCACUAUCAAUAGGGGAGUGUUCGGCACCCUUUACUGCCGAGCGCAACACAAGAUCCCUUGCAUGCCCUCACUAAGUUGAGCCCAACUAUUUUUUAGCAUUAACAAUAUAUAUAGAUUGAAAAAAUAAAAUAAAAAUCAAUCUAUUAUCAUAUAUUUUAUAAAAUACAUAUUAUUGCUCCAUCCUCCAUACACUUGCAUGCCCUCUUACAAAGUGUGAAGUAGAUUUUUUGUGCUCCAACUCAUUGACUAGGGCUGAAACAUGGUUAGUUAGAUUUAUAAGAUCUUUUGUUUUUUGGGAAUUUUCUGAAGCAAGGAAAAUCAAAUAAAAUUAAUAAAGCAGAAACUGUACCCUUUAAUUAUAUAUGGACAUAUGUUUUUUUGUUUUUUUGCUCUCGACCCCUCUCAAAUUUAAGUGGUCCAUUAUUGUUAACCACAUAUUUUAUGGACCAUCCAGCUUCGGUACAUUUCAAAAAGCUUCGGUACAUUUCUCCCACAUGACACAAUUGUAUAUUCACAAUUACUUCUGGGUACCCCUCAUCAGUCGUCUAUAAAAUGGUGAAGCCAGUUGCUACUGUUACCAUAAGAGCCAGCUCCGACUUUCUUUAAUUUCUUGCUACAUCUGUUGCUAAGUUAAUUUCAGUCCUAAUGGGGUUUCAUCUCCCACUCAUCUUUGCUAUUCUCAGUGUAAGCUCUGCAAUUUGAUUAACUUUUCCAUUCUCUCUCAUUGUACUCUAUAUAUAUAAAUGAAAGUUUUGUGUUCCUAUAAUUCUCUCCGAUUUUAUUUAGUACGUACUUAAGUGUCGUCCACUAAUUAAUUACACUUUGUGAGAUUUGAUUUUAAUUAGAGUUCGAAUUAAUGUUGCAGCUAGCAGCGGUUGCACUGGCAAACAAUGCUGCUCAACCAGCACCUCAACUUUACUGGAACUCCGUCCUGCCAAACACACAGAUGCCAAGAUCUAUCAGUGAACUUCUGCAUCCUGGUUUGUGUUCAGCUCUUUAUAAUCUUAGAUAUCUCUUCUACCUGCCAUUUUACUAAAAUAUGUUCGACCACAUAUUUAUCAGCUAACUACUGUGAUUACAAGAAUGACACUUAUUUUCCAAUAUAAUUUGCAGACUCCACAAAUGAAGAAAAGAGCAAACCUGAAAUUUUCCCAUUGCAGGGCAAUAGAGUUUACACUCAAAGCCAUUAUAAAAAACGUCCUCCUCCUCCAUCUGACGAGGGCAAACCUGAAACUUUCCCAUUGGGCAAUAGCCAUUACACUCAAACCCGUUAUAAAAAACGUCCUCCUCCUCCAUCUGACGAGGGCAAACCUGAAAAUUUCCCAUUGGGCAAUAGCCAUUACACUCAAACCCGUUAUAAAAAACGUCCUCCUCCUCCAUCCGACGAGGGCAAACCUGAAAAUUUCCCAUUGGCCAAUAGCUUUUACACUCAAACCCGUUAUAAAAAACGUCCUCCUCCUCCAUCUGACGAGGGCAAACCUGAAAAUUUCCCAUUGGCCAAUAGCUUUUACACUCAAAGCCAUUAUAAAAAACGUCCUCCUCCUCCAUCUGACGAGGGCAAACCUGAAAAUUUCCCAUUGGCACGUUCUCCUCCAUCUGACAGUCAACUAAAGCAUUACAAAGACUUAGCUAUUUUCUUCUUCGAGAAGGACAUGCGCCCGGGCACAACUAUGAAGUUCCAAUUCCCUAGAAAUUCAAACACGGCUACUUUCCUGCCACGCGAAAGUGCUCAAUCGAUCCCCUUCUCCUCUAAGAAACUACCAGAAAUUUUCAACCAUUUUUCAGUGAAGCCAACAUCUGAGGAAGCCAAAACAAUUAAGCAAACAAUCGAAGAGUGUGAAGCUCCAGGCCUUAAGGGAGAGGAAAAAUAUUGCGCCACAUCUUUAGAAUCAAUGGUUGAUUUUAGCACUUCGAAGCUUGGAACAAGAAACGUUGAAGCAAUCUCAACGGAGGUAUUGGAAGAAGGAGCCACCAAGUACAUGCACAACUAUACAACAAUGCCGGGACUGAAGAAGUUGGAAGGUGACAAAGUCGUUGUGUGUCAUAAGGAGAACUAUCCCUAUGCUGUGUUUCUCUGCCAUGCAAUAAAACAAACAGAAGCUUAUGUUCUCUCCCUGAAAGCCGAUGAUGGGAUGAAGGUGAAAGCAGUAACCAUCUGCCAUCUAGACACAUCAGAAUGGGACCCAGAGCAUUUGUCCUUCCAAAUCCUCAACGUUAAGCCCGGAACCACUCCCAUCUGCCAUUUCCUUACCACUGAUGCUAUUGCCUGGGUUCCAAAACACAAAUCUGCAUGAUCAUCACUUAGCACUGUACGUGUAAUAAGCUUGGUCGGGUUGCACCCUAGGCCUGCAUAAUUAUCUCCCUACUUAUUUCUGCCUCUUCAUCAUGCGGUGUAAGAUAUAUGAUGAGAUGAAGUUUUCUCUUGUAACUAUGUAGACUACUUCAACUUGUACUCAUAAUAAAGCACGCUGUUGGGGGGUUCUACUUAAUUUCGUUCUCUCCAAUGUUUGAGUGUUGAAUUGUUACGUUGGAAUAGGCUGCUAAUGCAUGUAGUUAGAGAAGCCUUCAUUUAUAUCAAAGUCCUCAAACUAUCAAGAAUUAAUGUAUCCAGAAACAUAUACCAAGACGCAAAACAACAUAUUUUCCAUUCUCUGUCUGUAACACCAAAGCAAACUUCCUUUAUCACAUCAUUUAAAGGAUCAAAUUCCAGUACUAAUCUAAUCCAUCAUGUAAAGCAUACAAGUGCCUACCUAAAUUUGUCCAUUGGAUAUAUAUGUCACUUUUUAUUUUUUGAUAGAGAUAUAAAUGUUGAAAAAAUUAGAGUACACAACUCUUAUAGACACUACUACGAUUUACUAUUUGCGCGACGGAAGUUUGCGCGACGAACAUUGUUUCGUCGCGCAAAAAGCACUAUUGCGACGAAAAAAAAAUACCGUAGCGCAAACAACAUAACACAAGCGCGACAAACAGUUUCGUCGCGCAAACAAUCUAUGCGCGACCAAUAUUAAUUUCGUCGCGCAAAGGUAGGGGAAAAAAACCCGGUUUUUUUUUUUUGGCGCCAUAAUCUUGCGCGACAACAACAAUCGUCGCGCAUGACAAUAUUGCGCGACAAUUCAAAGAAUUCGUCAGGUAAAGAUGGACAGAAAAUUGUCUCAUUUUUUUGGCGGUAAAAAACUUUGCGCGACGAAAUUUUUCGUCUCAAAAGACAACUUAGCGCGACGGAAAUAUGUACCGUCGCGUAAAAAAACGAGGGAUACUUAUUUUUGGCGCCAAAAUGCAGGGUGGAUAAAAAAAAUUUUGCGCGACGGAAUUACCUUCGUCGCGUAAAGUGUAAUGCCGGUGCUUUCUUGCGCGACGAAAUAAAUAAUUUGCGCGACGUAAUUUAAACCUUGCGCGACGAAAAGUAUUAUUUGCGCGACGAAAUUUUGUGCGACGAAUAAUAUGUUUCGUCGCACAAAAAAGCAGAUGUCGACAGGUAAUUGCGCGACGGAAAUGUUGUUUUGUGCGAUGGAAAAGUGGGUUUUCGCGACGGCAUUUUGCGCGACGGAUAUUGGUGUUCGUCGCGCAAAGUCCUUCUUCUUCAUAUUAGUAUCUGCCAUUGCAGAGGCAGAAUGCAGAAAUUGCAUUCUGCCUCUCUCUCACUCUCCCUGCCGCUGCUCUGCUGUGAAUUCAAUACGUUCAUUGGGUAUGUAUUUUUUGUCGUUAGUUUAAAUGUAUUAAUGUAAAUUCGUAGUAACGCUAUUAAUUUUGUUAUCGUUAGGGAUAUUUGUGAUUAGUGAUUGGUGGAGAACGAUUGAGAAGGUAUGUUAUUGUAAAAGUUUGUUUGUUAUGUUUGUAAUUUUUUUGUGAAGUUAUAUGUAUAUAAUGUUGUGAAAUUGUGCGUGACAUAGCACAAUGUGUUGUGAUGUACGAAGUUAAUUGAAAUUAACUUCGUACUUUUAUUUUUAUGUUUAGUAACACGUAGUUUCCCGUUCGAGAUUAGUUGGAUUUCGUGCAUGGAUGAGUAAUGCAUGACUGCGGUCCAAUUAAUUCUUGAAUUGUCCCAUUAUUUGGACAGUUUGGUAAUGCAUAGUGUUGUCACAUAAUCUUCGGCUACAGGAUUAGGUUUCGAUUGUGGAGAUUUCGGUGUCAUCUCGGUACGUUCUUCGAGUGGUACGUAGGUAUUUAUACCUAUGCCCACUUCAAGAACUGUGUCGAGAUGCUGCCGAAAUUAAUCCACGUCGAAAUCUAAUCUCAUGUAGCCGUAGGUUACGUGACAGGACUAUGCAUUCCCGAAUGGGAUAGGGCCCUUACCGGAGGCAUAAGGUGACAUUAUAACUUCGUAUGAAGUUGUUGUGAUUGUUGUGUCGUGAUUGUGGUUUCAUGAAUUAUGAGCAGAAGGUGGAUACAUAACCCGAAUAGAUGCGCAGACGAAUACUUGGAUGGAAUCGAGGAUUUUAUUGAGUUUGCACAUAGACACAACCCGGGUGCAAGUAGAAUCCGUUGUCCUUGUAGGAGGUGUAACAACACGUUGUGGGAGACAAUUGAAAAUGUUGGAUUUCAUUUAGUAAGGAAUGGAAUGAUUGAAACAUAUAGCAUUUGGAACCUUCACGGCGAACAUGUAGGCCAUGCUUCGUCUUCAAAUGCCCCAAGAGUGGACAAUGUUGAACCUAUUGUGGAUCCUAAUGAUCAAGUCAUGGGUAUUAUACAGGAUGCUUUUCCAUUCGCAUCGACCAACAUCAAUCAGGAAGGGGAAGAUAACGUGCCUACACCAAUAGACAGUGCGGAGUUUGAACAGUAUGAAAAACUGUUAAAAAAUGCCAACCAAGAGUUAUACCCGGGGUACGAGAGCUUUUCCGUUCUCACUUCUAUUGUGGAGCUAAUGCACGGAAAAAUAAAGUAUCGUAUGUCGAACUUGUGUUUCGAUUACUUUUUGGGGGUUUUCAAGAGAAUGCUUCCGACGGAUAAUUAUUUGCCGAAAGACCAGAAACAUGCACAGAAGGUGUUGCAUGGUCUUGGAUUGGGUUAUGAAAAAAUCCACGCUUGCAAAAACAAUUGCAUGUUAUUCUACAAAGAGCAUGAAACGUUGGAUACAUGCCCUAUAUGCAAUGAGUCGAGGUUCAAAAUGACAUCCCAGAAUAGAACGACUAAGAUACCACAAAAAGUCAUGCGUUAUCUGCCCCUUAAACCUGGGUUGCAGCGAUUGUAUAUGUCGACGCAUACUGCCACAGACAUGAGAUGGCAUAAGGAAAAACGGGUAGACGAUGAUGUGAUGCGGCAUCCUGCAGAUGGGGAGGCAUGGAAAGAGUUCGAUCGAACGUUCCCCGAGUUUGCUGCUGAUCCCCGAAAUGUAAGAUUGGGACUUGCCACUGACGGAUUCAAUCCGUAUGGGGUUCUAAACCAACACCACAGCACUUGGCCGAUUUUCGCAUUCCCAUAUAAUUUGCCGCCUUGGAAAUGCAUGAAAAAAGAAUACAUGAUGAUGACUGUUUUGAUAACUGAGGAUCCUGGCAGGUCAAUUGAUGUGUACUUAAGGCCUCUGGUUGAUGAGCUGAAAGAUUUAUGGACAAACGGUGUUCGCACGUACGAUAAAUCAACUGGGAGGAUGUUCACUUUGCGAGCAGCAAUUAUGUGGACUGUGAAUGAUUUUCCAGCAUAUGCAAUGGUUUCUGGGUGGAGCACAAAAGGUUAUAUGGCAUGUCAUGUAUGCAAGGAAGAUGUAACUUCUGGUUGGCACGCGGGAAAAGUUUGUUACCUUGGUCAUCGGAGAUGGUUGCCAUGGGACCACGAGUGGCGAGAAAAAGAUAAAGAGUUCAACGGGAACACAGAGCGUCGCCUCAGACCUGGAGAAUGGUCCGGUGAUGAGAUCUUGGAACAGCUGAACCGUUUGGAUUUUGGUCCGUUCGGAAAAACAAUUAGUCGGACCAGACCUUCUACACAUUUGAACUGGACGCACAAGCCUAUGUUUUUUGAGCUCCCAUAUUGGUCGAAACUGAAAUUGAGGCACAAUCUAGAUGUGAUGCAUGUUGAGAAAAAUGUAUUCGACACAUUGGUGGGCACGAUUCUAGAUAUCGAGGGGAAGACGAAGGACACGAUCAAAGCUCGUCUUGAUUUGGAAAGAAUGGGCAUACGAAGGGGUUUAUGGAUGAAUAGGGACAGUGAUAAAGCUAGAAGGGAUCUUGCAUUCUUUUCUAUGAAACCGAAUGACAAAAAGGAGUUUCUAAAGUUUGUAUCGUCUGUCAAAUUUCCCGAUGGGUAUGCUUCUAAUAUCGCACGUUGCGUGAAUGUCGAUGGGGGUAAAUUUACUGGACUUAAGAGCCAUGACUGCCAUGUUCCUGUGGGUAUUCGACACCUACUGCCGGAAGAUGUGGUGAAGCCAAUCAUGUUGUUAUCCAGAUUUUUUUCCCAACUGACGGCAAAAACAUUGCGAAGGACAGACAUGUUUCAGUUGCGCCAUGACAUUGUCCAAGUCCUAUGCAAGUUUGAGAUGAUAUUUCCUCCGGCUUUCUUUACAAGUAUGAUGCACGUAAUGGUUCACUUGCCAGAAGAGGCAUUGCUUGCUGGUCCUGUCAACUAUCGCUGGAUGUAUCCAAUAGAAAGGUAUAUAAUCUUUAUCAUUUGUGUAUGCAUCAUUAUCGACACUUUGCUAAUUUGUAUCAUAUCGUUUUAUUUUGGCAGGCUUCUCGGAGAGCUGAAAAAAAGUGUACGCAACAGGGCAAAGCCCGAAGGAUUAAUUAUAGAGGCUUGGGUUCAAUAUGAGUCGCUUACUUUCUGUGGAAUGUAUUUAAAAGAUGUGGAGACGGUUUUCAAUCGUCCUCAACGCAAUAAUGACGGAGGUAUGAGAAAUGAAAAACUUUUUGUUUUUGCCCAAAGCGCAUGACCAUUUGGAGAUCCUGGACGAGGAGAGUCGUUUUCUAGAAAUGACAUGGAGGUAGCGCAUUGGUUCGUACUGAACAAUUGUGAUGAGAUAAUGGCCUACUUAGAUGAGCAUGAACAGAUGAUGAAGCGAGAACAUCCAUCACAUUUGGUUGCCCGGAAACAUCGUGAAUUAUUUCCACAAUGGUUUUUGGAUUCUGUAAGUUAUAACUGUUUUGUAAUUGACAAAUAUAAAUUGUAGUAUUUAAUUUUGUCAGACUAACAUGUAAAUGAUUUUGUAUACUAUUAGGUGAAUAAAUUGAAAUCAUCGAAUUCCCCCACUUACAGUGAUGAGUUAUAUAACUUGGCGUUCGGCCCAAUUCGUGCUGAGUUGUUCUCGGGUUGUAAUGUUAACGGCGUCAAAUUUUUGGGGGCCGCACGAGAUGACAAGUUGUGUAUGCAAAACAGCGGUGUCCAUGUCCCAGGUGGAGGCGAAAGUACGGACAUUGAUUUCUAUGGCAAACUGACAACUGUCGUGCAAUUGCUUUAGAAAGAUCGAUACCAAGUCAUCAUGUUUAAGUGUCGAUGGUUCGAUACCAACCCAAAUAGGGCGGGAAGUGUUAAAAUCGACCAUGGAGUACUGUUUGUGAACAUGGCGUCCCAAAUUGUGUAUCUAGAUGACCCUAAAGCCGGGAGCGGGUGAAAAGUUGUGCAGAAGAUGGAUCAUAGGAACGUGUAUGAUAUACCAGAACUAGACCCAAGUGACAACGACGUCGACAAUGUGGCUGACCAACGUUUAGAAUCUUCAAUGGAAAAUGAUGCGGAAACACUUCGAGAUACAAAUGUUAUACAAGAACCGUUUCAAAUAGAAGGAGUGUCUUCAGUAGAAAUACCGAUUCAGUCAAUUACAAUUGACCUCGGUGAUCUUCCCCGAUACGAUGUUGCAGUGGGUCCUAGCAACGCCGAUGAUGCAGUUAUAGAGGAGGAGGAGGAAGAAGAUUGGGAGACCGAGAGUGAUGAUAGCGAUGAUAACGAAAGUUAUUAUAGUUCAGAUGAUGAAUAAUGAAUUUAUUUGUAAAGUUAUUAUGUUAGUGUAUUCAUUUUGUGUAAUACAAAUCUUUGAAUAUAUGUAGUUGUCCAUAUGUAGUUGUGUAUUCAUUCUCCAUAUUUCAUCACAAACUUCAUUGGAAUGUCAAUACUUUAGUCAAUACUUAUUACGACCCCAUGCUUGUCGAUUGGUUUUUAUUUAUUUAUUUAUUAAUGUCUUUAACUCUUCAAUUAUUAUUUUUUUCUUUUGAGAUAUAGUUAUUUCUUCAUGUUUAAACAAAAAAUAUAAGUUAUUUCUCCAAUAUUAUCUGUGUGCCACUUAUUUUUCUUCACUUUGGUUCAUGAUUAGUGGCAUCAAUCUAGUCAAACCGAUAAAAUCGGUCGAUUCAAAUCUUAAUUAUCAAUUUAGUUUGGUUUUGAUGAAGAAAUACAAAGCCUUUCCAAAAAAUACAGAGCAUAAAAAAUGAUGAAUACAAAACCUUUCCAAAAAAUACAAAGCAUACACAAUUUGAAUUAAAUGAGGAUUUAUGGCGCCAAAUCCUUGCGCAACGAUAAGGAGCCCUUCGUCGCGCAAAUAUAUAUUAGGUAACGUUAUAGUAUAAUAUAUACCCACAUAUAUAUUUAAAAUUGGCGAUCGAAGUAGUUCAUUGUAUUCAUAUGAAGUGUAGGACUGUAGCUGCAAAAAAUCAUCAACAUCGGAGUUAAAAUAACCGUUCAAUCAUCACUUUUUAUUUAGAACCGUCGAAAAGUUUUACCCCGUUACUUAAUCUCUGAAUGUUUUUUUUGUCUGAUUUUUGCUGUCUAUGAUCUCGAAGUAUAACAAAACAAGUUUGACGGCUGGAUGACUGAAGCUAGUUUCGUAGACUGCGUGUGCUAUCAAAAUCAUAUAUUCACCAAAAACUCAAAAAUUUGUUCAUACAUUUGUGAAAAUGUAACUUAAUGUUUAUGUGGUAUCCCCUAGUGUAAAAAUAUGAAAUUGAAGAUCAAAUUCAGUCAUUGUAUUCAUAUAGGGUCAACAAAUGUUGCUGUAAAAAAUGAUCAAAAUCGGAGUUAAAAUAACCGUUAAAUCAUGACUUUUCAUUUAUAACCGUCAAAAUAUUUUGUCCUGUUCCCUGAUAUCUGAAUGUUUGGUCGUUUUGAUUUUUGGCGUAUACGAUCUCCAAGUAUAAACAAAUAAGUUUGCCGGUUGGAUCAUUGAAACUAUUUUAGGGUUUAGGGUUUAGGGCUUAGGGCUUAGGGUUUAGGGUUUACAUUUUAGGGUUUAGGUUUUGCGCGACGAAUAAACAUUCCUUUCGUCGCACAAAGUGAAAGUGACAAAGAUUGCGCGACGGAUAAGUCUUCCAUUCGUCGCGUAAUCUGGGACACACAUUUCACCCCUCCAUACCCUUUGAACACUUAGUGAAAAUUUCAACCGAAUGAAAUUCUUGAACCCGCGCGACGAACAAAGCAAAUACGUCGCGUAAAGUGGACGUGAACAAGAUUGCGCGACGGAUAAAUCUGGUAUUCGUCGCGCAAUCUGGGCCACACUUUCACCCUUCCAUCCCCUUUGAACACUUAGUGAAAAUUUCAACCGAAUGAAAUUUUUGAACUCGCGCGACGAACAAAACAAAUACGUUGCGCAAAGUGGACGUGAACAAGAUUGUGCGACGGAUAAAUCUAAUUUUCGUCGCGCAAUCUGGGCCACGCUUUCACCCUUCCAUCCCCUUUGAACACUUAGUGAAAAUUUCAAGCGAAGCAAAAUCUUCAACUCGCGCGACGAAUAAAAGUAUUCGUCGCGCAAAAGGCACAGGCCUCUGAUUUUUGUUAGCAAACAUUGCGCGACGUUUACUGUCUUCGUCGCGCAAAAGGCACAGACCCUUCAGUUUCAGCCUCCCGCUAAACCCAAAAUUUUCCCAAAAUUUUGGCGGAACGACAGCGUUUUGCGCGACGAACAUAUGACUUUCCGUCGCACAAGGUUAACCUUGCUCGACGUUUACUAUCUUCGUCGCGCAAAAGCACAAACCCUUCAGUUUCAGCCUCCCGCUAAACCCUAAGUCCCAAAAUUUGGGCGGAACGACAUCGUUUUGCGCGACGAAUAUAUGAUUUUCCGUCGCGCAAGGAGAACCUUGCGCAACGUUUACUAUCUUCGUCGCGCAAAAUCACAGUUUCAGCCUCCCGCUAAACCCUAAAUCCCAAAAUUUUGGUGGAACAACAGCGUUUUGCGCGACGAACCAUGUAUUUUUCGUCGCGCAAAAGGCACAGACCCUAAUCCCCAUUCAAAAUUUGGCGUUCUGGGAGACCUUGCGCGACGGAUAUUUCAUCGCGCAAGAUUCAUUAAUACCAUUUUGCACGACGCAUUCUGUUCUUCGUCGCGCAAAGUCGAAUAAAUUUGCAGAAACGGCCCGAUGCCUCCUUCUUCCCCAUUUUCUGGUUUCUCUCCGUUUCUUCCUCUCUCUCCGCCGUCACCUUAGCCCUCUCUCUCUGCCAUCACCUCAGCCACCUCCGCUCGUUCCGUAGCCUCCCUGCCGUCACCGUCGAGCCUGCCGUCGCAAUUUCGUCAGUUUUUCCCGAUUCUUCGCCGGCCGAUUUCUCUCUCCUCCGGCCACCAUUUUCGACGCCUAAGGUAUGAUUUCUCGACUAUUUUUUGUGCUCUAGCUGAUGGUUGGUUAGGAUUUCUUGAAUUUUCGCUAUAGGAAAUAGGAAUUAAAACCCUAGGUUUUGGCCGCUUUGGGAAUUUCAAAUCCGGCCACUUCCGGCCAUUUUUCGGGGUAGGUCCGAGAACAAAAGUGGCUCCAAUUAAUGUUUUCAACCUAGGGUAGGAACCUUGGCCCUUAGUUUUUAGAAUUUUCCGACGAAUGUUAUCGCUUUGGACACCCACGCGCUGCCGGCGCGUGUGGUGGCGCGUGGGAUGUUGUGGCAGUGGGGCAUUGGGUCCCAGAGCAAUCCCCUGUUUGUCACGAGCGCGUAGGUUUGCUCGGAUUUGAAUUUGGUUAUCGUUUGAGUCUUGAUCGGAUUUCGGCUAUUGUGCGAUUUCCAGGUUUGAUAUGUUCGGACCGUUGGAUCGAACUCAAACUCACGUAGUUGUACCUUUGUGUUUCUACGAUCGUUUAGGAUUCGACCGAUCGUUGAUCGGUGUCCCGGAUACUUCGAAAUUCCAAACCCUAGGUGAAGCUAUGCUUUUAAUUAAUUAGUUUAAAUUCUUAAUGAAAUUAUAUGUGCAGAUGUCAGAUUUGAUUAGACGUGGUAGGUCGAUGAUGACUGCACCGAGUUCGGAUCCCCCUGCUCAGUCGGCAUAUGCUGCCACUGCUCCAGCUUUGAUGGAGCACGUGCUGGUUGGUCCCGGGGCGUCCCAGGCGCCUGCGUCAUCUGCGUCAUCCGUCGCGCAGCCAGCUAGUGCUAGGCGGCGGCACCGGCCCGCCGACACGACAUCGACCGACGGUACUGGUGCCUCGGGAUCACAGCCAGAUAUAACUACCAUUUUGUAUUGUUAAUUUUAUAUUGAAAUUUGACAAUGUUGUUUAUUUAACAUUAAUAUCUUUUUUCUUUGCAGCGAAGAAGAACACCUGAGGGCCGUGUCGUCAGCUGAAGACGGCGAAGGUCACCCGGGUGACCAACAGUCGUAUCAGCAUCGGAUACGACGAGCGCCAUCGGGCUGCACCGACGGCGGAGUUGCAUAGCUCCUUGGCCCACGACAUUGGCCACGUCGUGCGGACCCAUUGCCUGAUGCAAUGGAAGUCUUGGAGGGUCAUGCCUGACGAGAUCAAGGUGGAGGUUCGCGGCCAGUUGUCGGUAUGUACCUUACAUUUUCAUUAAUUUUCUUUAAAAUUGUGUAUAUUUCUAUUACUUAACGUAUCUAAUUAAUUGAUUGCAGACGAACUAUAACUUGGAGGAUCUCGACGAAGAGUCGUUGGCGUACGUCAACAGACUCUUCGCUGAGAGGUACAAGCAGUGGAAGAGCGACUUGCACCAUCAUUUUCAGGCCUUUGAUGAUCCGCAAGUCGCUCUUCAGGAGGGUUGCCCGAAGGAGCUUGAGGGGCGGGAGGAUAGUUGGGAGUGGCUCUGCGCUCAUUUUCAAGCGUCCGAAUAUGUGGUAUUUUUUUAAUAAUAUUUGUUUAAUUAUUACUUAUUUCUUAUUAAUGUUUAUUUCAUUUUUUUUAUUUCAUUAUUAUUUAAUUUGUUAUGUUUUAACUAAUACGUUUCAUUUUUUGUAUAACAGAAUAAGGCCCAAGUGAAUAAGGGUAAUAGGAAGAAGAAGACCCUUCUCCACCAUUCCGGCUCCAGGCCCUUUUCGUAUAGGAUGGAUGCCCGGCGACGGGUAAUAAUCACAUAAUUUAUAUUUCAUUUUUAAUGUCAUUUUUAUUAAUUUAUUUUUUUCAUACUAAUAUUUUUCUUCUCUUGUUCAAUUUAGGAGGGGUCCAAGUUCCCAGAGAUCGACGUCUUUGGUGACGUUUAUGUUCGACCCGGGAAUGAGUUGGCCGAGUCCCUUCAUGUAAGUAUUAUUUAAUUUUAAUUCUUAUGUUACGCAUUCAAUUUAUAUGCAUGUUUAAAUUUAUAUUUUAUGUUAUGUUCAACAGACGACGAUGGUGGAGAGGAGCCAGUUGGUUCUUCAGGAGUCCGCCUCCCAGCUUCCUCCCGAGACUCCGAUCGAGUCUGUGGCUCCUCCACAGGAUGCUGGAUUUCAGAUCUUGACGGAGACGUUGGAUCAGACUCUCGGGAGGAGGCCGGGGACAUAUUGUCGAGGGAUGGGGAAUGCCCGGCGGAGGGAACCUAGACCUCGUUCAUCGGCCCAGUCAAACAGUCAGGUGACUGCUUUGACAGCACAGGUGGCCGAGCUUCAGGGUCAGAUGUCGGUGAUUCUACAGUCCCUCGCACAGAGCGGCUUUCCAAUCCCGCAGUUUCGUGCGUCAACCUCCCAGCCCGUCCACCCCGAGUAUGCCCACCAGACCACUGCCCCGGUGGACGCCCAGACCUCCGAGCCGCAUACUGGCGACGACCCGAUUGAUUUUGCUUCAUUAUUUGAUUAGUGUAUUUAUUUUCAUCAUAAACAUUUAUUUUAUUUGUAAUACAUUUAUUUUAUUUUAUAACAAAAUUUUGUUCUAAUUUAUUUUUAUUGCAAUUUCAUUGUUUAAUCAAUAAAAAAACCAAUUUUAUUUAAAAAAAAUAAAAAUAAAUAAAAAACAAAAACAAAAAAAACAAAAAAAAAUUGUAAUAUUAUUUUUGCGCGACGGAAGACAUUUCGUCGCGCAAAACCACAUGUAACAAAAAAAAUUAAAAAAAUCAAUUUUUUAUUACUUUAAUUCUUGCGCGACGAAUACAUACGUCUCGCAAACAUUUUUUGCGCGACGAAAUGUUUCGUCGCGCAACAGCUUUUGCGCGACGACUGAAAUUUUCGUCGCCAAAUAGAUGAGCGACGAAAACUUUCUCAUCGCGCGAAUAGUUCUGCGACGAAUAUAUACGUCUCCCGGACUAGUUUUGCGCGACGAAUUAUUUUCGUCGCGCUAUUCGUUUCGUCGCGCAAAUAUACGUGCGCCGAAUACUUUAUCGUCGCGCAAAUAUUUAUGCGACGAACAGUUGUUUCGUCUCCACACCGUUGGUGCAACGAUGGUUUACCCGUCGCACAAUUAUGCGCGACGAAGUGUUGUACCUCGUCGCGCAAAGGCUUUCUUCACGAUCUUCGCGCGACGGAAGGUGCGCGACGAAUUUUUUGUCGCGCUGAAAUUAGGGCGACUAAAUAAGACUUUGCGCGACGUUUUGUUAUUCGUCGCGCAAAGAGUAAAAUGUAGUAGUGAGACUUGUUGGAGACAAAACAGGUAAACAAAUUACUUGUAUUAGACUCACAAAAUAUUACAACAAGACAACUCUCAAAGAAAAGACAAACUCUCACACUUCUCACAAGGACUACUUAACUUUAUAGCUUAUUGCAUAUAGCAUAUGCAAACACAAUUAGAACAUACCUACGUACACUAUGGGAACACUCGUGUAUAUUUCAACACAAGAAAACAUGUGCACCGUGCACGGUUCACAUGAAGUAAGAAAUGAAGAGGAAAUAAAGAAGAAGAAUACAAAAGAAAAUGGAGAUGAGAAAAAAAAAAAAACCGAAUAAUGAAAAAUGAAUUGACAAUUAUAUAUGGUUGACAUUAGAUCUAAUAUUAUAUGUAACAACUAUUGAUCUAAAAUAAACAUUAAAUCAAACAAUAAUUAAAAGAUUUGACAAUAUAAAAAUUUAUUGAGGACAAAAAAAGGCAAAAACUUAUGAAAAAUGGAAACAAUAAAUAUGAACUGAGUCAUCAACUCACCAUGGUAAGUUUGCUGACGUAUAAAAAUAGUCAAUGGACAUCGAAAAGUAAUUGGCUUACAUCAAAAAUUAAAAUCACGUGGGUUAUUCCUAAGAAACCUUAAUAUUUGCCUUCCAUUUGUUCCAGCAAAAUAAAAGUCAUUGCUACUUAUUGUAACCCCUUUUCCAAGCUUAUUAAUCAAAGUAGACACCUCACUGCUGUCACCUAGCCAAUUUUCAACAAUGUCAUACUUAACAAGCAACUCCACAUCCUUUGAGGUGUUCACAAAACGAUCCAUGAGACUAACAUAAUCACUUAUGUACGUCUCCUCGUAGUGGCAUUGUUCAAAUGCGAUGAGAUUUCUAAUUAAUACCUCUGUAUGAUCGCUUAUUUUCAAUCUUGGAAUUUCAAGAGUCCGGCCAGCAAAUCUAAUAAGGUAUUCAUUGAUCCCUCAUUCAACUUGAACCCUGCCCUGUGUAGCUCUGUGAUGCUGGGUGUGUUUAUAGUUAUGAGUUUCCCGUCAUUAGUUUUUAGGGUUAUUCGUUAUAUGAGUCCCUGAACUUAGACCCGAUUUGCAUUUUAGUCCCUCAAUUUCCAAAAUCGUUCCAGUGGUCCUUCAACUUUAGUUUCGUUAGGACAAAUGGUCCUGCCGUCAAAUGAUUAUAAAGUGGAAAAAACAAGAACAAAAAAGGAAGUGAGUUAAAUUUGCACCUGCUAUGUUCAAACGACAAAGUUCGUUUCCGUUUGGUCGAUUACAAGAGAAGCUCAAUGCAGCUUACUUGGUUCCUCUUGGUAGAUGGAAAUAUAAUUUUUCUCCUAAUAACAAAGGUUUAGUGCAAUCAAUGAUGGGCUGUAUAGAACAACUUUUUUGUUUUAUAUGUUUAUGUGAGACAAGUUUUGCCAGAUUGAAUUAAUGUCUUCUAGCUAUGUACCUUAUCUUUUUGCCGGGCCAUGAGUUGAAUGUAGAGGCAGAGCAUGGCCUUGGGUUUGUAAAAGACAAAAGACUGAACCAGACGUAAUUAUUUAGAUUUUGGAUCCAGUUCCACAUCCCAAAGAGAAAACCACAAGUUUGCAAGCAAGUUUGUCCAUAUUAACACUACGUAGAGUAUAGGCAGUGUGCUACUCAUCUCACUUUCUCAACCUACCCUAUAUUUGUCUAAAAGAGUUUCUAAUUUCGUGUACUGAUUCACUACUACAUUUUACACUUUGUGCGACGAAGAGAAUUUCGUCACGCAAAAUACAUUGGUCGCGCAAAGUUUAAAAAAAAUUUUAAAAAAAUAAAAAAUUCCCGCGUCCAAUUUUUGGUACUUGUCCAAAUUUUUUGAGUUUUGCGCGACGAAUACUAACAUCGCGCAAAUAUUUGCGCGACGAAAUAUUUUUUGUUUUAAAUUUUUUUAAUUUAAAAUAAACUAAUUUAAUAGUUUGCGCUACGAAAUAUUUUGUCGCGCAAGGUUUUUGACUUUUUGUUUUAUUAUUUCUUUAAUAUGAAUUUAUUUAUAUGAAUUUUUUGAAAUUUUUACUUUUUAAAUUUAAUUUAAUUGUAUGAUUUCUUUUUAAAAUUACUUUAAUUUAAAUUGAUAUUAAUUUUUACUUUUUAAAUUUAAUUUAAUUGUAUGAUUUUUUUUAAUUACUUUAAUUUAAAUUGACAUAUUCAAAAUAAAAUUACAUAUGAAAAAUAGUGAUUAAAUUAUCCAAUAAAUAUAUAUAUAUAUAUAAUAUUCAAAAUGUACACAUAAAUUAACAAAGCACAAUAAUAAAAUCCUAAUACAAGCGUAUUGUGGUGGUAGUGUCGGAGGAUAUGUUUUGAUAGCUUCCUAAUCCUCAACUUUAGCCGUCAAAGUCUCGAUGAUUCCCUACAAAAAAAAUAAAUAUGGUCAAAUAACCACAAACAAAAAAAAAAAAAAAAAAAAAGGCAUAAUCUCCCCUAAAAUUGUUAUACCACAAAUCCAACCCAAACUCCAAUCCCUCCCCUUUACUCAACCCCAAAACCCACACAAACUCAAAAUUAACUCCAAAAACACAUAUUAAUGAAAAAAAUUUAAAAUUUGGAGAGAAUAUACCUUUUGGCAAGAUUGAGAGUGAAUGAGAGGGAGAAGUGAGUGUGAGAGAAUUAGAGAAGAUAGUGAUAGAGAGAUGAGAGAGAUGAGAGAGUGAGUGAGAGAGAGUGAGAGAUAGUGAAGAGAGAGAUGAGAGAUUAAGUGAGAGGAGUGAGUGAGAGAAAUGGUGGGAUUUGGGGAGAGGGAAAGAGAAAGGAGAGGUAAGAGUAGAGAAAGGCAUUGAGAAAAUGGUGGAUGAGUUAUUUCGGUUUUAAAAACCGUAUCACUUUGCGUGACGAAAAAUAUUGUUGGUCGCGCAAAGGUUUGCGCGACGAAAAAUAUUGGAAUAUUGAUCGCGCAAACUUUUGAGCGACGAAACAUAUUGGUCGCGCAAAGUCUAAAAAAAUUAUUUAAAAAAAAUAAAAAUCCCCGCGUCCCAUUUUUGGUACCCGCCAAAAUUUUUAAAUUUUUGCGCGACGAAUAUAGGAAUAUUGAUCGCGCAAAGUCUAAAAAAAUUAUUUAAAAAAAUAAAAAUCCCCGCGUCCCAUUUUUGGUACCCGCCAAAAUUUUUAAAUUUUUGCGCGACGAAUAUAGGAAUAUUGGUCGCGCAAAGUCUAAAAAAAUUAUUUAAAAAAAUAAAAAUCCCCGCGUCCCAUUUUUGGUACCCGCCAAAAUUUUUCAAUUUUUGCGCGACGAAAAAUACAUAUUGGUCGCGCAAAGUCUAAAAAAAUUAUUUAAAAAAAUAAAAAUCCCCGCGUCCCAUUUUUGGUACCCGCCAAAAUUUUUAAAUUUUUGCGCGACGAAAAAUACAUACUGGUCGCGCAAAGUCUAAAAAAAUUCCCGCGUCCGAUUUUUGGUACCCGCCCAAAUUUUUGCGAGACGAAAAAUAUAUAUUGGUCGCGCAAAGUUUUGAGCGACAAAAAAUAUUGGUCGCGCAAAGUCUAAAAUUUUUUUAUUUUUUUUUUAAAAUCCAGCGUCCCAUUUUUGGUACCCGUCCAAAUUUUUAGAGUUUUGCGCGACAAACUGUUGGUUGCGCAAACUUUUGAGAGACGAAAAAUUGGUUCGUAACACAAUAUUUAUAAAAAUAAUUGUUAUGAAUAAUAAAAAUAAAAUUAUUUUAUUUUACAAUUUAAAAUAUAAAUAAGGUUAAAGCUGCUUAAGAAAUAUAUAUACUAUUCAAUUUCUUAAGUGUUAUACGUACAAAAUAAAUAAAUUUAAAGGUACUUAAUAAAUAAAUAUAUAUACACACACCAUUCAACGAUCCAACCGUCAGACUUAUUUGUAUAUACUUCAAGAUCGUAUACCCCAAAAAUCACAAAAAACAAACAUUUAGAGAUCUAGUAACGAGACAAAACUUUUCGAUGGUUAUAAAUGAAAAAUUACGAUUUAACGGUUAUUUUAACUCCGAUUUUGAUGAUUUUUUUUUACAGCUACACUCCUUGACCAUAUAUGAAUACAAUGACUGAAUUUGAUCUUCAAUUUAAAAUAUUUACACUAGUGGAUACCACAAAAUCUUAUGUUAUAUCUAACGAACGUAUAAAUAACCUCUUAAUUGUUAGUGAAUAUAUUGUUUUGAUGGCAUAUGCAUUCACCAAAACUAGUUUCAACGAUCCAACCAUCAAACUUGUUUGUUUAUACUUCGAGAUCAUAUACGCCAAAAAUCAGAAAAAAUAAACAUUCAGAGAUCAAGUAAUGGGACAAAAAUUUUCGACGGUUAUAAUGAAAAAUCACGAUUUAACGGUUAUUUUAACUCCGAUUUUGAUGAUUUUUUACAGCUACACUCCUUGACCCUAUAUGAAUACAAUGACUGAAUUUGAUCUUCAAUUUAAAAUAUUUACACUAGUGUAUACCACAAAAUCUUAUGUUAUAUUUAACGAACGUAUAAAUAAACUCUUAAUUGUUAGUGAAUAUAUUGUUUUGAUGGCAUAUGCAUUCACCAAAACUAGUUUCAACGAUCCAACCGUCAAACUUGUUUGUUUAUACUUCGAGAUCAUAUACGCCAAAAAUCGGAAAAAAUAAACAUUCAGAGAUCAAGUAAUGGGACAAAACUUUUCGACGGUUAUAAUGAAAAAUCACGAUUUAACGGUUAUUUUAACUCCGAUUUUGAUGAUUUUUUACAGCUACACUCCUUGAACCUAUAUGAAUACAAUGACUGAAUUUGAUCUUCAAUUUAAAAUAUUUACACUAGUGGAUACCACAAAAUCUUAUGUUAUAUUUAACGAACGUAUAAAUAAACUCUUAAUUGUUAGUGAAUAUAUUGUUUUGAUGGCAUAUGCAUUUACCAAAACUAGUUUCAACGAUCCAACCGUCAACCUUGUUUGUUUAUACUUCGAGAUCAUAUACGCCAAAAAUCGGAAAAAAUAAACAUUCAGAGAUCAAGUAAUGAGACAAAACUUUUCGACGGUUAUAAUGAAAAAUCACGAUUUAACGGUUAUUUUAACUCCGAUUUUGAUGAUUUUUUACAGCUACACUCCUUGACCCUAUAUGAAUACAAUGAACUAAUUCGAUCGUCAAUUUAAAAUAUAUAUUUUCUAACAAAAACCCAAUCUGAACAACAAUAAUAUAUUUUUCUAACAAAAAUCCGAUCCGAUCUAAAAUAAUAAAUUUAAAGCUACUUAAUAAAUAUAUAUACUGUUUAAUUUCUUAAGUGUUAUGCAUACAAAAUAAAAAACAAAAAUAAAUUAGUAUAGGCGACAAAAUGUUUGGAUUACGUCAUGCAAAGAUUUUAAAAUAUAUAUAUAUAUUAUUUUUAUAAGGACUUUGCGCGACGAAGUUCAUUGUUUCGUCGCGCAAAGUCACUUUGAGCGACGAUGUAUUGUUGUCGCGCAAAAGUUUGUCGCGCAAAGUUACUUUGCGCGACGAAUUUUUUUUCAUCGCUCAAAAUUUGGUCGCGCAAGACUUUGAGUGACGAUGUAUUGUCGUCGCGCAAAAGUUUGUCGCGCGAAGUGACUUUGCGCUACGAAUUGUUUUUCGUCACGCAAAAUUUGGUCGCGCAAGACUUUGAGCGACGAAGUUUUGAGUUUCGUCGCGCAAAGUGACUUUGAGCGACGAAUAGUUUUUCGUCGCGCAAAAUUUGGUCGCGCAAGGGGUUUUUUUUUACUAGUAUGAGUUUUAUAUACAAUUUAUAACAAUAUUUUCAGGCAAAAAAAUGUCUUGGCAAGAAAAUGUACAAUUUGUUACGUACUUAACUGGAACGAUUACCUUCAAAUUCCUAUGGCCAAUUACCUUCUUUUUUCUUCCUUUUUUUUUUUUUUUUUUUUUUGGUUGUUGUUGUUCUUUUGAUCAAGUUGCAUAUUCCAAAGAACGAAAACCAGUACAGGCUCUUUUCCAAUGCAAGCUCUUUUCCCAUGUUUCCCUCUGUUUUUCUCCUAUUUUUCUUAUAUGGAAGUGAUUAAAAUACACCUCUAAGCUUGUUUUGCGUUUGGUAACCGACUGUAAAAGCUCAAUGCAGAUAGUUUGAGGUAGAAUUUUCUCCAAUUUUACUAGCACAGUGAUAAGCUAUACUAUAUGUAACAACAAAUUGCUUUAAUAAUGAUAAUGAAAAAAGUGUGAUCCAUCGAAUAUUUGCGGGGUUUUGUUCCAAGUCAACACAUCAAAUUCUUUUACACCAUGAAAUUAAAAAAAAUUUAUUCAACCAUCUCGACCUUAUGCUCGAUCAUUUUGCACAAGCAACCGUCCACGUACCCCAAUAAUUUAAAAGGGCUGAUGAUCUUUAAUUUGGCGAAAGCUUCUAUCUACUUCUACCGCGCUAUAUAUGAGCUAUGCAAUUGUGACGGUGUUACAUGACGUCACAAUGUCGUAGGGAUAAAAAAAUAAUAGUCAUGGUUUCUUAUUAAUGUUAAUACAGGCAUAGCAAAAAGCUUGUAUUUCUAGUGGUUAAGAACAAUUACCCAUGCACUUGAGAUAUUAUGUGCUUAAAUCCCCUCUUCCCCAAUAUUUCUUGUAUAAAAAUAAAAAUAAAAAUAAAAAUAAUAAAGAUAUUGAUAUUGUAUUCUAUAAAGUGUUGGACAUGUUUUAUACCCCUUUACUGCAAAUUACAGUUUGACACAUGUACAAAAAUAAUAGGUAAGUGUUGGACAUCAAGAGUACUUACAUAUAGGUUUAAUAGGUAAGUUUUGAAUAUUUCUGUCUUUAGCUUUAAUUAUUGAAAAUCAACCUAUUAUCAUAUUAAAGACUUAUCCAUGUUCAACGUACAUUCUCUUAUUUUUCUCUCAUUGAAGUAAAUACAAAACUAAGCACAUAGUGGAAAAGUAGGUCACGAUUAGGGGUGGGUUUGGUCUGGGUUGGUUCAGUUUUGGGCUCAACCCGAACACCGAACCGUAGACCUCGAUUUGGCUAUUUUGGAAACCAAAACUAAACCAUAAUUAAUGAAAACCGACCACUUCAAUUACCUUCUGGUCUUCCAACCAGAAGAAAACUCAAAACUUUAACCAUACCAAGUGCAACAGAAUUACACCAGGCUGGAGUCAAGUUUAUGAUGGUUAAAGAUAAAAACUUAUUUGACAUACAAUUUGAGAAUGGAAUCCUCAAAAUUCCACACCUGCGAAUACAGGGUUAAACAGAAAUUUUCUUCCGCAAUUUUAUUGCCUAUGAGCAGUGUGAGCUCCAUGAUCAUUACAUCAACAACUAUGUCUUCGUCAUGGACCGCCUGGUCGACAGUGCCAGGGAUGUGGAAUUGCUUGUGAAGAGUGGAAUUCUUGAAUCCAUGCUACCGGACAGCGAGGCAGCAGGGGAAUUUAUUAAUUCUCUUGACUUGGGGCCUAUUUUAGGCAAGCUUGAAACAAGACUAUUUCAGUUCACCAUGGGCUGGCCUGUCUAUUAUUGUAGCCGCUAUACUAGUUGUGCUCACAUUUAUUCAAACAGUGUGCUCCGUAAUGGCGCUGUAGGUUCUUCAUUUCCUCAAUUUCAUGUUUAGUGGUUGCAGAUUUGUUGCUCAUGUACGUGUUUAUCUAAAGUUAAAUAAGAGUGAUUGACUGAUAGUCUGUUAGUUUGUUUUUCUGGGGUUUUUCCCCUGUUCGUCAAAAAAGAAAAAGAGAAAGAGUGAUUGCUUGUGCCUGUUUGGGCCUAAUUUGACACACCCAAUCCAAAAUCAAAAAGUCCAUGUCAAUUUUGGACAGCCACCAGCAUUCCCUUUGUAAUUAGGCCAAAAACUGCACACCCAACCUAGCACUGGAGCCUAGAACAAACAAGGUAAACUCAGGACCCAAGCAGUUUGAUUUUUUCAUUUAAAUUGGAAUCAAGGGCCCCAAGUCAAAAAAGCCCAAGCCCAAGGCAGAUUUUUUACCAAAAAGACCCAAGGAAGCCCAGUGCAUGCGAAUUGCUUAGCCCACAAUCCCAAAACUCAAAACUAAGUUUGGCAUGAUUAAAUAAAGAUAGAGAGAAGCCCAAAAUUGAAGAAACCCAAAACAGUUUUAUCAAAAUUGUCAGCUCUCUACCCAAGACCUAAAAAGGGUCAAAAAUACCACUAUUGGCAAAAUUGACGCACUCAGCCUUGGAUCACAAAGAAAUCCACGUGACUAUUUGACUUUGAGAAGUCAACAAUUUCAACUAGUCACAAGAGAAGUUGAUUGGAAUUAAUGUAGGCAGGUCAUUACAGAAAAGACUUCUUUGAAACUCUGUAGCCAAAAGAUCAAAAUCCCUUUCUAUAUAAUUCUGCAUCAGAGUAGGUGGUCUUUCCAAGAGAUAAGCAGACUACGUUUUCAAGAGAUAAGUAGAGAAUGAGGGAGUUGUUCAACAAGAAAAGCAAACUAACCAUCAUGAUAGGUUGUGUUCUUUCUCUCUACAAAAAACAAUAGGGAACAAAGAAGAGUUGGUUUUUCUUUCAGAAAAAGGAAGGAAAAGACCUACAUGAAAACUAAUUAUUGAUGGUUCUUCUCUGCCAGAACAGAUAACUUCUCAUUUUCUUUGACAUUUAAAAAUGAAAGGUCUCGCUUUUACAAAAUCUGCCGCCCAUUAUUUAAAGAUUAGAAAACCCACUCCAGCAUUUCCUAUAAAUAUGAGAGGAGGUGAUGUCACAUCACGGGAUUGGCUCUGCCGUAGCACGAUAUUGUCCACUUUGCGCCCCCCUCUCUACCCUCACGGUUUUAUUUUUGGGAACUCACGAGCAACUUCCCAGUGGGUCACUCAUCUUGGGAUUGCUCUAGCCCCCAGCUCGCUUAACUUCGGAGUUCCCAUGACUCCGAAGCCAAUGAGCUCCCAAAAGGCCUCGUGUUAGAUGGAGGCGGGCAUGUACAUAUAAGGCACAUCACCUCCUCUCCGUUGGUCGAUGUGGGAUGUUACAGGUGAACAUAUCAAAGGACAGCCAAAAAAUCAAUCAAAGACAAAAACUCAAAAUGAUCACUUGAUCUCAAAAGCCUUCAAAACACUGAAGCAAGCAAAGCUCAUUGAGCCACAACGAACAAGUCAGCUAGAAUUCAGAAUCUUUAGAGUCAGUUCAGUUUCAGAGAAAUAAUCAAAGAAAGCGAGAUCUCUCUCGUUACAAAUUUGGUUCAGCUUAAAGCCAAAACAAGCAGAGUUCAGGUUCUUACAAAUAUGAAAACCUCAAUAAAUUUAUGGAGAGCCCUGAUCAAGCAAAACAGGUACUACAGUGCAGUUCUAGCUUAGUAAUAAUCAAAUCCACCCACUUCUGCCCCUUCCAGAUUGAGAAGGUCCCAAUUCUGCCCAUUCAAAAAGCCUUCCAAGACUUGAAAUAGAUUAAAGCUCUGCCAAACUCAAAUGUUGGAAUCAAUUCGCAGCUGAAACAUGACAGUUGAAGGUGUUGAUAGUCCAGUCCAGCACAGACAUACCCAGUCUAGCCCAGAUCAGAAGCAUUCACCGAGGCAGAAAUUGAAGUCCAAAGCUCUUUUUGUCUUUUUAGAGUUGGUCUUCCUUUUCUGAGCUUUGUAAAAGGCAAUUCUGCCUAAAACAGUUCACUUUCUUAUCAUUUAUUCUGGCCAGAACUACCAGUUUUGUACUGUGAAAAAUUAUGAAGUCCUCACCAGUCUAAGGCAAGAAAAGAACUUACUUGGGAGAUAUUCCUCACCAAAUUCACAACCGUUUGUUUAGAAAUCAGUAACUUGGUGUAACGACCCGGUCCUAAAUAAAUUGGUAAUUAUUAAUUUAUUCAGAUAAAAGACCAUUUUGCCCAUAGAAUAUUUUAAUAGGUUUACAUGUUGACCCGGGAGGCUUCGGUGAAAUUGUUACAUCUCGGUCCGAAAAAGUGUUAAAAUAAUUAAAGUAGAGUGCUGCUAAAAGAACCCUAAAAUUAACUGAGUACACCCUAUGAUCUAAGUACACCCUAAUAUUUUAAUUAAAAUAUAAAAUUAACUAAGUACACCCUAUAAAACUAUCAAAAAUAACACUGAUACACCCUAAUACUUGUAGCAUUAUUUUAUAGUUGAUUAUUUUAAUAGUGUUUAUAAAUCUUUGACUUUUCAUAUGGAUUUAUGCUUCUACUAAAAUUGUUGCCACUUUUUUUCCAAUUCCAAGUUCUUGCAAUCACCACAUCUUUCGUUAAAAACACAAUAGGACAAGCAAUCUCUUGAUUAGGGUUGAAUAUGGUUAGUAGGGUGUACUUAUUAAUAUUAUAUUUGUUUCACAAUUCCAUAUAUCCUUUUUGGUCAUUUUAUAUUAGGGUAAACCAGUAAUUCAAUAUAUACUUUUAUAGUAGGGUGUACUCAGUUAAUUUUAGGGUUCGUUUAGCAGCACUCUUAAAGUAAGAGAGAAUAAAAUGAAAUAAACAUUAAAAUAAAAUGAUUUGAAUUAAUUAAGGUUUUUGAGAAAUUAAAAUAUUAUUUAAUAUUAUAAGGGGAAAAAGAUCAUUUUAAGUUUGGGAAGGAAUUUGGAAAUUCCAAUUGUACCGUUGUGUAGAGCAUGUCGAAACGAGUCCGUAGACACGUAGUGGACUCGAAUCGUAGUUAUAACGGAGAAAUGGCGAUCAAAAGAAGUUCAGUGGCAUAGCCAUAAAUAUUUCGAAGUUCAGUUUUUUUAAAACCCAAAUUUCUUCUCUCUGGGGAGUGGGAGAGCCAACUUCAAAUGGUGAUUUCUCCCAACUCCGACCACCACACUUCCCUCUUCCUUCAGUUUUGGCAUCAUGAUGGGUUCCAUCCCGGAAUGACACAUUUUCGACGCUAAGGACGUCACAAAUGGUAUUUGAGAUGCUUUGUAAAUUUGUAACCAUGGAAAACACAAUGAACUUUAUGUUCGGAGUUGCAAGAGAACAUUAAGGGGAAUAUGGAGAGUGGGAAAAUAGUAAUAAGUGGAGAUCUGUAUGCUUACUUACUACUGAACUUCCGUCGUGGUGGUUAGUAUGAAAAAGUGUUAGAGAUUAUAGAUUUUAUGGAGGAACAUGGUUGUACACUGAUAAGUAGUCGGUAGGAGUUGAUUUAAGUUCCAAGAGAAAUUCAUUAUGAACUGGGAUGAAUUACUGCAAGAUUCUUGCUGUUUUGAAGUUAUUGAUUUUAGGGGCAUCACCUCUGAAUGAUCAUAAUAACCAUGCGUGGGCUCUGCAUGAGGUUUCUUUGACAUUGUUUGAUUUUGUGUAUUGAUAAUUACACUUAGGGGUGUCACGUUUCUAGAAACGUGUCUAUCCAAAUUGUUGUAUCUCAAUAUCCUAUGGAAGGAAAGCUGAGAAGCUGAAAAUACUGGAUUUAUGGUGGUGAGAUAAAAAUUGUCAGGAACUUUCAAAAGUCAAAUUAUUUCACAAAGGGAAAUACUGGAGAGAAGUAUUAGAGAAUUUUCUUUGGAUAAGUUAUAUAGGAGUGGAGGAGUUGCGAGUUUAACCAAGGAGGGUUGUGACAAUUUAAAUUGAGAAGUAGUGGUGUUGGGUGAAGUAUUAUUUCAUUCGCGUGGGCUUGAAUGCCGCGAUUGACAGGAAUGGAACAUUAGGGUUCUUCUUCCUUGCUCUCUCACGCGAGCUCGCCAUAGAGAGUAUUUCUUGGCGUGGUACUGGCUUCGUCCGACCUCCGAUUACUGUGAUUUUUGAAAGGACCCGGCCCAAAUUUCUCAAAAUCCGAGGCGAAUCCUGUGAAAUUCCCGACAUCACUCCGAUGCCAGGCCCACUUACUAAAGACCGAGACUUUCUGCCGAACUUUCGGCAGAGUCUCCCCUAUAAAUUGGACAUUUUCCAAAACUACCACCUGCAUAAAACACAAUUUAUAUCCCCAACUGGCAGCAUGCACAAGAUAAUUUCAUGCAAAUCACAUAAUCGGCCUGCGGCCUUCAAAUAAUUCAAAACGAAACCACCAAGCACACUAUCAAAUUAAUUCCUACCUUAAACAAGGCAAACAAUAAAUUUAAAUAUGAAUUAUGACUACUAAAUUUCAACAUACGAGGUUUUAACCUCCUAACACAAUCACAUCUAUGUCCGCGGCUGCACCUAAUAACCUUAGGCUGCCUACGUACCUUCACUGAGGGAUCAAGCCACACGUAGUUCUUCCGUAAAACCCAAUUCCACACAUAGGCAAUACCUUUAUUCAUUUCUCUGUAUUUCACAUAAUCUCCCCAUACGCCAGUACUACCAUUGCCACGUAUGGGACUUGUCAACAAGCCGGAUAACCUACACCACGUGCGAUCUCAACAUAAUAUCACAUAAUCUCCUCAUACGCCGGUACAACCAGCGCCACGUAUGGGGCCUGUCAACACGCCGGAUAACCUACGCCACGUGCGACCUCAUCAUACUAUCACAUGAUCUCCCCAUACGCAGGUACAACCAACACCACGUAUGGGGCCUGUCUCAACGCCGGAUAACCUACGCCACGUGAGACCUGAACAUAAUAUCACAUAUCUCCUCAUACGCCGGUACAACCAAUGCCACGUAUGGGGCCUGUCAACACGCCGGAUAACCUACGCCACAUGCGACCUCAAUAUACUAUCACAAUAUCUCCCCAUACGCCGGUGCAACCAACGCCACAUAUAGGGUCUGUCUCAAAUUGGAUAACCUACGCCACGCUAGACCUCAACAUCAUAUCACAAUAUCUCCUCAUACGCCGGUACAACCAACGUCACGUAUGGGGUCUGUCCGCAUGCCGGAUAACCUACGCCAUGUGGGACCUAACUUUCACAGAGUGGUACUUGUAGUGUAACCAAAAUCUGGGGAGGUGCCUAAGGUAGUGCAUAUAGCACUUCAAACUGACAUUCUCUCACUUAUCUAAACUAAUACUAGAGGUCUUCCCAUUUUAAUGGUACCAGUCUAUAGUAGAUUGUAACGUAAUUUAAUCAUAAAAAUAAUAUUAUUUCUAGACCAACGAUUAUUCACAUAAACAUGAAUUUCAUAAUUUCACUAUUUAAAAUAAUAUCUAAAAGUUUCCUAUAAUACAAAUAAACACUCUAAAGAUCCCAACUUAGUCAACACAGCUCAACAAUGCUCAAGACCUGUCAUUAGGGUCAUUAUGAUCCUUCUAGGAAGGUAAAACUACCUCGAAAGACUCAAGGUCAACCAAGGGUCAAACCACCCACAAUUGGUCAAACGGGCCCACGGGGCCCACGACCUCCAAAUUCCAAUCCGAAGGUUCCUAUGGGAUCUACAAGGUAUAGGACACUCGUCUUGCAAGUUAAGCCUAGAUCGGAUGGUCAGAUCGCUCACGAUCGCACAAUCUGAUGGUUAAUAUAAAACAUAAACUUUAAAUUAUUUAAUCGGAACAUCCGGGGCUCCCGAUUCACGAUCUGUUCCUACACGAUCCUAGAAAUACAUAGAUUAACAUAUAUUAAAUUUGAGACCAUCCAACGGUCCUAACCUAUCGAACCCGGAUAACGCGCAAUAGGCGAUAUUCGUUCGAUAGUCAAACGACGUCCGAAUUGAGAUUUACGAAAUCCUACGCACUCGUGACAACCUAAGGAUCUCAUUGAGACAUAUUGCUAUCCCAAAACCGACCGAAAUCCAAUUCGAAAAUCGAGUUACUUACGUUAAGAAUCGACCGAAUCCUACCCAACAGGCAGCUAGAGCAUGAAAAGUAUGUGAGAAACCAUACCUCACUCGUCGAAAUCAGUGGCCAAAGGAGGGAGAUCGACGAUAGAGAAGUUCGGACGAACUGACCGCUUCUUCUCCAUUUUUCAGCGAAACCACGGUAGCUGGUGGCGGGACCUAGCUGGGGUUGGAAGAGGAUGACGCCCCGGUCAUUUUGGUAUCGGCCUCGUGGUCAUCGGUGGCCGGAUGAGAAAACAGCCGGCGAAAAUGUGACCGGCUGCCGUUGCGCACGCGAGAGAGACCACGAGAGAGAGAGAGAGAGAGAGAGAGAGAGAAAUCUGAUUGUGCCACUGAGAUUCUUUUGACCAUAUCUCUCUCGUUACAACUCCGAUUCAAGCCCACCACGUGUCUACGGACUCAUCUCGGUACGACCUAUCCAAAAAUACCAAUCACUACCCCAAAUACUUUUUGGAUCAGAAAGUGACCAAAUUACCCCUACCUCAAUGGUAACUUUGUAAUUUCACUUAAAUAAUUUAAAUAAGGGAUUAAAUUUGGAGUCGGGGUGUUACAAUUUUUGUUGCUAAAUGUUGUCAUCAUUUCUCCUCUACAUCACUCAGUGAUCAUUCACUCCCAUUUCUCUAGUUUACACGGUGAAUUUUAUUUCUAAAAUUUCUUAAAAUUCCGGCCACUGUGAGUUUGACCAGCGACUUGGGUUACUUUUGCCCAUCUUUUUGGAAAUGGAACCGAUUUGAGGAAGAUUAGGAGGAAAGAUACAUAGGCCGCUGAGGCAGAAGUAAAGCCGGAGCUUUACCAUAGACAGAAGUUGUUUUAGAAGUCCUGGAAGAUUGUGAACAGGAAUUGGAAGUUUGCAUGGGGUGAUAGGAUUUUUAGUACUUGUGCAAACAGUGUUAAAAAUCACAUAAAAUACUUGCAAGAAUACAAGGCUAUUGUAGUCUAGAUGCUCAUGCAAGGUCGUUUUCCUCAAGGACUAAUUAGCAAUUUAUGUAAAAAUAAAUUCCAAUUACUACUUAAAAUAAAAAGUCAAGAAAGAUGAUUAUAAAUUUGGUUGAUUCUAAAAAACAAAUAUUAAACAAAAACAAAUACGAUUGAAAGAAAGAGUUUUGAAUAUCAAUUUAUAAAAACACUAGGGUUUCACCAUCACCUAGCAAUCCUAUGAACUUUUACCAAUUACUUAUGAUUUGCACAUGCCACUUUGAAGGUUAGGUUUUCCUAAUGUAUAUUCUACUUAGAACCUCCAACACAGAAUGUAUAUCCAACAUGCAACCCGUCCGGACGUUCGGAUCAAAUCUGAACAUGAAAGACUCAUUAAGUUUUGUGAAAACCCUUUGAAAAACCAUGCAACCCUUAAGACGUGGUGUUCAUCUUAAGUGAAAUUACAAUUAUUAAUCAGAAGAAGCUAGCAUCAAUUUCAGGGAACCUUCCGACCAAAAUUGCAUCCAAUUACUUUUCUAAAGAUCCUAAUGGUGAUCAGGCAUUAAGACAAUUAGAUAGUUUAAAACAGUGAUUAACAAUUCAAAAUACGCAUGCACUCAUCAUAAGCAAUUAAAUAAAAAUCACAUAUUCAUGCUAAGGUUCAAGGCUUCACCCUAGCAAAAGAAAUUUAGUUACGCAUACUCAUAAUUGAAAUCCAAGAAAAUAUCAUUAAGAAGAAAAGAACGAAAACACCUGAAAGUUGUGAAAACCCAAAACCCUAGCAAUUGCUCUCCACAAUGCAAAGUUCAAAAGUGAAAAGGGAGUCCUCCAUUCCUUGUGAGAAAGAGCUUAAAUACCCCUUAAAACCUAGCUGCCAAUGUACAGCUUUUCUAUCCCCACAAGGAAACUAAUUAAAAUAAAAUAAUACUAGGAAAUAAAGUCCAAAUUGGAAUAGGAGAAUCUGCUCAAAAUCUGCCCAGCCACGUUUUGGCCCCAAAUCUCCUCCAAAUCUGGCCCAAGAUAGCUUGUUUUAAAGAUAAAAAAUGUUCUGAACACUUCUUUAGAAGGCCACGAACCCAUCCGAGGUCAUCUUGGGCUCCAAAAACGCAAUAAAAGCCCAACACGUCACUAUUCCAGCACCGCGCACUGCUCCUUUAUUUUGUUGCCAGAAAAUAACCGCUUGGAAGAAAAAUCUGAAAUUUUGAUACGAUCAAGCUAAGUGACUCAAGAACGUCCUCCAACUGGAAUUACUCCAAAAUUCCUCAAUUUGAUUAUGUUUUGCUCCAGAGAGAUUCGAAAGUCCUAUAUUGGAAAUAUAAUUCAAAGUAUCAAAAGUCUUCCAAAAUAAUAACCAAAAUAUACUAAGAAUGAGGUUAAAUAUAUAAUAUAAAAUAUGUCCAUCAAAAUACCCCCAAACUUAGCUUUUGCUUGUCCUCAAGUGAAACAAGACUCAAACAAAAAUAAAAACUUAACAGAUUAGACAUCUGGCUAACACUUAACUAGGACAAAAUUUCCACCUUCAAGUUGCAAUCCAUAGAAAAUUUUAAAAACUAGAACAUCCUUUCAAUAGAUCUAAGUAAUCCCACCACAAAGUCUAAGCUAUUUAGACUCAAUUAGAAAAGAAUUCACAAACUUCUUUCGGUGCAAAGUGAACCAUUAUGGUUAUGGAGACUUGACUAAAACCCUUAACUCUCAUCCCUUUUAUUCAUACUUCACACACUCCACACUUUUUGUUUUUUUUGUUUUUUGUUUUUUGUUUUUUUGUUUUUUUUUCUUUUUGUUUUUAUAGUAACAGUAGUGGUUGUGCAAUGUUGGUUCCCUUAAGCUUUCAAUCCAACCGUGUAGCCAGCUUUAGGUCAAUGUCUCCCAAACCACUCGGGUUUUAGGGCACUAGGUGUAGAACACCCCUAAGGACUUAUUAACUCAAGCUGAAAAGGCUACGAAACCAACUAACCACCCUGCCUCAUGCCAAAACUCUACCUUUUGUCUCGAGAAUCACUGCUGAUUAGGCAGGAUUGACCCGGUUACUAGCAAAGCUUCGGGUGAGGUAAUUAUUACUUUAUAACACAAACUAACUUUAUUUAUAUUGAACAUAAAUUAAAACACAUUUGGACAAAAAGUAAGUAUUCCAAUCUCACUCCCCAAAAACCAUGUUGGUGUGAUGUGCAAAUUUCAAAGUAUAAUUCAUGAAUUAAUGUCUAAGCAACAAUAAAUAGAAAAUACUCUACCGUGGGAUUGAUUUUCACCAUGUCCAUUUGUUCUAACGUUUAAAAUAAUCUAUGGAUAUUGACUGAAAAACGAAAAUUUGUAAACAAGACUCAAAAAAUGAAAAAUAAAAAAAAUUACGUUCCCACCCCCUAACUUAAAUCACACAUUGUCCUCAAGGUGGGGUAAAUAAUCAAAAGAAACAAGAGCAGAAACAAAACGACUAAAACUUAGAAAAUGGAAAUCAAAAAUAAAGAAAAUACUCUAAGAAAAGAAAUUAGGAAGGCAAAGGAUGAGAUCCAGAUGGAUCUGGUAAUCCUAUCCGUAGAGAUGGAAAGAUUCUAUACACGCCAUUGAGACUGGAUUUGGAGAUGAGGAUUUGACCCUACCUUGUUCGACGAAUUCCCUCAAGGGGAAUUAUAGCAAUAAAAUACAUAUGCUUCUACAAACAUUUAAUUGCACUGCUACGACGUGGAAAGAGUGCUUUGGGGUCUCAUCUCAUGUGAACCCGUUCGAGUAGAAAUCUUUCAUUAGAAUCAGAAAUGGGUCAUGGUAAAGAGAGGUAGAUGAUGAUUACAGUUCGGUAAAAAUGAUCAUUUCUGACAUUCCUCUCAAAGAACCGUGUUGGCAAUGUCGUUUAUCGAUUCUAAAGAAAGAAGAAAAAUAUCAACAAGUCAAAGAACGUGGAUUUCUUUUAAGGGGAGAGCUAGAACAAAAUCAAAUCACGAAUGGAAGAGUUUAGCUUUCAGAGGAAGAUUGAGCAUUACAGCAGCUAUUAAAGGAUAUUUUUAGUUGAAGAAUGAGAUUUUUCUUCCUCUGAUUGUUUAGCUAGAGCUUUUGGCUUGACUGCCAACGUGGUUGUGGAGGAAGAAACUUGGGAACCCGAGUAGUAGAUGCGAGCCCACUACCCAUACCCCUUUUGAGUGACAGGUAUGAAAUUUCAAGGAUGAAAUUUUUAUAAGAGGGGUAGAUUGUAACGACCCGGUCCUAAAUAAAUUGGUAAUUAUUAAUUUAUUCAUAUAAAAGACCAUUUUGCCCCCAUAAUAUUUUAAUAGGUUUACAUGUUGACUUGUUGACCGGGGAGGCUUUGGUGAAAUUGUUACAUCCCGGUCUGAAAAAGUGUUAAAAUAAUUAAAGUAAGAGAGAAUAAAUUGAAAUAAACAUUAAAAUAAAAUGAUUUGAAUUAAUUAAGGUGUUUGAGAAAUUAAAAUAUUAUUUAAAAUUAUAAGGGGCAAAAAGAUCAUUUUAAGUUUGGGAAGGAAUUUGAAAAUUUUGAUUGUACCGUUGUGUGGAGCACGUCGAAACGAGUCCGUAGACACAUAGUGGACUCGAAUCGGAGUUGUAACGAAAAAAUGGCGAUCAAAAGAAUUUCAGUGGCAUAACCGUAAAUAUUUUGAAGUUCAGUUUUUUUAAAACCCACAUUUAUUCUCUCUGGGGAGUGGGACGUGCCAACUUCAAAUGGUGAUUUCUCCCAACUCCGGCCACCAAUUCAAGUAAGACCGGCCCCGUUAGAACCACCACACUUCCCUCUUCCAGUCCCAGCCCAUCUCAGUCUCGAUCCGCCGUCGUAGUCGCCGAAAAUCGCCACGAAACAAGGUGGUUUGGAUAGUUUUUGUCGAAAUUUCGUGGAGCUCGUUCUCCCUCCUCCGGCCACCGUUUCAGGCGAGUGAGGUAUCAUUUCUCACCUAUUUUCUAUGAUAUAGCUGAUGGUUGGAUAUGAUUUGAUAAAUUUUGAGCGUUGAUAGUUCGAUUUUCGAAUCAAAGUUUGGCCGAAUUUCGGGAUGAAAUUCCGGCCACUUUCGAUCACUUUUUGGGGUAGGCCCAAGAACAAAAGUGUCUUCAAUUGAUGUCCUGAUCCCAGGGUAAGAGCAUUGGUCGAAAAUUUUGAGAUUUUCCUGCUGGUGGUAUCGCUUUGGGCACCCAUGCGCUGAUGGCGCGUGUGGCAGCGUGUGGGCACUGUAGCAGAGGGCCAUUGUGUCCCAAUGCGACCCCCUUGUUGUCACGAGUGCGUAAGGGUGCUCGGAUUCCAAUUUGGUUGAGGUUUGAACCCCGAAUGGAUUUCGUAUAUUGUACAUUAUCCGGGUUUGAUAGGUUUGAACCGUUGGAUAGUCUUGAAUUUAAUAUAUGUUAGUCUAGACAUCCCUAGGAUCAUAUAGGAUUUCGCGGAUCAUGGAUCGGAGCCCCGGAUGUUCUGAUUUAAUAAAUUAAAGUUUGUGUUUUACAAUAACCGUCCGAUCGUGCGAUCGCGAGCAAUCCGACAGUCCGAUCCGAACCAAACUUGCAGGACGGGUAUCCUAAAUCUUGUAGAACCCAUAGGAGCUUUCGGAUAAGAAUUUGGAGGUCGUGGGCCCGGUUGACCAAGAUUAGGUAGUUUGACCCCUCGGUUGACCAUGAGUCUUCCGAGGUAGUUUCACCCUUCGAGGAGUACUAGAAUGACCUUAUUACAUAGUCUCGACCUUUAAUUGAGCUAUGUUGACUAUGUUGAGAUUUUUAGAGUGUUUAUUAUUAUCGUAUGAAAACUCUUGGAUAUUACUUUUAAUAAUUGAAAUUAUGGAUUUGAUGAGCGUGGGUAAAUUGAUUUGAUGAGUGGUGAAAAGAAGUCGUGGGCUUGGCUAUGACUAUUAGGAAGUGAGGGGACAUUUAUGUUGAAUAUGCAUUAAUUUCAACAAUUGAAAGAACAUGCAUGGAAUGGGUAUAUAUAUAUAUAUAGAUAAAUUGGAUUAAAGAUUGAGAAAUUAAUAAGUUGAGAUAUUAGUAAUAUUUAAUUGAGAAAUGGAUUUUGAGGUGGAAAUUGGAAGGUUGAAUUUGGGGAAUUUUGGAAUUGAGAAUUAUGGGUUAAUACUGAAAGAUGUAGGAUUAUACUAUGUAAGUACCAUCCCCUAGUUACUAGGCUUCCCAUACGUGGAGUUGGAAUUUCUGGCGUGUGGGAAGGAUAUAUGAUUAUUAGAUCUCACAUGCCGUUGGAUUUUCCAGCGUGAGACAGACCCCAUACGUGGGGUUGGAUUUUUCGGCGUAUGGGGAGAUUAUGUGAUGGUUAGGUCACACGUAGGGUGGGAUUUUCCAACGUGUUGACAGACCCCAUAAGUGGCGUUGGAUUUUCCGGUGUAUAGGGAGAUUAUGUGAUGGUUAGGUCACACGUGGCAUAGGAUUUUCCAGCGUGUUGACAGACCCCGUACGUGGCGUUGGAUUUUCAGCGUAUGAGGAGAUUAUGUGAUGGUUAGGUCCCAUGUGGCGUAGGAUUUUCCGGCGUGUUGACAGACUCCAUACGUGACGUUGGAUUUUCCGACGUAUGGGGAGAUUAUCUGAUGGUUAGGUCACACGUGGAGUAGGAUUUUUCAGCGUGUUGACAGACCCCAUACGUGACGUUGGAUUUUCCGGCGUAUGGAGAGAUUAUGUGAUGGUUAGGUCACACGUGGCGUAGAAUUUUCUGGCGUGUUGACAGACCCCAUAUGUGGCGUUGGAUUUUCCGGCAUAUGGGGAGAUAAUGAGAUGGUUAGGUCACACGUGGCAUAGGAUUUUCUGGCUUGUUGACAGACCCCAUAUGUGGCGUUGGAUUUUCGCGCGUAUGGGAAGGAUAUGUGAUUAUUAGGUCUCACAGGUGGCGUUGGAAUUUCCGGCGUAUGAGACACUAACAGUGAGAAGAGAAUGAGAUUAUUUUUCUAUAUCAGAGAAAGGUUAGAGUAUAAAAAGAAAUAUGUUUGGUGUGUGGUAAUUUAAAUUAAAACAGGGAAAGAUAACUUACCUGUACUACUGAAACAGUUGUGUAACAUUUGGAGCAUGAUUAUGGAGUGAAAGAACUACGUGUGGCUUGAUCUCUCAGUAAGGGUACGUAGGCAACCUAGGUGCAGUCGUAGACUAAACGUUAUUUAUGUUGUUUUAUUGAGAUUGGUUCUGACCCUGUCGUUGGUCCUGAAAUUCGGUUGAAAACUAGAUGCGAGUAAAUAAUUGUUCAUACUCCCGUUUCGUUGAGGGAGGAUUGUGUAAAUGUGUUCUGGUCAAGACAGGUAUAAGAACUCGUUUAGGAUUGAUGUACGAUUUGGGCUAAGGCCUUAAACUACUUGUUGUUGUAUUAGGAGAUUAAAACCUCGCAUGUGGGAUAAUUGGGAAAGUUAGAUGAUGUAAAGUGCACUUAGGCAUUCAUAUAUAUGUUUAAAUUUAUUAUUUGUCUUGCUUAACGUAAUUGUUUGACUUAUGGGCUUUAUUGGUGAUUUGCUUCAGAUUAUUUAAAGGCCGAAGGCCGUUUAUGUGAAUUGCAUUUUGAUACAUUGUGCAUGCUACUAGUUGUGGAUAUUAAAUGUGUUUUAUGCAGGUUGAAAUUUUUGGGAUUGUUCAAAUUACAGGGGAGACUGCCAAAAUUUUGAUAGAAAGUCUCGGUCAUUAGUAAGUGGGCCCGGCAUCGAGGUGAUGUCGGAAUUUACACAAGAUUCCUCUCGGGUUUUCAGGAAUUCGGGGCGGAUCCUGUUACUUGGGGUGCAAAUUAUCCAUUUGUUCACCCGUUUUCGUGUUUUACUUCUGAGGUGGAAGGGCGAAGUUUCCCACUGGCUUGGAGACCACUUGUUGGUCGACAAGUCAGCUUUCUUUGGUGUGUGUGAGCGUGCCACUGCUAGCAAUGUAAAUUCUAGCAGACUUAUUUUUUAGAGUGGAUAACUUGCGCCUCAAGUUACUGACUUCUAAAACAAAUGAUUGUGAAUUUGGGUGAGGAAUAUCUCCCAAGUAAGUUCUUUUCUUGCCUCAAACUGGUGAGGACUUUCACAAUUUAUCUCAGUAUCAAAUGGUUGUUCUGGCCAGAAUAGAUAAUAAUAAAGUAGACUGUUUCAGGCAGAACUGCCUUUUACAAAAUUAAGAAGGGAGAAAUCAACUCUAGAAAGGAAAAAAGAUGGCUGGAAUCCCAUUUCUGCCUGGGUAGAAACUUCUGAUCCGGGCUGGACUGGGUAUGUCUAUGCUGGACGGUGCUGUCAACAACUUUAGCUUGCUCGGCUUUAGUUGUAAAUCGAUACCAAAGUUCAAUUUUGGCAGAGCUUCAAUCUACUUCAAGCCUUGGGAGACUUUUGAGUGGGCAGAACUGCAGCUUCUUCAGUUUGAAGGGACAGAAGUGGCUAUUCUCGAGGAUUUAGCAAGCUGGAACUAUGCUAUAAAAUUUGUUGAGGUUUUCAUAUUUGUGAAAACUCAAACUAUGUUUGUCUUGGCUUUUGCUGAACCAAAUUUGUAACGAGAGGGAUCUUGUUUUCAGAAGACUUAUUUUCUAAGUCUGAACUUUGGAAUUCUGAUCUAAAGCUGUUUUCUUGUUUGUUUUUUUUUGAUUGACUGAUGAAUUGAGUGUCCUUUGUUUCUUUGCCUUCUUUCGCUUUUAUAAGAGAUCCUCCUAAGGAGGUCAUUUUUAAUCCUAAACAAUGGGCGGCAAAAAGAUCUCUUAUAAUGUAAAGUAAGAAGGGUUUCUUAUCAAUCAAGGCAGAUAGGUUCUGAGCAGUCACCUCCUAAAAACAGUCCAUUCCCUGGUUUCCUGGGUGGCAGCUUUCUAAUUCAACCAACGCCACCGUCUGUGUGGGCUUUUUAUGGCAGUUUUGGCUCUUUUCUUUUGUAUUUUCUGAGUGGUUCCCUGUUUCCCGUUCUAAUUUAGAAAGCGUGAUUCGUGAAUUCCUUGGGAGAUGGUGUAUUGAUUUGGAGCAAAAUCUUGAACACAGAUGGGUUUUUGAUCUUCAAUUGGCAGUGUUUCAGAGACGUCCCUCUCACAUUUUUAAACUUUAGUUGGAAUUGCUGACUUUUCCAAAGUUGAGGCAAUCACGUGGGUGUGUCUUUGAUCCCUUGGUUUUGAAUCUAUCGAAAAUUACGGGCUGAUCUUUGAAGCCCAUUUCGAAAGUUUCCACAUCUGGGCUUUCUUUGGGCUGAGGCUUUAUUUCCAACAUUCUUGGUGUGAAGCCCAAACUGUCUGGGUCUUAUUUUCGUUUUUCUCAAGUCUCUGGGCUGGGCAGGCAAUUUUAUCAUGGGCCUGUCUUCUGGUCUUGGGCGUGCCGAAUUUGGGCCCAAACAAUGCCCCCUAAGUCUGAAUCGUUUUGGAAUGGUUUCAGACUUAAUGUUUUGCCAUUUAAUUCACGUGCCAGUUUCUUCCGUGUUUUCGCCCACGUCUGCCACGUUUGCCUGCUACGAACUAGAGUUCGUGGGAAAACGGCUAGUUAUUAUCUAGUUACUAGCUAAUAAUCAUCAGGUGCCGUCCCAUCUUCUUCUUCCCACGUUUUCGAGCCCCUCUUUAAAAGAAAUUCAAAUUCAUAGCUUCUGAAAAAAGAAACCCUAAACCUUCCAGCUCUUGUUCCUGCGAGUUCUUUCUUCGAGAUUUCCAAAGCCUUCUUUAGACCUUCCUUUCUUCUGCUUCUUCCCUUGAAUCAGAAAUGUCUUCCCCAAGGUCCCGCGCUCAGUCUUCUUCCGCUUCAGUUCCUCCCGAUUAUAUCACUGGGAGCGGGAUUGAUGCUCACGCGAUAGAAAUCAGGAGCAAGCUUCAUCCCUUUGCCCAGAAGAAUCUGGACGAGAAUGUCCUCCAUUUGUUUGAGAACACCCUGGUGUUAGGGCCUCACUGGUUUGGUCCUGUUCCAGCUGAGAUGGCAGAAUUGCUAAAAAAGGAUGCCGAGGCUCCUUUGUGUUUUGAGAGCUCUUCUGCCCUGGCUUCUUAUUCUUGGGUUAGCAAGAAUUUGAGCCGGUCCUUCCCGUCCAGCGAGGUGAGGAAUAGUCUGGUCAAAUGGGCAGACUGGAUUGAUAGACUUCUCCCGAGAUAUGGGGGUCACUGGAGGAGAGCUGGGAUUUAUGACGCCAUUUUUCUGUCCAAACAAUCGAUUAACAGAGAUGAGAAUCUGCUUGCUGCUGCUUUAUGCUUCUGGAAUUCUGCCAGCAAUACAUUUGACUUCCGCGUGGGUCCUAUGGCGCCAACCUUGCUGGAUAUGGCUCAGAUUUUUGGGUUCAGGCCCCAUGGUAGGCCUGUUGAUGCCAUUGGAGAUUAUCACAGGCGAAGGAAUCAAGAGAAAGUGGCCACCCCUUUUACUAUCCCUCCAGCCGUGAUCAACCAGAACUGCUCUUUCUCCAACUAUCUGAAGAAGUUCAGUGCUGAUAAGGACAAGGAUCAGCAACAUAUGUUGUUCCUUCUGUAUUGGCUGAAUUGGUUCGUUCUCCCCAAUCGGUCUUCUGCAGUUCUGCUAGAGUACAGACACUUGGCAGAAGCACUCCACAAUCACACUGAUGUGGGGCUCGGGCCUACAGUUCUGGCUCACCUUUUCAAGAAUCUGCAUACUUCCACCCUGGAGAACCCAUUGAACCUGUCAGCCCCUGGCGCAUUCUGGAUGAUCCAGAUCUGGCUGCAGGUUUAUUUUCCAGAACUAAGGUUCCCAGACAUAGUUCUGCCUGAAGAUCAAGUCCUGGCUCUUCCUCUGAUGUCGGCAGAAGUGCCCAAGCAUUCUAUUGAGGAGUAUUUGAUGCUCUUCAGGCAUUGUACAAAGAGGUCGGCAGCUCAGUGGCAAGUGGUGAUCAGGAGGACCUAUCCUUGGUUCCAGACCGGAUUUCGGUUGUUUGAGAAGGAGCCAGAAGAUGAAGCUGCCAGAACAGAUUUCAGGAGGAAAUUUCUGAGCAUUACUCUGCCCAGAGAUCUACCCCAUGGUGGGGGCAAACCUCCAAACUAUCAUCUGGGGGCAGAAGUCUACCAUCCCAACUUCUGCGCGAGGCAGCUUGGUUGUCCCCAACUCAUUCCGCUGAAAUCAUAUCGGAGUUGUAACCGGGCCUCUUCUUGGAGGGAUGCAGAUGAUCUGGAGGUGCACAAGGAUGCCCGGUGUGCAGUGAACAAAAUCAACAACAGCACGGAUGCCCUCUAUCCCUCGUGGGAGCUGAAUUCCUGCAGUUCUGCCGACUUUGACGCAUGGUGGAAAGCCAGAUUCCAAAGUCUGCCUGCUUCUGUCACUGCCCUCAAGGUGCUGUUUGAUGGUUGGGAAAACUGGGUCGUUUUUGCGAAUGGGGAUGCCAAGACGCAUAUGAUCCAGACCAUCAAGGAUAUUAACGCGCAAAUUAUAGAAGGUAGAUUUCUGAUUCUGUAUGGGGUUCGUUCUGUCCUGAUGAUUGAUUUCUAAUGUCUAUUCUGCCUGUAUCAGAUCCUUCUUUGACCAGCGUAGGUGGGCAGUCUGUUCAUGCUGGGGAAGUGAUUGGUAAGUCUUUUCUUUUAAUUCUAUUCUGUCUUUUCCUGCUGGAUUGGUCUCUAAUGUCUAAUGCCUUGGUGCAGUCUCUUCCGUUAUUGCUGCCGGGGACUUGGAGCUCCCUUCUGCGGAUGAAGGAGAUGAGGUCCAGACAGAACAAACACCUACCGAGGCCGCUCUUUCUGGCAGAAGAAAAAGGAAAGGACCUGCCCCUCCUUCGGAUAAUCCCACGCGGCCUGGUAUUUCAGGUAAGCUCGUGAUGUUCCAACCAUUCUCUUUAAAUUUAUUAUGUCUUGCCUUCUUUUCCCUAAUACUGCUUUUUGUUCUGUGCAGCUGGAAGUCCUUCCCCUCCUCCUACCAAGUUGAAAAAACUUAAAAAGAGGAGUGAGGAGGAGUAUGUCGCCGCGGAAGAGACGGCAGCAAUUCCCACCACUACCUCCGGGACGGAUGAAGAGCUGCGAGAGGCUUUUGAGGAGGUGGAGCAGGAAAAAGAAUUGGAAGAGCUGGAAGAAACGCCUCAGGAAAAAACGGCAGUGGCGGAAGGAGAGGUAAGUUUUAUUUCUGUGAUUCGCAUCAGUUCCCUUCUCGCCCUGUUUCUUCCGUUCUGACCCUUAUUUUGUAGGAGAAGAUCCCUGCUGAGGUGAUUGCAGAGAGCAUUGCCUUGGCGCAGAAGCAACAAGGGGGUCCAAGGGCUGAGCGGACUAGCUCAGAACUAGCCCUAUUUGAGGAUGCUGAGGCAGAGCAUUCUACUGCCGUUCCAGCGGCUGAGGAUCAGGCGGAACGGUCUGCAUCAGAGCCUGUGGAUCAGGCAGAGCUGUCUGUUGUGGUUCCGGAGGCUGAAGUGGAAACAACCGCCGCUGCCCCUGUGGUUGUGGUAACUUUCUUUCUUUAUCUGUCCACACUCUCCUGCAUUUCUGCCUUGUUCUUUAUUUUUAACUGUUGUAGCCUUUUCAGGUAGAAGUGCCUAAAGCUGUUGGCGUCCUGGCAGCGGUUACCAGUCCCCAGAAGCCUCCCAUUGUUGCUGUAAGUUUUCAUAACUUUUGGGCCUUUAUUUUCCACUUUCUGCCUGGUCUUACCUUAUGCUUUCUUCUUGCAGAUGCCAAUUCAUUCCCUUCCAGGAUCAUCUGCCACGGCUUCUUUUGCUGAUCCAGAACUCGAAGAGUUUGAAGCCAUGGAUCUGGAUGCCCAAUUGGACAGAUUGGAGAAACUCAGCUCUCCUCCAGGCAAGGCAAAAUCUAGGGCAGUGGAGGAGGCCAUGGAGAGGUUGAAAAUCUGGCAGUCUAAUGAGCUGGAGUUUGAUCAAGACAAUGAAGCCUUAAAUCAGCUGAUGAAGGACCUGGACCUGCUUCACAGACAGAACAUGGCUCCAAAACCUAUCCUUGAGAUGGGCCUAAGCUUGGCCAGAGAUGUGCUCAAUCUGCAUGAUCGCUAUGAGGAUCUCAGGCCUACUUUCAAGACUUCUGAAUUCUGCAAGGCCACUCAUGAAGCCAACCUGGCUGAUUUUGCAAAGCAGAAAGCAGAACUGGAUCAGAUGGUGGCCGGAUAUAAGGAAGCCAGGGCCACUGCGGACAAGCUGGAGAAGCCGAUGGAAGAGCUCCAAAAACAACUGGCAGAAUGCAGGGAGGUGCAGAGCAGGCUUGGGGCUGGACUGAGUUCUAAAACUAAGGCCACUUUCCUUGUGCAAAGUAUGGUUGCAGCUUCCAGGACAGCCUUGGAGAUUGCAGAGGCUUCAAUUCACCAGGGGGUGCUGCUCCAGAAAGAGCUUUCUGUCAAGAAAGCGAACCUGCAGGAGACUCUUAGAAAACUAGGAUUUUAGCUUCUUCUUUCCUUUUAUUGUUCGAAUAAUUUGCCGCAAAGGUGGCUAUUUUUAUAUAAGCUUUCAAAGCAUUUUACUGCUUUUCAUUUAUUCUUGAUGCAAUAACUGGAUACGGCUUUGAAAGUAAAAAACAGAACAACUUUAAAGCAAAAAUAAAUCUAAACAAAAUUCUUUUCAAGAAACAAAAAGGUCAAACUUGUUCCUCUUCUAUCCCGGGAUCUGUUUAUACAGCCUGCGAAUCCCACGUGGUUGGAUAGAACUUCUUUAACCAUUUACCAUUGAUUGGGGCAAAAUGAACAACUCCAUCUCGGUCCUGCAACCUGUAUGCCCCCAUUCCGAGGAUUUGGUUAAUUAUAAAAGGGCCUUCCCAUGUAGGUGACCAUUUCCCAUAUCCAGCUAUGUGUGCUCCAAGGGGCAGAAUUGCCUUCCAGACUAUCUCUCCCUCUUCAAAACUCUUGUUUUUGACUCUUUUGUUGUAGGCCCUUGAUACAGCCUGUUUUCCUGCUAAGAGUUUGUUGAGGGUGUCAAUUCUGCUUGCAUCCAAUUCUUCCAAUUCCAGCAACAUGGCUUGAGAGUAAUCCUCCCCAGUGAGACCAUGCUGGUGAGCAAUUCUAAGAGACUGGACCGCUAUCUCCAUGGGAAGAAUUGCAUCGUGGCCGUAGGUUAGAGCAUAGGGGGUCAUGCCAGUUGCUUCUCUCUUUGAAGUUCUGUAUGCCCACAAAGUUUCUGAUAACUUCUCAUGCCAUUACUUUGGAUUCUUCUCUAGCAUCUUUUUGAUGAUAUUGAUAAUCACCUUGUUACUUGAUUCCACCUGUCCAUUAGCUUGAGCAUAGUAAGGAGUAGAUUGAAGCAGUUUGAACUUGAACGUUUCUGCCAUAUCUAGCAUGUCCCUAGAUAUGAAAGAAGAACCCCUAUCGGUUGUGAUUGAUUCUGGAAUGCCAAACCUUUGUAUGAUCUGUUCUUCUAUAAAGGUGAUGAUCUCUUGAGAUGUUGUGGUUUUUACUGGCUUGGCCUCUACCCACUUGGUGAAGUAAUCUGUGGCAACGAUAAUGAAACAGUGCUGCUGGUUGCUGGCUGGAUAGAUUUUGCCAAUGAGAUCCAUUGCCCAUCCCCUGAAAGGCCAUGGUUUUACUACUGGAUUCAUGGGAACCGAAGGAGCCUGCUGGAUUGGGCCGUGCCUUUGACAGGCUUCACAUCCUUUGGAGUAGUUGAUGCAAUCCUUCAUCAUGGUUGGCCAGAAGUAGCCAUACCUUCUGAUUAACCAGCACAUCUUUCUUCCCCCUUGGUGAGCUCCACAGAUCCCCUCAUGGGUUUCUCCCAUGGCUUUCAUAUAUUCUGUCUUCCCGAGGCACCUUAAUAGUACCUCAUCCUUACUUUUUCGGACCAAAUCUUCAUUCCACAUGAGGUAGUUUGUAGCCAUGAUUCUGACUCUUUUCUUAGAGGGCAGAGUGGGAUAUCGUAAGUAAGUCAUGAUAGGCUCCCUCCAAUCAUCUUCAGUGAUCAAGGCAGAAUUGACUUCUAUCUCCAUUCCUCUCGUCAAAACAGAUGGUAGACUUUUCCUUCCUAUCUUGAUGAUCCUUUGGACGCAGUCUUCGGGCAUUUGUAUGCCUGAUGCCACCUGAGCCAGUUCAUUGGCUGCAAAGUUUUCCUCCCUUGGGAUGUUCUCCCAAGUAGCUUCUCUAAAUUCUGUUAGCAGAUUUCUAGCUGCUACUAGAUAUACAGCCAGAGAAGGAUUCAGACACUUAUAUUCUCCAGCAAUCUGUUUUAGGACAAGCAUGGAAUCUCCCAAGAUCUCCACGGACUGGACUCAUAAUUCUACCAACAUCUCGAGCCCUAUAAUCAAAGCCUCAUACUCGGCCAUGUUGUUGGUGCAUUGGAAAUCUAGCUGGAAGGAAUAGCAAUGUCUGACCCCUAAUGGUUCUUCCAGAACAAUCCCUGCUCCUGAAGCCUUGUCUGUCUUUGAUCCAUCAAAAUAUAACUUCCAAGGUGUGAGAUGAAUCGAGUAGAUUGGAUUGUUAAGGCAAACAUGAGCUCUAGUUAGCAGAUCUGCAUUUGCUAUGUCCAAAGAAUCCAUGUUUUCAAUUUCCUCUCCCGAGUGAUCUACCAAGAAGUCUGCCACAGCUUGCCCUUUGACAGCUUUCUGGGGGACAUACCUGAAGGUGAAUUCUGUCAAAGCCAAAGUCCAUUUCCCAAUUCUGCCCCUCAGCAUUGGUCUUGUUAGCAUGUAUUUGAUUAAGUCUGUUUUGGCAAUGAUGUAGAUAGUAUGUGGCAGCAUGUAGUGCCUGAGCUUUACAGCAGUGAAAUAUAAGGCCAGGCAAAGCCUUUCUAUUGCGGAAUACCUUCUUUCCACUUCUGUCAAUGUUCUGCUUAGAUAGUAGGCUGCCUGUUCUUUUCCUUCUUUGUUAUCUUGAACUAUUAGACUUCCAAUGGAUACUUCUGAUGCAGAUACAUAAAGCUUGAGGGGUCUGCCCCUUUUUGGUGGGGACAGAACUGGUGGAUUUGAGAGGUAAUGCUUUAUUUCCUGGAAAGCCUGUUGGUGCUGUUCUUCCCAUUUGAAUGUCUGUUCCUGCUUCAGUCUUAACAGGGAAGAAAAAGGUUGGAUUUUUCCUGCAGAAUUGGAUAUGAAUCUCCUUAGAAAAUUGAUUUUUCCUAAGAGACUUUGAAGUUCCUUCUUGUUCUGAGGUGGUAGAGCUUCUAUGAUGGAUGUUGCUUUAUUUCUGUCAACCUCUAUACCUCUCUGGUGGACCAAGAAUCCUAAGAAAUUCCCUGCUUGGACUCCAAAAACACAUUUUUUGGGGUUCAUUUUCAGUUUGUGCUGCCUCAUUCUUAGGAAUGCCCUUCUCAGGCUUGCUACGUGAUUUCCUUCCUCAGGGGAUUUAAUCACCACGUCAUCUAUGUAUACUUCCAAGGAAUGUCCUAUCAUAUCAUGAAAAAUAGAAUUCAUUGCCUUUGGUAGGUGGCUCCCGCAUUUCUCAAACCGAAAGGCAUUACAGUAUACUCGAAAGCACCUAUAUGUCCUGGACACAUAAAGGCUGUCUUGUGGAUGUCCUGUUCUGCCAUCAUGAUCUGGUUAUAACCUGCAUUGCCGUCCAUGAAAGAUAGCAUCUGGUUAUGAGUGGCUCCAUCCACUAGCAUGUCUGCCAUUGGCAUAGGAUAUUCGUCUUUAGGAGAUGCCUCAUUCAGAUUUCUGUACAAUAUUUGCUAACCAAUCGGAAUAGACGGCUGGCCUGAUGAAUCCUGCCUUGAGCAGCCUUUCUAUCUCUUCUUUGACCUUUAGUUCUGUGUCCAUAGACAUUCUUCUUCUGGCCUGUUUGACUGGAAGGUAGCCAUCUUUAAUUGGCAGCUUGUGCUCCACUCACUGCCUGUCCAAUCCUGGCAUUUCGUGGUAAUGCCAGGCAAAACAAUCUCUGAACUCCUGUAAAAGUGCCAUGAGUUCAGUCUUGAGUGGUUCCUUCAAAAGUGUGCUGAUGAAAGUAGGCCUUGGAUCUUCUUCUGUUCCUAAGUUUAUCUCCUGUAGAGGAUCCUCUACUUCUGGCAGGGAGUCAUCCAGUGCUGCUGGUGCAAAAUCUAAUACUUCCUCCUGUAAAAUUUCCUCCUCUUGCUCUUUUGUGCUUUCAUGGGUGAAUUCUGCCAUAUUGAUGGCUGGAUUCUGUAUGAAAAGCCUCCUUUCUCCCCAGUAUAUCAACAAUCUUUUUGUGAUGGAUCGGAUUGUUGCAGCUCGAUCCUUGUCUAGUUGAUUCGGACUAAACAUCAGAGUUCUGGAAGUUCAGCACAAAAAGGUCUAUUCCAGUCCUCUAGAGAACUGGCUAAACCUUCUUCAAUGAGUCUUUGGGCCGUGACACCAUGUGGACGGCCGUUCUGAUUGACUCCAAGGAAAGUGAAAGGACCGAGGUCAUCAUGAUAAUACCUUGUUUCAAAGCACAUGGCAGAGGGCAGGAAUGGCCGUGGAUCAGCCUCUAUAAUCUCCAUGCAGCCUUCUUCAUUCCAUAGUGCUAACUGCGGGUGGAGGGUGGAAGGAAUACAAAGGCUCUGGUGAAUCCAAUCCCUGCCAAGUAGUGCAUUGUAGGUGGUGGAAGUAGUGUCUAUAACAAAGAAUGCUAUUUUCAACUCUUUGCUUCCGAUUAUGACAUCCACAUCUAAGAUGCCAUGUAUUUUGGUGAUGCAACCAGAAGUUGGUGACGGUCAAUCGUGUUGGAAUCAGAUCUUUCUCUGUCCUGCCCAGCUUGGUCAGCAUUCUGUGGGGUAAUAGAUUAAUGGCUGCACCUCCAUUUACCAUGAUCUUGGAAAUAGGAAUACCCCCAAGAUUUGCCGUUAUAAACAAAGGUCUGAGGUGAAACAAGGUUGCUCUGUAGCUGGUUUAUUGGCUGUUCUGCCUGUCUUGGGGUUUUCUGCUUGUGGUUCUGGUGGCUCCUCUGCUUCUGCCAAUCUACAUUCAAAGCUUUCCUGAGAGAAAACAUCCCCUUCCAGAGUGCUUUCUUGUCCUUCGGCUGCCCUGAAUUUACUUGGUAGGAUGAAUACCAUGUUAAUUCCCAGAUCACCCUGUAGGAGGUCUUCUAAUUCUGCGCCAAAAGCUUCUGUUUCUGGGUCCAAUUCUACACCAAAUUCCAUUAAUUCUUCCCCGUAUUCUUCCGUCCAGUCAUCCUGUUCUGCUACUUCGAGGGGCUCUUUCUGAUCAUCUGCGGAAGGUUCAUAGUCCAAUUGCUCUUCUUCAUAUUCCUCAGUGUAGUCGUCUUCUCCUUGUAACGGGGUAGACCCAGAUUUCUCUGGUGUCUGCGUGGUGUCAGGACGGCUGCUGGACGACGAGGCCACAUGGAUAGGAGACCUGGCUGGGGGUUCUGUUUUCAGCAAUUCCCUUGACUGGCAAGCUUUCUGUUCUGUCUGGGGAAGUGUUUCAGGAUUUUUUCCUUUCCUAGCAGAACUGGGUUGUGAACGUACCUGCGUAUUAUCUUGGCUCUUAAGAUAUGUGCAGUAUUGCCUCUGGAUUCUCCUUUUCUGGGUUCUGGUUAGCUCCAGAGUCGGUCUACCGCUUCUUCCUACGGAAUACCAUCUCCCUUCUAUGAUCGUUGCCAAGGAUCUUUCGUUUCUGGGCAUCUUGACUGGUAUUUCCUUUCUGGGUUGCUCCAUCCUCCUCUCGCUGUAUUGUGUAGGCCUAAGACAGCUCUUCUGCCUUGUUUUGUCUCGGGAUGAGGUUCCAAUUCUGUCAAAGACACUAGGUGUGGGCUGAUUUUGUCUGUCUAGAACCACCUCUAGCUCUGUUUCACAUUUGCACCUACUGCAGAGCACUACCCCAGCCGAGAUGGUCGCUCUUGGUAUUUGACUGGUCUCCCUUAUGAUUCUUCUGCCUCUGCUGCAACCAGCAUCUGUGAUUGGCUCGGUUUUCCUCUGUUCUGGCCAAUUUAAGUUGACCAUAUUGACUUGUGGUUGAGGAAAAGGAUCCGUUGUGACGGAUGGUGGUUUUUCUGCCAGUUUCAACCUUCCUGCCGUUAUCCCUUCUUGUAUUACGUCCCUGAAAACAACACAACUAUUGGUAGAAUGGUUCCAAGAGUUGUGCCACCUGCAGUACUGUCUGCCCUUGAGUUCUUCCGGCUUCGGUAUUCUGUGAGGCGUCUCUAUUGCCUUCUACAGUAGCAUUUCGUGGAACAAGGCAUCAACCUUGGUUAAGUCAAAAGAGUAAACCUUGUUUUACGUUGGUUUGUUUGGAACGAAUCCUCCUGUGAAUGGUGGUGGCUUUUGGUCUUUAGGUGGCUUUGUGAGGGCUUUGCAACUAAUGGGAUGUUUUAGUUUUGCCAUUUCUGCCACUGAAACCUCUUUCUCUUCUGAUUCUUCUGCAUCUUCUUGUGAUUCCACCUCGAUCAGGUGGACUGAAGAAGAAGGGGUUUUAUAGUAUGUACCUUUGGAGGAGUUCCUCCUUUGCUGUUCCUCCCUGAGUAACUCCUCAUAUUUGGAUGCCUUAUCAGCCAGUUCUGCCAGAUCUCCGAACAAUAUCCCGUCGAACCUUUUCCUGAGAGAGAUUUUAAGGGCAACUUGGGCCAUCUGGAUGAAGUGUCUUUCUUCCAUCGGGAUUCGGCACUUCAUUUUGAGCUUUCUGAACCUGGUUAUGAAAUCUUGGGCCGGUUCAUCUUCACUUUGCUUGAGGGCAGCUAGAUCACUGAUGGUGACUUCUGGCUGAAUCCUGUAAUAGUAGUCAUGGAAGACAUUUUCCAUCUGUUCCCAGGUUUGAACAGAGUUAGCUGGCAGGCUGGUGUACCAGGUAAAAGCUUGCCCAAAAAGAGAGUUGCCGAAAAGCCUUAAUUUCAGCAGAGGGUUGCUUUCUAUAGCUAUGCAUUGGACGGAGAACCUGCCUAUAUGUUCAACUGAGGAAGAAUGGGGGUCUUCCCCAUUGAACAAAGUGAAGUUUGGCACUUUGAAACCUGGAGACAACAGUAUUUGAUCGAUAUAGGCUGGGUAUGGCUUUCUGUAAGUAGGCCUUUCCCCUAUUCUAGCCUCGGGUUCCAUGAUUUCUCUGAUCAUUCUUUGCAACGCUCCUAUGUCAUUCAAAGCAUUGACUGGGGGAAGAUUUUGUCCCUGUUCUGGCUGAACGUAAUCAAACCUGGGCUCUGCUCUGUGUGGUCUGGGUGGAACUUCCUCCCUGUGUUCUUCCUGCUCUUCGACUUCUGGAUGAUUCCUCCAGUUUGCCCCCGGUCUAUUCCUGUCAUGAUUAGCAAAAAGGUUGUUCCCUCCUCGGCCUCUCCUCCUUCUUGCAAGUGGAGGGAAUGGAUUAGGGUCCAUCCUUCUGGGUCUAUAUGGCAAUACUGCCGGUGGUUCAGGCAGAAGCGCCAAAGGUUGAUCAUGUGGGAGCACAUGAAGUGGAAUGGGCUGAGGUUCUGGCUGGUUCUGAGCCAGUGCCAGGUUAUCUGGUUGAGCUGGGGCUUCAUGUUUUUGAUUAGGAAGGGCUCCUUCCCUCGGACCAGCCUGAAUUUCUCCGUGGUCUGGCACUCCAGCCAUCUGUGCAACUAGGAAAUUUUCCUGGUAUGGCCAUAUUAGUCCUGGCGGAGGGCCAUAAGGGAGAUCCAACUGCUGGAUUACAGGAUCUGGGUUUGGGUUUCUGGCCAUGGCGGAUUCUCGGUCCUUCCGGAACUGUCUGUUUACCUGCCAUUACAUCAUGGCUGUCAUGUUAUUGAGAGUGUCCUGGCUCCUUCGUACUGUGAUCUCUUGUCGGAGUACUGACUCCUGUAUUUGAUUCAUCCUUUUGGAGCCAGUCCUGGAACGUCUACUUCCUGUACUGCCGUGGGCAGAUUGCCUAGCAUCGCUUUUUUCUGAUUCGAGGCCUUCCCUGAGAACCAUCUUGUUUUUCUCCAUAUCUGGUGUGGGUUCUGACUAGAUCUUCCGGUAUUUGUGAAUCUGUGAAUGAUUCUGUCAGAGUAUAUAUACUGAGAAGUCCCACUGGGUGUGCCAAAUUAUUCACCCGUUUUCGUGUUUUACUCCUGAGGUGGAAGGGCGAAGUUCCCCACUAGCUUGGAGACCACUUGUUGGUCGACAAGUCAGCUUUCUUUGGUGUGUGUGAGCGUGCCACUGCUAGCAAUGUAAAUUCUAGCAGACUUAUUUUUUAGAGUGGAUAACUUGCGCCUCAAGUUACUGACUUCUAAAACAAAUGAUUGUGAAUUUGGGUGAGGAAUAUCUCCCAAGUAAGUUCUUUUCUUGCCUCAGACUGGUGAGGACUUUCACAAUUUAUCUCAGUAUCAAAUGGUUGUUCUGGCCAGAAUAGAUAAUAAUAAAGUAGACUGUUUCAGGCAGAACUGCCUUUUACAAAAUUAAGAAGGGAGAAAUCAACUCUAGAAAGGCAAAAAGAUGGCUGGAAUCCCAUUUCUGCCUGGGUAGAAACUUCUGAUCCGGGCUGGACUGGGUAUGUCUAUGCUGGACGGUGCUGUCAACAACUUUAGCUUGCUCGGCUUUAGUUGUAAAUCGAUACCAAAGUUCAAUUUUGGCAGAGCUUCAAUCUACUUCAAGCCUUGGGAGACUUUUGAGUGGGCAGAACUGCAGCUUCUUCAGUUUGAAGGGACAGAAGUGGCUAUUCUCGAGGAUUUAGCAAGCUGGAACUAUGCUAUAAAAUUUGUUGAGGUUUUCAUAUUUGUGAAAACUCAAACUAUGUUUGUCUUGGCUUUUGCUGAACCAAAUUUGUAACGAGAGGGAUCUUGUUUUCAGAAGACUUAUUUUCUAAGUCUGAACUUUGGAAUUCUGAUCUAAAGCUGUUUUCUUGUUUGUUUUUUUUUUAUUGACUGAUGAAUUGAGUGUCCUUUGUUUCUUUGCCUUCUUUCGCUUUUAUAAGAGAUCCUCCUAAGGAGGUCAUUUUUAAUCCUAAACAAUGGGCGGCAAAAAGAUCUCUUAUAAUGUAAAGUAAGAAGGGUUUCUUAUCAAUCAAGGCAGAUAGGUUCUGAGCAGUCACCUCCUAAAAACAGUCCCUUCCCUGGUUUCCUGGGUGGCAGCUUUCUAAUUCAACCAACGCCACCGUCUGUGUGGGCUUUUUAUGGCGGUUUUGGCUCUUUUCUUUUGUAUUUUCUGAGUGGUUCCCUGUUUCCCGUUCUAAUUUAGAAAGCGUGAUCCGUGAAUUCCUUGGGAGAUGGUGUAUUGAUUUGGAGCAAAAUCUUGAACACAGAUGGGUUUUUGAUCUUCAAUUGGCAGUGUUUCAGAGACGUCCCUCUCACAUUUUUAAACUUUAGUUGGAAUUGCUGACUUUUCCAAAGUUGAGGCAAUCACGUGGGUGUGUCUUUGAUCCCUUGGUUUUGAAUCUUUCAAAAAUUACGGGCUGAUCUUUGAAGCCCAUUUCGAAAGUUUCCACAUCUGGGCUUUCUUUGGGCUGAGGCUUUAUUUCCAACAUUCUUGGUGUGAACUGGACUAAACAGUUAGUCGGACCAGACCGUCUACACAUAUGAACUGGACUCACAAGCCUAUGUUUUUUGAGCUCCCAUAUUGGUCGAAACUCAAAUUGAGGCACAAUCUAGAUGUGAUGCAUGUUGAGAAAAAUGUAUUUAACACAUUGGUGGGCACGAUUCUAGAUAUCGAGGGCAAGACAAAGGACACAAUCAAAGCCCGUCUUGAUUUGGAAAGAAUGGGCAUACAAAGGGGUUUAUGGAUGAACAGGGACAGUGAUAAAGCUAGAAGGGAUCUUGCAUUCUUUUCUAUGAAACCGAAUGAUAAAAAAGAGUUUCUAAAGUUUGUAUCGUCUGUAAAGUUUCCUGAUGGGUAUGCUUCUAAUAUCGCACAUUGCGUGAAUGUUGACGAGGGUAAAUUUACUGGACUGAAGAGCCAUGACUGCCAUGUGUUUAUGCAACGCCUACUUCCUGUGGGUAUUCGACAUCUAUUGCCGGAAGAUGUUGUGAAGCCAAUCAUGUUGUUGUCCAGAUUUUUUUCCCAACUGACGGCAAAAACAUUGCGAAAGACAGACAUAUUUCAGUUGCGCCAUGACAUUGUCCAAGUCCUAUGCAAGUUUGAGAUGAUAUUUCCUCCAGCUUUCUUCACAAGUAUGAUGCACGUGAUGGUUCACUUGCCAGAAGAGGCAUUGCUUGCUAGUCCUGUCAACUAUCGCUGGAUGUAUCCAAUAGAAAGGUAUAUAAUCUUUAUCGUUUGUGUAUGCAUCAUUAUCACAGACUUGCUAAUUUGUAUCAUAUCGUUUUAUUUUGACAGGCUUCUCGGAGAGCUGAAAAAAAGUGUACGCAACAGGGCGAAGCCCGAAGGAUCAAUUAUAGAGGCUUGGGUUCAAUAUGAGUCGCUUACUUUCUGUGGAAUGUAUUUAAAAGAUGUGGAGACGGCUUUCAAUCGUCCUCAACGCAAUAACGACGAAGGUAUGAGAAAGGAAAAACUUUCUGUUUUUGCCCAAAGUGCACGACCCUUUGGAGAUCCUGGACGAGGAGAGUCGUUUUCUAGAAAUGACAUGGAGGUAGCGCAUUGGUUCGUACUGAACAAUUGUGAUGAGAUAAUGGCAUACUUAGAUAAGCAUGAAGAGAUGAUGAAGCGAGAACAUCCAUCACAUUUAGUUGCCCAGAAACACCGUGAAUUGUUUCCACAAUGGUUUUUGGAUUCUGUAAGUUAUAAGUGUUUUGUAUUUGACAAAUAUAAAUUGUAGUAUUUAAUUUUGUCAGACUAACAUGUGAAUGGUUUUGUAUUAUAUUAGGUGAAUAAGUUGAAAUCAUCGAAUUCCCCCACUUACAGUGAUGAGUUAUAUAACUUGGCGUUCGGCCCAAUUCGCGCUGAAUUGUUUCGGGUUGUUAUAUUAAUGGCGUCAAAUUUUUGGGAGCCGCACGAGAUGACAAGUUGUGUAUGCAAAACAGCGGUGUCCAUGUCCCAGGUGGAGGCGAAAGUACGAACAUUGAUUUCUAUGGCAAACUCACAACUGUCAUUCAAUUGCUUUACAAAGAUCGAUACUAAGUGAUCAUGUUUAAGUGUCGAUGGUUUGAUAGCAACCCAAAUAGGCCGGGAAGUGUUAAAAUCAACCAUGGCUUACUAUCUGUGAACAUUAACAGAACUUGGUAUGAUGACGACCCUUACAUUUUGGCAAACAUGGCAACACAAAUUGUGUAUCUAGAUGACCCUAAAGCCGGGAGCAGUUGGAAAGUUGUUCAGAAGAUGGAUCAUAGGAACUUGUAUGCUAUACCAGAACUAGACCCAACUGACAAUGACGUCAACAAUGUGGCUGACCAACGUUUAGAAUCUUCAAUGGAAAAUGAUGCGGAAACACUUCGAGAUACACAUGUUAUACAAGAACCGUUUCAAAUACAAGGAGUGUCUUCAAUCGAAAUACCGAUUCAGUCAAUUACAAUUGACCUCGGGGAUCUUCCAAGAUUCGAUGUUGCAGUGAGCCCGAGCAACGAAGAUGAUGUAGUUAUAGAGGAGGAGGAGGAGGAUUGGGAGACUGAAAGUGAUGAUAGCGAAGAUAACGAAAGUUAUUAUAGUUCAGAUGAUGAAUAAUUAAAUUUUUUAUAUUUUUAUUAUGCUAGUGUACAGACUUUGUGUAAAACAAAAGUUUGAAUAUAUGUAGUUGUGAUAUCCAAACCUUAUAUAUGUGGACAACUGAAACAUUAUUAAAAUAAAUUUAGUUAUAAAACAUCGGUAAAUCAAUAUAUCCAAACCCUUUUAAUAUUCAUUUAAAAUUUUUUUUUUUGACAAAAACGUUUACAAAAUGAAAAUGAUAAAAUAUUUGUUAUAAAACAUUGAUAAAUAAAUAUAUCCAAACCAUUUUCAUACAAAGUUUGAAAAUUAUUGACAACAAACAUUUUUCAAAAAUGAAAAUCCUUGCGCGACGAAGUACACCUCGUCACGCAAAGUUUGCGCGACCCAGUAAACAGUCGUUGUGUAAAGUUAAAACAUUGCGAGACAAAUUAUCAUCCGUCACGCGAUAGAAUUUUGCGCGACGAAUAUUUACUCUCGUCGCGCAAAUGUAUAUUCUUUUAUAAUAUAUUUUAUAUACACAUAUAUAUUCGAAAUUGACGAUCGAGUUAGUUCAUUGUAUUCAUAUAGGGUCAUGGAGUGUAGCUGUAAAAAAUCAUCAAAAUCGGAGUUAAAAUAACUGUUAAAUCAUGACUUUUCAUUUAUAACCGUUCAAAAAUUUUGUCCCGAUACUUGAUCUCUGAAUGUUUUUUUUUUCCGAUUUUUGGGGCCUAAGAUCUCGAAGUAUAAACAAACACGUUUGACGGCUGGAUUAUUGAAACUACUUUCGUAGAAUGCGUAUGCCAUCAAAACUAUAUAUUCACCAACAAUGAAUAGUUUACUUAUACUUUCAUUAAAUAUAACAUAAGAUUAUGUGGUAUCACCCUAGUGUAAACAUCUUAAAUUGAAGAUCAAAUUCAGUAAUUGUAUUCAUAUAGGGUCAAGAAAAGUAGCUAUAAAAAAUCAUCAAAAUCGGAGUUAAAAUAACCGUUAAAUCAUGACUUUUCAUUUAGAUUCGUCGAAAAGUUUUGUACUGUUACUUGAUCUCUUAACGUUUUUUUUGUCAGAUUUUCGGCGUAUACGAUCUCGAAAUAUAAAAAAACAAGUUUGCCGGUUAGAUCAUUAAAACUAGUUUCGGGUUUAGGAUUUCUGCAGUUUAGGGUUUAGGGUUUGCGCGACGAAGCCAUUUCGUUGGUCGCACAAAGCCUGCAAAGAACAGUCUUGCGCUACGAAACUAGGAUUCUUUGUCACGCAAUCUCAACCAGCCCUUUCACCCUCUUCCUCCUUGGACACUUAGCCAAAAAAAGUUGCGAGUUUACAGAAAGCGGCUUUGCGCGACGCUGCCGGUAUUCGUCGCGCAAUAUGUAUGCCAAUAAAACCUAAAUCCCAAAUUUUGGCGAAUUACAACUUUGCGCGACGAAUAUGGGAAGCUUCGCGCAAAGUUUUCAAUCUUUCCCGCUAAACCCUAAGUCCCAAAAUUUUGGCGGAUUGACAACAUUGCGCCACGAAAGAAGGUACUGUGCGUCGCACAAAGUUUUCAAUCUCUCCCGCUAAACCCUAAGUCCCAAAAUUUUGGCGGAUUGACAAUAUUGCGCGACGAAAGAAGGUACUGUGCAUCGCGCAAAGUUUUCAAUCUCUCCCACUAAACCCUAAGUCCCAAAAUUUUGGCGGAUUGACAACAUUGCUCGACGAAAUAUGGUACUGUGCGUCGCGCAAAGUUUUCAAUCUCUACCCAAUAUUUUGCCGGAUUGACAACAUUGUGCGACGAAAGACGAUACUGUGUGUCGCGCAAAAACUACCCUGAUACCAAAUUUUGGGAUUAACAAUAUUGCACGACAGAAGUUAUACUUAUGUCGUCGCGCAAGUGUCAAUUAAAAUAUUUUGCGUGACGCUUUUGUUUGUUCGUUGCGCAAAAUCGAAUAAAAUUGCAGAAACGACGCGAUAGCCUCCUUCUUCCCCAGAUUUGUUUUUCUACCCUAACUCUCUCUCUCUCUCUCCGCCUUCAGCUCAGCCCCCUACCCCAGUGGAUUUUGGACGACGGCGCCACAACAGUGGUACCCCGGAGGUUUCCCGCCGUCACCGUCGAGCCAGCCGCCCUAAUUCCUCGAUUUUCACCGAAUCUGCGCCGCCGUCGUUCUCUCUCCUUCGGCGACCAAAUCCGACACCUGAGGUAUGGUUUCUGUCCUAUUUUUGAUGCUUUAACUGAUGGUUGGGUAGGAUUUGUGUAAUUGUUGCAAUAGGGCAGUGGAUUUGAAACCCUAAAUUUCGACCGAUUUUUGAAUUCCAAUUCCGGCCACUUCUGGCCAUUUUUCAGGGUAGGUCCGAGAACAAAAGUGGCUCCAAUUGAUGUUUUGAACCUAGGGUAGGAACCUUGGCCCUUAGUUUUAAGAAAUUUUCGACGAUUGGUAUCGCUUUGGACACCCACGCUCUGCCAGCGCUUGUGGUGGCGCGUGGGGUACUGUAGCAGUCUUGCAUUGGGUCCCAGUGCAAUCCCAUAUUUGUCACGAGCGCGUAGGUGUUUUCGGAUUGGAAUUUGGUUACCGUUUGAGUCUCGAACGGAUUUUGCCUAUUGUGCGAUUUCCGGGUUUGUUAUGUUCGGACCGUUGGAUCGAACUCAAACUCACGUAUGGUGUACCUUGUAUUUCUUGGAUCGUCUAGGAUUCGACGGAUCGUGGAUCGGAGUCCCGAAUACUCCGAACUCGCAAACCCUAGGUCAAGAAUCUUAAUAAAAUUGUAUGUGCUUUCAAAUAUUCGUAUGUUUUAUUAAUUUGUAUGUGUAUUAAUGAAAUUGUGUAGAUGUCAGACCUGAUUAGACGUCGUAGGGCGGUGACGACUACGCAGAGUUCUGAGCCCCCGGCUCAACUGACAUCUGCUGCCACUGCGCCAGCACUGAUGGACCACUUGGCAGUUGGUCCCGCGGGGUCCCAGGCUCCUGCUUCAUCAGCUUCAUUAGUGGCACAACCUGUUAGCGCCAGGAAGCGUCAUCGGCCUGCCAGCACCACCGACACCACAUCCACUGAUGCGUCGGGGUCACAGCCAGGUAUAGAUUUCCUUAAACUCCAGUUAUUUAUAUUUUUGUUUUUGUUUUUAUUUUUGUUUUUGUUUUUGUUUUUGUUUUUAUUUGUGUGUGUAUUUUAUAGUUAAAUUUGUUAUUUAUUUAACAUUAAUGUCAUCUUUCUUUGCAGCCAAGAAGAACACCCGAGGGCCGUGUCGGUAGUUGAAGACGGCGAAGGUCACUCGGGUGACCAACAGUCGUAUCAACAUCGGAUACGACAAGCGACAUCGGGCUGCACCGACGGCGGAGUUGCAUAGCUCCUUGGCCCACGACAUUGGUGAUGUCAUUCCGAGCCAUUGCCCGAUGAAAUGGAAGUCUUGGAAGGUGAUGCCUGACGAGACCAAGAUGGAGGUUCGCGGCCAGUUGUCAGUAUGUAGGCCUUUUAAUUCUUUUUCUUUCAAAUUUUAUAUUUCUAUUAUUUAAAUGUAUUUAAUUAAUUUAUUGCAGACGAACUACAACUUGGAGGACCUGGACGACGAGUCGUUGGCGUACAUCAACAGACUCUUCUCUGAGAGGUACAAAUAGUGGAAGAGCGACUUGCACCACUAUUUUGAGGCGUUUGAUGAUCCAGAAGUCUCUCUUCAGGAGGGUUGCCCGAAGGAGCUUGAGGGGCGGGAGGAUAGUUGGGCGUGGCUCUGCUCUCAUUUUCAGGCGCCCGCUUUUGUGGUAAUUUGUAAUAUGAAUUUCAAAUUUAUUAUAUUUUUCUUACUAAUGUUUUUUUAAUGUUUUAUAUUUAAUUUCAAUUUCAACUAAUACGUUUUAUUUUUUGUAUAACAGAAUAAAGCCAAAGUCAAUAAGGGCAAUAGGAAGAAGAAGACUCUUCUCCAUCAUUCGGGUUCCAGGCCCUUCUCCUAUAGGAUGGAUGCAUGGCGGCAGGUAAUCAUAAAAAAAAUUUUAUUUAAUUUUUAAUAUUUAAUUAUUCUUAAUUUAUUUUUUUGUACUAAUAUUUUUCUUCUCUUGUUCAAUUUAGGGGGGUCCAAAUUCCCAGAGAUCGACGUCUUUGGCGACGUUUAUGUUCGACCUGGGAAUGAGUUGGGCGAGUCCCUUCAUGUAAGUAUUAUUUAAUUUUAAUUAUUAUGUUACGCAUUCAAGUUUAAAGGUUAUUAUAUGAAUGUUUUAAUUUAUAUUUUAUGUUAUGCUAAACAGAUGACGAUGGUGGAGAGGAGCCAGUUGGUUCUUCAAGAGUCCGCCUCCCAACUUCCUUCCGAUACUCCGAUCGAGUCUGUGGAUCCUCCACAGGAUGCUGGGUUUCAGAUCUUGACGGAGACAUUGGAUCAGACUCUAGGGAGGAGACCGGGGAUAUAUUGUCGAGGGAUGGAGAAUGCCAGGCGGAGGGAAGCCAGACCCCGUUCAUUAGCGCAGUCAAGCAGUCAGGUCACUGCUUUGACAGCACAGGUGGCCACUCUUCAGAGUCAGAUGUCGGACAUUCUGCAGUCCCUCGCACAGUUCGGCAUUCCAGUCCCGCAUUUUGAUGCGCCGACCUCUGAGCCCGUCCAUCCUGAGCAUCCCCACCAGACGACGGCCCUUGUAGACCCCCAGACCUCUGAACCGCAUGUGCCAGACGACAAUGUAGAUUUUGGAACAUUAUGAUUAGUUUUUUUAUUUUCAUAAUUAUUUUUUAAAUAUUUCUCUUGCAGCAUACAUUUAUUUUAUAUAAUAAAUAUGUUCUUUACAAUUCUUUUUUUUAUUGGAAUUUCAUUUUAUUACCCAAAAAAAAAAAACCAAAUUUAUUUUUUUAUAAAAUAAAAUAAAAAGUAAUAUUAAAAUUAAAUAAUAAUUAUAUAUAUUAAUUUUGCGCGACGAAAUCUUUC